rnacentral:lncRNA from 1 species
AAAAUUUUCACAGUGCGUGUCUUUCAUUUCUUUAAUUUGAUUGUUUCCCUUGUAUUCAAUAUGCUUCUAGUGGCUGAUCCUUCCAUUUUUGUUGUGGCAUCUUUAUUUUCACAGGUGUUGUGUGUUCUGGAAGAUGGAAGAGGAAGAAAUUGUUGAACUAAAUUUUCUGUAUUCUGUUUUGUUGUACGUAUCAUUUGAUAGUUUUGUAUAGGAACAAGUGAUACUAUUUUGUAGGGCUUUAUGGCCUGUGAUGUAAACAUAUUUAGUGCUGAAAUAUGAAAUUAUUUGCAAAAUUUUUCAAAAAGGUGGAUCAUAUGUAUGAAUAUGUGAAUGGGCUGAAAAGAGUACUGGACCAACUCCAGGAUUGAAUUAAUAUUUGAAUGUAUAAAAAGGCCGAAUGUAAACCAGAAAUGGGCUGCACAAAACUGUACAUAUAUUCUUGAAAGGCCAAAUGUGCAUAAAAAUUGAUGGGAUGACCAGUUGGGCUUGGCCCAUGUAGCAGAUAAAAAUUAACAGAAAUAAAUAUGCCAAAUGGAUUGAAUUAAUGGGCUCGGCCCAUGUAGAAAAUUGAAUUGGACCGGGCUGAUUCUUGUGCCACAUCAGAUUGCCACGUCGGAUGCCUAUGUGGACUGGAGAGGCUGCUAGUGACCAAAACAAAACAGUAGGCAUAUUUUGGUCAUAAACGUCUGUUAAUUUCAGUUUACGACCGCCAGCUUUUGACCUUCUGUUUUUUGUCACAAAAAGGUCGCAAAUGAAAAACAAUGACCUUUUAGUGACCAAUAGUCAAGGUCACAAGUUGACAUAUUUCUUGUAGUGCACCAUCCCAUGAGCACCAGAACACAAAUAGCUAGUCAGGGCACUGGCCGAGCCAGUGACAAGCCCAACAAAGACAUGCAUCACCUGGAAGCCAACUAAAAAGCCGCGAUGGUGGCGAAGCAGCCCGCCUCCCACUAGGCUCUCAAGUCCUAGAUGAUCAUGCUCACCACUCCAACCGGAUGUCUAGCUUGUAUUGCUUCCAAUUUGGUUAAAUUGCAUCUGCUUAGCUUACACGUUAUACCUUUGAAUAUGACAUGCCUUUCUGUUUUUGGUACAUACUAGUACAUCUGUGUAUUAACCAUGUCCUUACAUCAAACUAAUGUUCUUGUGUAUCCCUCAUCAAUCACUUAUGAUGGGGCAGUCAGGCAAGUGGACUACUCCUCAUUUAAAGAAUGCAGCGUCAGCCUCCCGACAUGAUUCUCAAGAAACAGUAAGGCUAGAUGAAGAUAGUGAACGUAGCUCUGUAGUUGAUUACCACAUUUCCCCUACACUAGCAUCGCGGGUGCUUGCUCUAACUUGGCAGCGUGAUACGUGGUUGCAUGUUGCAUAUGGUGUCUAGAUUGUAAUUCUUCCAAUCUGGUUAAACUGCAUGUGCUAUUCUGCUUAGCUUAUACACUAUACAUGUUAAUGUGACAUGCCUUCCUGUAUUUAGUACAUAGUACAUCUGUCUAUUAAGCAUGUCCUUACAUAAAACUAUUGUUUUUUUGUAUCCCGCAUCAAUCAACAUGACGAGACACCUUUAGUAUAUGAAGUGCGAUAUUAGUUGCAUCUUUCAUACGAUUUGUAGCAUGUGUUGCUUUAAAUUUGUUGAAAUUCCAUUUAUGAUGGGACGCUUUUAACUUGGCAGGCAUAUUGGUUGCAUCUUUCAUGUGGUGUCUAGCUUGCAUUGCUUCUUAUUUGUUGGAAUGGUUUCUGCUUAGUUUACACAAACAGUUGUGAACAUGCCAUGUCGUCCUGUUUUUCGUACAUAUUCCAUCCUAGUAUCAUGUGUUUGCCUUACAUCAAAGUAGUGAUUGUCAGUAUCAUGCAUGAAUGAGUUCUGAAGAGAGAAUUGUAUUGCUUUUUCUUGUUGGUUUUACUUGACAAUUGAAAAUCAAUAAAGCGGAAGGAAGUUAGCAAGGCAGCGGAUAAAGAUGCUCCUUCCAAAUGGAGGGCCUCUACAGUUUCUACUCCUCCAUCCCCCCAAGAUGAUUUCCAAGACAACACAUGCAUAGACACUCAACAUAGCUUUGUUUGUGAUGAGCAUGUCUUCCCUAGUGCACCAUCAUCGGCGCUCCCUCUAACUUGGCACUGUUAUAUGUGGUUGCAUGUUAUGUGUGAUGUCUAGCUUGUAUUGCUUCUAAUUUUGUUGAAUUCCAUCUGCUUACUUUACACAUUAUACUUAAAUAAGACACGUGUUCCUGUUUCUAGAACAUACAAUAUCUAUCUAUCACACCAUGUUCUUAAAUCAAAUUACUAUAGUUCUGUAACCUGCAACAAUCACUUAUCAUAAGACACGUUUGACUUCGAAGUGUGAUAUAGGUUACAUCUCGCAUUCUUUUCUAGCUUGUACUACUAAUUUGUUGAAAUGACACUUAUGACGAGAUAGUUUUAACUUGGUAGAGUGAUAUUCGUUGCAUCUUUCAUAUGGUGUCUAGCUUUCAUUGCUUCUAAUUUGUUGAAAUGCCUUCUGCUAAGUUUACACAUCAUAAGCUGUGAAUAUGCAAUGGCACUAAUGACGAGAGACCUCUAACUUGGUAGUGUGAUGUUGUUUGCAUCUUGCAUAUGAUUUAUUUCUUGUACUGCUUCACAUUUGUUUAAACGCCAUUGAUGAUGAGACACUGUUAACUUGGCAGAGCGAUAUUUGUAGCAUCUUUCAUAAGGUGUCUACCUUCCAUUGCAUUGCUUCUAAUUUAGUGAAAUGUCUUCUGCUUAGUUUACACAUCAUAGUUCCGGUUAUCUCUUCCGUCCUAUCUUUCGUACAUAUUACAUCCUCCUAUCAUGUGGUUGUCUAACAUCAAAGUUUAGUUCGUCUGUAUCACACAUCAAUUUGUUCUGAAGAACUAAAUUGUUAUUCAUUUUUCUUGUCGGCUUGACUUAACAUGGCACAGAGAAAGAGGAAGAAACACAGAAUGGCGGGGAAUGGGAACCGGAAGAAUCCUGCAGAUUCUACUGGUACUGACGGUGCAAUAGAAGGUGAAAGUCCAGCAGAAAAUUCUACAAACAGGGUAUCCCAUGCUACACGAGCUGCAGAAAAAGCCAAAUAGAAACAAAUAGCUGCCACCAAACAAGAAGAGACAGCCCUAGUUCUUGCAACACCUUCCAUAGUACUACCAGCUGCACGAGUUACUCAUGCGUCAACUGAGCUAGCAGCAUGUUCCCAAGCUCCCUUGCCACCUGACACUACUUCCCAAGCACUCUUGACACAAGACGAGUUGGCAAGAUCAGAUGAACCUUGUGAGCUUCAACAGCAAGAAGGUAGUUGCUAGAGUCAAGUUACAGUUGCAUGCUUCUUUAUAUGUAUUCUCACAGUUUGAUGUACACUAACACUUCCUAUGUUUGUUGUCGGAUUAGCACCUAGGUGCAAGAGGAAACAAACAUCAGGGAUAAUGCCCGAUAGGUUAACUAAAUCUAGAGGAGGAAGAAUGGAGAUCUAUUUUGAGGCAGGUUUCAAAAGGCCACGUGAUGCUACAGAGUCAACCAAGUUAGUAUCAGAGGCAGCGGUUGCCGUUAGGUGUCAUGUAUGUAUCCUCCCAACAUGGAUUCAAUACAGGAAUGACAAAGACGAAACCCAGUUUAACACCUUCCUCGACCAUUUAUCUGUAAAUAUGGUUAUGUAUGGAAACUAGUAAUAUCGUCUUGCUCUGUCCCAUACUUUCUAGGUUGCUGAUAAUGAGACUCCAAUAAUUUUCAACAUAUGAGGUUCAAGUUGGAUAGCCAAGAUGAUGCAACCAGACAAGCUUGCACCCAUGUUUUCAAGUCUGCUAUGCGAUAGUAUCGGUAUAACUUGAGGAAAACUCACUUUGAAGGCUAGGCUAAUAGUGAACUUUCCCAAACAUCUCUAGUGGAAAAUAUAUCGGAUGAAGAAUUGAGGGGCCUCAUUAAACACUGGUAUGAUCCGAAGUAUCAGGUACAUUAUAUAUAUGUGAUCAGAUCACAUGUUGAAGUCCUAUUUACGCAUGUGCCACACAAAUCUAUCUUCUUGUAGGCGAACUGUUCAAAGAAUAAGGCCAACCGUACGAAUGUGAAAUUCCAACAUACGACAAGAUCUCGUACCUAUAUUGCACACUUUGAGGCUCUUGUAAUUAGCUGUUGUUUCACUCUUUUCGCUAUACCAUAUUAUCAGAUCUAUAUUGACUUGUUCCAAAUGCAGAGGAAAGCCCGCAAGGACCAAAAAGUACCUGAACCAAAUGCUAUGGAAAUCUUCAAGGACUGUCACACCAGCAAGAAGAAGGGGAUGACUACACCAGUCAAAGCCGUUGUUGUAAGUCCUUAAUCCUCAUGCCUUUUAACUACUACUUACUCAGACUUGUGCCUUGAACUGCAUGGUUUGCAGCCAAUGUCUAUUACUCUUUUGAAUUUUAUACGCAAUUGUCUUAGCGUAUCAUUACACCUUACAAGGUUUAAAAGAGAGGAGUGAUGUUCCUUUGAUCAUGACCUGUAAUCUAGUUCCGUGCUGGACUUGCCCACACAAUGUUACAAUUGCAUGUUUGUUUGUUCUCAGUUGUUUUGUGAUAUGAAUGAUGUCAUACUAUGCUUACCGUAUUAUGAACUUUGUCUCUUUAUCCUUAGCCCUCAAUACAAUGUGAACAAAUAGACAAUACAUUAGCGAUGGUACAUGGUCAUAUGUUUGGAACCUCGUUUUAUUAUGUACUUUGAAAUAAAAUACAACUAAUAUUUUACAUGGGUUCACUAGAAUAAGUUCUGUAUAUAGACCAAAGCUAUUUUGUUUGGUUUUAAUGCCUCCUUAAUAUCUUCUGUUCUGGUACUACUAUUGUAAAACCUCAACUUUUCAGCGAUCUAUGGAAAAAAUGGUGGAAUCGCCACCUUCUGAAGGUGGCGAGGCAACUAUAACCGCAACGUCAGCUCUUGCUGUAGUGGGUGAGUACCUGUCCACUAACAGUGCCAAAAGCAUGUUCCUACAUAAUACUGGGUUGGUUGUUAAGGCAAUCUCGUUCAAACUGCCUCAUGAUCAAGAUAUGCAAGCUCAAAAUAAUGUUGUAUCUGCGCUCCAGACACAAGUCCAUUCCCUAACAGAGACCCUUUGUGAAACAAGGAGAGACAUUGUUCGAUGUUGUCAAGAUAUGCAUGGUUUUGAAACCAGACUAUCAGACAUUUGCUAUGUUGUUCAGGAGCCUAGGAGAACUGAAGGCGAAGGUUAUGGUGCUCCAUCCGACAAUACAUCAUGAAAACGUAAUAGUUAGGUCAAAUUAACUGAGUUUCUAAACUUCUGGUGGUGCAUUUAUCUGCUAGACUGUUAACUUUUAUGCCAACCUUACUUUUGUUUUAUAGUUGUAAUUUAUUUUGGUGUGAUACAAAAUUUGUUCUUAACGUGCAGCCACCGGCUGAAGAAAACAGUAAGCCAUUUUUGUAUAGUGUAGGGUCUUCCCUAUAUUUGCACUAGUGGCGAACUUUGAUGCCCAAUGGAUGUAAUAUGUGUAAUAGACGUGAUAGCCUAGCGUAAGUUGCUUGCUUAUUUAUUUCCUUGUUGUCUUGUUUAUUUGUUUUCUUGUAGUCAGUGCAGUUCUUUUACCGCGGUUUGCUAGUGGCCGCAAUAACCUAUUUUUUAAAACUAGGCCACAUUAACCAUGGGCUACAUAUUUACUGUAGUUAACAUGGGCCUCCUACGGGCCGUAGAAACAAUUUGCCUUCUAAGGGUCGUAGAAACAAUAGGCCUUUUACGAGACAUAGAAACAAUGGGCCUUAUAUGGGUCAUAGACACAAUGGGCCUUCUACGGGCCAUAUCAUCAAUGGACCUUCUACGGGUCGUAUGAUCGGUUGGCCAAACAUGGGCCAAUAACAGACCACAUUAUGGCCGUAAAUGGGCUAGAGUUGAAAUCAUCCGUUCAUGGGCCGACCAUAACGGGCCGUCGUUAAUCAGCCAUAUUUGAUGAUGCUAUGAAAGCAGCCCAACGUAUUAGCGGGCCACAAACGGGCCGACUGUAACCACAGCUGAAUUUGGCCCACAAGCAAAAAAUGAUAGUAACGGGCCGAAAGUAAACGAAUGCUGGAAAUGAGCCCAAGAAUAAAUGGGCCCUGAGAAGGCCGAAAGAUAACAUGGGCUGGAAAUGGCCCAACGGAAUAAUGGGCCAUUAAUGGGUAUAAAGUGAUACACUGUUCAUUACGGGCCAGUUUUACCAUGGGUCGUUAAUGGGUCGAGGGUUACUAAGGGCCUCAUAUGGGCCGAAAGACGUCAUGGGCCAUACAUGGGCCAGAAGUUAAAAUGGGUUGGAAUUAUAUUGGGCAGCCUAGAUGAUGCUAUUGGGCCUAAUUCGGAUAGACCAUAAACGGGCCCUGGGUUAGUGGGCUGUAAAUGCGCUAUAUGUGAAUAGGCCGUUAAGAGGCUUGCCUUGGGCCGACCCACCAACUUUUGACCAAGUCAAACGGGCCGGCCUUUUCACAGGAAUGGGCCUCUGUUGGGUCAUGCCACGUGUCGACGUAUCAUAGGCGCUUUGGGUCCAAUGAGUCGAUGACAUCUGUCCCAGCGGUGAGCCGACACGUGUUUCCUCUAGCCAAUGAUGAUUUUACACGUGGAAAAUCCCCAUUGGUCUGGGCUGUUAACGGGUUAUCGGAUCCAAAACCGGACCUGGUAGCUUAACGGCGUUCCGUUACGGUGGAUGCCAUGUGUCGGCUACCCUUGACGAAAGCACUUCUGGGACGUGCGAUUUAUCGUCAUGGAAGUGGACACUUCCAUGAUGAUCAUAUUUCUAAUGUCAUGGAACACUUCUACGACAGCACAGGUAUGACUAUCUUGAUUCUGUCAUAAAUUUGUCAUGGAUGUACAUGCAUAAUAGAAAACGUGCCCUACUGUGACAAACACGUAUCAUCAUGGAAAUGUAUUUUUUUGUAGUGAUAUGGAAAUGGAAUAUAUUUGGUGCUUAAUAUGAAUGUCAAUUAGAUAAGUAAAUGGAUUAUUAAUAAUAGGGCCAUUAGCCCGCUAAUUGGCCAAUUAGCUUGCUAAUUAGGUUUUCCUAUUGCAAAUGGAUAAUAAGAAAACACCAUGGGUGAUGACCUCAGGAAACGCACAUAGUUUCUAUGAAUAAACCGUGUUGGAUCAAUGAACAAUCACACACAACAUUAUUUUUAAAAUGGUUUGCGUCACGCCACCUUGCCCAAACAUUUUCCUUGUAGCGACUAUGUGGGAUGUAUAUACGAACGGAAACGUUUAGCGGGGACUGACUGUGUGGGAUGUACUUGCGACCGGAAAAAAAUUCACUGUAUAAUAGUAUUUUUUAGCACUACUAUACAUAUUUCCGUAUUUGAGCGCUUGCCGGUGGCUCAUGACCUGAUUUUGCCAAGCGUGUGUGCCAGGAGGGCAUAUUCCCAAUGGUUUCUGGGUGGUGUGGGAAGGACCCCCCUAUCGCGCACACUCACUUGGCGACAGUUCUGAAUGCCGUCGCGUUAAGGGGUUAAAAGUUGUUUGUUUAGGACCAACGCGUACCACUGUGAGGCCCCGCAACACUUCCAAUUUGCCCUCUCAGCUUGGCCGUUGCUCCUAGGAUGAGAAACAAAAGCAAAACAAACCUUGCCGCCAAGGUCUUGAAUGUACUGCACGAAGGUGCGGCUCAUGAACUGCGUGCCGUUGUCAGUGAUGACUCUAUUUGGCACACCGAAACGACCAACUAGUCCCUUAAAGAACUUGAUGGUUGAUUGUGCCGUGACCUUUCUCACUGGUUCCACUUUCGGCCACUUUGUGAACUUGUCGAUCGCGACGUACAAGUACUCAAAGCCCCCGACGACACGGGGAAAGGGGCCAAGUAUGUCGAUCCCCCAGACCGAAAAUGGCCAGUAAUGAGGGACUAUUUGAAGGGCUUGGGCUGGCUGAUGAAGCUUCUUUCAAUGGAACUGGCACGCUACACACAUGGUUACCAGUGCAGUUGCAUCCUGGAGAGCGGUGGGCCAAAAGAAACCUUGCCGGAACACUUUGCCAGCAAGGGCUCUCGACCCUGUGUGGGAGCGACACAUGCCCCCAUGUAUCUCUGCCAACAGCUCCAGUCUGUCCUCCCGAGGGAUGCACUUUAGUUUCACACCAUUCAAUCUCCUUCUGUAUAGGGCAUCAUCCACAAACUAGUACAUGCUGGACCGACGGGCUACUUUCUCUGCCUCCUCUUAUUCCCCAGGGAGUUCCUCUGUUUGGAGGAAACGGAUGGUGUGCUGCACCCAUGCCGGAGCCUGGGGCUCGAUGACAAGGACUAAAGGCUCAUCUUCGACCGUAGGGGAAGCUGCCUCUAUGGUCGGGGCCUGUGGCCCCGCCGAAGGUUGCUGCCCCCCGGCAAGCUUGGGACAUCCGACAACGUUUUUGCCAGUGGCUCCUGGGAGCUCAGCGGGAAAGUACUUGCCGGGGCUUCCCUUCCUUCGCUUGUUCUGUCCUACUCAUCCACAUAAGCUUCCAUCAGCGGGCUUUGGUAAUCCUUGUUGACUUGCUUGACGACGAGUUGCAAAUUACCUCUGAUGAUGAGCUUCCUGAUUCGGAGGUAUGCUGCGAUCCUGAGACCGGCAAGCAAUCCCUCAUAUUCCGUCGUGUUGUUCGUUGACUUUUCCCGAGGAAAGUGCAUCUGGACUACGUACUUGAGGUGCUCUUCGAUUGGUGCGACAAGCAGCACGCAGGCACCAGCACCUUGCAUCGAGAAGGCUCCGUCAAAUUACAUGAUCCAAUCACGGCUCGUCUCCUUGCCGGGAAGGGUGGUCUCUCUAACUUCUUCGUCUGGCGUUGAGGUCCAUUCUGCUAUGAACUCUACCAAAGCUCGGCUCUUGAUUGUUGAAGUGCUUUCAAAUUUGGGGCCGGAGCUUGACAGUUCCAACACCCACUCCACAAUCCUCCCGGUGGCAUCCAAAUUGUGCAAGAUUUGUUGCAAAGGGAGGCGGGUGAUGAUGGUGAUCUCAUGUGUGCUUGGAAGUAGUGACGCAGCUUUCUCGAGGCCAUAAGAAGGCCGAAAAGUAGCUUCUGUAUGCCAGAAUAUCUUGAUCUAGCCCCCUGCAAGAGGGAACUAACAAAAUAAACUAGGUUGUGCACCACCUUCUUCUUCUGUUCGACUUCACCCGCUUGCGAGGGCUCCGUCUUGCCGGGAUCAAGCUCCGUCGGGGGUUCCGCCUUGCCGGCAUCAGGCCCUGCAGUGGAGAGCUCUGGCUCUUCAUUCAAAGGCUCCGCCGCUACCGCCGCUUCUUCCCCAAAUUCCCUCUGUGCCACUAGCGCAACACUAGCCACUUGGUUCGUUGCCGCUAGGUAUAGCAGCAACGGCUCUUGCGGUUUAGGUGCGACUAGUAUUGGCGUGGAGGAGAGGUACGUCUUCAAAUCUUGCAGCAUCGCCUCUGCCUCCAAAGAAGAGGAGGGCGCGCUCAGCAGAUUUGGAGAUGAACCUACUUAGUGCAGCGACACAGCCGACAAGCCUUUGAACAACUUUGACUCGUCUUGGUACCUCAAUCUACUCAAUUGCUUUGAUCUGGUCAGGAUUCGCUUCGAUUCCAUGUUGAGACACAAAGAACCCGAGAAGUUAGCCGGAUGGAACGCCAAACACACACUUCUCUAGGUUGAGCUUGAGGUUGAUCUUAUGUAGGUUGGCAAAUGUUUCGUCCAAAUCUUGCAUGAGUGUGGCUCCGUAUUUGGUUUUGACUACUAUAUCAUCCAUAUAUGCUUCCAUAUUUCUAUGCAGCUGGGGCUCAAAAACAUUUUGGACCGCUCGGGCAAAUGUCGAACCCACGCUCUUCAACCCGAAAAGCAUCCUUACGAAACACUACGUACCACUUGGGGUGAUGAACGCAGGUUUCUCUUCGUCUUCCUUGAUCAUGAAUAUGUGGUGGUAUCCUGAGUAGGCGUCGAGGAAUGACAGCAGGUCACACCCGGCUGUGGAGUCCAUGAUCUUGUCAAUGCGUGGCAAAGGGAAAGGAUCCUUUGGACAGGCCUUAUUGAUGUAUGUGUAGUCAAUACAUAGCCUCCACUUCCCAUUUGCCUUACGCACUACCAGUGGAUUGGCCAACCAAGUGGGGUGGAGCACUCCUCUGACCAAGCCUGCCGCCUCCAACUUCCUAAUAGCUUCGAUGAUGAACUCUUGUCGCUCCAAAGCUUGCUUUCUGACCUUCGGCUUGACGGGCCGCGCAUAGGGACAGAUAUCAAGGUGGUGCUCAAUCACCUCCUGGGAACGCCAGGGAUGUCGGAUGCUUGCCAUGGAAACACGUCGACAUUCGCCCGGAGGAAGGCGAUAAGCGCGCUUUCCUAUUUGCUGUCGAGGGUGGAGCUUAUGGUAAAAGCUCCACCCGUGCCAUCCUCCUUGAUGGGCACCUUCUUAGUUUCUAGCGGGGCCGCCUUGGACCUCUUUCUCCCGUUGACAGAACUCUUUGGCACGUCCUCAACGGUAACGCGGCGCUCCGAAGAGGCGCGUUUACCAGAGGAGGUGUAGGAGCCAUUGUCGGGGUCGGAAGUCUUGUCGGAAGGGGCCUUGCUGGAAGAGGCAGAGGUCUUGCCAGUUUUCUUCCCUCCCCGGGCCUCAGCGGAAGGAACAAGCAUCUUGGCGGCAGCUGCUGCAACUGCCUCCUGGUAGAGUUGGUCGGCGCGGAUAAGCCCGUCCUUCUUGUCGGAGGGGACGGUGAUGAUGCUCAUCGGCCCGGGCAUCUUCAACGUGUUGUAAACGUAAUGUGAUGCCGCCAUAAACUUGGCCAGUGCUGGGCGGCCGAGGAUCCCAUUAUAAGGCAAGGGGAUCUUGGCAACAUCAAAAACAAUCUUCUUCGUCUGAUUAUUCAGCUCUCCCCCAAAUGUGACGGGUAAUGUGACUUUGCCCUUCGGCUAACUCCUCCCCAGAUUGACCCCUUGAAACGUGCCCAUCUCCUUGAGAUCUCCAUCGGGGAUCUGUAGCCUUUCAAUCACAGCGGGCGAGAUCUAGUUCAGACUGGCCCUGCCAUCAACUAGUAUUUUCGUCACCUUGAGGUUGUGUAUCGUUGGGAAAACCAACAACGGCAAACACCCGACUGCAGUUGUGCGGUCAGGGUGAUCCUCCAUGUCAAAAAUAAUAGGCGUGUCGUACCACUUCAGCGGCCUCUGGGCGUCGAACGAUGGCUCCGCCGUAGUGACUUCAUGUGCCCACUACUUUAGUUGGCAGUGAGAGGUGUGCAGCGAGGCGCCACCAUCGAUGCACAUGGCCUUCAUAGCCUUCUGGAACUCGUGCUCGCUGGAGUCGUUGUCCUCAUUAUGAUCAUCAUCCUCCUCCUUCUAGCCGCGGCCCCGAGCAGGCCUCUCUUGUUGAUUAUCCUUGUCACGGCGGCCUCCUCGACCGCCACGCUUCUUGCCGGACCCUUCAGCACAAUCCUGGCCCUUCUCCUUGUCGCGCCUCUCAUAUUCAGCUUUUCUGUUUCUCUGCAAGCAGCACAACCUGCCGGCAAUUCUGGAGGUCAUGGCCUUUGGUGCGGUGGAUCUUGCAAUACUGCUUGUCGAAGCCUCCUGGCUUGUCGGCAGCUGCCAAAGCCCGACAGUCGGUGGACUCAGCAACUUCCUUGCCGGGGUCGUCAACCUUGGUCUUCUUGGCAGCAUUGGGGUCGCCGGAUUCCUCGACGGCAAGCACGGUCUUUCCCUCAUGCUUCCUGUUGUGGCGUCGGCCCUUCCUUGCUGGAGCGACGACGUCUUCGUUUGUGGAGUCGGUUUCCGCACCGGCAUCUUCGCCGGGGUACUUCCUUCCUUCUUCAGCCCGAGCGCACCUAUCGGCCAGAACAAACAGCUCGGCUACAUCCUUAACCUUGUUCAUCGCCACCUCCUCGCGCAUCUUGCAGUUGCACACAUUUUGAUGGAAUGCACUGACGACAGUAGUGGGAUGAACAUCUGGGAUGUUGUACUACACACGGCUAAACCUUUGUAUAUAUGUACUUGCGCAGGGACUCGCCAUCCUUCUGGGGGAUGACAUGCAAAUCACUCGUCUGGCUAGGAGCUUGGUGGCCUCCGGUAAAGGCGCCAACAAGCUCGUGGCACAGAUUCGACCAGGAAGAGAUGGAAUCCAAUGGCAGGUGCAUCAACCAUGACAUGACGUUGGGCUUAAGUGCCAAUGGGAAAUAAUUGGCAAGCACCUUAUCGUCACGAGCCCCGGCAACUUGCAUCACGAUGGUGUAGAUGCUGAGGAACUCUCACGGGUGAGUCUUGUCGUUGUACCUGUCUCUGACCUCAGGCUUGAACGUGCGGUGGGUAGGCCACUGGAACUGCCACAGCUCACAGGUGAAGGCUGGACAACCCACCUCAUAAGGUAGGUCCCCAGCACCCCCCGAUGCUGGGCGGUUCGUAGUGGGUCCCACGCGCCUAUCUGACUGAUGGCACUUGUGUCGCCGCCGCUCGAUAGUGGUCCGAGCGUAUUUCUGAGCUCGCUCCUGGAGGACUUGACGUCGGUCGCGGCAGGCUCGAGGGUCAGACGACGCCGUAGAAAUGUUGUCGCGGGCGUCGGCCCGGCGAGCCAGCGGCUGUUGUCGCGGCCGUGGGGGCGGUGAGUGCGCCGUGGUCGCAGCAUCCCCGGUUGUCGUGGAAUUGUCACGGCAGAUGUCCUAGCAAAAGGACUUAGUCGUAGGGCCAUCGCAACUAGGAAGCAAAAAGGGGUUAAUCAGGACAAAGGACAUGAGAGGUUUUAUACUAGUUCGGCCCCUUACGAUGAAGGUAAAAGCCUAUGUCUAGUUGUGUUGAUAUUGUUGGGGUGUCGAUCACCAAGAGGCUAGUUCGCCGGCUUGGUUAUUGAUCUCUUGUUUUUUUUGCCUUAAGCCGCCACCGGGUCGUCCCCUUAUAUACACGGGUUGACACCUGGUGGCCUACAGAGUCCCAGCCGGCUCAUAAAUCGUGUUCGGCUCGGUGACUUCUUUUACAUUCCUUUCCUUACAAGUCUUUCCUUACAUACGGUGGUUUACAAUACUGGGCCUUAAGCCACCGCUAGGCCUUUAUGCCUUCUAUAAGGUUUAAUAAUAUAUCGCCUUGAAUGUCUAUUAGGCUUCCUUUUGUGACCCUCCAUUGGGGCUGAUCCGGCCCUUCCUGGGCGGGUCAUAACUGAUAGCUAUAUUCCCAACAGUAGGCCCAGGUUGAUUUGAACUUCGUUCUUGUCAAUCUUCAAUACUUAGAAAAAACCCACCUAUUACUGUUUUGCGAAAGCUUUGUAACCCUCCAUGACGUCACCUCCAAAUUUUUGGGAAACCGCCAUCAUGUCAUCUUUUUAACGGAUCUUUAUCUUUAAUGCCUUCCCGAAAAUCGAGGCGCCUGGGUAGCUGGAUAAUCAUGUUUUGGUCUCCUUGUUUUUCGCGCCCACUUAUCAGUCUUCUCCUUAUAAAUAGGCACGACUAGCCUUUCUUCAUUCUCCCCCUUUUCCAUCGUCUUCUUCCUCUCUCACAGCCGCCGCAGCACUCAUCGCCGUCCCCAAGCUCGGCCGCUGCAUCAUCCUGAACUGUCCAUAGAAACAGCAACGACCCUCCGCAACAAAUCCGCAUCCGUAAGUUCUUGCCUUCUCACACCUUUAGAUCUGCAUUAGGGUUUGUGAGUUCAUCAGUGUUCUUCACUGUUCACCAUGAACCUUCUAGUAGUUCUUCCUCCACAGCCUCUCUUGAUCAAAAAGGAACACCUAACUCGUGCGGUGGUGGUUUUACACCCAUUUUAGAUGUUAGUAGAUCCCUUUCCCUUGCACAGAUACCUUCUUAGAACUGAUGAACUCAUCUGGGCUAUAUUUUUAGGUCUAGGAAAUUUUUAAUUUUGAACGAUCAUUUGAUCCAUAGCAAUAUCCAGAAGUUAAGAAACUUGUUUGUCUCCAUACUUAACCAAUUCUACCGCUAGUAUUUCUCAAAUGUCUGUAGUCAUGGCGGCUUACCAUGUCGGCUUACUUUUCCUUAUAUGACAUUAGCCCUUAUUUAAGCCGCCAUUACUCCCCUGUAUUAUCAUCAUUUACUUUUACCAUUAUCAUUUAAUUGAACCAGCAUGUUGCCUUCCUUUCAGUUUGUUUUUGAACAUCAUGCCGUCCAAAGCACCGACUGUCUGCAAUUGGGUUCCCUCACCCGUGACUGAGGACAAUUUGAAGGAGUUCUUCUCCAUAGGAUUUUUGCCAGGAAAAAAAUGUCAUGUCUUAUCGUGCACCUGACCCGGACGAAGAACGAUCCAAUCCAAGAGAUGGUGAAGUCAUUGUCUUUACUGACAACAUGAACCAUGGCUUUUCACCGCCCGGCUAAAAGUUAUUCAGAGAUGUCCUCCAUUUUUUCAAACUCCACCCUCAAGAUAUCGGGCCCAAUUCCAUAUCCAAUAUCUGCAACUUCCAAGUGCUCUGUGAGGUGUACCUUUAGGAAGAGCCGACCGUGGAACUCUUUAGAGAGUAUUUUUGUCUGAACCGGCAGAACGAGUGCACCAACGGCCUUAGCUUGGAGUUUGGAGGCAUCUCAAUUCAGCGUCGGCAAGGCGCUGUCUUCCCCCUCAUAGUCUUGCUGAGUCAUCCAAAAUACUGGAAUCAGACUUGGUUCUAUUGUCAAGACACUUCACCAGCAAACGAGAAGCCACUGCCGGGUUAUCGUGCCGAGCGUCUUGACUCCAAAUUCAUGCUCCCUAACAAGCUUACUACUGCUGAACGCAAGAAACUGAUCCCAUCAAUCAAAAGGAUUAACACCUUAUUAGGGAACGGCUUAACCGGAGUUGACUUGACCCGCUGCUGGAUCUCAUGGCGGGUUAUCCCUCUAAGCCGCUGAUCAAAACUGAUGUGUGAAUAUGGUGGAGGCCCAAAUGAUUCUCUUCAUCACAGCUUCGUCCAAUUACCCGAAGAAGAUAUUGUUGCAAUGUCAACCCUUCUGGUAAACGGCAAAUACGAAGACUACAGUAAAGUCGGGUUAAACCCCUUCUGCAAACUUAACCCGGCGCCAGAGGUAAAGAACCUCUGAUCUCCUUUGUAUUUUUCCCAGUCGUGUUAAGUACCUGCCUGAUGUUCCAUCUUUUUUUAUUCCUCUGCAGGCCAGAUCUGAUUUCUGGAAAGCCAAGUACGACCAUGAAGUCGCCAAGAAGGCUAGAGCCGCUGCUAUCAACACUAAGAAAACGACCCGGCAGUCCAAGAAGAGAAAAAGUAAUGCUGAGGAUAUGAUGAAGCUUAAUGAUACUUCUGAGUCAGAGGUAGCCCUUGACACCCUUCUCCAAUUUUUUAAUAAUCUUAUUAACACUAAUCAUUACCAGGAUGACACUGGGGCCAGUCACGCCGUGGAAGAAGAGGUAACUAUUCCCUCCGAGUCAGCCCAUUUGCCAAGACAGAAACUUCGAGUCGUAACCCGGAAAGUAAGGUUUUCACACCCUUUGGCAUAUUUGGACCCUCACUUUCUUUUGAAAAAAUAGCAACAUGAGAGCCGCCGUCAAGCCCGGAACAAAGAUGAACCGCCUGUUGUUCUUCAACAAACUCCUCAAAAGCGCCGAAAUGAGGUUUAAUUUUUUGUCUUUGACUUUUUGUUUAAUGGAUCCUUUCCCUUGCAUUACUUAACUUUAUUUUAUCUUUGCAGGAGGUGUCUCGCUCUUCUGGCGACUCGUCUCAGACCCAAUUUUCAGCCUUUAAAACUGCCCCUGGGUAAGGAAAGAAUCCUCUUUCCUCCGUGUUUUUCAAACUAUAUCUUUAUACUGACAGUCCUAUAACAUUUCUCUUAGUGGUCAAGCUAAGUCCAAGAAAGCAAAGGUAACUAAGCCGGUGGAAGACCCGCUAGUUCCUGCCUGUCGUGGUUUUGUAACGGCAGAUGUCCUAGAGAAAGGACUUAGUCAUGGAGCCAUCGCGACGGGUUAUCUUGAAGGGGUUAAAGCGAACACGGGGACGCGAGAGAGUUUAUACUAGUUCGGCCCCUUCGAUGAAGGUAAAAGCCUAUGUCUAGUUGUGAUGGGAUUGAUGGGGUUUCGAUGACUAGGGAGCAAACAAGCUUCACCUAUGUCUCGAGUUGUUGUCUCUUGUCUGAACCGCCGCCGGGUCGUCCCCUUAUAUACACGGGUGAUGCCCGUCGGUUCACAGAUUCCCAAUACCGGCUCAUAGAUGUGUCCGGUUUGGUCUCUACUUAUUCCUAACUUACAAUACAAGUUACAUACCAACGCCGGUUUACGGCUACAGGCCUUGAACCGACUAUGGGCCUUGAGCCCUCAUCUGCCUUCUUGGGUUUCAACAUAGUUAACUACUGAAGAAGUUAACCCGGCCCAGAUAGGCCGGUUUACGCCCAGUAGUGAUAUCCUCAACAUUAGGCCCCAGAUUGAUUUGAACAGGUUCAUGUCAAUCCUUAGCAAAAAUCUUCAUCUUCAACACCUUCUUGUAGUUUGUUGAAUCGCCGUGACGUCAUCUUCUUUGGUCGUCGUAAACCGGCGUGACGUCACCUGUUAUAAAGAAACUUAUCCAUGAUACCUUUUUUGUUUAAUAGGUCUGCGACAAUCGAGGCGAUAGCUCCGUUUCCAGACCCACGGUUCCUUGAUUUUCGCGCCUGACACAUGCCCCUUGCCUUAUAAAUAAGACCAAAGGGUCAUUUCUUUUUCCCCUUCGUGCCCUUCUGCUUCGUCUUCCCCGCAUCGUCCAGCUUCGGAGCUCCGCCGCCGUCGAUGACUUCUGCUCCAACCUUGGCCGCUGCAUCACCCUGAUUGUACCAGAGCAUCGCGGCGACCUUCUGUUUCUUCCUCGGCUCCGUUGAGUUCUUCACCUUUUACUCCGUAGAUCCGCUCUAGGGUUUCCAAGUUCUUCAGUGUUCAUCGUCUGCUUCGUACUCAUAUGAUAGAUCCUAGAUGAACCUGUGAACCUUUGCUCUGUGUAGCGUUAGUUCUUAGCAUCCGCCUUUACUUAUAUGCCUCGAGACCAUAGAUCUACCUGUAUCUCUGCCCAUUGAUUCGGUACUGUUCUUUUUUGAACCUUGAAUAUUUUCCUUCUUUUCUGAACUUGCUUCAGAUCCGUCGCUGUAGAGAAAUCUUGUGAAAUCUGUUUCUGUACAUUUAUCUAUCCGCAAUCUCAACUGUUUCAAUGCUUAGAUCCGGUGGUUUAACUUUGUAGAAAAAUUGCCAAACCGGUAUAUACCAUUAGUCUCCUUGUUGAACCGCCAGAUGUUGUUGCUUCAUAAAACUCCGGUUUAGAUAGAGUUGUCUCCGGUUUAACAUUGUACAUACCAGUGCACUUUAAUAAAUGCAUUCUUGAACCGGAAUUACCUAUCUUGUAGAUUUCAUCAUGGCCAAGCAAGUAUAUGAGUGCAACUGGGUUCCUUCUCGCGUCAGAGAGACUCAACUGAAUAAUUUAGUCCUGAUCGGCGCUUUAGGCAGCAAAAACACCAUCCAUUGGAGAGCUCCUGGCAAAGAAUGCCCUCCCACACCUCAAGAAGGAGAGGUCAUCGUUUUCAUAGAUCACUUAGCUCGGGGCUUUAAGCCGCCCGGUUCUAAAUUUUACCGGGACGUUUUAGCCGAUUUUCAACUCCACCCACAAGACACUGGUCCCAACUCUGUUACAAACAUGUGUCAAUUCCAAGUGCUCUGUGAGGUGUUUUUUCAAGAGGAGCCCACAGUGGAGUUGUUCAGAGACUGUUUCCAUCUAAACCGCCGUACUGAGUUUUCUGACGGUUCCAAUACGGAAUUGGGUGGUGUGGCGAUUCAAAAAAGGAAAGAGGUCACAUACCCUCACGCCAAGCUGCACAGCCACCCCAAAGAGUGGAAUCAAUUAUGGUUCUAUUGCAGAGACACCUCCCCUGUUGGUGAAAAUCCUUUGCCUGGCUUUCGUCCGGAGCGGCUUAGCAAUACACACCCCUUUCCGCAAAGGUUGACUGCCAAGGAGAGAAGCAAAUACGCUCCUCAACUAUCCAAUCUCAGAGCCUUCAUGGCCAAUGGUUUAACAGGAGUUGAUCUCACUCGCUGUUGGAUAUCGUGGAGCAUACUGCCCCUUAGUCAGCGCUCCGGUUUGAUGUGCGAGUAUACUGGCAGUGUUGAUGACCCAUUGCGACAUGCUAACAUCCAGCUUACCGAUGAAGAAAUCACAGAGGCUGUGAAUAAAAUGCUGAAUGAACCAGAACACGUCUGUGCUCGAACCGGCCUGCUUCCCUUCCGUACCACCAACAAACCGCCAGCUAUAAGAGUUUGAUUGUUCUUUGUUCUGAACCUGUUAUUGAUAUAUCUGGUGAUUGUUUAAUAUCAAUGCCUGUUUAAACAGAGCAAUGAUCCGUUUUGGAGCAAGAAACUGCCACAGGAGAAACCAGAAAAACCAGACAAACUGGAAAGAUCAAUCCGGCAAAAGACUAAAGCUGUGAAGAAGACUACCCACAGGAAAAGAACCACUGCAUCCUCUAAUCCGGCCGCUGAUGACGAUGUGGGUAACCCGGACCUUGAGGUAGAACUUGAUUCACUUGGCUUAUUUUUCAUGCGCCUUAUUGAUGAUGAUAUUUGUCAGGAUGAUGCCGAAGCCAGUCAUGCUGAUGUUGCAGAGGUAAUUAUUCUUUCCUCCGAUUCAGAUCCUUUGCCUUCACUAAAAAUCCGUCAGGCAAACCGAAAGGUUAAAUUUUCUCAUCCUCUUGCUUACUUGGAUCCCAAAUUUCUUAUGAAGACCCAACAGCACGAAGCUCGCCGCACGACCCGACAUAGUGGCCAGGUAGUUACCUCCGCCGGUUUACCAAAUAGUCCGAUUCGGAAACGCCAUUCAGAGGUCUCUAAUUUGCUUGUUAGUGCUUGUCCUAAAAUGGGCUGUUUUCGUCAACCUCUUAAUCCGUCUGACUCCGAUUAUCAGGUCACUUCCCAUUCAUCAUCUGGCGAGUCAUCAGCUACCCAGCUGCCGCAGCUCAAAAUGGUGCUUGGGUAAGCCAUACUUAUCAUAAUGCUUCUGGUGUAUUACUUUGUAGCAUAUACUAUACUGACCUUUGUUACUCCUUUCAGGGCCAAGCCUAAGCCAAGCAAGAAGGCUCGCCUAGAUAAGGCGGCUGAAGAAGAUGCUAUUCCUGAACCGGACAGAGUACUCAACCCUGAAGCGACCAUCCGUGAGGAUGUGCCAAACGACCCACCACCACAAGAUGAUGAUUUUAUUACUGAAGAGAGACAUGUUGAUACCUCCGGUCCUGUUGACCAGCCCAGAAGCCCCAUCCGGAUUGAAAAUCCACCAGUCCAUCCAAGUCUACUGAUAAACUGACGUCCCCAAUGCAAACCGGCGACGCCAAGGAUGAUGAAGUUGUUAUUACUGGCAUUGGCCAUACAGAGCCAAGCAAUCCUGUCGCUUUGUCUAAACAUACUGCCAAGGAAGAAUUUGCUGCCUUUGGCAAGGGCAAGUGGAAUGUUGAUCUGGCAACUUACGCUGCUCUGAACGCCCAAGACAUCCAUUCCGGCUAUCUGAACCGGCUAUAUACUAGUCGUGACUAUGAAGCCGGUCUGGUUAACAUGAUGAAAUAUAAAUAUGAGGUAACUUCCAUAUGCUCUUUCCUGCUUGUAUGCUUCAAUUCUUGCUGACUCGCCUAGCCCCCAAGGACCGGUUUGUAAUCUUCUUUCAAACCGGGACUUACUAACAUAAAUCUUAAAGCCUCGAAAUUCGCUGAUGUAGCCCCCAAGGGCUGAUUCAACUUAGUGUAGUUAAACCGGGACUUAAGUAAUUAAUAUCGCUGCAUCAGAACUUAUUUGAACAAAUAGCCAUUAGCCCCCAAGUGCCAAGUUGAAUACUUGUAUUGAGCUUGGGACUUUAUUAUCAAGUGAAAUAUAAGAUCAAAUAGGCAUUAGCCCCCAAGCGCCAAGUGCAUAACUUGUUAUGUGGUUGGUGCUUCAAUUCUUGCACUGCUUGCUGAAUCAUAUAACUGUCCGUAUGCAGGCUGAGCUGAAGACAAAAGAGACCCAAAUCGCCGAUCUCCAAGAAAAUCUGAAGUCCCAAUAGACUGAAACCUCAAAAGCAAAAGAGGAGUUGUUCCAGCGCCUUAAGCGUCAUGGAACAGCUUAAGAAGGAUUUCAAGAAGGAGCGGGCGGAUUGGGAUAUUGAAAAAUCCGCUUUAACCAAACGAGCAGAAGACGCCGAGGCUGCACUAAAACCGGUGGUGGAUGAACUGACCAGCAUAAAGCGACACGUGCAUGCCAUGACCGCUGCUAUCUUUGGUAAGCCGGUUGGAUUUCUGAAUUGAUUCCGCCGUCUUACAGAGCUACCGGUUUGUUAACCCUUUGUGAUAUUUCAGGGACACGCAUUGGUCAUUUGGGGUCAGAUGUGCGGAAGAAAUUGAAAGCCGCCUAUACGUUGAUCGAACAACUGUACACUGGUGCACAGCGGAUCAUGUGUACUGCACCCCACAACAAGCCGGCACCCACUUUGAUUCAGGACACUCUGCAGAAACUGUCGGUGCUUCCUGCCCGGUUUGAAGAGCUGAAGAAAUCUGCUGCUCGAACCGGUGCGAUCAAUGCCUUAAUCCGGGCAAAAGCUUGGGUGCCGGAUGUUUAUCCUAUUGAAGAGGCUCAGGGCUAUCCCAGCUUGAAGGAAGACGGGUCAGAGUUUAGUGAAGCGGAUCUGCGAGCAAUAAACCGGGAGGUGCAUCCGCUAGCUUGUCAAUUGGCUGAAGAAGCAGACUUGUCUCAUUAUCAAGCCCAAUAUGACAAUCAAAACAAGCGAGUAGCUGCACCAAUUCAUGAAGCGAAAAAUCUUAUCCCUCCAAUCCAUAAGCAUACUUACGCUCCCGAUAUUGAACCGUCGUUGCUGAUCCAUGAUGAAGCUAUCUUUCGAGCAUUAAUGGGAAUCGGUUGGACAACUGUUGAUUUCCAGCCACUUGGUAGAGAAACUGAAGUUGAAGCGGCGCGGGAUGACCCACAACCAUCAGGCCAGGCUGGUGACCAAGCUUGAACCGGCAGCUGGUUUAAACUUCUUCUCCUUUGAAAAACAAUGAUCUUGUUUUGGGCACCGUGUUGCCUUGUAAUAGGCUAGCAGAUACUCUUGAUCUUAAUAUGCCUUCGUGCAUAACCACUGCAACUUGUGCUUUCUUUGGGUGAUGAAUUUUCCAAAGUAUUUUCUGCAACAUAAAAAAUCUUAAAGUGCCACCGCGGUUGUACCGUCAGGCGGAGUAUGAUGUCUGCAUAUAUAAAAUCAAAAUAUCUGAAAUUUAAGCAUUGAGAUACAUAAUACCUGCCAUCGUUGGGCAUGAAGUUGGCUUAGCCAAUCUUGAAGUGGAGGUUUCAUAAACCCACACUGUUGGAGGAGAUAGCAGCUCCUAUAUAUAUAUAUAAUGCCGGUUUACCAUGUAAACCGUGCCGGGUUAUAAAACACCGUGUUACUCCGUAAUAGGAUGUUAACAAAAAAUCAAACCGAGCAAAUAGUCUCCGGAUUAAAAAUGGACCGUGUUCCGUCAAUUGACAGUGUGAACCGGUUUAAAAAACGCAACAAAAAGAAAGAAAUAUCUAUCAAAGAAAAUUGUGAACCAAAGGCAAUGAUAAAACCAUUUGCAAAAAGAGGCUUAUUUGAGCCGAUCAGAUGGCGUUACCAUGGUCGGACAUGACCAAGCUCCCGAUAGGUGUAGCUAUGGUUCAAGUCAGCCAGGUCCCCAAAUGAAACCGUGGCAUUUAUGCCGAUCAAGAGGCAUGGCAAUGGUUCGGGUUCGACCAAGCCCCCAAGUGAUUCUGUGGCCUUAGGCCGAUCAAGAGGCGUGACUGGUUCAGACGUGACCAAGUCCCCAUGUGAUCUGGUGGCUCUCGCCUAUCAAGAGGUGUUGCAUUAGUUCGGACACGACCAAGCCCCCAAGUGAUAUAACAUGAUGCUUUUGAAAAGCUAACUCAAGGGGUAAACCGGAGGCCGCUUUAGAACAACUCCGUGUAACCACACAUGAUGUAAAAGGACAGAUACCCCGCUUUAGCUGAGGUUCCGGUUUAUUAUAUUUAAUCAUAAUAUAUACAUUGUCGUAAUAUGUACAUAAGUAGAGCCAAUGGCUCAGGUAUAGUAAGGCUGAAGAUGAGCUAUGUUCCACGGCCUGUUGGUCUCCUCCUCUGAUGUACGUGAGUCUUUAUGCUCUCGAAUAUCGAUCAGAUAGUAUGACCCGUUAUGCAGAUUCUUGCUGACCACGAAAGGUCCCUCCCAAGGUGGGGAUAGCUUAUGCAUAUCAGUGUGAUCUUGGAUGAGCCGAAGAACCAAAUCUCCUUCCUGAAAGGUUCUGGUUCUGACUCGGCGACUGUGAUAACGAUGAAGAUCCUGUUGGUACAUCGCCGAGCGGGCAGCUGCUAUGUCACGUUCUUCAUCCAACAGGUCCAAAGCGUCUUGCCGUGCUGUCUCAUUGUCCGCUUCAACAUAAGCCGCCACACGAGGUGAGUCAUGACGGAUAUCACUCGGGAGAACCGCCUCCGCUCCGUAGACCAUGAAGAACGGCGUGUAUCCUGUUGAUCUGUUGGGUGUAGUAUUGAUGCUCCAUAACACAGAUGGUAGCUCUUCUACCCAACAACCCGGCAUUCUCUGUAGAGGAACCAUAAGCCGGGGCUUGAUGCCUCUCAAGAUCUCUUGAUUAGCCCUUUCUGCUUGACCAUUGAACUGUGGGUGUGCCACUGAUGAAACGUCAAGCCGGAUGUGCUCCCGUUCGCAGAACUCCUUCAUGGCACCCUUGGACAAACUGGUACCAUUAUCUAUGAUGAUAUUGUGUGGAAAGCCAAACCGGAAAAUCACUUUUUUGAUGAACUGAACCGCCAUGGCCGCAUCACAAUUGCUAACAGGUUCUGCUUCCACCCACUUUGUAAACUUGUCAACCGCCACCAGGAGGUGGGUCUUCUUAUCUUUGGACCUUUUGAAAGGCCCAACCAUAUCCAGCCCCCAAGUCGCAAACGGCCAAGUAAUUGGAAUCAUUCUCAAUUCUUGAGCCGGCACAUGAGCACGUCUUGAAAACUUUUGGCAACCGUCACAUCGUCUGACCAGAUCCUUCGCAUCAGCAUGAGCAGUUAACCAAUAGAAGCCAUGACGAAAUGCUUUAGCUACCAAAGAUUUUGAACCAGCGUGGUGACCACAAUCUCCUUCGUGGAUCUCACGCAAAAUUUCACAGCCUUCUUCAGGAGACACACAACGUUGAAACGCCCCUGAUACACUGUAAUGAUGCAACUCACCAUUGACAAUAGUCAUGGACUUGGACCGCCGGAUUAUCUGUCGGGCCAGAGUCUCAUCCUCUGGUAACUCGCCCCGGUUCAUGUAUGCCAGGUAAGGAAGCGUCCAAUCCGGAAUGACAUAAAGAGCUGCCACCAAUUGAGCCUCUGGAUCAGGAAUAGCCAAAUCCGCUUCACCAGGGAGCUUGACUGACGGGUUGUGUAGUACAUCCAGAAAAACAUUGGGCGGGACCAGUUUGCGCUGAGAGCCCAGCCGGCUUAAAGCGUCCGCUGCUUCAUUCUUCCGUCCGUCCACGUGGUCCACCUGAUAGCCUUUAAAGUGACCUGCAACAAUAUCCACCUCACGACGAUAUGCUGCCAUGAGUGGGUCCUUGGAAUCCCAAGUGCCAGAUACUUGUUGAGCCACGAGGUCCGAGUCACCGAAGCACUUAACUCGACUUAGAUUCAUCUCCUUAGCCAUCCGGAGGCCAUGGAGCAAGGCUUCAUACUCAGCUGCAUUGUUAGUACAAGGGAACAUCAAGCGGAGAAAGUAACAAAACUUAUCAACUCAUGGGGAAGUUGAUACGACUCCAGCCCCUGAGCCUUCCAAUUGCCUGGAUCCGUCAAAAUGGAUGGUCCAAUAUGUGUGAUCCGGCUUUUCUUCAGGUGAUUGCAUUUUCGUCCAAUCAUUGAUGAAAUCAACAAGUUCUUGACACUUAACCGCCAUCCGAGGCACAUACUUCAAUCCGUGCGGCCCAAGCUCUAUAGCCCAUUUGGCAAUCUGGCCAGUCGCUUCCCGGUUCUGGAUGAUAUCCCCCAAAGGAGCAGAACUGACCAUCGUAAUUGGGUGCCCUUGGAAGUAUUGCUUAAGCUUCCGGCUUGCCAUAAAAACUCCGUACACCAGCUUCUGCCAAUGCGGAUACCUUUGCUUGGACUCAAUGAGUACCUCACUGAUAUAAUAGACCAAACAUUGAACCGGAUGCUCCUUACCUGCCUCCUUUCGCUCCACCACAAUAGCCACGCUGACCGCACGAGCAUUAGCAGCAACAUAUAGUAGUAACGGCUCCUUGUCAAUGGGAGCGGCGAGCACAGGCGAAUUGGCCAAUUGUUGCUUUAAGUCCUCAAAUGCUUCAUCAGCAGCGGAACUACAGACGAACUGAUCCGUCUUCUUCAACAUCUGAUACAAAGGUAUUGCCUUCUCACCAAGGCGGCUGAUAAACCGGCUUAACGCAGCAAUCCGGCCUGCCAGGCGUUGAACUUCAUUGAUACACUUCGGUUUAGCCAGGGAGGUGAUGGCUGUGAUCUUCUCCGGAUUAGCCUCAAUUCCCCUGUUGGACACCAGAAAACCCAAUAACUUGCCCGCCGGUACACCAAAGACACACUUGUCCGGAUUAAGCAUCAUCUUGUACGUCCUCAGGUUAUCAAAGGUUUCCUUCAAAUCGUCAACCAGAGUCUCCUGCUCCCUGGACUUAUCCACGAUAUCAUCCACGUAAGCAUGUACAUUACGGCCAAUCUUCUUGUGAAGACAAUUUUGUACAUUGAUAAGUUGCCUGGGCACUCUUGAGCCCAAAGGGCAUAGACACAUAGCAGAAGGCUCCAAAGGGAGUUAUGAAUGCCGUCUUCUCCUGGUCCUUAACUGCCAUUUUGAUCUGUUGAUAGCCAGAAUAUGCAUCCAAAAAACUUAAACGCUCACAACCCGCCGUAGCAUCAAUAAUUUGAUCAAUACAGGGGAGGGCAAAAAGAUUUGCUGGACAAGCCUUAUUAAGAUCUGUGUAAUCCACACACAUGCGCCAGGUGCCGUUUUUCUUAAGGACUAGCACCGGAUUGGCAAGCCACUCAGGGUGAAAAACUUCAACAAUAAAACCAGCUGCUAAGAGCCUGGCUACCUCUUCUCCAAUCUCCUUGCGUCUUUCUUCGUUAAACCGGUGGAGGAACUGUUUCACCGGUUUGUAUUUAGGAUCCACAUUAAGGGUGUGCUCAGUGAGUUGCCUCGGUACACCUGGCAUGUCAGAGGGCUUCCAUGCAAAAAUGUCCCAAUUCUCACGGAUGAACUCGAUGAGCGCGCUUUCCUAUUUAGGAUCCAAGUUGGCACUGAUGCUGAACUACUUGGACGAAUCGCCAGGUACGAAGUCAACAAGUUUAGUUUCUGCUGCCGAUUUGAACUUCAGGGCUGGAUCAUGCUCCGUAGUUGGCUUCUUUAAUGGAGUCAUGUCCGCCGGAUCAACAUUGUCCUUAUAAUACUUCAGCUCCUCGGUGGCACAAACCGACUCUGCGUAGGCCGCAUCUCCUUCCUCGCACUCCAAAGCGAUUUUACAGCUUCUGUGAACCGUUAUUGUCCCCUUGUGACCUGGCAUCUUGAGUUGCAAAUACACAUAACAGGGUCGUGCCAUAAACUUGGCGUAGGCCGUUCGCCCAAACAGGGCGUGAUAUGGACUUUGGAUUUUCACCACUUCAAACGUCAGUGUCUCCGACCUGGAAUCAUGAUCAUCUCCAAAGGCCACUUCCAGAGCUAUCUUACCAACAUGAUAUGCUGACUUGCCAGGUACCACACCGUGGAACACCGUAUUAGACGGUUUGAGAUUUUUAUCUGUUAGUCCCAUACGAUGAAAGGUCUCAUUAUACAAGAUAUUAAUGCUGCUCCCUCCAUCCAUGAGCACCUUGGUGAACUUGUAACCUCCCACUCGAGGCGCCACCACCAGAGCCAACUGACCCGGAUUAUCAACCUGGGGAGGGUGAUCCUCUCUGCUCCAUAUGACUGGUUGUUCAGACCAGCAUAGAUAAUGGGGCACGGCCGGUUCAAUAGAGUUGACUGCCCGCCUCUAAACCUUCCGGUCUCGCUUGUCCAAGCUAGUGAUGAAGACAUGGUACUGCCCACUAUUCAACUGCUUUGGGUUGCUCUGGUAACCUGAUUGUUGCUGCUGUUGGUUGUAACCACCCUGGUUGUUCUGAUUAUUUUGAUUAUUAUGUCCGCCUGGAUUACCAUUAAAUCCUGAACCGGAAUUUCCUCCACCGUAACCCGGCCCGGAUCCUGAGCCACCGCCGGAGCCGUGAUCAUACCGGAAAGCAUUAGAAUUCUUGAACUCCUGCAUAAUGAAGCAAUCCUUCCAAAGGUGGUUUGCUGGCACCUCCUUCGUUCCAUGUCUUGGACAGGGCUGGCUCAGUAGAUAAUUUAGGCGAUUCGGGUUAGGGUUGGGUGCUCCAUUGCGAUUUGGUGGUUUACCCCUGCGUCGCUGGCCCUUGUCCUGUGCAUUGGUGUUAGCCACAAAGUCCAUGUUACCAUCUGCUUUACGCUUGCCUCCGCCACCAUUGCCUGCCAAGUGAUGCUGCUGACCUUUGGAGUUGCUAUUCCUCUUUCCCUUCCCUGCCUGGUCAUGAUCAGAUUCGGGAUCCUUGGUACUAUCAGAAUCAGCAUACUUUACCAAAGCGGCCAUGAGGGUCCCCAUGUCAGUGCAAUGGCGCUUCAUCCGUCCCAACUUCAGCUUUAGAGGCCCAAACCGGCAGUUGCCUUCUUGGGUCAAGACUGCGAUGUCAGCGUUGAUGCGUUCUGAUGAAUGCAACACUUGUGAGACCCGGCACACCCAAUGAGUCGUCGAUUCUCCUUCCUCCUGGACACAGGCAGCUAAGUCCACUAUCGACAUAGGCUGCUUAUAUGUAUCCUUGAAAUUACUGAUAAACCGGGCUCGUAAUUGGGCCCAUGAACUAAUAGAGUUGGCCGGUAAGCUUUUUAACCAAGUGCGGGCCGUUCCUUCAAGCAUCAUGGUGAAGUACUUCGCACAUGCCGCAUCACCCACAUCAAGCAUCUCCAUGGCCAUCUCAUAGCUCUCCACCCAUGUCUCUGGGGGUUGAUCCGCCGUGUAAUUUGGUACCUUGCGCGGGCCCUUGAAAUCCUUGGGCUGGCGCACAUUGCGUAAAGCGGGGACAAGGCAAGGCACCCCCAAAUAGCUAGAAGUAACACCGGGUUUGACCGAAAUAGUUGGACGAACCGGUGUCAGCUGCCGAGCCUGAUAUUGUGCGGCUAACUCGGCCUCCCUGCGCGCUCGGGCCCGGUCCACCACUUCCUGAGCGUUGUCAGCACCACCUGCUGGAUUGUUGUCAUGGGGUGCUCCACGUCGUUCAUUACUUGAUACUGCUGGUUCAUCCAUACGCCUGCUAUAGCUCCGGCUUGGACGAGGGGUCGAGUGGAUCCGGUCGCGGCUGUAUGAGUAUGCUUCCUGUUGGACCAAAGCUGUCCUAAGAAGCUCUUUGACCCGUCGUGUCUCUACCGCCUGCGGCGAGUCACCUUCAAUUGGAAUGGCCUCCAGCCGAGCAGCAGCGGCAACGAGAUUGUCCAUUGGGUUGGAGUAGUGACCCGGAGGUGUUGAAACAGCCUGAGGUAUAACCGUGUUUUGACGAGGCGGAUUCAUCGGACGGGGCUGAACCAGUGCACCGGUCCCCAGAGCUUCCGGCUGGUUUUCCUCUAGCGGAUUACUGGUUCCUGCUCCUUUGGUGUUGAAAAGGUCUCUGGCCUCGAAAACCGAAGGCAAACAGGAUCGGUACUUCCUCUUCAUGACUUCAUGCGACGCGUUCUGGUCCAACAUGAGCCUGUAGGCUUGUGCGUCUAAAUCGGCCCGCUCCGUGGUCAUCCUGGCACUCUCAGCUGCUAGGUCCGCCUUGGCCUGGGUGAUCUGUUCCUUCACCUUCGCAAUCUCCACGUUGUGGGCUUCCUGAUCCGCAGGAUUAGCUUCUGCCAUAAGCACAGCCAAUGCAUCAAAUAGAUCUGAUAGAACUUGAGCCGACUGGCAUGCAGAGCUUCCUGCCCCGGCAGCUGUCGCCUCUACUGAACCGGAGGUUAUUGGCGUAGUGGUCGAAGAAUGAAGCGCUGCUUGUGUGCCGGCCAUGAAUAUUCCAACUCGGUUGGGUAGAUCAGAGUUGUCCGGAAUACUGUCGCCAUCGGAACAGCCCCCAAUCCAGCCAUCUUGUAGCUGAUAUAGAGAUUCGGUUUCUCCGGUUGAUGACUCGUCGCCGGAAUAAACGACGGUCUCGCCGCGAGAUUCCGAUCCAUCCUCGUAACUUCCUUCAUGGAUGACUCCCACGAAGGCACGCUUCACGGCCGGUUUAACCUGGGCGGACCGCGCACGCUGAGCCGUUUCGACGAGGUCGGUGCAGAUUUCCGGCUGAGGGCCCAGUUCACCGAUCUUGCCGACGAAAAGGUGUAUGCCACCAAAGGGGACCCGGUACCCGUACCCAACUGAGCCAGCCUCGGGGCCCCAGCCUGCAUCAUCGAUGUAGAGCUUGCCGCGACGACUCUUAGUCAUCCAGCCCAGAGCGUAGCCCUUGAGUCCUUCAAAGCGGCCCUCCAAGAACUUGAAACCAUCAUGUGAUAGCCGCAUGGUGGGCGCCAACUGUCGUGGUUUUGUCACGGCAGAUGUCCUAGAGAAAGGACUUAGUCAUGGAGCCAUCGCGACGGGUUAGCUUGAAGGGGUUAAAGCGGACACAAGACGCAAGAGAGUUUAUACUAGUUCGGCCCCUUCGAUGAAGGUAAAAGCCUACGUCUAGUUGUGAUAGGAUUGAUGGGGUUUCGAUGACUAGGGAGCAAACAAGCUUCGCCUAUGUCUCGAGUUGUUGUCUGUUGUCUGAACCGCUGCCGAGUCGUCCCCUUAUAUACACGGGUGACGCCCGUUCGUUCACAGAUUCCCAAUACCGGCUCAUAGAUGUGUCCGGUUUGGUCUCUACGUAUUCCUAACUUACAAUACAAGUUACAUACCAACGCCGGUUUACGGCUAUAGGCCUUGAACCGACUAUGGGCCUUGAGCCCUCAUCUGCCUUCUUGGGUUUCAACAUAGUUAACUACUGAAGAAGUUAACCCGACCCAGAUAGGCCGGUUUAUGCCCAGUAGUGAUAUCCUCAACACUGCCCCUGAACCGGUCAUGCCAUCUUCUCCUCUAUUAACUGAAGCUCCAGGAGACCCGCCUGUCAACGCAUAAGUAAAUCCUCCUGAGCCGUCGGUUGACGAUACCACCAUUAACCCUUCUGCCACUGGACCAUCCAGCUCGGCUAACCCGCCAUCACCGUCUGCUCAAGACGUUCUGAUCAUUGGGAGCCGCUUCAUUGAGUCGGGGAAUCCCACCGUGUUGGCUCGUCAUACUGCGAAACAAGAGGCGCUAGAGAAACAAAAAGUGCGUUUUGAUAUUUCGCAUUAUGACCAUCUGAAUGCCAAUGACAUAUUAUCUGGCUAUCUCAGCCAUGUGCACUCCAGCCGUGACUCAGAGAUCGAAAUGGUCAAACAGUUGCAGCUGAAGUACGAGGUAUGUUCUUCCGACUUACUUAUAUUCUGCCAGCCCCCAAGUCUUCAGAUUAUGAGACAACCGGAAUGAUCUUUAGACUUUAUGAUAUAGGCUUAGACUUUAACUUUAGAUUUUCCUGGAGUCCAAUAAAAUAGAACAAAGCUUCACCUGUAGUCCCCAAGGGCAAGUUCAUUUGACCAUAAAUGAGCCGGUUCUUUGAAUUUUCAUAACUAUCUUGUAUCAAACUCAACAAAUACUGUAGUCCGGCUUACACUUGAGAUACUUGCUGAAUAUCAUACAUUAGCCCCCAAGUUCCAGGUGUUGUUACUUUGUAAAGUACUUGGGACUUAAAGUAUGUUAGCGUCAUUUGAAAGUGUUUUGGCAUACAUUAGCCCCCAAGUGUCAAGUGGUUUUGCAGCGCAAAGUACUUGAGACUUGAAUCUUCUAUUUUUUAACCUUAAUUGAAAUCUUGACUCAUCUGGGUAUGUUUCGUAGAAUGCCUUAUCUGAACUGAGCUUGCAAUUAACUGAUGCGAAGACCCGGCUGGUGGAUCAGGAGGCAGAAAUCAAGUCUGCUGACUCCAAAUUGCAAUUAAGUCUAUCCGAGACAGAAAAAUUAAAAACCAGCUUUACUGCCAAGAAGAAAACCUGGGCUGAAGAAAAAACGUUGCUGACACAACGCGCCGAGAAAGCUGAAGCAGCCCUUGAAGAGGUUACAACGGAGCUGACCGGUUUAAAGGACCGGGUGUCUCAAUUGGUGUUCGCCAUCUUUGGUAAGUCAUCCGUACUAACUUUUCUUACCUUCUUUUGAUCCAGAAUGCAAACAGCUAGCUGACCCUUUGUGUUUCAAAAUACUUGCAGGCCCACGAAGCUAGAAUCUGAGUCAAGACAACGUGACGAAGCUGAAGGUGGUUUAUACCUUAGUAGAGCAGUUGUACAUUGACGCACAACGAGCACUUGCCGCUAUCUCUCCUGCCAAUCAAGGACCCAACCGGCUCAGCGAUGUCUUAAAGAAGCUGUCAAUCUUACCCACCAGGUUCCAAGAAGUCAAGCGCUCAUGUGCCAGAGCCAGGGCUUUGACUACCCUAAGUCGCUCCAAGGCUUGGGUGCCAGAUCUAGACCCGGCAGAUAUAGCCAGAGGGUACCCCACAGUAAUGGAAGACGGGUCACUGUUUGAACAGGAUGACUUUGUUGCUUGUGUGAGGGAGGUGCGACCUCAGACCACCAUUCUUGGAGAUGAAACAAAUAUCGAUAAAUACCAGCCGGGUUUUGACUUGGACAAUAAGAAGAUGGCGACUCCCUCCUACAAAGCCGACCUUAUCCCGCCAGUUCGUCAGCAUACAUUUGCUUCGGAUAUUGAUCCAGCCGGCUUGAUUGAUCAAGAAGCAGAAUUUACUGCUAUAGACGGUUUUGACUGGUCAAAACUAACUUCCAAUUAGCAGAAGGCAGUGAGCCGGCGAGGGAGGAGUGAAGACCAUCUUCAUGGGUUUUUUAAAAGCCUUGUAAUAGAUUAGCUAUGAAAACACUGCAAAAUUUGCCUAUGCCAUCGCGCAUAACACACCGUGUGUGCUUCUGUGUUUGUUGAUGUCAAUAUAUGCAUCACAUUUAUGGUUAUCCCUGUAAUGUUUCCGCUUUGUUCCUAUAGAUUAAAGUAAAAAAACUUGCUUGGCGGCUUAGUACCGAACGGGUCAGAACACUCGGUUUAUAGCCAAUAUUUUUAUCAUAGUAGAAAACAGAACUAGACGUACCAAGGUUGAAAUAACCUUUGAUUAAUACAGAAGGAAAUUGUUCAUAAACAAUAGCCAUACCUGUAUCUUUGACGUCCGAACCACCGGUUUAUAUGACCCGGGUGAUGAGGUUGAUAAUCAAGUAUUUGCGGGAAGUCAAUGCUUCUGAAUACCUGAUGAUUAUCAUGCCCUGGCGGCCUGUUGUCAAAUAGUCAAGCCGGCAAAGAGACCAUGAUUGAUUAUUUUGAAAUUGAGACAACAAAAACCAAGAAGACAAAUAACAGGUUGUAAACAAAAUUAACCUUGUAAAUAAAGGUUGGGGGUUUUCUGAUUCGAAUACGAUCAAUAAACCGGACCAAAGGGGUUAAGCUAAGAUUCGAAUACGAUCGUAUAGCCCCCAGUGGCUUUGGCGUUGCCCCGAUCAAGAGGGUACCGACAACUAUAUUCUCUUUUGUUCGAAUACGACCUAUGUUUGAACAGGAAGCCCCCAAAUGACCUUGAGAGGCUUUUAACGACCCUGAUUCGAAUACGAUCCAAGUCGGACCCAAAAGGGGUUAAGCUGUGCUUCGAAUACGAUCAAGAAGCCCCCAAGUGAGUUUGGCUUUGAGCCGAUCAAGAGGGUUACGGCAGCUAUGUUCUCUUUGGUUUGAAUACGACCUAUGUUUGAACAGGAAGCCCCCAAGUGACCUUGAGAGUUUGCAUCUAGAUUCGAAUAUGAUCAUAAGCCGGACCAAAAAAGGUUAGACUUGAUUCAAAUAUGAUCAGCUCCUUAAUAGUCAUUUGAAAAUAGUAGUAAAGAAUAGUAAAGAUGUAUAAUCUUUGAAAAGAAAAGAGACCGGUGGUCCUGCUUUAUUACUUAUCAUAGUAUAUACAACCUCAAAAUAUGUACAUGAUGAGAACCGGUGGCUCAGGUGUAGUAUGGCCGAAGUUGAGCAAUGUUCCACGGCCAGCAGGUCUCCUCUUCCAACUUACGUGAGUCUUUGUGCUCUUGAACAUCAAUGAGGUAAUAUGACCCGUUGUUUAAGUUCUUGCUAACCACAAAGGGUCCUUCCCAAGGUGGGGAUAGCUUGUGUGCAUCUGACAGAUCCUGGAUGAGCCGGAGCACCAGGUCACCUUCUUGAAAAGUCCUGGACUUAACCCAGCGGCUGUGAUAACGACGCAGGUCCUGUUGAUAAAUUGCUGAUCGAGCCGCUGCUAAGUCUCUUUCCUCAUCUAACAAAUCAAGUGCAUCCUGUCUGGCUUGUUCAUUGUUAGCUUCAACAUAAGCCGCCACACGGGGCGAGUCAUGACAGAUGUCACUAGGCAACACUGCUUCCGCUCCAUAAACCAUGAAGAAAGGUGUAUAACCUAUAGACCUGUUAGGGGUGGUGUUGAUACUCCACAACACCGAGGGUAACUCCUCUACCCAACAACCCGGCGUUCAGUGCAAGGGAACCAUAAGCCGGGGCUUGAGACCUUUUAAGAUUUCCUGAUUUUCUCUCUCAGCCUGACCAUUGGAUUGAGGAUGGGCUACAAAAGAAACAUCAAGCCGGAUAUGCUCGCGCUGACAGAAUUCCUCCAUAGCCCCUUGGGAUAGAUUAGUUCCGUUGUCAGUGAUAAUGAUGUGUGGAAAACCAAAACGAAAAAUCACCUUUUUCAUGAACUGAACCGCUAUGGCCGCAUCACACUUACUCACUGCUUCUGCCUCAACCCCCUUUGUGAAUUUGUCAAUUGCCACUAAAAGAUGUGUCUUUUUAUCCUUAGACCUUUUGAAAGGUCCAACCAUGUCAAGCCCCCAAACCACAAAUGAACAAGUGAUGGGAAUCAUCCGCAGCUCUUGAGCCGGCACAUGUGCUCGUCGUGCGAAUUUUUGACAUCCAUCACAUCUACUAACCAGAUCUUCUGCAUCAGCGUGAGCCAUCAACCAGUAAAAACCUUGAUGAAAAGCUUUGGCCACCAGAGAUUUUGGCCCGGCAUGAUGACCACAAUUGCCUUCAUGGAUCUCACGAAGUAUUUCUUGGCCUUAUUUAGGGGAAACACACCGCUGAAACGCUCCAGAGAUGCUGCAAUGGUAUAGUUCUCCCUCAGAAAUCGUCAUUGACUUAGACCGCCAGGUUAUCUGUCGGGCCAAGGUCUCAUCCGCUGGCAGCUUGCCCCGGGUCAUGUAAGCCAAGAACGGCACUGUCCAAUCUGGGAUGACAUGAAGAGCCGCCACCAAUUGCGCCUCCGGGUCAGGAACGGCUAGAUCUUCUUCUGUAAGUAACUUAACAGAUGGGUUAUGUAAAAUAUCCAAAAAGGUGUUAGGUGGUACCGGCUUAUGCUGAGAUCCCAACUGGCUUAAAGCAUUAGCCGCUUCGUUCUUCCUACGGUCAAUGUGCUGCACCUGAUAUCCUUUAAAAUGCCCUGCAACAGCAUCAACUUCACGGUGAUAAGCCGCCAUGAGAGGAUCUUUAGAAUCCCACUAGCCUGACACCUCUUGAGCUACCAAAUCUGAGUCGCCAAGACACCGGACCCGGCUCAGGCUCAUCUCUUUAGCCAUUCGAAGACCAUGGAGCAAUGCUUCAUAUUCCGCUGUGUUGUUAGUGCAAGGAAACAUCAGCCGCAACACAUAACAAAAAUUUUCAUCUCGAGGGGAGGUUAAAACAACUCCAGCCCCCAAGCCUUCCAACUAUCUGGACCCAUCAAAGUGAAUAGUCCAAUAUGUGUUGUCUGCUUUCUCCUCCGGCAUCUGCAUCUCUGUCCAGUCAUUAAUAAAAUCAACCAAUGCUUGAGACUUGAUCAUAGUACGUGGUACAUACUUCAACCCAUGAGAACCAAGCUCAAUGGCCCAUUUGGCGACUCGUCCAGUGGCUUCUUUAUUUUGAAUGAUGUCUCCCAAAGGAGCAGAGCUAACCACAGUGAUCGGGUGACCCUGAAAGUAAUGUUUGAGCUUCCGGCUCACCAUGAACACCCCAUAUACGAGCUUCUGCCAAUGUGGAUAUCUUUGUUUAGAUUCAAUCAACACCUCACUGAUGUAGUAAACCGGCCGUUGAACCAGAUGUUCCUUGCCAACCUCCUUGUGCUCCACCACAAUUCCCACACUAACAGCUCGUGAGUUGGCGGCUACGUAUAACAAUAGCGGCUCUUUCUCAACUGGAGCAGCAAGGACCAGCGGCUCACCAAGCUGUUUCUUCCGAUCCUCAAAAGCAGAGUUUGCAGCAUUGCUCCAAACAAAAUCAUCUAUUUUCUUCAUCAUCUGAUACAAAGGCAUCGCCUUCUCCCCUAACCGGCUUAUGAACCGGCUCAAAGUAGCAACACGACCCGCCAGCCGUUGAACGUAAUUGAUGCAUGUUGGUUUGGCCAGGGAUGUGAUUGCCUUAAUCUUCUCCGGGUUAGCUUCAAUACCUCGGUUGGACACGAAAAAACCCAAAAGCUUGCCAGCUAGGACUCCAAAAACACACUUGGCCGGGUUAAGCAUCAUUUUGUAGACCCGGAGGUUAUCAAAGGUCUCUUUCAGAUCUGUGACCAAGGUUUCCUUUUUCCUUGAUUUUACCACUAUAUCAUCCACAUAAGCAUGAACAUUAUGCCCAAUCUGAUUGUGAAGGCAAUUCUGCAUACACCGUUGAUAAGUUUCCUAGGCACUCUUGAACCCGAAGGGCAUAGAUACAUAGCAGAAGGCUCAAAACGGAGUGAUGGAAGCUGUCUUCUCCUGGUCCUUGACUGCCAUCUUGAUCUGAUGAUAACCUGAAUAGGCAUCUAGAAAACUCAAACGUGCACAACCCGCCAUAGCAUCAAUGAUUUGAUCAAUACGGGGGAGAGCAAAAGGGUCAGCCGGACAAGCCUUAUUUAAAUCGGUGUAAUCCGCACACAUACGCCAGGUGUCGUUCUUUUUUAGUACAAGCACCGGGUUGGCUAACCACUCUGGGUGAAAGACUUCAACAAUGAACCCGGCCGCCAAGAGCUGGGCCACCUCUUCUCCAAUGGCCUUGCGCCUUUCCUCGUUGAAUCGUCGGAGAAAUUGCCUGACCGGCUUAAACUUUGGAUCAAUAUUGAGAGUGUGCUCAGCGAGUUCUCUCGGGACACCCGACAUGUCAGAAGCUUUCCAUGCAAAGAUGUCCCGGUUCUCAUGGAUAAACUCGAUGAGCGUGCUUUCCUAUUUUGGAUCCAAGUUGGCACUGAUGAUGAACUGCUUGGAUGAGUCACCGGGCACAAAAUCAACCAUGUUGGUGUCAUCAGCUGACUUGAAUUUCAACACCGGUUCAUGCUCCGUUGUUGGCUUCUUUAAAGACGUCAUGUCUGCUGAGUCAACAUUAUCUUUGUAAAACUUUAGCUCUUCUGUUGCACAAACAGACUCAGCAUAUGCAGCAUCUCCCUAUUCACACUCAUGGGCUAUUUUCCGGCUUCCAUGUACUGUCAUGGUGCCCUUAUAACCCGGCAUCUUGAGCUGUAGAUACACAUAAUACAGCCGAGCCAUGAACUUGGUGUAAGCCAUCUGUCCAAACAAAGCAUGAUAUGGGCUUUUGAUCUUAACCACGUCAAAGGUUAAUUUCUCCGCUCUGGAAUCAUAUUCAUCCCCAAAGGCUACUUCCAAUUCAAUCUUGCCAACUGGGUAUGCCGAUUUGCUAGGUACCACACCAUGAAAAAUAGUGUUGGAUUGCAUAAGACUCUUAUCAGUCAACGCCAUCCGACGAAAUGUCUCAUAGUAGAGGAUGUUGAUGCUACAACAUCCAUCCAUGAGCACUUUAGUGAAUUUAUAUCCACCAACUUGAGGCGCUACUACCAAGGCCAAGUGACCCGGAUUGUCAACCCGGGGAGGAUGAUCCUCUCUACUCCACACAAUAGGUUGUUCUGACCACCGUAAGUAACAUGGAAUCGCCGGCUCAACAGCAUUGACAGCCCUCUUGUGAAGCUUUUGGUCCCUCUUGCACAACCUAGUGGUAAAUACAUGAUAUUGCCCACUAUUCAACUGUUUUAGGUUCCUCUGAUAUCUGGAUUGCUGCUGAUUACCUUGGCCGGGUUGUGGAUUAUAACCUCCUUGGUUACCCGCAUGUCCCUGACCGUGGAAACCGCCUCCACCUGAGCCGGCGCUCGGGCCAUGAAAGCCGCCUCCACCUGAACCGCCGCCAGGGUCGUGACUUCCAUCAAAUGCAUUUGAAUUUUUGAAUGCCUUCAUGAUUGUACAAUCCUUCCACAGAUGGGUGGCUGGUUUCUCCCGGGUGCCGUGUCUUGGACAGGGUUCAUUCAAUAGUUGCUCAAGGGUGGGAGCUGAUCCGCCCGACCAAGGGGGUUGCCUACCCUUGCGCUGUUGAUUGUUGCCUGCGCAUUGGUGUUAGCCACAAAUUCGUCAGCCUUACGUUUAUUACCUCCUUGAUUUGUCGGGUUAUGGUGGUGACCCUUGCAGUUGCCCUUCUUCUUUCCCUUCCCUGUCUUUUCUUCAUCAGACACAGGGUCCUUGGUACUAUCAGAAUCAACAUACUUGACAAGAGCCGCCAUCAACUGGCCCAUGUCAUUGCAGUCACGUUUAAGCCGCCCCAGCUUCUGCUUCAGAGGUUCAAAAUGGCAAUUUUUCUCCAACAUUAAGACUGCCGAGCCGGCUUCCAUCUUAUCAGAUGAAUGAAUUAUCUCCUUGACCCGGCGCACCCAAUGGGUUGUGGACUCACCUUCCUCUUGUUUACAAUUAGUCAGGUCCACGAUUGACAUAGGUUGUUUGCAUGUGUCCUUGAAGUUCUGAAUGAACCGGGCCUUUAACUCCGCCCAUGAGCCGAUGGAAUUGGGGGGCAACCCUUUUAGCCAAGUACGAGCCAUUCCAUCCAACAUCAUGGUGAAAUACUUAGCCAUUGCCGCGUCGCUGAUCUCCAACAGCUCCAUGACCAUCUCAUGGCUCUCAAUCCAAGCCCCAGGCUGCAAAUCGGCCAUGUAAUUAGGCACCUUACGAGGCCCCUUGAAGUCCUUUGGCAAGCACUCAUUACAUAUGGCCGGUACCAGGCAAUUGACACCUCCGGUUCUUGUGGCCACUCCUGCCUCAACCGAGGUUGCUGGAUAAACCAGAAAUGUCUGACGAGCCACCUGCUCCACCGCUAGUUGAACCGCUCGCUCUGCCUCUUGUCAGAUCCUCUCCUGAUCCGCCAAGUUAAGGGCUCCAGCCUGUACCGGCUCAUGCAUGUGCGGCUGGUUGUGGCGUUGAGCAUUGCUUGACAUCUUAGCUGAAUCCAUAUGCCUACUGUAGCUUGGGCUCCGGCUCGGGCGGGGGGUUGAAUGGAUCAUGUCUUGACUGCAAGAGUACGCAUCCUGUUGCGCCAGAGCUGUUUGAAGAAGUUCUCUCACCCUUCGUGUUUCGAUCAUCGCCGGAGAAUCGCCCUCCAUCGGGAGAGCCGCCAAACAAGCUGACAUAGCAAUGAGGUUUUCCAAAGGAUUGGAGAAGUGACCCGGCGGUGUUGGCACAUAAUGAGGCGGAACGGUGUGUGCACGAGGUGGUUCCAUGGUGCGCGGCUGAACCGGCGCCCCGGGUGUUGUGAUCCGAUUUGCCUCCGGUGGGUUACUUGCCCCGGCCCCGGGUGUAUGCAAAAGGUUCCUAGGAUCAAGCGUCAGAGGUAGACGUGACUGGGUCUUCUGAUGCCUUCUUCUCAUGACCUCGUUUGAUGCGUUCAGAUCCACCGAGAGCCGGAAGGUUUCUGCUUGAAGCUGUUGAGCACGAGCGUCCAAAGCCGCCCGCUCCACUGCCAUCCUGACCUCUUCUCCUGCUAAAUUUUCUUUAGCUUGUACCAUCUCCUCACGUACGCGUGCCACCUCUACGUCAUGCUGAGCUUUAUCCGCCGGGUCUACCACGACAGUCAACAGGGUCGUCAGUUUAUCCAUGAGGUCCAUCAGAAUCUGAGUUGGCGGGCGCGCGGGGUCUCCUGACCCGGCUGCGGCUGACCCGGUGGUUGUUGCCGCCGCUGGUGUGGAGUUCUACCCCGGCUGUGUUCCUGCCAUGAAGACUCCGGCCCAAUUCGACGGCUCAAGGGGGUCCGGAAUACUGCUGCCAUUGGAACAGCCCCCAAGCAUGCCAUCCUGUAGCUGAUACAAAGAAUCUGUCUCACAUGUUGAUGACGUGGCAUCAAAACAGACGGUCGUCUCACCGCCAUCCACUGAUUCCUCAAAGUAUUCACCGCCACGGAUGCAACCUACGAAGGCAUGCUUCACGACGGAUUGAACACGAGUGGACCUUGCGCGCUGAGCCGUUUCGACGAGGUUGGUGUGGACGUUCAGCUCAGGGCCCGAUUCCCAUCCGGCCGAUGAAGACGUGAAUUUCGCCGAAGGGGACCCAGUACCCGUACUCAAUUGAGCCGGCCUUGGGGCCCCAGCCUUCGUCGUCGAUGUAGAGCUUGCCGCGAUGACUCUUGGUCAUCCGGCCCACAGUGUAUCCCUUGAGCCCUUCGAAGUUGCCCUUCAAGAACUCAAAUCCACCGUGCGCUGGCCCCACGGCGGGCGCCAACUGUCAUGGAAUUGUCACGGAAAAUGUCUUAGCAAAAGGACUUAGUUGUAGGGCCAUCGCAACUAGGAAGCAAAAAGGGGUUAAUCGGGACAAAGGACACGAGAGGUUUUAUACUAGUUUGGCCCCUUACGAUGAAGGUAAAAGCCUACGUCUAGUUGUGUUGAUAUUGCUGGGGUUUCAAUCACCAAGAGGCUAGUUCGCCGGCUUGGUUAUCGAUCUCUUGUUUUUUUUUUGCCUUAAGCCGCCACCGGGUCGUCCCCUUAUAUACACGGGUGGAUGCCUGGUGGCCUUCAGAGUCCCGGCCGGCUCAUAAAUCAUGUCCGGCUCGGUGACUUCUUUUACAUUCCUUUCCUUACAAGUCUUUCCUUACAUAUGACGGUUUACAAUACCGGGCCUUAAGCCGCCGCUAGGCCUUUAGGCCUUCUGUAAGGGUUAAUAAUAUAUCGCCUUGAAUGUCUAUUGGGCUUCCUUUGUGACCCGCCAUUGGGGCUGACCCAGCCCUUCCUGGGCGGGUCAUAACUGAUAGCUAUAUUCCCAACACCGGUCCUCCCACCGCUGGCAUGCACCGGCUCAACAGAUCCCCAGUACAAGGGUCCUGCUUGGCGCGGCUCAUCUUUGUUGGAGAAGCUGACGAGGCUUCGAAUGGUGGCCCUCCACUCGUCGAGCUUCUUCACUGCUGGGGGGAAGUCGAGGAGUAGUUGCACGCGUGCCAACGCUUCCGCUGGCGUGGGUAGCGGCGAAAGCUGCGUAGACUGUGACGCGUUCCGACUUCUAAUCAUGUUAGAGGGAGCUCUAUCACGGUCUCGUUGUCGCGCGCCAUUUCCGCCAGCGUCUGGGUGUGCAUGCCGGCCCAGUGCAUCUUGAGAGUGACGCAAAGGUCUCUUCUCGUGGUGGUAUCCGGAGGCACCGACGUCGUGGCGUUGCUCGUCACAUACGGCCUGGGAAGGUCACAGCACGGGCGCCGGCUGGGGCGUUCGGGAGGUUGCCGCGCCGCCCGUGGGCAGCACGGCCCUGCCAUCGGGCCCAGCAGCGUGCGGCUCGUCAUCUUGGGCAAGCGCGACGCCGCUCGCCUGGCUCCGAUUGCCAAAGUGUCGUGGAUGCUUGCGGGCCACGUCUCUACAACCAUCCGCGACCGCUCCAUCACCCGCCCGCGCUGGGACGGGUGGUUCGGCCCCAGACAAGCCAAUCGCCGUGAUCGCCUUCUUCUUGGGAGCCAUUGCGACGAAGGAGUCGAUGAGUUAGCUUCAAAACCAGAUUUUCAUAGAUGGCACCCCAUACUUGGCGCGCCAAAGAUGUCGGGGUUCUGGAACGACACCUAUGGGAUCACAGGGAAUCCCUUCUAUGGUUGGUGGGGUGCGGGGCUGUGCAAAGAGCGGGUUUAGAAGAUCAACACGGGGGAAUUGUAUCCAGGCUCGGGCCGCAAACGGUGCAUAAUACCCUUGUCCUAGUUUGGUGUAUAUUUGGUGUGCUUGUGUUCUUGAACUAGCUGCAAUGCAUGCCUAGCCCAAAAAGUCCGAAUCCUUCCUAAGUAUGCCUCAGGCCUCCUUUUAUACAUCAAGGGGAUGCCACAGUGGCACACAGGAGGUGGAAAGGAUAAAUAGUGUACAAGUUUAUCUCCUGACAUCCUAGGACAAACGCAUUUAAUGCACUGCCUAUGUGUCAUCUUGCUUUAUCGGGGACGACGAAGAGGCUUGUCCCGUCCGUCGUUGCCUCGCCUCGCUUCAACGCGCGUCCAGGCUGACAAGGCAUGCAUCGCCACACUGGCUGGCUGGUUGCUGUGCUGGUGCGGUGACAGAGUCUUCACGAAGAUUUGCAUGUCACCAAGCAGGUGCUUGGCUGGUUGGCCUAGAAGCUGCAUGCUGCAAUACAAGCAUGCGCCUAGUUGGUAGGCCGGUCACCACGUCGGAACGGGCGCGGGGCAUCGAAGCUUUGGUAAGUGCGGGCCUGGCUUUGGCUCCGUAGAUGCCCCCGGCGAGGCCCUUGGCGGGAUCUCGUGGGUGUCCCCGGCAAGGAUCUUGCCGGGGCGGGGUUGCGAGCGUCCCCGGCAAGGGUCUUGCUGGGGGUCUUUGGUCGUCCCCAGCAAGAUCUUGCCGGGGGUCCUUGUCUUCUAGUUCUCAUCUAGGCUUGCAGACCUUUGGUUCCCACAAAGGUCCGCAUGCCACUAUGCAGGCACUCCCGAGCCUUGGUCUUGACGUUGUCGAUGGCGUCAUAACUCUCAGGCUCAAAGGUGGCGGUCUUGAUGGCGUUGGGCAAGUUGCCCCGACAAGGCUCCUGCCGGGACUGUGUAGGCCGCCCCGGCAAGCCUCUUGCCGGGGGAAGCCCAUCUUGUCCCCUUGCUCUUUAUGCUUCUGGCUUGGGUGCUGCCUCGACAAUCUUGUGUCUUUACUCCCGCUGCCCCGCCAAGCCCGGCCACAGGUGUGGCUACGACUGCCCACGCACAAGUAAAGGGGUACAGAAGGGCCCCUACUUUUGUAUGCCGACAGUUGAAGACGUAUCAGCGUCCCCAAGCUGAACUCAUGCUCGUCCUCGAAUAGGUAAGUGAUAAAAACAGAAUUUUUGAUGUGGAAUGCUGCCUAACAUGCCAUAUCGUAUUCUUUUGUUGAUAGCAUGGACAUUUGGACUUUUAUAUUGUUCAAAGCAAUAGUCUAGUUUUGACAUGAUAACUUAAAUACUCAAGCAUACCAACAAGCAACCAUGUCUAUCAAAAUAUCAACGCUAAAAUAAGCUAUCCCUAGCCCAUUAUGCUCAAUCAUUGAUCCAUUCAUCACUACAAAAAAAUACACUUCCGUGAUGAUACGUGUUUGUCACAGUAGGUCGCGUUUUUUGUCAUGCAUGUACAUCCAUGACGAUUUUAUGGCAAAAUCAAGAUAGUCAUACCUGUGUUGUCGUAGAAGUGUUCCAUGACAUUACCAAAAUUGUCAUCACGGAAGUGUCCACUUCCAUGACGAUAAAUCGCGCGUCACAGAAGUGCUUUCGUCAAGGGUGAUCGACACGUGGCAUCCACCGUAACGGAACGCCGUUAAGCUAUUGGGUCGGAUUUUGGAUCCGAUAACCCGUUAACAGCCAUGACCAAUGGGAAAUUUCCACAUGUAAAAUUCUGAUUGGCCGAAGGGAACACCUGUCAGCUCGUCAAUGGGCCAGAUGUCGCCUGUCCAUUGGAGGAGACAUGCCUAUGAUACGUCGACACGUGGCUGGGCCCAACAGAGGCCCAUAUAGGUUAAGAAAGGCCGGCCCAGUCAAAGGCCCAUAGAACUUAAUCAGGUACUAGUGGGCCAGCCCAAUAACGGCCUGCUUAAUAAAGGCCCAUUUACGGCCCGAAGCCAGAUCUGGCCUGUUAAUUGUUCACCCAAUAUUUGGGCCCAUUUACGUCCCAAAGCCAAAUCUGGCCCGUUAAUUGUUUGCCCAAUAUUUGGGCCCAUUUGCGGCCCAAAGCCAGAUCUAGCCCGUUAUUGUUCACCGAAUAUUUGGGCCCAACUACAGCCCAAUGACUUUCAGCCUGUUAGAGGCCUGAUGUAGACAUGGGCCCAUUUCAGUCCGGUGUGACUUUCGGCCUGGGAAUGGCCUAACGGCCCGUGCUAAAGGUGGCAACAGUUAAGCCCAACGUGACUUUGGGCAUGUUAAAGGCAUGUCGCGUAAUUCGGCCUGUUGAUGCAUGUGCUAAGCUUUCGGCCUCUUAAUGGCCCAUGAUAUCAGUGGGCCAACUAAGGCCUGAGAUAUGUUUCAGCCUGGUAACGGCCAGUGAGCUAACUGGGCCCAAAAUGGCCCGGUCUACAUUUCGGCCUGCUGAUGGCUCAUCGACGACUAGUGAAAAUUGAGGCCCAACAUGCAUUUUGGCCUGCUAAAGGCCCGUGGUUUCAUCUCGGCCGUAACAUGCCAGUACAAUAUUCAGCCUGUUAAUGGCCCAGCGCUACCUGGGCCAAACCAAGCGCUGGGUCGACAAAAGGCACAACUAAAAUAUAGGCUGGUGUAAGUUUGGGCCUGGCGCAAUGUGUGAAGGCCCCAAUCAUUCAGGCCCAAGAAAGACGCAGGCUGGCCCAAUUGUGGCCCGCUAAAAACCUGGCCCGUUAGAGUCGAAUGUUUUGGUCCGGUCGACUACAUCUGAUUUUUUCUUCACAUAGCGAAUGAUGGCAGUAACUAGUAGGAAUUAAGAACAAACCUACUCUAUACAAUAAAGAAAUUAUGGCAUAGUAACUAAGAAUAAACCCACACUAUACAAUAAAGGAUUUAAGGUAUAUUACAUCCACUGGGCAUCGAAGUUCGCCACCAGUGAUCAUAAAGCACAACGAAGAAGAAGAUUACAAAAACUGGGCACCAUUGCAGCGUAACAAAAUAAUACUGAACCGAGACCACUUCCAAGAUAGUUCAAGAAAGGUUAGCCUUGCAGGGGAACCGCUGCGCAAAGCUGCUAAGCAAGGCUGUGAGACUGGCCUAGCAUGUCGGUCAUAGCUUCCAGGUGUAGCUGUUUAGCGAUGAGGUUCUCAUUGGUGUUCUCCGUAAUCUUUCUUAGAGAUAGGACUUCAAGUCGAAGUUGAGUUGCAGAAUGCCUUUCUGCUAGAACUUGGACUGAAGAAUUCAAACUGAUUCAGACAAUGAAUUCUGUGAGCUUGUCUGACUGUUAAUCUCAAGUAACUUGAACACUGCAUCAAGACAAGACUUUGAGGUUGUCUCGCUAUCUUCAAGAUGUUUUUCCUUCUUUGUUGCAAUAUAUGUUGGGUUUGUCUCACAUCCUUCAGCAGACUUGUGCAUGCCAUUAGGCAUAUCACCCUAAAACAAAGCAGAGAGAUGACAGGUUUUGCACGUGUAUAAACAAAGAUGAUAAUUGUUCUGUCAAUUCUAUCCAAUUUCAAAUUAGAAAAUAAAGAGUAAGUUCAAAAUAUCAAUAGCAUAAUUUGGCAUUGUUCAUAAUGCGGGGAGCUUCACCACACUACUGGAUUACCAUGUCAACAUAACAAGCAUAGAUGAAGGGCAAAGAAAAUCAUUGUAUCUAUUUUGGAUAAUGUGCAUGGCAUGUUGUUCAUAUCAUCUGCCACAUCAGUAAGAUAAAACAGGAGAUGACAAGGUGCAAACGUGGGAUGCUUCACCACACACUGGAUUAUAGAUCCACAAAAACUAGCAUACAUAUAGGGAGUAUUAAGUAAUGUGCAUGGUAUGAAUAAGGAAUUUGGUUUUACAAGUAAAACUUAGAAUUUACAGUUCUUACGAACAUGCAUUUUGGUAGAAACAGCAAACUAAACAGCAGUAAACGAUAGGGAGUAUGAGAAAAUUAAACAACAGUUGAGGAUAAAGGCUUUAGAAGGACUGACUUACAUUAACAGUUAAUGCCGGCUUUAUAAUGCCCUUCUCCAUGUCAAGGGAAGGAUAACUCAAGAAUUUCAGCACAGAAUCUUCUUCAUAAGCAUUGCCUGUACUCUACAUUUUGUAGAGAGUAAUUAUAGAUAUGAUAAUACUGGAAGGGAUAGAGGACAAUGAAGAUAAGAUGCAGAUUGAUGCUACAUAAUCAACUACCAGUCCCUGGAAGUACAAGUGUUACAGGACAGAAUGUACUGACAAGAGCAAUGGGCUACACUUCUGCACUAGCAUGGUCUAUGUAUUCUACUUGUCGGUAAGAUUAAAUAUAGAUUUGAUCUUUUUUAGUAAAUGGUGGGCGAGGGAGAUAAGAUGCAGAAUGCUACAAAAUGAACCAAUCCCUCUUCCCAUAAUACAAGAGUGUUUUGAACACUAGAGUACUGUACAAAACCUUCUUAUAUUAUGGGAUGGAGGGAGUAGCUAUUAAUGUAAGUACAGUGAUAGACCACGUUCAGUCCUUACAAGAGGACUGCAGAGCUAAACCUCUUCAAAAGCAUUGGGUUGAUUCUAAAUUUAUGUAAGAGUCCAUACAGAUCUUAUAAUGUCCACCAAAUGGACGAUUACAAGGCUAACAUGUGAAGUGAUGCUACAUAAUCAAACAACUAUGAAAGUAAGUAUGGUCAUAUAGGGCAAGAGGUACUCACAAGAGCAAUGCAGUGUGCAGUAUAGUUGCGAGAUUCUGUGGUCCCUUGAGAACGAAUGUUAUUCUGCUAACAGUUUUCGUACAAGUGAGACAUUAAGGCAAAGGCAGAAAUGUAGUUCAAAUUGUGAUGUGAUAUCAUAGACAGUACCUUACACUGCAGCAGAGACCAAUGUGUAACAAGAUUAUUCCAGUCACUGUCGGAUAAAUGUAGCACUGGAGACAUUACAGAAAUUUCAUUCAGAGGCUUGCCAUCGAAGUAUGCUUGCCUCAGGUAGGAACGAUACUUCAUCAAUGAGUGCUUGAAAAGCGCAACCAACCCUUGCUCGUCAUCACAAUCCAGUUUGCUCCUCGCCUAUUUAAAAGAAUGAAAUUUUGUGUCUUCUGUCAGCAGAAACAUAUGCAGUAAUGACCAUGAAUAACAUCAGUACAUUACUUACGCGUAAGUUGCGGAGGAAGAUUGGAAAUGGUUCUGUGUCUAUGGUAUAAUAUUUCCAUGAAGGGAAGAUGCACACAAAGUUCCUGACAACAACAUAAGCUUCGUUUUCUAAACUGGGAAGAAAUGGAACAGGGGUCCUAUUUGGUGCAAUUGGGGCUCUCUCUGGUUCGAAAAGGGAUUUGACAACUGAAUUUGGUGUACUCUUUGCUAGAAUGGGGGUUUUGUGUCGUACAGCUGGUGCUAUGUCAACUGGUAUAAUCAUACUGUUUGCUGCAGUUGGGGUCUGCUGAGUUGGGGCAUCGGAAAUGACCAGUGUAGUAGGGCUAGAGUCUGCUAGAGUUGGGGUAUUUUGUGGGUCAGGUGAUAUUGCAACUACACCUAAUGGGCUAUUUGAUUUAUCAUGUGCCACUACCUUUUCCAAAUACUUUGCUUGUGCUCCUCCACGAUCAGCAAUCGCCCUCUUCCUUUUGAACGUUUGAUACACAAGAACAACAUUUGAAUGGAUAAAUAUGGUAUGAUGACAGAUGGAAUAUGUACUGAAAAUGGAUAGGCAGGGCGUAUUCACAUACACGAUGUGUAAACUAAGCUAAUGGCAGUUCAACAAAGUAGAAGCAAUGCAAAGCAUCAGUUGCAAGAUAUGUGCGAGCAAUGUAACCUUGGAAACUUAGAGCAAGUACCUUGAUGGGUGAAUAAGAUAGGGCAUCUUCCUCUGACUCCUCCACCAGGGAUCUACAUUGACUUAGGUCUCCCUCUAGCUCAGAAUCACUGUUAGGAUCAUAUUAUGAGCAUGAAUCUGUAGGUGGAGAGCGUUUGCAUUGCAUUGCAUCUAGACUUGAUUUCAGUCCCUUAAUGCCAAGUUUGACAGCCAUGGCAUUGUUCUACUUUAUUCUUUUCAUGCGCGCAAGCUCAUAAUCAUUAUGAUGCUGUUCAGAAUCUGAGAUUCAUGAAAACAUAAAAAGUAGUCAGAUUAUCUAUGGAAUGCAUUGCGGAUUCAACUCGGAGAGUGUCUCGCUAUAAACCCUUGCAUAUGCAAAGUUCACCUCCCCAACCGUGCUGACCAGACCACACACAGAAAUAGAAACCCCUUAUGUCUCUAUAACAGGCGGGCACACAUUUCAAAACUGAAGUAGGAACAUUAGAAUCAUAUGAAAUUCGUAUUUGAACAAAUAAACUAAGCAAUUAUGAGUGGCAUAAUGUUUAGCUUCAAGGGUGGAGUGUUGGUAGUGCGACACAAAGCAAGUAGGCAGAUUGUAUUCCAUGUAAAAGAUCGAAACCUAUGUAAAAGCUGGAAAUGACACUUUCUUUCUAUACAAUGCAGUGUUCGUUACCCACACAUGAUGGAAGAGAUCACAUAGAGAAAUACUAUUCACUCAUGUCUACGGUUCCAGUAUUUAGAAACAGGGUGGUCCACCCUAAAAUAAUAUUGACAAGAAAUAUGACAAGGCAAGCAUAGAUGUAGUGAAUCAAUCAUUUACUUGUGCGCUUACUAGGACAAGUAUGCAGAAUUGUAACUGCGGUAAGAGACCGUCCAAAAUAUAAAUGAAGAAGUUUGUCUAGCACUUAUUGUUUGCAACUAAUCGACGUGAAUAAUUGGAUAUUAUAUCAAAUGAGUAAGAAAGACAAGUAAAAUUGUCGACAAACCUGGCUUGCAGUAGUAAUCCGGGUCAAUGUCACUACGACAAACAAUCCAAAAUGACUAGUUUUUGUUCCGAGGGACAGAAUUUUGAAAACAAUGUGAACUUUAGAGGUACUAAAGAUUACCGAAAUACAUCUGAACCAUUAAGUGUAGGUAGCACUGAGCACACAACAAACCCUAAUGACAGUCCUGCCUAAUGAGUAAUUAAUCAAUUAGAAAAUGGGUGAUGAGGAGUGGCUGCUGAGUGUUGAGGAUGUAUCUUAGGAUAAAUCGGGUUGGCUUAGUGGGUGCUGCACGCCUGAGUCCUGAACGGACUGGGAAGGUAGGCACGGCGGCGCGCCCGGGCAGCGGUGACGCUGUUGGGCGAGCGGCUCCUGGCCUCCUGUUAGUCCGGCGUCUCCUCCUAGAGUCAUGCCGUCCGGGGACGGCAAGUUGCCAGCGAGGCAGGCGGUUGGGGGCGAGUAGAGAUCGGAAGCGUGCAGCAGAACAGAGGGGAACCGGGGCCUGGGACGACCCAAAAUCCCAGGGUGGGCCGGCCCACCGUGGGCACCCUGUAGAGAUGCGCACCCGUGCGGCGAACAUGCAUUUUUGAAACUAAUUUAGUAACAUUUAUAUGACCAAUUAAACAACUCUGUUUUAAUAAUAUCAUAUUCGUAUUUGAACAACUAAGCGUGUUUAGCUUGAUGGGUGGAGCAGUGUUAUUAUGACAUGAAGCACGUAUUCUGAUCGUAUAGUGAUCACAAAAGGGGGAAACUCUAUGUCGGGGGUUGGGUGCGACAUAUGCCAAAGGAUGGCUUAUCAUGGUGGGGGCGAGUAGAACGUCGCCGGUGCCUGGAAACGGGAUGAGGCGUAGACAUGCACGCCGGCGAAUCUUACCCAGCUUCAGGGCUCUCCGGGAGAUAAUACCCCUACUGCUGCUCUACAGGGUCUCCACAUGAUCACUAUGGCCCAGUUUUUGCACGAUUGCUCCUUGAGCUGUUUUCUGGAGGUUGGAGAGGGCAAGGCUAGCUCUCUCCCUCCUAUAUGAUCUGGUCUAGAGCUAAUGGAUUCCAACCCUUUGCAUGGGUGCCCUGGGGGGUUUAUAUAGGCCUACCCCCAGGGUACAAUGGUAAUCCGGCUGGGCGCGGGCCCAGCCGUCAGUGCCUCCGGCCUCCGUCUUCUCCGCCGACUACUGGGGCCCACCGACUGGUGGGCCCCGCCAACUGGCUAUGUACGGAGCCGACAGGCCGCGUCCGCCGUGGGCGGGUCUUGCCGGCUGCUGAUUAGCCGUGCUUAUAAUGACGUGGGCUUCGUCAUGGAGUCGUGGCAACAGCCCCGCCGCCUGGCGGGCGAUCACUAUUGCCACUGUACGUCACAUCUGGUUAAUGGCGCGUGGGCCCUGGGGGAGGAGCCAGCCGACUCUCGGGGGCCGACUCCUGACGGGUGCGACUUGUGGUGCACUUGCCGUCUCCUGGGAUCUCACUGGCUGGUGGGACCCGCCGCCCCAGGGUCGUACAGACAAGCCGUCAUGGGCGCAGGAUUCGGUCCUUCGGUGCUGACGUCAGGGCCGACAUGGCAACAGUGCCACGCCGCACAGAGAUCUCCGCGAGUACGGCGUACUGUGACCAUGCUUGCCUUUGGAAAGGGGUGGGAGCAGUCUUCACUGUAGCCACUCCCCUGUCUUGUCCCUCUUGAUGAGGACGUGGGGUUUUGCUGGAGUCGCGGGCCGACUCCCCAAGGCCGGCUUCUUGGGAAGUCGUCAGUCAGGAGUCGAUUUGUCCUGAAGUCGUCCCUGGGACUCGGCCGCGAGUGGCUAGUCGGUGGCCUUGCCGCCGACUCCAUAGAAGGCGGCUCUUUGUCCUGGGGUCUUGAGGGGCGCAGCCUGCCCUGAUGUCUUGAAAGGUUCUGGGACUCGGGUUAGCCUACCCGUGGCCCAUUACUCCGACAGUAGUCCCCGAAGCUGAUGAGGCGCCGCGAACGAUCGGCCGAGGAGCCUCAGCAGUUUCUCUUUCUGGGUGCCUGAGACAUGGAUCUUGCUUGACUUCUGCCGGGCCGGCUAGAAGGAGUCGGACUCGCCCGACUCUGACUCGCACAAUAUUUCGAACGUCGCGGCGGGAUCCAAGUAGCGUGCGGGCUAAGCCUCCAUGCAGCCGCCCGUUUUGGGCCUGUCACGUGUUAACACGCGCCCGGGCCAGUCUGCCAGCCUACGCGCGUGACGGGAUAGGCCCGUAGUCGGGGCCCGCCACUACCGCGCCUCGGCGCCCGAGCGGAUCCGCUGUGGCCCAGGCGGACGGUUGGGAUUCCCGUGGAAUUACUGCGCAUAGUAAUUUUGUCGUGGAAGCGUGGGGGUCGUGGGCGCAGUAAAUCCCAUGACUGCCCGCUCGGCUUCGCAGCCCAUGAGGCUAUAAGUAGGGGGAGGAGGGGGGCGCGGCAGAGCACGCGCGCCCCUCCUUCCCACUACUCCUUGCUCUUCUCCUUCUUCUUCCUCGCUCCGCCGUGCACCCAAGUUCUGACGAACGCCGCGGCGAUCAGCUCACGAUGAGCUCUUCUUCUGCCAUCGCACCUCCCUCGGUGCAUUCCGGUACCUGGGAUGGCUCAGAAGUCCACGACGAUCACAUCGAGUUCCUUCACAAGACUCGUCGGCUUCCCGGCGAAGAUUACGUGCGGGUACGCCUUGCACCAAGGGGGGAGAUCUCUCCGACACCGGAGGAGGGCAAGCGGGUUAUCUUCCGCUCGCACUGCCUGCGCGGAUUGGGGCUGCAGGCGAGCAGUUUCUUCCGCUCCUUUCUGGAGUUCUACAGCCUCCAACCGCACCACCUCACGCCCAAUACGGCGAUGCUGUUGUCCGCCUUCGUGGCCUUGUGUGAAGGCUUCCUCCUCCCCACCCUCGAGCUCUGGGUGGAGUUCUUCUUCUGCAAGCUCGGCACCCAGGCUGUAGGUGUGCCGGCUCAGUGUGGCGCAUUCACCACCGUGCGGAGGUCGGGGGCCGACAACCCCUUCCCCACCAUCAUGCUGAUAAAGUCAGUAAAGAUGUGGCAACGAUCGUACUUCUACGUGAAGAGCGUCUUUGCGGGGGGCGAUUGGGUCAACCUGCCGGCCUUCGAAGCCAGCCCGUCGGCUGGGAGAUUGCCCAACUAGUCGUUCUGGGCCAAGUCGCUGACGCUUGCGGAAGCCGGCGCCAUCACACGACUCCGAGUGUUGACGUAGUCGAAGGGCCUGACUGGUCCGGACCUGUUGGCCGCCUUUGUGGCGCGCCGAGUUCUCCCGCUCCAAGGCCGCCCCACAUGAUAUGCCAAAUGAGCGGGCGUCAUGACCCGAGUCGGAUGUGCACCAAGGACAUGCCUCACGAGGAGGUGGCCUACAUGGUGAACUACCUCUCGGACAGCAAGCUGCUGGAGGACUGGCGGUUCGGCAAGGAGCCGUACUCCCGCGCCAACCCUCCACCUACAGUGACUUGCCCUUUCUUUCUUUCUUCGAGUUGUCUUCUUUCUUGCCGAGUCGGUUUUGUGCGACCUGACCAGUCGGCUUUGGUCAGAAUCCCCUCCUUCAUCCACCAGCCGGCACAUCGGGGCCGGCCCGCGAGUUCCUUGCCGACCGGGCGGAGAGCGACGUCGACGACCCCGAUCUGGGGGCGGCGGCUUUGAAAGACGACGCUGAGGGAGGAGGCGGCCCGCGGCUCGGGGCCAGUCAAGAGGACUGGCCUUACGAUGAUGAGGAGGUCGCCCCCCGCCCCCGGCCAGGAGCCAGCCAUCCUGGUGCGGGCUCUUCUGUCGCGCUGGGUGCUCUGGGCGGCGGGAAGAAGCGCAGGGCCGUGCCAACUUUGUUCGGCAGUCGGCCGAAGAAGCCCAAGAGUUCGGCUGCGGCGACCAAACGGGACGAGGCGGCCACGAAGGCCAUCCGCUUCCGCAAGGAAGUGAAGAAGCCGCCGCUGGUCUCCGUGUGAGUAUUCCGUGUUGAUGCUUUAUUCUUUCUCUGUAGCUUUGUCUGAGUCUUUUACUUGCUUCCCUCGCUUCAGGGCUCCCCUCACUCUUGAGAGGGUUGCCACUGCCUCUGUCAUGGGGUCAGCGGAGACGUCCGCCACCACUCGGCGGAUUGACCCCGCUGCUGACCUCCGGGAGGCGACGGAGCGGAAUGCGCAGGAGAAGUGCAACGAGGAAGAGGUCGUCCGCCUGGAGAAGGUGGAGGCCGAUAAGGCGGAGGCCUCCCCCAAGAAGAAACUGGCGGAGGCCGAAGCCAUCGCCGCGAUGAAGCGGCAGGCUGAGGAGGCCACGCACUGCCAAUCGGCGGUGUUCGUCACCUCGCUGAACUCUGCGCCGCCGGCAAGAUCCUUGCCGGGAGACAGUUCUAACAGCCCCAGCAAGACCCUUGUCGCGGCGACUCGUCCCGCGCCUAUGGAGCAAACCACCCUUGAGUCCACAGCCCCCAAAGGGCAAGGAUUCGGGAGACAUCCCCGUGGCGGCAUGUAGAUCUUUGUGAAGACAUUCAAGAUCAGAUACGCACUAAGGAGACGACAACCCUUGGUGGGAUCCCAGCCGAGGAAGACCACAAGGCCCCCGGCAAGCGCCUUGCCGGGGAUGACAGCAGGCGCCCCGGCAAGACCCUUGCCGGGGCCCCGGCAAGGCCCUUACCGAGGACACCCGCAGGGCCACAAUCAGGCCCACACCGACUAAACCUCCACCGCCGUUCGCAUGCAGCUGCCGACCCAACCAGCUGGGCAGGCACCUAUGUGGCGGCAUGCAGAUCUUCAUGAAGACCCACCACUACGCCACCUCAGCUGCCUGCCUUCCUAUGUGGCAUCGCAGGCGUCGCUGGCCAGGGCGCGUGUCGACACAAGAAGGAGCGGCGACAGACGAGACCGGUUUCUCCCCCGUCCCCGAUAAAGCAAGGACACCCAAGCAAGACGCAUUAAAUGCGCCUUGUCAUGUUAAUGUGAGGGAUAACCUCGCAUCGCGGACCAUUUCCACCUCUGGUGUGCCACUAUGGCGACCCCUUUUUCUAUAAAAGGAGGCCCGAGGCGACCAGAGGAAGGAUUUGUCUUUUUGGAGCUCCUCACGCCCCAUAGCUAGCUCAAGAACACAGAUAUACAGUCCACCAAAGCAGGAGUAGGGUUUUACGCAUCCUCGUGGCCCGAACCUGGAUAAACGAACGGUGUGCUAUCUGUUUGAUCCACUCUUCUCACGACCCCGCACCCCGCCAACCACAGUAGGGAUUCCUAUGAUCCUAUAGGUGUCGUUCCCACCGACAUCAUGUAGUUCAAAUUUGAAUUAUGCACGUAAAUGCAUUGAAAACUCAGUUAAUGCAUAAAAAUGUCCAAACGAACCCCGAAAAAUCAAAAAAUUCACACAACACUCCUAUUGUUCUAUGUUGACACGAGAAAAAAAUUGAAAGCAAUAAGAGGCAAUGGAUAUCAUUUCGUCCCCAAAGGUGGGAUGUUCCCUAGAAAAAACCUUCAUGCUUGUUGUGAGAAGCUCCGGUUUGUGAGAAGCAUAUACCUAAACCUGCCCCAAAUGGGACAAAAUUUUUACCACAACAUGUUGAUGCCGCUCCAUGAUAGCAAGGCAAGUUUCAUGAAUUUCACACGGGUUUUGGAUUUACUAGAAUUUAAAAACCAGGCAUCUCAAUCUUUUGCCGGCAAUCAACGGUGCCAUGGUGUUUGAAAUUCAUUCCCAUUUCUUGCAUGGGACCUAAGCAUGCACCCAAGGACACAGAUUUGAUUUUUCAACCAGUUUAUAUGCACUGGAGCAUGUGCAUGUAGUUCAAAUUUGAAUUAUGCACAUAAAUGCAUUGAAAACUCACUUAAUGCAUAAAAAUAUCCAAACGAACCCCAAAAAAUUACAAAAAUUCACACAACACUCCUGUUGUUCUAUGUUGACAUGAGAAAAAAAUUUGAAAGCAAUAAGAUGCAAUGGAUAGCGUUUCGUCCCCAAAGAUGGGAAGUUCACUAUCGAAAACCAUCAUGCUUGCUGUGAGAAGCUCCGGUUUGUGAGAAGCAUAUACCCAAACUUGCGCCAAAUUGGACAAAAUUUUUACCAUGGCAUGUUGAUGCCGCUCCAUUAUAGCAUGCCAAGUUUCAUGAAUUUCAGACGGGUUUUGGAUUUACUAGAAUUUAAAAACCAAGCAUCUCAAUGUUUUGCUAGCAAUCAAUGGUGCCAUGGUGUUUGAAAUUCAUUCCCAUUUCUUGCAUGGGACCUAAGCUUGCACCCAAGGACACGGAUUUGAUUUUUCGACCAGUUUAUAUGCACUGGAGCAUGCACAUGUAGUUCAAAUUUGAAUUAUGCACAUAAGUGCAUUGAAAACUCACUUAAUGCAUAAAAAUGUCCAAACGAACCCUGAAAAAUCACAAAAAUUCACACAACACUCCUGUUGUUCUAUGUUAACAUGAGAAAAAAAAUUGAAAGCAAUAAUAGGCAAUGGAUACCUUUUCAUCCCCAAAGGUGGGACGUUCCCUACCGAAAACCAUCAUGCUUGUUGUCAGAAGCUCCGGUUUGUGAGAAGCAUAUACCCAAACCUUCCCCAAAUGGGACGAACUUUUAACCACGACAUGUUGAUGCCGCUCCAUGAUAGCAUGCCAAGUUUCAUGAAUUUCAGACGGGGUUUAGAUUUACUAGAAUUUAAAACCCAGACAUCUAAAGUUUUGCCGGCAAUCAACGGUGCCAUGGUGUUUGAAAUUCAUUCCCAUUUCUUGCUUACGACCUAAGAAUGCACCCAAGGACACAGAUUUGAUUUUUCAACCAGUUUAUAUGCACUGGAGCAUGUACAUGUAGUUCAAAUUUGAGUUAUGCACAUAAAUGCAUUGAAAACUCACUUAAUGCAUAAAAAUGUCCAAACGAACCCUGAAAAAUCACAAAAAAUCACACAACACUCUUGCUGUUCUAUGUUAACAUGAGAAAAAAACUGAAAGCAAUAAUAGGCAAUGGAUAUCGUUUCAUCCCCAAAGGUGGGGCGUCCCCUACCGAAAACCAGCAUGCUUGUUCUGAGAAGCUCCGGUUUGUGAGAAGCAUAUACCUAAACCUGCCCCAAAUUGGGGCAACAUUUUAACCACGAGAUGUUGAUGCCGCUCCAUGAUAGCAUGCCAAGUUUCAUGAAUUUCAGACUGGUUUUGGAUUUACUAGAAUUUAAAAACCAGGCAUCUCAAGUUUUGUCGGCAAUCAACGGUGCCAUGGUGUUUGAAAUUAAUUCCCAUUUCUUGCAUGGGAGCUAAGCAUGCACCCAAGGACACAGAUUUGAUUUUUCAGCUAGUUUAUAUGCACUGGAGCAUGGCCAUGUAUUUCAAAUUUUAAUUAUCCACAUAAAUGCAUUAGAAACUCACUUAAUUCAUAAAAAUGUCCAAACGAACCCCGUAAAAUCACAAAAAUUCACACAACACUCCUGUUGUUUUACGUUGACACGAGAAUUUUUUUGAAAGAAAUAAGAGGCAAUGGACAUCGUUUCGUCCCCAAAGGUGGGACGUUCCCUACCGAAAACCAUCAUGCUUGUUGUGAGAAGCUUAGGUUUGUGAGAAGCAUAUACCCAAACCUGCCCCAAAUGGGACAAAAUUUUUACCAUGGCAUGUUGAUGCCGCUCCGUGAUAGCAUGCAAAGUUUCAUGAAUUUCAGACGAGUUUUGGAUUUACUAGAAUUUAAAAACCAGACUUCUCAAUGUUUUGCUGGCAAUCAAUGGUGCCAUGGUGUUUGAAAUUCAUUCCCAUUCCUUGCAUGGGACCUAAGCACGCACCCAAGGACAAAGAUUUGAUUUUUCAAAUAAUUUAUAUGCACUGGAGCAUGUGCAUGUAGUUCAAAUUUGAAUUAUGCACAUAAAUGCAUUUAAAACUCACUUAAUGCAUAAAAAGGUCCAAACGAACCCUGAAUAAUUCCAAUUCUUUUAUGAUCACUACAGAUAAAAGGUCUAGCAAUUCAAACACCGUCCAUGGCCGCUGUGACCCCAUUAUGUAAUUCAAAUCAAGACGGGAAAUCAAGUAAAUCCCACACAAUUUAUUAUAGCCGACCAUGUGAGAAGCAGCACAAAAUAUCUUUGGACCGUGUAUGAAUAAGGUACCGUGUCUGAUGACACUUUGCGCGCCAAUUUUUUUGCUGAAGCGAUUCCAAAUUUUUAGCUUCCGCGGAAAUAUCUACCUCCCCACCCCCUUACCAAAAGCCACAUUUCCCCUCUUUCCGCCUUCCUUUCCAAGUUGAAACCUUCACUCCUUGCUUGCAGCGCCGCCGCCUCCUCACCGACGACCCUCCAUCACGCUGCUCGGCCUCCUCUAUCCAGGCAGGUAAUCCACACCCGACCCCCAUCCUCCUCCUCCUUCCACAUCCCACAUGCCCUGACCGCCGGCAUGAGUGCGACACCUUCCACCCAAAUAACUGACCCCUCCACCAAAUAAGAGCCGGCCUAAGCCAUGGUGCACGCAGUGUAGCCAGGACCUCAAGGAGCAUUUGGCAGCGGAGAAGAAAAUCAUGGUCGCACGCGCGGAUUAGGUCGCGAUGGAUGCCAUUCGUGCUGAUCGCCAGAUCUUGGAGGAGCACCUCGCCGUCGAGGCCACCGUUGACACCUCACGCGCCGACGUCGCGAUGCGGUUGGAUGCUUUAAACGACAGUUCGUGGCACUUUCUUGAGGACACCAUCGGUGCCUUCGACGAAGACUACGAGGUGUUUACUCAAACUGCACGUGCUUACCUCAUCUCAAGAGCUAGCAGGUUGGUGCCCGUAGCGGCUCAGGCAACUCACCACUACAACGAGGGCACCCAUGAUGCAGAGGCCUCGCCGUCUUCCAUGUCCAAGGAGCCAAUCGUCAUUGAUAUCUCCGACAAUGAGGAGUAGCUUGUCUUAUUAGCUCACUAUAAGGACCCGUGUUCAGUUUGCUAGCUACUGCCUUUCCUUAACAAAUUCUAGUGAAUUGUGCUAUCUACUUUUACCAUGCAAUCUUCUGCUAUAGUGUAUAUGUUCUAUAUGUCGUUCAAUGUGGUGUUCAAUUAACUGCUUGGUUCAAUUGUGCAAAUGUGAUGUUCAAUUCUUCAGGGUGUAAUAUUUCCAAGUUGUUAAGCAUGCUUGGUUUGGUUAACUAUCUGAUCUUCUAUUAGGAGUAUGUCAUAUUGUUUAAUUGGUGUUUACUUAAAUGCUUGGUUCAUUUGUUGUGGCUUGGUGUAACGCCACGGAUGUAACUUACCAUAUUUGUACUCCGACUCUUGCCAUUUUUGGCUCUAAGUUAUGAGAUUCGUGGUUGGGUUUUUGUCUUCAUUUUGCAUUUUGUCCAUGUCAUGCAUUUCAUAUCAUGUCAUCAUGUGCAUCUCAUUGGCAUACGUGUUCGUCUCAUGCAUCCGAGCAUUUUCCUUGUUGUCCGUUUUGCGAUCCGGCACUCCUAUGUCCUCCGGCGCCCCAUUUUGUCUCUUUUCAUGUGCGAGUGUUAGACAUUCUCGGAUUGGACCGAGAUUUUCCAAGCGGCCUUGUUACACCACCGGUAGACCGCCUGUCAAGUUUCAUGCCAUUUGGAGUCCGUUUGAUACUCGAAUGGUUAACCGGGGAACCGUAAAGGCCUCGUGUGUGUUGCAGCCCAACACCCCUACAAAGUGGCCCAAAACCCAUCCAAACCCCCUCCAUCCUCUCGACCGUUCAAUCACGAUCGUGUGGCUAAAAACCGCACCUCAUUCGGACUCUCCUAGCUCCCUCUACCUAUAAAUAUGUGCCCCUUCUGAAAUUUUCGGGCCAAACCCUCACAAACCUCCCUCCUCGCCGUCGGACACGUCCGGACCGCGCCGGACACGUUCGCCCGCCACCACCCGGUGAAUCCGCCGCCCGUCUUCCACCUCCUCCACCGCUCAGCUCCGCCCGAGCGCUAGCGAGCUCGCCACUGGCACCCUCUUCUUCCACUCCGGUGAAGACACCGGCCAUCCUCGGUUCGCGUGCCAGAUCUGGAUCUGGAACCCUAGGGUUGACUUUGAAAUAUCACUAAGUCUUUUUUUACAUUCUGAAGCUCUGGUCAUUGCAUCAUAACUCCUCAUCUAUAGCUCCGUUUUGUGCAUGUCAUAUGUCAAAUUGUUCAUCUAGAUGUCCUCUUCAUUUUGUUCCAUUGCACCAUGCUUGUUUGGGUCCAUCUUGAUGCCCUAAUGACUGUUGCAAGAGUGCUAUAAAAUGUUAGUUCAUGUUUCUUAGCAGAUAUUGAGCAUUUGUCAUUUUUGCCAUCAUUAUUGUGUGCUGCAUAUGGGCACGAGCUCUACAUGUGUUUUGGGAAAUGCCAUGCCAUCUUUAUAGGGGUGUAUGACAUGUAUUUUUUUGGUCAAUGUGGUGACUAGCACAUGCAUGCAAUGUAGCUCUCGUGAUAUUGCUGAUUUCAGGAAUUGAGAAUUUCACUAAGUCAUUUCCCUCCUGUUAUUUUAAUGCCAUGUAUUCAUGUUGGUACAGAGAGAUCCAUGCUUCUUUUGAGUAUGUUCAGUAAGGAUGAUUUGGACAUAUGGUUGUGCUCUAUCCGUCCAUGUCCCUGUUUGCAUUUAUGGAGUACCCUAGCAUGACUCAAUCGUGCUAUACUUUUGCUAUAAAAUGUUCCUGGCAAAUUUUUUAUGUGUUAAUCAAUUUUGCCAAGGUUGUUGUAGUUGAUUCAUGCAUGCUAUGAGCUUGUUCUUGCCAUGGUUAGCUUCUUGAUCAUUCCUUCUUGCUGGUAAUAUGAUUAGUUUGUCAUGCAAUGCCUUGUGUUGAGUGCAUCGAGCUCAAAACGUGCCUUCGUAACUCUGUUUUUGCCAUGUCCAGUUUUCUGCUAAGUCUGAAUCUGUUAACGAAACUUGCUAUGUUUACAUGGGUGCCAUCAUAUUGUCUGUGUCCUUUUGACUUAUCGUCAGUAAGGGACUUUUGUUAUAUGCUUUGAGUAGAUUCAUGCAUUGCCUUGUUUUGCUAUGUCCUGUUCCUGUAGCAUUUUGUUAUCUUGCUCUAAACAUUGCUACCUGAUGUUAAAUCCUGACAUGUUAGUAUUUUCACCAAGUCUGAUGCUGUUAUCUUUUGCACUUUUGCCAUGCUUGUUUGAACCUGCUCUUGUGUGAUUUAGCCGUAGCUCAGUGUUCAUCUUUUGUCAAACAUCUUGAGUAGAUCACUACCAUGUGCUUUGUUGCUAUGUUGGAGUGCAGUAGCUUAGUUUCUUGUUGCAUUCUAGAUGGCAUCGUGCUGUUAAUUGCAGAAUUGUGCCAUUAUUGUUUUGCUUGCCAUUUGCAAACCGUGCAUCCGAUUCCGGUGAUCUUCAUAUCGAUUUCGACAGAAAUCAACUUAUCUUUCCAGCAGCACACUUGGUUUGCCAAGUUGAGGCCUGAUUCAAUCUUUCCCUUCCGAAGCACGCAUAUGCAUUGCAUAUCACAUCCCACAUACCAUGCCAUGUUUUGCAUCAUGUUGCUUGCACAUUGCACCGUGGUUGAUUGUUGUUUCCUUUGCUUGUGUUCUUGUUUUGGGUAGAGCCAGGAGACGAGUUCGUGAUCGUGGAACCCGUUGAGUAUGUUUACGAGGAUCAAGCUUACGUCAACUCAGAGAACUUUGCAGGCAAGAUGACCAUACCCUCGAAAUCACUUAUAUCUUUGCUUGCUAGUUGCUCGCUCUAUUGCUAUGUCGUGAUACCUACCACAUGCUUUAUCAUGCCUCCCAUAUUGGGAUGUCAAGCCUCUAACCCACCUUUCCUAGCAAACCGUUGUUUGGCUAUGUUACCGCUUUGCUCAGCCCCACUUAUAGCGUUGCUAGUUGCAGGUGGAGAUGAAGUUUGUUCCUUAUUGGAACAUGUUUAUUAUUGGGAUAUCAUUAUUAUAUCUUGUUUACUUUAAUGCAUCUGUAUACUUGGUAAAGGGUGGAAGGCUCAGCCUUAUGCCUGAUGUUUUGUUCCACUGUUGCCGCCCUAGUUUCCAUCAUACUGGUGUUAUGUUCCUUGAUUUUGCGUUCCUUAUGCGGUUGAGUUAUAAUGGGAACCCCUUGACAGUUCGCCUGGAAUAAAACUCCUCCAACAAGGCCCAACCUUGGUUUUACCAUUUGCCACCUAAGCCUUUUUCCCUUGGGUUCGGCGGACUCAAGAGUCAUCUUUAUUUUAAACCUCCGGGCUAGUGCUCCUCUGAUUGUUGGUCCAAAACAGAGCCACUUGCCGCGACACCUCGGGGAAACUUGAGGGUUGGUUUUAGUUGUAUGUAGUGUUUAUCUAGUGUGCCCUAAGAAUGAGAUAUGUGCAGCUCCUAUCGGGAUUUAUCGGCACAUCGGGCGGUUUCCUGGUCUUGUUUUACCAUUGUGGAGAUGUCUUGUAACCGGGAUCCCGAGUCCGAUCGGGUCUUCCUGGGAUAAGGAAUAUCCUUCAUUGACCGUGAGAGCUUGUGAUGGGCUAAAUUGGGACAUCCCUGCAGGGUUUUGAACUUUCGAAAGUCAUGCCCGCGAUUAUGGGCAAAUGGGAAUUUGUUUAUAUCCGGUUGUAGAAAACCUAAAACUUAACUUAAUUAAAAUGAAUCAACCGCGUGUGUAGCCGUGAUGGUCUCUUUUCGGCAGAGUCCAGGAAGAGAACACGUUCUCGUGUUAUGCUUGAACAUAAGUAGUUUCAGGAUCACUUCUUGAUCUUUAUAGCUUCUUGACCGUGCUUUGCUUCUCUUCUCACUCUCAUUUGCGUAAGUUAGCCACAAUAUAUGCUAGUGCUUGCAGUAGCUCCACCUCACUACCUUUUCCUACCCAUAAGCUUAAAUAGUCUUGAUCGCGAGGGUGUGAGAUUGCUGAGACCCCGUGACUCACAGAUUACUUCCAAAAACCAGAUGCAGGUGCCGAUGAUGCUAGUGCAAGGGACGCGACCGAACUCAAGUGGGAGUUCAACGAUGUUACUAUGUUUCCUUUCCAGAUGAUCAGUAGUGGAGCCCAGUUGGGGCGAUCGGGGAUCUAUGCAUUUGGGGUUGUCUUUAUUUUGGUUCCAUAGUCGGACCUUGAUAUUAUUCUGGAUGAUGUAAUGCUAUAUUUAUGUAUUGUGUGAAGUGGCGGUUGUAAGACAACUCUCUAUCCCUUUCUUAUUCAGUACAUGGGAUGUGUAAAGAUUACCCCUCUUGCGACAUGCCUACUAUGCGGCUAUGCCUCCAAGUCAUGCUUCGACACAUGGGAGAUAUAGCCGCAUCGUGGGUGUUACACUUGGUUCACUUGUUGUGGUGUUUAGUUAACUGCUUGGUUCAAUUCUUCAAUGCGAUGUUCAAUUGUUGUGGCUGCAUUCUCUAAUUGUAUACCAUGUGAGGAAUAAAUCGAAUUUGGCUGUACUAAAUACAUGAGAAACAAAUACAAUUGCUAUAUUUCCAAGUUGUUAGGAAUGCUUGGUUUGGUUAACCGUCUGAUCUUCUAUUAGGAGUAUUGUUAUAUUGUGCAAUGUGGUGCUCGGUUAAUGUUUGGUUCAUUUGUUGGUGUUUAGUUAACUUCUUGGUUCAAUUCUGCAAUGCGAUGUUCAAUUGUUGUGGCUGCAUUCUGUUAUUGUAUACCAUGUGAGGAAUAAAUUGAAUUUGGCUGUACUAAAUACAUGAGAAACAAAUACAAUUGCUAUAUUUCCAAGUUGUUAAGCAUGCUUGGUUUGGUUAACUGUCUGAUCUUCUAUUACGAGUAUGUUAUAUUGUGCAAUGUGGUGCUCAGUUAACGUUUGGUUCAUUUGUUGUGGUGUUUAGUUAACUGCUUGGUUCAAUUCUGCAAUGCGAUGUUCAAUUGUUGUGGCUGCAUUUUAUUAUUGUAUAACAUGUGAGGAAUAAAUCGAAUUUGACUGCACUUAAUACAUGAGAAACAUAUACAUGUGCUAUAUUUCCUAGUUCAAAAUUAUGCUUGGUUUGGAUAAAUGGGUUUUCCAUGUGGCCUGAAUUAAUCUGAUGAAUCUACAAUGUGCUUAUUUUUCAUCAACAUAUUUUACUGAUAGCAUGCGAACCCUUACUUAACCUGAUGACUAACUACCUUAUAUGUGUUGCAGGGAAACAAUGGGAAGCACUGAGGUUUACAAGAUGGUACUAAAUAUUAUACCUUGCCUUUUUAAUUCCUUUGCCCCGUUUCCAAUAUAGAGAAGAUAUUUAUGCACAUCCUUGUUUUUAGUGUGCAUUGAUGAUUACCUCUCAAACCACCUCUGUGGUCAGGAGGCGAGGAAUGUUUUCAUACAACAUCCAUGGUUCAAUAUUGAAGUGUUCCUGAAGAGGUCGAAGGUGGACGGUCAAUCAUCCACAUGCACUGGCCUAAAGUUACAAAGACCUUCAAAAUGAAUGAAGGCUCAAUAUUUGCCUUCCGCUUCAACAGUUUUCCAGAUGAGAUGCAUCUCUCUAUGUCCUGUCUAUGAUGCUAAUUUUGAAAGGUUCUAGAUGUUGCAUGUGAAACUUGCUGCCGGUGUAGUUGUGUAAUGGGGUAGGUGAGUGCUGAAGCUAUAUCAUGUUGUACUCUGAUGUAUUUCAAUUAUGAAAUCCUGCUUCCUUAAUACACUACAAAAAAGACACAUCCGUGACAUUUUGGGCCAAACGAAUUUUUUCUGUCAUACUUAUGACAUUUCUAUGACGAUAAUUGCGACAAAACCCGGUAGCAUCAUAGAUGUGGUGGGCUCCUACUUCUAUGAUAAAUAAUCAUGACAGAAAAUGGGCUUUUCGUCCUGGGCGGGCCGGAGACACAGCUGCAUGACAUUCUUUGGGCCGUCCAUGGCGGAAAAAACCAUGGUAGAAGUGAGGGCUAGGAAAAUAUCGGGGUGUUCCCGGUUACGGUGGGUGGUCGGGGUGGAGCGAUGCGCGUUUCUCUCGUACACGCACGCACAUGUGUGCGAGGCAUUGGGCUCUAACUGAACCCGAGCGAGGCGUUCGCCUACUGAACUCGAGCGAUUGCACUCCAGGCUACGCGUUACUGAACCCGAGCAAUCGAUCGAUCACUGUUAACUGUACCCGAUCGAGUGAUUCCUUCACUACUGCUACUAACUAAAGCCGAUUGAUGCUGCCUUUGGAUGAAUAGUGAGCAUUGCUGGGGGGUUUGGAUGAAUAGUUCCUGGUGGGGGUGGAUGAACAGGACCCCGUGGUGUUGCCUCUGGAUGAACAGGACCCCGAUCGAUCGAGCUAGUUAGGGCUGGAUGAACAGGACCACCCCGUGGAGGGAUGGAUGAACAGUAAAUGGUGGAGGGUUGGAUGAACAGUAGCCCAUGGAUGGGUGGCUGAACAGGAGCCCAUGGAGAGGGCUGGUUGAAUAGUAGCUAGUGGAGUAGCGUGUGGUGGAGGCUGGAUGAAUAGGAGCCCGUGGAUGAACAGUCGCAGGUGGAGGCUGGAGGAGGUCGAUGGUGGAUGAACAGUAGCCCAUGGAGGCUGGAGGGGGUCGACGGUGGAGAUGAACAGUAUCCCGUGGAGUCCUGUUUUGCGGUAUGCCACGCCCCUCCCGAUGAACAGGACCCCCGUUUCGACCGUAGCACUCCAACACAACUCCGUUUCCUCUGUUUUGCGGUACGCCACACCCCUCCCGAUCAACAGGACCCCGUUUCGACCAUAGGAGGUACGUUUCCUCCGUUUUGCGGUACGCCAGACCCCUCCCGAUGAACAGGAUCCCGUUUAGAACGUGGCUGGUCGAACACAAGGCCGUUUCCUCCGUUCUGCGGUACGCCAGGCCUCGAUUCCAUCGGCUAUUCCGUCCAAGCCCUCCCGAUGAACACGACGACGCAUUCCAUUCUAAACUAGCCGGUUUUAAGAUAGUUUCUUUUAAUGGAGCAUGGUAUAGUAGGUACUCCUGGAUCUCCAAGUUUCUUUGGUAUUCCACCCUUAAAAGUAUAAUUAGCAAUCAUGGUGGAAAUUUCAGCUUAUGGUAUCUUUCUUUUAUUUGUAACAAUAUCUUUCAUGUACUUAGCAUAAGGAUUCAUUUUGAGCAUAUCAGUUAAUCGCAUACGCAAAAAGAUAGGUCUAAUCAUUUCAGCAAAGCGCUCAAAAUCCUCAUCAUCCUUUUUCUUGGAUGGUUUGGGAGGAAAAGGCAUGGGUUUCUGAACCCAAGGAUGUCUUUCUUUACCAUGUUUCCUAGCAACAAAGUCUUUAUUAUCAUAACAUUGAUUCUUUGAUUGUGGAUUAUCAAGAUCAACAGCAGGUUCAAUUUCUACAUCAUUAUCAUUACUAGGUUGAGCAUCAUUAUGAACAUCAUCAUUAACAUUUUCAUUAGGUUCAUGUUCAUUACUAGGUUGUGUUUCAGCUUCAGACAUAGAUAUAUCAUUUGGAUUAUCAGGUGGUUCAGCAAUAGGUUCACUAGAAGUUUGCACAGUUCUAUCAUUUUUCUUUUUGUUCCUUUUAGAAGAACUAGGUGUAUCAAUAUUAUUUCUCUGAGAAUCUUGCUCAAUUCUCCUAGGGUGGCAUUCAGGGUACAAAGGUUCCUAAGUCAUUCUACCAGUUCUAGUAGCCACUUUAACAGCAUAAUUAUUUUUCUUACUAUUCAUCUCAUUGAGCAAUUGCUUUUGAGCUUUAAGUACUUGUUCUACUUGAGUGGUAACCAUAGAAGCAUGUUUGCUAACAAGUUUAAGUUCACCUCUAAUAUUAGCCAUAUAAUCACCCAAGUAUUUAAUCAUCUCAGCAUCUUGUUUUAAUUGUCUACCAAAAUAAGCAUUGAAGUCUUCUUGCUUAAACAUAAAAUUAUCAAAUUCAUCCAAGCAUUGACUAGCAAUUUUAGCAGGAGGGAUUUCAGCUUUAUCAUAUCUAUAGAGAGAAUUUACCUUUACUACCUGUGUCGGGUUAUAGAGGUCUGGAGGUUCUUCAACAAGUAAAGGAUCAAGAUCAUAUGUUUCUUCGGCAGGCGGUAAAUUAAGACCAUGUAUUUCUUCAAUAGGAGAUAAAUUCUUAACAUCUUCAACUUUAAUACCUUUUUCUUUCAUAGAUUUCUUUGCCUCUUGCAUAUCUUCGGGGCUGAGAAAUAGAACACCUCUCUUCUUCGGAGUUGGUUUAGGAAUAGGAUCAUUAAUUGGAGCAGGAGCUGGCUCAGGAGGUGGCUCAGGAGGUGCCCAAUUAUUUUCAUUUGUCAACAUAUUAUUCAAUAAGAUUUUAGCUUCAUCUGGUGUUCUUUCCCUGAAAAGAGAACCAGCACAACUAUCCAGGUAAUCUCUGGAAGCAUCGGUUAGUCCAUUAUAAAAGAUAUCAAGUAUUUCAUUUUUAUUAAGAGGAUGAUCAGGCAAAGCAUUAAGUAACUUGAGAAGCCUCCCCCAAGCUUGUGGGAGACUCCCUUCUUUAAUUUGCACAAAGUUGUAUAUUUCCUUUAAAGCAGCUUGUUUCUUAUGAGCAGGGAAAUAUUUAGCAGAAAAGUAAUAGAUCAUAUCCUGGGGUGUAGCGACCCGACCUGAAUGGGUCAAGUCUCUUUGCUUAAGUGUCAUCCCUGGAUCGGUAUGCUGACACACACAGUACUCAAGGAUUUAUAACAAAGGUAAAUCACAUGUAUACAAUAACGUAAAUACUAUUACCUCAAUCCAAAAUAGCGGAAGCAACAAGGUUGUGGAUUCCCAUCAACACCAACGGCAAAGUUGAGUGUAGAAUCGUAACCCUAACGUAUCACUUACUCGUCGUAAGAAACCUGCAACAUGAGACGUUGCAGCCCGAAACAGGUCAGUACAUUGAAUGUACUAGCAAAUUCACACCAUAGAGAAAAUGAUGAACAAUGGCUAUCACUAUAUGCAUAUAUGGCUGGUGGAAAAGCUCUAUGUUUAUAAUGUUUUUGCGAAAAGCCAAUUUUUCCCUACUGCAAAGGAAUACAUUUUAAUUAACUAUCGUGGUGGUUGUUGAACAUUGAGAAUGAUUGACAGCAUUCUCAAUCCCAAUUAAGCAUCAUCAUUAAAACCCAACAAUAUUCAUUUAAAGUAACAUGAUGAGAUCAACAGGAUAAUCCAAGAACUAGAUACUCAAGAUGUCCAUAACCAGGGACACGGCUAAUCAUGAUUAGUUUGUACACUCUGCAGAGGUUUGCGCACUUUUCCCCACAAGACUCGAUCGCCUCUGUUGGAUUUCUCGCACUACAUGGUGUUUGUGAAACGGAUGACCGAGACACAGUCUUUCAGAAGCGCUAGCACCUUACGAUGGAUAAACCGGUACACCUACUUUCCCCUACAUCUGCUAGUCUACCCUGUAAGAGUUCGCACGGCUUAUUCAACUAUGCCAGAGCCCAUAAUGGCUUGUGGCUGCACACGGAAGUUUCUAGUUUGAAAAAUCUCAUGAUCCCUUUGAGCCUGGGUGGUGGCCCAAAAGAAAACAGGCAAGUCCUGGAUUACCCAGGUGCCUAGACAGGCAAUCCUAGAAUAACCAGGUGCCUCAAUCCACCCAGAUGUGUGUUUAAGUUGCCACCUUAAGUAAACCAUUAAUUAACAAUCUCACAUCUGUCAUGGAUACUCUCAAAACCCAAUCCACGUCUACGAGCAUAGCAUGGCCAUGUAAGCAUAACGUAAAAGUAACUCCCAAGGUUUAAAUGUAGGGCAUUAGGUUCCUACCUCAUCAACUACUUCCCAAUACCCACAUGUUAUCAAUCCUACUCAUGCAAUGUUUGAGGGUGAAACUAAUGCAUAAAAACUGGGUAUGGAAGGGGAUAUGAUCAAAGUGUGAACUUGCCUGCAAUGUUGAUGAAGAUGAUUCACACUCAAAACUCUAGAUAGCUCUACUCGUCACACUCCGGUCAAUCUAUCGUAAGCAAGCAAUAGUAACCACACAUAAGCAAUCACUCCAAAGAUCAGAAAGAACGAAGAAGACGAUUUGGAAACAUCAAAACCAAGCAAAUAACUCUUGCAACAUAAAACAAUUUCUAACGGUACCAAAAUUAUGUGAAUUUGGCCUUAUUAGAAUGUUAGGUCAAGAGCUUCGAUUUGCAAAAAGAAUCAACUGAAACGGAGCUACGAAACUCAAGUUAUGAUCAAACGAAGUUUGAAUUCAAAUCUGGUCUAAUUCAAAUUUUAAACCUUUCAAAAACGGAGUUGGAUUGCUGGAUAGAGGAGAUCAUAACGAAGACGUGGGCGUUGGUUUCGUCUAAUUCCGACUAACGAGCAAAAAGUUAUAGACGUUUGAAAAUCAGGGGCUGAUCUGUAAAGAAAAUAUUCAUGUAUGGGUCCCUGGACUGAGAACUAAAGAAAAAAAAGAAAAAGAGAAAUCUAAAAAGUGAACAUUCGUUACUGAACGCUAACUAACAAAUUUGCUCACUACGAAGAGGUAAACAGCGAGCAUUCGCUAUUUAACAAAUAUUGGUUCGAAAAAAAAACGACUAGAUCUAAUCCUAGCCGUUGACCCUAGAUCUAACGGACGAGGGAGGAGCCGGGCUUACCGCGGCGGUGGGCGUCGGCGUCGCCGGAGAAGAUGGCAGCGGCGGCGUCGGCUUCGAGCGGGCGGCGGCUCUAGGGCUCAACGGCGCCGGCGAAGUAGAUGGGGAGGAGCGGCUCGGCGAGGCGAGUCCGAAGGGGGUGGUGGCGUCGGGCGUAGGCGGCGGUGGAACGAGGCGCGACGGCGGCGGAUCUCGUUGGAGUUCGGACUCCGGCGAGGUUUGUGCGAGGCUGCGGGAGGCGAUGGCGGCUCCGGUUGGAGGAAAAAGAGGCCGGGGUCCGGGGCGGCUCUAUUUAUGGAGGGGAGGGGCGGCGAGAUGCGUGGAGGAGGGGGCAAGAAGAGGCCGGUGGCGGCACGGAGGCGACGGUGAUGGCGUCGCGGCUCGGGACUACGUCCCGAGCUUGGGGACGAGCGGCAGGCUAGCUGGGCUGGGCCGCGGCCUGGCAGGAGCUGGGCCGCGGCCUGGCAGGAGCCGGGCCGGCCCAGUCGGUCAGGGAAGUUCUUUUUUUUAAACAUUACUUUCCAGACAAAUAAAAUAAUAAAAGCAAAAUAAAUAAAAAUACUAUAUAGGCAUAUAAUAUACCAAAAUUUUCAGAAAAACAUUUUCUACGACAUGAACAUUUUUCUAGCAUUAAAUAAAAUACACAAAUUCUAAUAAUUCAAAGAGUGCUACUGGUCUGAUAGAAUCCAACAAAAAACAUUUUAAAAAAUACCAAAAUGAUUUCAAAUAAAUUUUUCUCCAAUUUUCUAAUGUAGGGAAUCAUGUUACCCUAUUUUCCAUGUAUUUUGAUUUUGGAGAAAAAUAAUUUGAAUAAAACUCAAAUAAAUCCAAAUUGAAAAUAAAUUCAAAAGAACUUUGAAUUUAAAUCUUUGAACUCCCAACUCAUAUUUCAUAUAAUUUGAAGAAGUCCUUUUAUCUUCUCUCAUGAAAAUCAUUGAGCUGCAUGAAGUUUAUGAAUUGAAAUAUUUCCAAAUGAAAUCCAAUUAUUUUCAAAUACCCUUUCAUUUAAUUUAAAUGGAAGAAGUCAUAUCAUCUUCGCUCAAGGGUUUUGUAUUUGAAAAGAAUUUGAAUUCAUGGAGAUCAGAAAGCAAAUAUGAAAGUUUGGGAAAGUCCUUUUAUUCCCUCUCAUUUAACUUUCAAAAGGUUUUGAAUUUCACUCAAUUUCACACAAUCAAUCAAACAAUCAGUCAAAUCUAUCUAUUUAUUAUAACAUUCCAAAAAUUAGAAUUUUGGGAUGUUACAAACCUACCACCCUUAAAUGAAUCUCGUCCUCGAGAUUUGGAGAGGCUAGAAAGAAAAUAGGUUAGGGUUUGGGGGUCUCCUCAAAAUCCAUCGAUCAUCACACGGGGUCUGGGGGCUACCACCCUUAGAAGCAUGGUUACAGUUCCAUCAAAACUCAUAUACUUCAUCCAUAUUGUUAAUAGUGUCGGUCUUCUCAGAUCCUCGAGAAAAUUCCUUCUCUGAGCUCUUCCGGUAGUGGCAUAACCUUUUCCUCAAUUCUUCUGUCUUUCAUCUAGGUAAGGUUCUUCUGUGACUGGUCUUCUUAGCUGACGGGUCUGGCGCCAAACUAAACAACUAUCGAUAUCUCAUGGUGGUCAACAAUUUGUGGUUUCUCCUGCAGGAAAUGGGUCUCGGUGAUCCUCACCGUAUAACCUAUGGUUGGCAAAGCUGCCUUGUACAAGGGAAAAAUACCUAUACCAUUCUAAGGUUCAAACAAGGUUUUGAUCAUCGUCUCUCCACUAUAGGUAAGUCACUCAGAUUUACCAUCCCAUAUAGCAAGGCGAAUAAUAAGAGUAAGUCGGUAUGGUGAUCAAUCCAUCCCGCACCCAAAUCAUUACCCUGUAUAUGCUUUAGUGAAUCUCGCAUUCUAACACUUGGUCAUCCUCACAAGCAUUGCAGAAUUUCUCUCAUCGACGAACCAAGUUCGGAAUAAUCCAUUGAUUCUGCAAGCCAGACAAACAUCUAUCGUUCCUUCACAACUCUUAGGUUUUGCGUUGCUCCUAUAAAAUCUUCUAUCGAUAAGAUCGUAUCUUCGUCCAGGGUUUUUCCUUCAGCAAGAGUGUGCUUGCUUCUUGGCAGGUCCUGGGGCCUGUGGGUUAUGGCCCAUCUCGUCACUUGUAAUCCUUGAACUUAUCAUUGGGCAACUUAUCAUUAUUACAUCUUCCAACUUCCUAGUAUUCUUAAACCCAUCCAAUUGUACUGUCCUCCUUCCUUCUAUUGGCACCAAACUAGGACAUGAUUACUCAGACUCAUCAUGGAGUUUCCAUUGAUCCAUAUUUCCGACAUCAUACCUCCUUUAUAUCCAAUAGUAAUUCAUCUCUUCAUCCUCGUGGGAUAUCCCUCAUAUCAAGGUAAAAACUUAUACUUAUGAAGUCCAUAUUCCACUUCGUGGAACAUCAUUAUCCUUUCCAGGGUCAAGCGUCCUUACAGGGGAAUAUUGGCCAUCUCUGCAUGGCACUUCUUCAAAUGGGAAACGUGAAACACAUCAUGAACUCCUGACAGUCCUUCGGGUGACUCCAACUUGUUGGCCACUUCUCCCAUACGCUCCAAAACUCAGUAUGGUCAUACAAAUCUCGGGGCUAACUUUACCUUAACUCCAAUUAGUUUAACUCCUCACAGAGGGAACACAUGAAGAUAUGCUCUGUCUCCAAUUUCAUAGACUACCUCCUUGCGUUUUUAAGUCUGCAUAACUCUUCUGCCUGGACUGAGCUACCUUCAGUCUAUCUCGAAUCAACUUAACAUUCCCUUCUGACUCCUUGAUCACAUUUGGUCCAAACAACUGACGGUCUCCAACUUCAUCCCUCAUCAACGGUGUCUAGCUCCUUCUCCCAUACAAAGCUUAAAAAGGGGACAUCUUCAAACUGGCUUGGUAACUGUUGUUGUAUGUGAACUCCAUGUAAGGUAGAUUAUCAUCCCUACUAGAUCCAUAAUCUAGCGCACAUGCUCUCAACAUGUCCUCCAAAAUCUGAUUAACUCUCUCAGUCUGUCUAUCUAUCUACGGAUGAAAGGCUGUACUGAACUCUAGCCCAGUACCCAAAGCCUGAUGCAGCUGAUUCCAACUUUGAGGUAAACUGUGUUCCUCUUUCUGAUACGAUGGUCCUCGGAACUCCAUGCAGACAUACGAUCCUGGUCAUAUAUAUCUUGGCCAACUUCGCACUUGUAUAUGUGGUUUUCACUGGGAUAAAGUGAGCCACUUUGGUCAAGCGAGUCAACUACUACCCAGAUAAAAUCAUAUCCUGAUUCGGGUUCUGGCAAUUCCAGUAAUGAAUCCAUGCCAAGCUUAUCCCACUUCCAUUUGGGUAUUGGCAUAGGCUGUAGUAAUCCUGCUGGCUUAUGAUGCUCUGCCUUCACUCUCUGACAUACAUCACAUAUGGUUACAUACUCGGCAGUAUCCUUCUUCAUCCCCGUCCACCAGAAACGUUCCUUCAAAUCUAAAUACAUCUUGGUGUUUCCAGGGUGAAUCGAGUAUGGUGAGUCAUGAGCCUACUAAAGUAUUAACUUCCUGAUCUUUGCAUUGUUGGGCACAUAUACACGGUCCUCGAACCAUAAGGUGUCGUGCUCAUCCUUAUGAAAACCUUUGGCCUUUUCUUUGCUCAUCCUCUCCUUUACCACAUCAAUUUCUUUACCAUCGUUCUGAGCUUCACGGAUCUUUCGCAACAAUGUAGACUGAACUUCCAUUGCUGCAACAAAACCUUUAAGAACAAUCUCCAACCGAAGUUCCUUGAAAUCCUCGGCUAACUCCUUUGGUAAUCCUCCGCUUAUGAGGGUAUUCAUCCUUGUUUUCUUUAUGGUUGUGUCCUAUUUCUCCAUAGAGCUUGUAUGCACAAGGUUUCUUCAUAUCCUUUCCAUAAGGCCUCAAUUACUGGGACACAAGCCAAGACUUUAGCAAAGUCAACUUAAUUUCUUUCCAAGUGGUUAUUCUUUGCCAUCCAUUGAUGGUUUUGUACAUUCUCCACCAAGUAGUAGCAACUCUUACAAAGCACUGAAAAGCAUGCUGGGUCAUAUCCUUUCCGGCUACAGGGUUAUUCUCCAUGUGAUCCUCCAUGUUCUGAGUACAUCAGUCUGUCUCCAAUUGACUCAUCGAUCCAGAAAAUAUGGUUUUAUCUCCAUUCAUCCUCUUGGGUCCAGGGGUUUGGGGUGGGGUAAGAGAGAUAGAGAGGGAUGCACACAAUACAAACAAUGGUUUUGAAAAGACAGAUUUUAUUGUGGCUGUCGGGAAAACAUCAAACAAAUGACAGCUCACAAUCGUCGCAUCUAACGUAGGUAUAUAACAGGGGUUUGGUCUUCUAGAGGUCAACAUCGCCAAACUCUUCAAGUCUUGUUCAUGUCUCCGAUGGCUUCUUCCCAUCGUACCUGUCCUUCUUAAGUUCUUUUGCCUAAUCAACUCUAUUGUCGCGAAGUCUCUCAUGACAUCCUUUAAUAUUCCUGGAGUUGCAUUCCAAACUUCUGGGUUUCAACAUCCUUGGCAUGAACCAUGGUCCUACCAUCCUUCAGUUCCUGACGGUUCUCCUGUAUGUUGAGGUUUUGCUCCUCCAGCUUGGAUACUUUCAGCUUCUGGGUCCUGAGUUCUUCACGAAACGCUUCUUUAUCAAAUACUGCUUCUUGUAGGUCCAUGUUAACUUCUUGAUGUAACACUCCAGAUCCUGGUGAUGCACCUGCUAAGGUUAAAACUUCAUCUUGCUGAUAGGUGAUCCAUCAGCCUUCUACCAUCCAAUCCUUCCAUGCAUAGGCAUGCUUAACUCAGCACGGUGACAAUAGCAUAAGCCGGCGAUAACCUCAUGGAUAUCCGUGUUUCUUCCCUUUGUCAUUUCCAUGAGCUAUCUCUCCAUAGUUGAUAUCUCCUACAUUGGGGUUUCCUGGACAAAUUUGAGUUUUUUUAACUCUCCAUGCUCCGGUCUUUCUCCGAUACACCUUGAUCUCGGGUAUGGACAACUUCCAUAGUCUGCCAAGUUCCAUAUGGGUAGCCUUCCUAGGUCAUAAAAAUCUGGGGAUUCUUCAGAGCCUUCAAAUUCUCCUAGUCUUCGGAGUCUUCAACCACUGUAGUUUCCAUUAUCAUAAUGCUCGGUAAAAUCUUCUUCAUUCCGUAGUGGUCUUAGUUGUCCAAUAUCUUGUACUUCUUGGAGUGGUCUCAUCAGUCGAAUCUUCGUGUGGUCAAAAGGGGAAAGGGGUAUAGUCUCACUAAAAGGGAAUAUUUGAAUAAGCUCAGAAGAGAAGAGAGGUAAAAAGGUCUUUUUGAAAAGGAAAGUUGUAGGGAAAAUCUUUCCUAUGGGCUUGCCAGCUUCUAGGGUCACGUCCUACAGUCAACAUGUGCUCUGAUACCAUCUUGUAGCGACCCGACAUGAAUGGGUCAAGUCUCUGUGCUUAAGUGUCAUCCCUGGAUCGGUAUGCUGACACACACAGUACUCGAGGAUUUAUAACAGAGGUAAAUCACAUGUAUACAAUAACGUAAAUACUAUUACCUCAAUCCAAAAUAGCAGAAGCAACAAGGUUGUGGAUUCCCAUCAACACCAACGGCAAAGUUGAGUGUAGAAUCGUAACCCUAACGUAUCACUUACUCGUCGUAAGAAACCUGCAACAUGAGACGUUGCAGCCCGAAACGGGUCAGUACAUUGAAUGUACUGGCAAAUUCACACCAUAGAGAAAAUGAUGAACAAUGGCUAUCACUAUAUGCAUAUAUGGCUGGUGGAAAAGCUCUAUGGUUAUAAUGUUUUUGCGAAAAGCCAAUUUUUCCCUACUGCAAAGGAAUACAUUUUAAUUAACUAUCAUGGUGGUUGUUGAACAUUGAGAAUGGUUGACAGCAUUCUCAAUCCCAAUUAAGCAUCAUCAUUAAAACCCAACAAUAUUCAUUUAAAGUAACGUGAUGAGAUCAACAGGAUAAUCCAAGAACUAGAUACUCAAGAUGUCCAUAACCGGGGACACGGCUAAUCAUGAUUAGUUUGUACACUCUGAAGAGGUUUGCGCACUUUUCCCCACAAGACUCGAUCGCCUCCAUUGGAUUUCUCGCACUACAUGGUGUUUGAGAAACGGAUGACCGAGACACAGUCUUUCAGAAGCGCUAGCACCUUACGAUGGAUAAACCGGUACACCUACUUUCCCCUACAUCUGCUAGUCUACCCUGUAAGAGUUCGCACGACUUAUUCAACUAUGCCAGAGCCCAUAAUGGCUUGUGGCUGCACACGGAAGUUUCUAGUUUGAAAAAUCUCAUGAUCCCUUUGAGCCUGGGUGGUGGUCCAAAAGAAAACAGGCAAGUCCUGGAUUACCCAGGUGCCUAAACAGGCAAUCCUAGAAUAACCAGGUGCCUCAAUCCACCCAUAUGUGUGUUUAAGUUGCCACCUUAAGUAAACCAUUAAUUAACAAUCUCACAUCUGUCAUGGAUACUCUCAAAACCCAAUCCACGUCUACGAGCAUAGCAUGGCCAUGUAAGCAUAACGUAAAAGUAACUCCCAAGGUUUGAAUGCAGGGCAUUAGGUUCCUACCUCAUCAACUACUUCCCAAUACCCACAUGUUAUCAAUCCUACUCAUGCAAUGUUUGAGGGUGAAACUAAUGCAUAAAAACUGGGUAUGGAAGGGGAUAUGAUCAAAGUGUGAACUUGCCUGCAAUGUUGAUGAAGAUGAUUCGCACUCAAAACUCUUGAUAGCUCUACUCGUCACACUCCGGUCAAUCUAUCGUAAGCAAGCAAUAGUAAACACACAUAAGCAAUCACUCCAAAGAUCAGAAAGAACGAAGAAGACGAUUCGGAAACAUAAAAACCAAGCAAAUAACUCUUGCAACAUAAAACAAUUUCUAACAGUACCAAAAUUAUGUGAAUUUGGCCUUAUUAGAAUGUUUAGCUCAAGAGCUUCGAUUUGCAAAAAGAAUCAACUGAAACGGAGCUACGAAAUUCAAGUUAUGAUCAAACAAAGUUUGAAUUCAAAUCUGGUCUAAUUCCAAUUUUAAAAUUUUCAAAGACAUGUUUGAGUUGGAUUACUGGAUAGAGGAAAUCAUAAGAAAGACGUGGGCGUUGGUUUCGUCUAAUUCCGACUAACGAGCAAAAAGUUAUAGUCGUUUGAAAAUCAGGGGCUGAUCUGUAAAGAAAAUAUUCACGUAUGGGUCCCUGGACUGAGAACUAAAGAAAAAAAGAAAAAGAGUAAUCAUUCGUUACCGAACGGUAACUAACAAAUUUGCUCGCUACGAAGAGGUAAACAGCGAGCGUUCGCUAUUUAACAAAUACCGGUUCGAAAAAAAAACGACUAGAUCUAAUCCUAGUCGUUGACCCUAGAUCUAACGGACGAGGGAGGAGCCGGGCUUACCGUGGCGGUGGGCGUCGGCGUCGCCGGAGAAGAUGGCAGCGGCGGUGUCGGCUUCGAGCGGGCGGCGGCUCUGGGGCUCAACGGCGCCGACGAAGUAGAUGGGGAGGAGCGGCUCGGCGAGGCGAGUCCGAAGGGGGUGGUGGCGUCGGGCGUAGGCGGCGGUGGCACGAGGCGCGAUGGUGGCGGAUCUCAUCGGAGCUCGGACUCCGGCGAGGUUUGUGCGAGGCUGCGGGAGGCGAUGGCGGCUCCGGUUGGAGGAAAAAGAGGCCGGGGUCCGGGGCGGCUCUAUUUAUGGAGGGGAGGGGCGGCGAGAUGUGUGGAGGAGGGGGUAAGAAGAGGUCGGCGGCGGCACGGAGGCGACGGUGAUGGCGUCGCGGCUCGGGACUCCGUCCCGAGCUCGGGGACAAGCGGCAGGCUAGCUGGGCUGGGCCGCGGCCUGGCAGGAGCCGGGCCGGCCCAGUCGGUGAGGGAAGUUCUUUUUUUUAAAACAUUAUUUUCUAGACAAAUAAAAUAAUAAAAGCAAAAUAAAUAAAAAUAUUAUAUAGGCAUAUAAUAUAUCAAAAUUUUCAGAAAAAUAUUUUCUACGACAUGAACAUUUUUCUAGCAUUAAAUAAAAUACACAAAUUCUAAUAAUUCAAAGAGUGCUACUGGUCUGAUAGAAUCCAACAAAAAACAUUUUAAAAACUACCAAAAUGAUUUCAAAUAAAUUUUUCUCCAAUUUUCUAAUGUAGGGAAUCAUGUUACCCUAUUUUCCAUGUAUUUUGAUUUUGGAGAAAAAUAAUUUGAAUAAAACUCAAAUAAAUCCAAAUUGAAAAUAAAUUCAAAAGAACUUUGAAUUUAAAUCUUUGAACUCCCAACUCAUAUUUCAUAUAAUUUGAAGAAGUCCUUUUAUCUUCUCUCAUGAAAAUCAUUGAGCUGCAUGAAGUUUAUGAAUUGAAAUAUUUCCAAAUGAAAUCCAAUUAUUUUCAAAUACCCUUUCAUUUAAUUUAAAUGGAAGAAGUCAUAUCAUCUUCGCUCAAGGGUUUUGUAUUUGAAAAGAAUUUGAAUUCAUGGAGAUCAGAAAGCAAAUAUGGAAGUUUGGGAAAGUCCUUUUAUUCCCUCUCAUUUAACUUUCAAAAGGUUUCAAAUUUCACUCAAUUUCACAUAAUCAAUCAAACAAUCAGUCAAAUCUAUCUAUUUAUUAUAACAUUCCAAAAUUUAGAAUUUUGGGAUGUUACAUGGGGACUACACACACAACCAGGAUCAAGAGAAUUAAACCAUAUCUUAGCAUCACCCUUUAAUGAGAACGGAAAUAUUUUAAGGAUAUAAAAGUAGUGAGAUCUCUCAUCAUUAGUGAACAGGGUGGCUAUAUCAUUUAAUUUAAUAAGAUGUACCACAACAGUUUCAGAUUCAUAGCCAUGAAAAGGAUCAGAUUCAACUAAAGUAAUUAUAUCAGGAUCAACAGAGAAUUCAUAAUCCUUAUCAGUAACACAGAUAGGUGAAGUAGCAAAAGCAGGGUCAGGUUUCAUCUUAGCAUUUAGAGAUUGCUUAUUCCAUUUAGCUAAUAACCUUUUGAAUUCAUAUCUAUCUUUGCAAGAUAAAAUGGCUAAAGAAGCUUCUUGAUCAAAUAAAUAACCCUCAGGAAUAACAAGUGAUUCUUCAUCAUCACUUUCAUCAUCAUAAUCAGAUUCAAUAUUUUCAAUCUCUCUAGCCCUAGCAAGUCGUUCCUCGAGAAAAUCACCAAGUGGCACAAUAGUAUCAGGCAUAGAGGUAGUUUCAUCAUAAGUAUCAUGUAUAGCAGAAGUGGCAUCAUCAAUAACAUGCGACAUAUCCGAACGAAUAGAAGAAGCAGGUGUAGGUGUCGCAAGCUUACUCAAAACAGAAGGUGAAUCAAGUGCAGAGCUAGAUGGCAGUUCCUUACAUCCCCUCGUAGUUGAGGGAUAAAUUGUUGUCUUAGCGUCUUUCAAACUCUGCAUAGUGUCGAGCAGAUAUAAAUCCCAAGUGACUCAAAGAAUAGAGCUAUGCCCCCCGGCAACGGCGCCAUAAAUUAGUCUUGAUAACCCACAAGUAUAGGGGAUCGCAAUAGCUUUCGAGGGUAGACUAUUCAACCCAAAUUUAUUGAUUCGACACAAGGGGAGCCAAAGAAUAUUCUCAAGUAUUAGCAGCUGAGUUGUCAAUUCAACCACACCUGGAAACUUAGUAUCUGCAGCAAAGUGUUUAGUAGCAAAGUAAUAUGAUAGUGAUGGUAACGGUAACAAAAGAGUAACAAAAGCAAAAUAAUAUUUUUGGUAUUUUGUAGUGAUUGUAACAAUAGCAACGAGAAAGUAAAUAAGCGUAAACCAGUAUAUGGAAAGCUCGUAGGCAUCGGAUCAAUGAUGGAUAAUUAUGCCGGAUGUGGUUCAUCAUGUAACAGUCAUAACAUAGGGUGACAUAGAACUAGCUCCAAUUCAUCAAUGUAAUGUAGGCAUGUAUUCCGAAUAUAGUCAUACGUGCUUAUGGAAAAGAACUUGGAUGACAUCUUUUAUCCUACCCUCCCGUGGCAGCGGGGUCCUAAUGGAAACUAAGGGAUAUUAAGGCCUCCUUUUAAUAGAGAACCAGAACAAAGCAUUAGCACAAAGUGAAUACAUGAACUCCUCAAACUACGGUCAUCACCGGUAAGUAUCCCGAUUAUUGUUACUUCGGGGUUAACGGAUCAUAACACAUAAUAGGUGACUAUAGACUUGUAAGAUAGGAUCAAGAACUCUCAUAUAUUGAUGAAAACAUAAUAGGUUCAGAUCUGAAAUCAUGGCACUCGGGCCCUAGUGACAAGCAUUAAGCAUAGCAAAGUCAUAGCAACAUCAAUCUCAGAACAUAGUGGAUACUAGGGAUCAAACCCUAACAAAACUAACUCGAUUACAUGAUAAAUCUCAUCCAACCCAUCACCGUCUAGCAAGCCUACGAUGGAAUUACUCAUGCACGGCGGUGAGCAUCAUGAAAUUGGUGAUGGAGGAUGGUUGAUGAUGACGACGGCGACGAAUCCCCCUCUCCGGAGCCCCGAACGGACUCCAGAUUAGCCCUCCCGAGAGGUUUUAUGGCUUGGUGGCGGCUCCGUAUCGUAAAACGUGAUGAAAUUUUCUCUCCUAUUUUUUCUCCUCGAAAGCAGAUAUAUAGAGUUGGAGUUGGAGUCGGGAGGUCUCCCGGGGGCCCACGAGGUAGGGGGCGCGCCCUAGGAGGGGCACCCCCACCCUCAUGGACAGGGUGUGGGCCCCCUGGUCUUCAUCUUUACCGAGGAUUUUUUAUUAUUUAUAUUAAGAUAUUCCGUGGAGUUUGAGGUCAUUCCGAGAACUUUUGUUUUCUACACAUAAAACAACAUCCUGGCAAUUUUGCUGAAAACAGCAUCAGUCCGGGUUAGUUCCAUUCAAAUCAUACAAGUUAGAGUCCAAAACAAGGGCAAAAGUGUUUGGAAAAGUAGAUACGACGAAGACGUAUCAGCUCCAAUGGAUAUAAACAGGUUGAAAAAUGAAAUCUGUGUCCUUGGGUGUAUGAUUAGGUCACAUGCAAGAAAUGAGAAUGAAUUUCAAACACCAUGGCACCGUUAAUUGCCGGCAAAGCAUUGAGAUGCCUGGUUUUUAAAUUCUAGUAAAUACAAAAACCGUCUAAAAUUCAUGAAACUUGGCAUGCUAUCAUGGAGCGGCAUCAACAUGCUGGUAUAAAAUUUGUCCCAUUUGGAGCAGGUUUGGGUAUAUGCUUCUCAUAAACCGGAGCUUCUCACAACAAGCAUGAUGGUUUUUGGUAGGGAACGUCCCACCUUUGGGGAUGAAAUGAUAACCAUUGCCUCUUAUUGCUUUAUUUUUUUCUCGUGUCGACAUAGAACAACAGGAGUGUUGUGUGAAUUUUGUGAUUUUUCGCGGUUCGUUUGGACAUUUUUAUGGAUUAGUUGAGUUUUCAAUGCAUUUAUGUGUAUAAUUCAAAUUUGAACUACAUGCGUAUGCUUCAGUGCACAUAAACUGGUAGAAAAAUCAAAUCUAUGUCGUUGGGCAUGCUUAGGUCCCAUGCAAGAAAUGUGAAUGAAUUUCAAACACCAUGGCACUGUUGAUUGCGGGCAAAACAUUGAGAUGCCUGGUUUCUAAAUUCUAGUAAAUCCCAAACCCGUGUGAAACUCAUGAAACUUGGUAUGCUAUCAUGGAGCGGCAUCAACAUGCCGUGGUAAAAUUUUUGUCCCAUUUGGGGCAGGUUUGGGUAUAGGCUUCUCACAAACCAGAGCUUCUCACAACAAGCAUUAUGGUUUUCGGUAGGGAUCGUCCCACCUUUCGGGGCGAAAUGCUAUCCAUUGCCUCUUAUUGCUUUCAAUUCUUUUACUCGUGUCAACAUAGAACAACAGGAGUGUUGUGUGAAUUUUUGUGAUUUUUCGGGGUUCGUUUGGACACUUUUAUGCAUUAAGUGAGUUUUCAAUGCAUUUAUGUGCAUAAUUCAAAUUUGAACUACAUGCGCAUGCCCCAGUAAAUAUAAACAGGUUGAAAAAUCAAAUCUGUGUCCUUGGGUGCAUGCUUAGGUCCCAUGCAAGAAAUGGGAAUGAAUUUCCAACACCGUGGCACCGUUGAUUGCAGGAAAAACAUUGAGAUGCCUGGUUUUUAAAUUCUAUUAAAUCCAAAACCCGUCUGAAAUUCAUGAAACUUGGCUUGCUAUCAUGGAGCGGCAUCAACAUGCCGUGGUAAAAAAUUUAUCCCAUUUGGGGCAGGUUUGGGUAUACGCUUCUCACGAACCGGAGCUUCUCACCACAAGCAUGAUGGUUCUCGGUAGGGAACGUCCCACCUUUGGGGACGAAACGAUAUCCAUUGCCUCUUAUUGCUUUCAAAAUUUUUUCUCGUGUCAACAUAGAAUAACAGGAGUGUUGUGUGAAUUUUUGUGAUUAUUCGGGGUUCGUUUGGACAUUUUUAUGCAUUAACUGAGUUUUCAAUGCAUUUAUGUGCAUUAUUAAAAUUUGAACUACAUGCGCAUGCUCCAGUGCAUAUAAACUGGUUGAAAAAUCAAAUAUGUGUCCUUGGGUGCAUGCUUAGGUCCCAUGCAAGAAAUGGUAAUGAAUUUCAAACACCAUGGCACCGUUGAUUGCCGGCAAAACAUUGAGUUGCCUGGUUUUUUAAUUCUAUUAAAUUCAAAACCCGUAUGAAAUUCAUGAAACUUGGCAUUCUAUCAUGGAGCGGCAUCAACAUGCCGUUGUAAAACAUUUGUCCCAUUUGGGGCAGGUUUGGGUAUAUGCUUCUAACAAACCGGAGCUUCUCACAACAGGCAUGAUGGUUUUCAGUAGGGAACAUCCCACCUUUGGGGAUGAAAUGAUAUCCAUUGCCUCUUAUUGCUUUCAUUUUUUUCUCAUGUCAACAUAGAACAACAUGAGUGUUGUGUGAAUUUUUGUGAUUUGUCGGGGUUCGUUUGGACACUUUUAUGCAUUAAGUGAGUUUUCGAUGCAUUUAUGUCCAUAAUUAAAAUAUGAACUACAUGUGCAUGCUCCACUGCAUAUAAACUGGUAGAAAAAUCAAAUAUGUGUCAUUGGGUCCAUGCUUAGGUCCCAUGCAUGAAAUGGGCAUGAAUUUCAAACAACAUGGCACCGUUGAUUGCCGGCAAAACAUUGAGAUGCCUGGUUUUUAAAUUCUAGUAAAUUCAAAAACCUUAUGAAAUUCAUGAAGCUUGGCAUGCUAUCAUGGAGCGACAUCAACAUCCUGUGGUAAAAAAUUUGUCCCAUUUGGGGAAGGUUUGGGUAUAUGCUUCUCAUAAACUGGAGCUUCUCACAACAAGCAUGAUGGUUUUCGGUAGGGAAUGUCCCACCUUUUGGGAUUAAACCAUAUCCAUUGCCUCUUAUUGCUUUCAAUUAUUUUUUCUCGUGUCAUCAUAGAACAACAGGAGUGUUGUGUGAAUUAUUGUCAUUUUUCGGGGUUCGUUUGGACAUUUUUAUGCAUUAAGUGAGUUUUUAAUGCAUUUAUGUGCAUAAUUCAAAUUUGAACUACAUGCGCAUGCUUCAGUGCAUAUAAACUGGUAGAAAAAUCAAAUCUGUGUCCUUGGGGCAUGCUUAGGUCCCAUGCAAGAAAUGGGAAUGAAUUUCAAACACCAUGGCACCAUUGAUUGCCGGCAAAACAUUGAGAUGCCUUGUUUUUAAAUUCUAGUAAAUCCAAAACCCGUCUGAAAUUCAUGAAACUUGGCAUGCUAUCAUGGAGCGGCAUCAACAUGCCGUGGUAAAAAUUUUGUCCCAUUUGGGGCAGGUUUGGGUGUAUGCUUCUCACAAACCAGAGCUUCUCACAACAAGCAUGAUGGUUUUUGGUAGGGAACAUCCCACCUUUGGGGACGAACGCUAUCCGUUGCCUCUUAUUGCUUUCAAUUUUUUUUCUUGUGUCAACAUAGAACAACAGGAGUGUUGUGUGAAUUUUUGUGAUUUUUGGGGGUUCGUUUGGACACUUUUAUGCAUUAAGUGAGUUUUCAAUGCAUUUAUGUGCAUAAUUCAAAUUUGAACUACAUGCGCAUGCUCCAGUGCGUAUAAACUGGUUGAAAAAUCAAAUAUGUGUCCUUGGGUGCAUGCUUAGGUCUCAUGCAAGAAAUGGGAAUGAAUUUCAAACACCAUGGCACCUUUGAUUGCAGGCAAAACAUUGAGAUGCCUGGUUUUUAAAUUCUAUUAAAUCCAAACCCGUCUGAAAUUCAUGAAACUUGGCUUGCUAUCAUGGAGCGGAAUCAACAUGCCAUGGUAAAAUUUUUGUCCCAUUUGGGGCAGGUCUGGGUAUAUGCUUCUCACUAACUGGAGCUUAUCACAACAACCAUGAUGGUUUUCGGUAGGGAACGUCCCAUCUUUGGGGACGAAACGCUAUCCAUUCCCUCUUAUUGCUUUCAAAUUUUUUCUCAUGUCAACAUGGAACAACAGGAGUGUUGUGUGAACUUUUAUGAUUUUUCGGGGUUUGUUUGGACAUUUUUAUGCAUUAAGUGAGUUUUGAAUGCAUUUAUGUGCAUAAUUCAAAUUUGAACUACAUGCGCAUGAUCCAAUGUAUAUAAACAGGUUGAAAAAUCAAAUCCGUGUCCUUGGGUGCAUGCUUAGGUCCUUGCAAGAAAUGGGAAUGAAUUUCAAACACCAUGGCACCGUUGAUUGCCGGCAAAACAUUGAGAUGUCUAGUUUUUAAAUUUUAUUAAAUCCAAAACCCGUUUCAAAUCAUGAAACUUGGCAUGCUACCAUGGAGUGGCAUCAACAUGCCGUGGUAAAAAAAUUGUCCCAUUUGGGGCCGGUUUGGGUAUAUGCUUCUAACAAACCGGAGCUUCUCACAACAAGCAUGAUGGUUUUCCAUAGGGAACAUCCCACCUUUGGGGAUGAAAUCAUAUCCAUUGCCUCUUAUUAUUUUCAAUUUUUUUUCUCGUGUCAACAUAGAACAAUAGGAGUGUUGUGUGAUUUUUUGUGGUUUUUCGGGGUUCUUUUGGACAUUUUUAUGCAUUAAUUGAAUUUGAACUACAUGCACAUGCUCCACUGCAUAUAAACUGGUAGAAAAAUCAAAUCUGUGUCCUUGGGUGCAUGCUUAGGUCCCAUGCAAUUAAUGGGAAUGAAUUUCAAACACCGUGGCACCGUUGAUUGCCGGCAAAACAUUGAGAUGCAUGGUUUUAAAAUUCUAGUAAAUCCAAAACCCAUAUGAAAUUCAUGGAACUUUGCACGCUAUCAUGGAGCGCCAUCAACAUGCUGUGGUAAAAUUUUUGUCCCAUUUGGAGCAGGUUUGGGUAUAUGCUUCACACAAACUGGAGCUUCACACAACAAGCAUGAUGGUUUUCGGUAGGGAACGUCCAACCUUUGGGGACGAAACGCUAUCCAUUGCCUCUUAUUGCUUUCAAUUUUUUCUCGUGUCAACAUAGAACAAUAGGAGUGUUGUGUGAAUUUUUGUGAUCUUUUGGGGUAUGUUUGGACAUUUUUAUGCAUUAAUUGAGUUUUCAAUGCAUUUAUGUGCAUAAUUCAAAUUUGAACUACAUGCACAUGCUCCAGUGCAUAUAAACUGGUUGAAAAUCAAAUCUGUGUCCUUGGGUGCAUGCUUAGGUCGCAUGCAAGAAAUGGGAAUGAAUUUCAAACACCAUGGCACCGUUGAUUGUCGGCAAAACAUUGAGAUGCCUGGUUUUUAAAUUCUAGUAAAUCAAAACCUGUCUGAAAUUUAUGAAACUUGGCUUGCUAUCAUGGAGCGGCAUUAACAUGCCAUGGUAAAUUUUGUGUCCCAUUUGGGGCAGGUUUGGGUAUAUGCUUCUCACAAACCGGAGCUCCCCACAACAAGCAUGAUGGUUCUCGGUAGGGAACGUCCCACCUUGGGGAUGAAACGAUAUCCAUUGCCUCUUAUUGCUUUCAAUUUUUUUUCUCGUGUCAACAUAGAACAACAGGAGUUUUGUGUGAUUUUUUGUGAUUUUUCGGGGUUCGUUUGGACAUUUUUAUGCAUUAACUGAGUUUUCAAUGCAUUUAUGUGCAUAAUUCAAAUUUGAACUACAUGCGCACGCUCCGGUGUAUAUAAAUUGGUUGAAAAAUCAAAUCUGUCUCCUUGGGUGCAUGCUUAGGUCCCAUGUAAGAAAUGGGAAUGAAUUUCAAACACCAGGGCACCAUUGAUUGCCACCAAAACAUUCAGAUGACUGGUUUUGUUUAUUCUAGUAAAUCUAAAACUUAUCUGAAAUUAGUGAAACUUGGCAUGCUAUCAUGGAAGGGUACCCGACAUGUUGUGGUAUUUUUCAUGUCCAUUUUGAGAGAAGGCGCACUCUAAUAAUGAAAGCCAACAUAGGCAUUUUGAAACAAAUAGCUGCGACUUUAAUAUCUCAAAUGUUUGUAUAAUUCAAACCAUGUGCAUUCGGUUAACCAUUCACGUGACGCCACAUGUCUUGGUUUUAAUGGCUAUAGGUUUUAAUGGCCCUUGAUCGCAAACGUUUUAGAUAGAACACCCGUAUGCAAAGUGAGAGCAGGAUUUGUGCAUCUCUUGAAUACAAACGGUUCUUUUGGAUGACCCGUGUGAACCACUUACAAACAAUUUGGUGCGAUUUGCCUCCGUCAUAUUGGGUAUGUUGCCAUUUGUCAAACCAAAAAGAUUGACAUUUGUUGAUGUAGUAACAUUGCCAUUUGCUAACCUUGUAACACUACGGUUUGUCAAAAUAUGAAGCUAAAAAUCACUAGCAGUAUCUAAUUUUUGCAACUAAAAUUAAAUAAUUAAGCAUAGAUGGAGGCGAGGAGGCGUGUUCAGCCCGGUGUGCAGCGGGCGGCGCAGUACUAUUUGAUUUGAGAGCGGGCAGCAUAGUUCCCGAUACGGCUUUAAUGGAGACGAGGGAGAGGGUAGCGGUUCCCGAAAUGUUGAAUGGCCAAUGAUGCAUCCUCCUUCAAUUAGCAUCGUGUGAAUGCAUGAGGGAAGUAAUGGGAGGAUGACCGAGAAAAGAUGCAGCAAGAUGUGAAUGCAACACCGGGAACCAGGGUGUAUGCACGACGUGAAUGCACGAUGAACCAGGGUUGCCGGGGACUGCAAGAGCAAAGAUUCACCCACGGCGAACCAGGGUUAACGGGGACUGCAGCUUCAGAUAAGUUUUUCAUCCCUUAUCAUGCAUUCCAUUAUGGACUGAGGUAUGUGAAACCUCGUUUUCCCCUAAGCUACCGUGCUCCCAUAACUCUAGGUCCUAGGGCUCGUUCCUGGGGCCAAGUUUGGUCGUAGUCGCGGCAGCGAAAGGAUGAAACAAGGAGCCUGAACCCGCCUCAUCCCCGCCUCCGCCAAAGGCAUGAGGAAGGUCGAGCGACGUGGGGAGACGGCAAGGCCUGUUGCCGGGCAAGGAAAUGUUUAUCUUGAAGAUAUCAAGGAUUUACUCCUUGUUGUGGGUUCCACCCGCAAACAAAUGACCUGGCAAGCAUCCCUUUUUCAUUAAAAAACAUUCCACUCAGGUACAGUCCAUAGGGAAUGAAAAACAUGAAUGAUGGGAUUACAAGUUUUAAAUUCAACAAAGGCCUGAAGGCUUACAAAGUAAAAAGAGAUAAGGUGCCCGUAAUCCCUUUCUUGUCCCUCUCCUCAGUGUUGGGUAACGUAGUAAUUUCAAAAAAAAUCCUACGCACACGCAAGAUCAUGGUGAUGCAUAGCAACAAGAGGGGAGAGUGUGAUCUACGUACCCUUGUAGACCGACAGCGGAAGCAUUAGCACAACGCAGUUGAUGUAGUCGUACGUCUUCACGGCCUGACCGAUCAAGCACCGAAACUAUGGCACCUCCGAGUUCUAGCACACGUUCAGCUCGAUGACGAUCCCCGGACUCCGAUCCAGCAAAGUGUCAGGGAAGAGUUCCGUCAGCAUGACAGCGCGGUGACGAUAUUGAUGUUCAACCGUCGCAAGGCUUCGCCUAAGCACUGCUAUAAUAUGACCGAGGUGGAAUAUGGUGGAGGGGGGCACCGCACACGGCUAAGGAACGAUCAUGAAGAUCAACUUGUGUGUCAUCGGGGUGCCCCCUGCCCCCGUAUAUAAAGGAUCAAAGUGGAGGAGGCGGCCGGCCUAGGAGGGGUCGCGCCAAGGGGAGUCCUACUCCCACCGGGAGUAGGACUCCCUCCUUGUUGGAGUAGGAGAAGGGGAAAGAGGGGGAGAGAAAGAAGGAAAAGGGGGCUGCGCCCCUUGUCCAAUUCGGACCAGAGGGGGGGCACAGGCCUCCUUCCUUUUGGCCUCUCUCCUCUAUUCCCGUAUGGCCCAAUAAGGCCCAUAUACUCCCCGGCAAAUUCCCGUAACUCUUCGGUACUCCGAAAAAUACCCGAAUCACUCGGAACCUUUCCGAUGUCCGAAUAUAGUCGUCCAAUAUAUCGAUAUUUACGUCUCGACCAUUUCGAGACUCCUCGUCAUGUCCCUGAUCCCAUCCGGGACUCCGAAAUCCUUCGGUACAUCAAAACUCAUAAACUCAUAAUAUAACUGUCAUCGAAACCUUAAGCGUGCGGACCCUACGGGUUCGAGAACAAUGUAGACAUGACCGAGACACGUCUCCGGUCAAUAACCAAUAGCGGAACCUGGAUGCUCAUAUUGGCUCCUCCAUAUUCUACGAAGAUCUUUUAUCGGUCAGACCGCAUAACAACAUACGUUGUUCCCUUUGUCAUCGGUAUGUUACUUGCCCGAGAUUCGAUCGUCGGUAUCUCAAUACCUAGUUCAAUCUCGUUACCGGCAAGUCUCUUUACUCGUUCCAUAAUACAUCAUCCUACAACUAACUCAUUAGUUGCAAUGCUUGCAAGGCUUAAGUGAUGUGCAUUACCGAGAGGGCCCAGAGAUACCUCUCCGAUAAUCGGAGUGACAAAUCCUAAUCUCGAAAUACGCCAACCCAACAUGUACCUUUGGAGACACCUGUAGAGCUCCUUUAUAAUCACCUAGUUAUGUUGUGACGUUUGGUAGCACACAAAGUGUUCCUCCGGCAGACGGGAGUUGCAUAAUCUCAUAGUCAUAGGAACAUGUAUAAGUCAUGAAGAAAGCAAUAGCAAUGUACUAAACGAUCAGGUGCUAAGCUAAUGGAAUGGGUUAUGUCAAUCACAUCAUUCUUCUAAUGAUGUGAUCCGUUAAUCAAAUAACAACUCUUUUGUUUAUGGUUAGGAAAUAUAACCAUCUUCGAUUAACGAGCUAGUCAAGUAGAGGCAUACUAGUGACACUCUGUUUGUCUAUGUAUUCACACAUGUAUUAUGUUUCCGGUUAAUACAAUUCUAGCAUGAAUAAUAAACAUUUAUCAUGAUAUAAGGAAAUAAAUAAUAACUUUAUUAUUGCCUCUAGGGCAUAUUUCCUUCAGUCUCCCACUUGCACUAGAGUCAAUAAUCUAGUUCACAUCGCCAUGUGAUUCAACACUAAUAGUUCACAUCACCAUGUGAUUAACACCCAUAGUUCACAUCGUCAUGUGACCUAUACCCAAAGGGUUUACUAGAGUCAGUAAUCUAGUUCACAUCGUUUAUGUGAUUAACACCCUUUUGCUUGUGAGAUAAUUUUAGUCAACGGGUCUGUCACAUACAAAUCCGUAAGUAUUUUGCGAAUUCUAUGUCUACAGUGCUCUGCACGGAGCUACUCUAGCUAAUUGCUCCCACUUUCAAUAUGUAUCUAGAUCGAGACUUAGAGUCAUCCAGAUCUGUGUCAAAACUUGCAUCGACGUAACUUUUUACGAUGAACCUUUUGUCACCUCCAUAAUUGAGAAAUAUUUCCUUAUUCCACUAAGGAUAAUUUUGACCGCUGUCUAGUGAUCUACUCUUAGAUCACCAUUGUACUCCCUUGCUUAACACAGUGUAGGGUAUACAAUAGAUCUGGUACACAGCAUGGCAUACUUUAUAGAACCUAUGGCUGAGGCAUAGGGAAUGACUUUCAUUCUCUUUCCAUCUUCUGCCGUGGUCGGGCUUUGAGUCUUACUCAAUUUCACACCUUGUAACACAGCCAAGAACUCUUUCGUUGACUAUUCCAUUUUUGAACUACUUCAAAAUAUUGUCAAGGUAUGUACUCAUUGAAAAAACUUAUCAAGCGUCUUGAUCUAUCUCUAUAGAUCUUGAUGCUUAAUAUGUAAGCAGCUUCACCGAGGUCUUUCUUUGAAAAACUUCUUUGAAAACACUCCUUUAUGCUUUGCAGAAUAAUUCUACAUUAUUUCCGAUCAACAAUAUGUCAUUCACAUAUACAUAUCAGAAAUGUUGUAGGUCACCCACUCACUUUCUUGUAAAUACAGGCUUCACCGCAAGUCUGUAUAAAACUAUAUGCUUUUAUCAUCUCAUCAAAGCGCAUAUUCCAACUCUGAGAUGCUUGCACCAGUCCAUAGAUGGAUCGCUGGAGCUUGCACAUUUUGUUAGCACUUUAGGAUUGACAAAACCUUCUGGUUGUAUCAUAUACAACUUUUCUUUAAUAAAUCCAUUAAGGAAUGCAAUUUUGUUUAUCCAUUUGCCGGAUUUCAUAAAAUGCGGCAAUUGCUAACAUGAUUCGGACAGAUUUAAGCAUAGAUACAAGUGAGAAACUCUCAUCGUAGUCAACACCUUGAACUUGUUGAAAACCUUUUUGCGAUAAUUCUAGCUUUGUAGAUAGUAACAAUACUAUCAGCGUCCGUCUUCCUCUUGGAGAUCCAUUUAAUCUCAAUGGCUCGCUGAUCAUUGGGCAAGUCAAUCAAAGUCCAUACUUUGUUCUCAUACAUGGAUCUCAUCUCAGAUUUCAUGGCCUCAAGCCAUUUCGCGGAAUCUGGGCUCAUCAUCGCUUCCUCAUAGUUCGUAGGCUCGUCAUGGUCAAGUAACAUGACCUCCAGAACUGAAUUUCCGUACCACUCUGGUGUGGAUCUCACUCUGGUUUACCUACGAGGUUCGGCAGUAACUUGAUCUGAAGUUACAUGAUCAUCAUCAUUAGCUUCCUCACUAAUCGGUCUAGUAGUCACAGGAACAGAUUUCUGUGAUGAACUACUUUCCAAUAAGGGAGUAGGUACAGUUACCUCAUCAAGUUCUACUUUCCUCCCACUCACUUCUUUCGAGAGAAACUCCUUCUCUAGAAAGGAUCCAUUCUCAGCAAUGAAUAAUUUGCCUUCGGAUCUAUGAUAGAAGGUGUACCCAACAGUCUCUUUUGGGUAUCCUAUGAAGACAUAUUUCUCCGAUUUGGGUUUGAGCUUAUUAGGAUGAAACUUUUUAUAAGCAUCACAACCCCAAACUUUAAGAAACGGCAACUUUGGUUUCUUGCCAAACCACAAUUCAGAUUGUGUCGUCUCAAUGGACUUAGAUGGUGCCCUUUUAAACGUGAAUGCAGCCGUCUUUAAUGCAUAACCCCAAAACGAUAGUGGUAGAUCGGUAAGAGACAUCAUAGAUCACACCAUAUCUAAUAAAGUACGGUUAUGAUGUUCGGACACACCAUUAUGCUGUGGUGUUCCAGGUGGCGUGACUAGUGAAACUAUUUCACAUUGUUUUAACUGAAGGCCAAACUCGUAACUCAAAUAUUUUACCUCUGCGAUCAUAUCAUAGAAACUUUCUUGUUACGAUGAUUCUCCACUUCACUCUGAAAUUCUUUGAACUUCUCAAAUAUUUCAGACUUGUGUUUCAUUAAUUAGAUAUACCCAUAUCUGCUCAAAUCAUCUGUGAAGGUCAGAAAAUAAUGAUACCCGCCACGAGCCUUAACACUCAUCGGAUCUCAUACAUCAGUAUGUAUUAUUUCCAAUAAGUCAGUUGCUCGCUCCAUAGUUCUGGAGAAUGGCGUUUUAGUCAUCUUGCCCAUGAGGCAUGGUUCGCAAGCAUCAACUGAUUCAUAAUCAAGUGAUUCCAAAAACCCAUCAGCAUGGAGUUUCUUCAUGCGCUUUACACCAAUAUGACCUAAACGGCAGUGCCACAAAUAAGUUGCACUAUCAUUAUUAACUUUGCAUCUUUUGGUUUCAAUAUUAUGAUUAUGUGUAUCACUACGAUCGAGAUCCAACGAACUAUUUUCAUUGGGUGUGUAACCAUAUAAGGUUUUAUUCAUGUAAACAGAACAACAAUUUAUUCUCUUACUUAAAUGAAUAACCGUAUUACAAUAAACAUAAUCAAAUCAUAUUCAUGCUCAACGCAAACACCAAAUAACAGUUAUUCAGGUUCAACACUAAUGCCGAAAGUAUAGGGAGUGUGCGAUGAUGAUCAUAUCAAUCUUGGAACCACUUCCAACACACAUCGUCACUUCACCCUUAACUAGUCUCUGUUUAUUCUGCAACUCCCGUUUCGAGUUACUAAUCUUAGCAACUGAACUAGUAUCAAAUACUGAGGGGUUGCUAUAAACACUAGUAAAGUACACAUCAAUAACAUGUAUAUCAAAUAUACUUAUGUUCACUUUGCCAUCCUUCUUAUCUGCCAAUCACUUGGGGUAGUUCCGCUUCCAGUGACCAGUCCCUUUGCAGUAGAAACACUUAGUCUCAGGCUUAGGACCAGACUUGGGCUUCUUCACUUGAGCAGCAACUUGCUUGUUGUUCUUCUUGAAGUUCCCCUUCUUCCCUCUGCCCUUUUCUUGAAACUAGUGGUCUUGUCUACCAUCAACACUUGAUGUUUUUCUUGAUUUCUACCUUCGUCAAUUUCCGCAUUACGAAGAGCUUGGGAAUUGUUUCCGUUAUCCCUUGCAUAUCAUAGUUCAUCACGAAGUUCUACUAACUUGGUGAUGGUGACUAGAGAAUUCUGUCAAUCACUAUCUUAUCUAGAAGAUUAACUCCCACUUGAUUCAAGCGAUUGUAGUACUCAGACAAUCUGAGCACAUGCUCACUAGUUGAGCGAUUCUUUUCCAUCUUUUUAGCUAUAGAACUUGUUGGAGACUUCAUAUCUCUCAACUCAGGUAUUUGCUUGAAAUAUUAACUUCAACUCCUGGAACAUCUCAUAUGGUCCAUGACGUUCAAAACGUCUUUGAAGUCCCGAUUCUAAGACGUUAAGCAUGGUGCACUAAACUAUCAAGUAGUCAUCAUAUUAAGCUAGCCAAACGUUCAUAACGUCUGCAUCUGCUCCUGCAAUAGGUCCGUCACCUAGCGGUGCAUCAAGGACAUAAUUCUUCUGUGCAGCAAUGAGGAUAAACCUCAGAUCACGGAUCCAAUCCGCAUCAUUGCUACUAACAUCUUUCAACACAAUUUUCUCUAGGAACAUAUAAACAUAUGAAAACAACAACGCGAGCUAUUGAUCUACAACAUAGAUAUGCUAAUACUACCAGGACUAAGUUCAUGAUAAAUUAAAGUUCAUUUAAUCAUAUUAAUUAAGAACUCCCACUUAGAUAGACAUCCCUCUAAUCCUCUAAGUGAUUACGUGAUCCAAAUCAACUAAACCAUGUCUGAUCAUCACGUGAGAUGGAGUAGCUUCAGUGGUGAACAUCACUAUGUUGAUCAUAUCUACUAUAUGAUUCACGCUCGACCUUUCGGUCUCCGUGUUCCGAGGCCAUAUCUGUAUAUGCUUGGCUCGUCAAGUAUAACCUGAGUAUUCCGCAUGUGCAACUAUUUUGCACCCGUUGUAUUCGAACAUAGAGCCUAUCACACCCGAUCAUCACGUGGUGUCUCAGCAUGAAGAACUUUCGCAACGGUGGAUACUUAGGGAGAACACUUCUUGAUAAUUAGUGAGAGAUCAUCUUAUAAUGCUACCGUCAAUCAAAGCAAGAUAAGAUGCAUAAAAGAUAAACAUCACAUGCAAUCAAUAUAAGUGAUAUGAUAUGGCCAUCAUCAUCUUGUGCUUGUGAUCUCCAUCUUCGAAGCACCGCCGUGAUCACCAUCGUCACCGGUGCGACACCUUGAUCUCCAUCGUAGCAUCGUUGUCAUCUCGCCAAUCUUAUGCUUCCACGACUAUCGCUACCGCUUAGUGAUAAAGUAAAGCAUUACAGCGCGAUUGCAUUGCAUACAAUAAAGCGACAACCAUAUGGCUCCUGCCAGUUGUCGAUAACUCGGUUACAAAACAUGAUCAUCUCAUACAAUAAAAUUUAGCAUCAUGUCUUGACCAUAUCACAUCACAACAUGCCCUGCAAAAACAAGUUAGACGUCCUCUACUUUGUUGUUGCAUGUUUUACGUGGCUGCUACGGGCUUAAGCAAGAACCAAUCUUACCUACGCAUCAAAACCACAACGAUAGUUUGUCAAGUUGGUGCUAUUUUAACCUUCGCAAGGACCAGGGGUAGCCACACUCAGUUCAACUAAAUUUGGAGAAACUGUCACCCGCUAGCCACCUUUGUGCAAAGCACGUCGGGAGAACCGGUCUCGCGUAAGCGUACGCGUAAUGUCAGUCCGGGCCGCUUCGUCCAACAAUACCGCCGAACCAAAGUAUGACAUGCUGGUAAGCAGUAUGACUUAUAUCGCCCACAACUCACUUGUGUUCUACUCGUGCAUAUAACAUCAACAUAUAAAACCUAGGCUCAGAUGCCACUGUUGGGUAACGUAGUAAUUUCAAAAAAAUUCCUACGCACACGCAAGAUCAUGGUGAUGCAUAGCAACGAGAGGGGAGAGUGUGAUCUACGUACCCUGUUAGACCGACAGCGGAAGCGUUAGCACAACGCGGUUGAUGUAGUCGUACGUCUUCACGGCCCGACCAAUCAAGCACCGAAACUACGCACCUCCGAGUUCUAGCACACGUUCAGCUCGAUGACGAUCCCCGGACUCCGAUCCAGCAAAGUGUCGGGGAAGAGUUCCGUCAGCAAGACGGCAUGGUGACGAUCUUGAUGUUCAACCAUCGCAGGGCUUCGCCUAAGCACUGCUAUAAUAUGACCGAGGGGGAAUAUGGUGGAGGGGGGCACCGCACACGGCUAAGGAACGAUCACGAAGAUCAACUUGUGUGUUAUGGGGGUGCCCCCCUGCCCCCGUAUAUAAAGGAUCAAAGUGGAGGAGGCGGCCGACCUAGGAGGGGGCGCGCCAAGGGGAGUCCUACUCCCACCGGGAGUAGGACUCCCUCCUUCCUUGUUGGAGUAGGAGAAGGGGAAAGAGGGGGAGAGAAAGAAGGAAAAAGGGGGCUGCGCCCCUUGUCCAAUUCGGACCAGAGGGGGGGCGCAGGCCUCCUUCCUUUUGGUAUCUCUCCUCUAUUCCCGUAAGGCCCAAUAAGGCCCAUAUACUCCCCGGCGAAUUCCCGUAACUCUCUAGUACUCCGAAAAAUACCUGAAUCACUCGGAACCUUUCCGAUGUCCGAAUAUAGUCGUCCAAUAUAUCGAUCUUUACGUUCGACCAUUUCGAGACUCCUCGUCAUGUCCCUGAUCUCAUCCGGGACUCUGAACUCCUUCGGUACAUCAAAACUCAUAAACUCAUAAUAUAACUGUCAUCAAAACCUUAAGCGUGCAGACCCUACGGGUUCGAGAAUAAUGUAGACAUGACCGAGACACAUCUCCGGUCAAUAACAAAUAGCGGAACCUGGAUGCUCAUAUUGGCUCCUACAUAUUCUACGAAGAUCUUUUAUCGGUCAGACCGCAUAACAACAUACGUUGUUCCCUUUGUCAUCGGUAUGUUACUUGCCCGAGAUUCGAUCGUCGGUAUCUCAAUACCUAGUUCAAUCUCGUUACCGGUAAGCCUCUUUACUCCUUCCGUAAUACAUCAUCCUACAACUAACUCAUUAGUUGCAAUGCUUGCAAGGCUUAAGUGAUGUGCAUUACCGAGAGGGCCCAGAGAUACCUCUCCGACAAUCGGAGUGACAAAUCCUAAUCUCGAAAUACGCCAACCCAACAUGUACCUUUGGAGACACCUAUAGAGCUCCUUUAUAAUCACCCAGUUACGUUGUGACGUUUGGUAGCACACAAAGUGUUCCUCCAGCAAACGGGAGAUGCAUAAUCUCAUAGUCAUAGGAACAUGUAUAAGUCAUGAAGAAAGCAAUAGCAACAUACUAAACGAUUGGGUGCUAAGCUAAUGGAAUGGGUCAUGUCAAUCACAUCACUCUUCUAAUGAUGUGAUCCCGUUAAUCAAAUAACAACUCUUUUGUUUAUGGUUAGGAAAUAUAACCAUCUUCGAUUAACGAGCUAGUCAAGUAGAGGCAUACUAGUGACACUCUGUUUGUCUAUGUAUUCACACAUGUAUUAUGUUUCCGGUUAAUACAAUUCUAGCAUGAAUAAUAAACAUUUAUCAUGAUAUAAGGAAAUAAAUAAUAACUUUAUUAUUGCCUCUAGGGCAUAUUUCCUUCACUCAGGAGGCAGGUGAAGGAGGCGAAAGGGACAAAAGGAGCGCCUAGGCGAGCUACGGGUGGCAGAAGACACCAAGAGAACAUCUUGGUGGCCGUCCAAAGGCUGGAUGGUGAUGGCGGCGCCGGAAGCAGAGCUCGAAGACGAGGCGGCAGGACGUCAGCACGCGUUGAAGGCGUCAGUGCCUGCGUACUCCGACUUGACGGCCUUGCCGCCCGCCCUCUUCCUCUUCCGCAGCCUCCCAAUGCCAGCCGCCCAAGGAGACGACCCCGAGAAGUUCAAGGAGCCGGCGACACGGAUGAUGGGGUCGCCGGUGCCGCACGGAGCGGCACUCGACACCUAGUCGGACCCGUCAUCCUGCCGCCUACUACCCUCGUCGUCGCUGCCGCUGUCCUCCUCGUCACUCCCGCCCGAGGAGGAGUCUUCACUAUCAGAAGAGCUCUCCACGCAGCACCUUGCAUGGGUCCCAAAGAACCCGAAGACCUUGACGGAGAGAAGGCCACCCUCCAUCAGCUUAAAAUGGAGAGUGAGCCCCUCUGUCAAGCGAUGGAUAUGAGCAAACAUCUUCCAUCCCCGACAAAGAUAUAUCACGUGAGGGGCGGGGAAGUCGACGCGGACCCGCGUGCCACUGAUCCUGCAGCCCCUCAUGUGCAGCCGCAACGAUUCCGGUAGAUCCAGCUCCAUCUCCCGUGCAAAUGGAGUCGGUAGACGAAGGCGACGGCGUGGCGGCCGGCGCAGCCUAAUGAAGAACUCACAAGGGUCAUCCCCAACAUGGCCCUCCAUUGGAGGAGGAGAUGCUGGCGGAGGCGAGGUCGGCGCGCCGCCCCGUCCUCCUCUUCCCCGAGCGCCCCGGCCUCGCCCACGGCCUCACCCAAGUGGCGACCCUCGCCGCCACUAUUGAAGGACCAGGAUUCCCUCUCUCCAUGACGGAUGGAAGGGAGGAGCAGAAGCUGAAGGAAGAAGAAGAUGAAAGAAUGCGGGAUGCCACCCCCCUCCCGCUCUUUAUAAAGGAUCGGGGUUGGGGCUCGGCCGCCCCGCUCGGACAAUCAAGAUACGGAAGGCGCAGGGAGCCAGGACCAACCCGCCGCCCCAAUCAGCGACAGCCCGGUUUCCCACCUCCACCGUUUGCCACCCCAGGCGCAUGGGAGACACGUGGCGGACGUGCAGAACCGAGGGGACGGGUGAGACGACCACUCCCCACCCCGUGAUCGUGGGGAGUGGACACCUUGAAGACCGCGCCUCAGCCCCAUUCAGUAAAUGGGCCGCGCCUCCAUGCCUCCCUCCGUUUAUGGGGAAGGAGCAAACCACCCCUUCACUACGAUGUGACGAAUGCCUGCGGGAACCAACCCCACGCAUGCUGCCCACGUCACACGCACCUCCCCACGCCGCGCCACGCGCGGGAGUCAUGGGAAGCGCAGCGCGCGAAGAAUCUUACCGCGGUAAAAACCGCCCCGCCUGCCCGCACACCGUUUUUGGGCCUAGCCCAACAACGCAUUGCGCUUAUGUGUGGCCCAGGCCCAGGGGCUCCUGUCGGUGUACAAAAAGAGGGGUACACUUUUUGUACCCCUAUAACUGUGCACGGGCAGUCUGAGCCAUGGGCACCACCACACCAAGCAAGGCAAGGGAGGUGAGCCAGGGUAAGACCGAAGCUCAAGAGAAGUAGAACAGCGCCAAGGCCAAGACCACGAAGAGCAAAGGGGACGAAGCGGACUCCCCUGGCAAGAUCCUUGCCGGGAGACAGUUCUAGCAGCCCCGGCAAGACCCUUGCCGCGGCGACUCGUCCCGCGCCUACGGAGCAAACCACCCUUGAGUCCACUGCCCCCAAAGGGCAAGGAUUCGGGAGACAUCCCCGUGGCGGCAUGCAGAUCUUUGUGAAGACAUUCAAGAUCAGAUAUGCACUAAGGAGACAACAACCCUUGGCGGGAUCCCAGCCGAGGAAGACCACAAGGCCCACGGCAAGCGCCUUGCCGGGGAUGACAGCAGGCGCCCCGGCAAGACCCUUGCCAGGGCCCCGGAAAGGCCCUUACCAAGGACACCCGCAGGGCCACCAUCAGGCCCAUGCCGACUAAACCUCCACUGCCGUUUGCAUGCAGCUGCCGACCCAACCAGCUGGGCAGGCACCUGCGUGGUGGCAUGCAGAUCUUCGUGAAGACCCACCACUGCGCCACCUCAGCUGCCUGCCUACCUACAUGGCAUCACAGGCGUCGCCGGCCAAGGCACGUGUCGACACAAGAAGGAGCGGCGACGGACGAGACCGGUUUCUCCCCCGUCCCCGAUAAAGCAAAGACACCUAAGCAAGACGCAUUAAAUGCUCCUAGUCAUGUUAAUGCGAGGGAUAACCUCACAUCACGGACCCUUUCCACCUCCGGUGUGCCACUGUGGCGACCCCUUUUUCUAUAAAAGGAGGCCUGAGGCGACCAGAGGAAGGAUUCAGCUUUUUGGAGCUCCUCACGCCCCAUAGCUAGCUCAAGAACAUAGAUAUACAAUCCACCAAAGCAGGAGUAGGGUUUUACGCAUCCUCGCGGCCUGAACCUAGAUAAACGAACUGUGUGCUAUCUGUUUGAUCCGCUCUUCUCACGACCCCGCGCCCCGCCAACCACAGUAGGGAUUCUUGUGAUCCCAUAGGUGUCGUUCCCACUGACAACAUGUAGUUCAAAUUUGAAUUAUGCACGUAAAUGCAUUGAAAACUCAGUUAAUGCAUAAAAAUGUCCAAACGAACCCUGAAAAAUCUGAAAAAAUCACACAACACUCCUAUUGUUCUAUGUUGACACGAGAAAAAAAAUUGAAAGCAAUAAGAGGCAAUGGAUAUCGUUUCGUCCCCAAAGGUGGGAUGUUCCCUACAAAAAACCAUCAUGCUUGUUGUGAGAAGCUCCGGUUUGUGAGAAGCAUAUACCUAAACCUGCCCCAACUGGGACAAAAAAUUUACCACAGCAUGUUGAUGCCGCUCCAUGAUAGCAAGGCAAGUUUCAUGAAUUUCACACGGGUUUUGGAUUUACUAGAAUUUAAAAACCAGGCAUCUCAAUCUUUUGCCGGCAAUCAACGGUGCCAUGGUGUUUGAAAUUCAUUCCCAUUUCUUGCAUGGGACCUAAGCAUGCACCCAAGGAAACAGAUUUGAUUUUUCAACCAGUUUAUAUGCACUGGAGCAUGCACAUGUAGUUCAAAUUUGAAUUAUGGACAUAAAUGCAUUGAAAAUUCACUUAAUGCAUAAAAAUGUCCAAACGAACCCCAAAAAAUUACAAAAAUCACACAACACUCAUGUUGUUCUAUGUUGACAUGAGAACAAAAUUCGAAAGCAAUAAGAUGCAAUGGAUAGCGUUUCAUCCCCAAAGAUGGGACGUUCACUACGGAAAACCAUCAUGCUUGCUAUGAGAAGCUCCGGUUUGUGAGAAGCAUAUACCCAAACCUGCCCCAAAUGGGACAAAAUUUUUACCAUGGCAUGUUGAUGCCGCUCCAUGAUAGCAUGCCAAAUUUCAUGAAUUUCAGACGGGUUUUGGAUUUACUAGAAUUUAAAAACAAAGCAUCUCAAUGUUUUGCUGGCAAUCAACGGUGCCAUGGUGUUCGAAAAUCAUUCCCAUUUCUUGCAUGGGACCUAAGCUUGCACCCAAGGACACAAAUUUGAUUUUUGUACCAGUUUAUAUGCACUGGAGCAUGCACACGUAGUUCAAAUUUGAAUUAUGCACAUAAGUGCAUUGAAAACACACUUAAUGCAUAAAAAUGUCCAAACAAACCCUGAAAAAUCACAAAAAUUCACACAACACUCUUGUUGUUCUAUGUUAACACAAGAAGAAAAAUUGAAAGCAAUAAUAGGCAAUGGAUACAUUUUCAUCCCCAAAGGUGGGACGUUCCCUACCGAAAACCAUCAUGCUUGUUGUCAGAAGCUCCGGUUUGUGAGAAGCAUAUACCCAAACCUUCCCCAAAUGGGACAAAAUUUUAACCACGACAUGUUGAUGCCGCUCCAUGAUAGCAUGCCAAGUUUCAUGAAUUUCAGACGGGUUUUAGAUUUACUAGAAUUUAAAAGCCAGGCAUCUCAUGUUUUGCCGGCAAUCAACGGUGCCAUGGUGUUUGAAAUUCAUUCCCAUUUCUUGCAUGGGAGCUAAGCAUGCACCCAAGGACACAGAUUUAAUUUUUCAACCAGUUUAUAUGCACUGGAGCAUGUACAUGUAGUUCAAAUUUGAGUUAUGCACAUAAAUGCAUUGAAAACUCACUUAAUGCAUAAAAAUGUCCAAACGAACCCCGAAAAAUCACAAAAAUUCACACAACACUCUUGUUGUUGUAUGUUAACACGAGAAAAAAAAUUGAAAGCAAUAAUAGGAAAUGGAUAUCAUUUCAUCCCCAAAGGUGGGGCGUUCCCUACCGAAAACUAUGAUGCUUGUUCUGAGAAGCUCCGGUUUGUGAGAAGCAUAUACCUAAACCUGCCCCAAAUUGGGACAACAUUUUAACCACGACAUGUUGAUGCCGCUCCAUGAUAGCAUGCCAAGUUUCAUGAAUUUUAGACGGGUGUUGGAUUUACUAGAAUUUAAAAACCAGGCAUCUCAAGUUUUGUUGGCAAUCAACGGUGCCAUGGUGUUUGAAAUUCAUUCCCAUUUCUUGCAUGGGACCUAAGUAUGCACCCAAGGACACAGAUUUGAUUUCUCAGCCAUUUUAUAUGCACUGGAGCAUGGACAUGUAUUUCAAAUUUUAAUUAUCCACAUAAAUGCAUUGGAAACUCACUUAAUUCAUAAAAAUGUCCAAACGAACCCCGUAAAAUCACAAAAAUUCACACAACACUCCUGUUGUCUUACGUUGACACGAGAAUUUUUUUUGAAAGAAAUAAGAGGCAAUGGACAUCGUUUCGUCCCCAAAGGUGGGACGUUCCCUACCGAAAACCAUCAUGCUCGUUGUGAGAAGCUUAGGUUUGUGAGAUGCAUAUACCCAAACGUGACCCAAAUGGGACAAAAAAUUUACCACAACAUGUUGAUGCCGCUCCAUGAUAGCAUGAAAGUUUCAUGAAUUUCAGACGAGUUUUGGAUUUACUAGAAUUUAAAAACCAGACUUCUCAAUGUUUUGCUGGCAAUCAAUGGUGCCAUGGUGUUUGAAAUUCAUUCCCAUUUCUUGCAUGGGACCUAAGCAUGCACCUAAGGACACAGAUUUAAUUUUUUAACCAGUUUAUAUGCACUGGAGCAUGUACAUGUAGUUCAAAUUUGAGUUAUGCACAUAAAUGCAUUGAAAACUCACUUAAUGCAUAAAAAUGUCCAAACGAACCCCGAAAAAUCACAAAAAUUCACACAACACUCUUGUUGUUGUGUGUUAACACGAGAAUUUUUUUUGAAAGCAAUAAUAGGCAAUGGAUAUCGUUUCGUCCCCAAAGGUGGGGCGUUCCCUACCGAAAACUAUGAUGCUUGUUCUGAGAAGCUCCGGUUUGUGAGAAGCAUAUACCUAAACCUGCCCCAAAUUGGGACAACAUUUUAACCAUGGCAUGUUGAUGCCGCUCCAUGAUAGCAUGCCAAGUUUCAUGAAUUUCAGACGGGUUUUGGAUUUACUAGAAUUUAAAAACCAGGCAUCUCAAGUUUUGUCGGCAAUCAACGGUGCCAUGGUGUUUGAAAUUCAUUCCCUUUUCUUGCAUGGGACCUAAGCAUGCACCCAAGGACACAGAUUUGAUUUUUCAGCCAUUUUAUAUGCACUAGAGCAUGGACAUGUAUUUCAAAUUUUAAUUAUCCACAUAAAUGCAUUGGAAACUCACUUAAUUCAUAAAAAUGUCCAAACGAACCCCGUAAAAUCACAAAAAUUCACACAACACUCCUGUUGUUUUACAUUGACAGGAGAAUUUUUUUUGAAAGAAAUAAGAGGCAAUGGACAUCGUUUCGUCCCCAAAGGUGGGACAUUCCCUACCGAAAACCAUCAUGCUCAUUGUGAGAAGCUUAGGUUUGUGAGAUGCAUAUACCCAAACCUGACCCAAAUGGGACAAAAAUUUUACCACAACAUGUUGAUGCCGCUCCAUGAUAGCAUUCAAAGUUUCAUGAAUUUCAGACGAGUUUUGGAUUUACUAGAAUUUAAAAACCAGACUUCUCAAUGUUUUGCUGGCAAUCAAUGGUGCCAUGGUGUUUGAAAUUCAUUCCCAUUUCUUGCAUGGGACCUAAGCAUGCACCCAAGGACAAAGAUUUGAUUUUUCAAAGAAUUUAUAUGCACUGGAGCAUGUGCAUGUAGUUCAAAUUUGAAUUAUGCACAUAAAUGCAUUUAAAACUCACUUAAUGCAUAAAAAGGUCCAAACAAACCCUAAAUAAUUCCAAUUCUUCUAUGAUCACUGCAGAUAAAAGGUCUAGCAAUUCAAACACCGUCCAUGGCCGCUGUGACCCCAUUAUGUAAUUCAAAUCAAGACGGGAAAUCAAGUAAAUCCCACACAGUUUAUUAUAGCCCACCAUGUGAGAAGCAGCACAAAAUAUCUUUGGACCAUGUCUGAAUAAGGUACCGUGUCUGAUGACACUUUGCCCGCCAAUUUUUUUGCUGAAGUGAUUCCAAAUUUUCAGCUUCCGCGGAAAUAUCUACCUCCCCCCCUUACCAAAAGCCACAUUUCCCCUCUUUCCGCCUUCCUUUCCAAGUUGAAACCUUCAUUCCUUGCUUGCAGCGCUGCCGCCUCCUCGCCGACGACCCUCCUUCACGCUGCUCGGCCUCCUCUAUCCAGGCAGGUAAUCCACACCCGAUCCCCAUCCUCCUCCUCCUUCCACAUCCCACAUGCCUCAACCGCCGGCACGAGUGCGACACCUUCCACCCAAAUCACCGACCCCUCCACCAAAUAAGAGCCGGCCUAAGCCAUGGUCCACGUAGUGUAGCCAGGACCUCAAGGAGCAUUUGGCAGCAGAGAAGAAAAUCAUGGUCGCACGCGCGGAUGAGGUCACGAUGGCUGCCAUUCAUGCCGAUCGCCAGAUCUUGGAGGAGCACCUCGCCGUCGAGGCCACCGUUGACACCUCAUGAGCCGAUGUCGCGAUGCAGUUGGAUGCUUUAAACGACAGUUUGUGGUGCUUUCUCGAGGCCACCGUCGGUGCCUUCGACGAAGACUACGAGGUGUUUACUCAGCGUGCACGUGCUUACCUCAUCUCGAGAGCUAGCAGGUUGGUGCCCGGAGCGGCUCAGGCAACUCAUCACUACAACGAGGGCACCCAUGAUGUGGAGGAGCCAAUCAUCAUUGAUAUCUCCGACAAUGAGGAGUAGCUUGUCUUAUUAGCUCAAUAUAAGGACCCGUGUUCAGUUUGCUAGCUACUGCCUUUCCUUAACAAAUUCUAGUGAAUUGUGCUAUCUACUUUUACCAUGCAAUCUUCUGCUAUAGUGUAUAUGUUCUAUAUGUCGUUCAAUGUGGUGUUCAAUUAACUUCUUGGUUCAAUUGUGCAAAUGUGAUUUUCAAUUCUUCAGGGUGUAAUAUUUCCAAGUUGUUAAGCAUGCUUUGUUUGGUUAACUAUCUGAUCUUCUAUUAGGAGUAUGUCAUAUUGUUUAAUUGGUGUUUACUUAACUACUUGGUUCAUUUGUUGUGGCUUGGUGAAACGCCACAGAUGUAACUUACCAUAUUUGUACUCCGACUCUUGCCAUUUUUGGCUCUAAGUUAUGAGAUUCGUGGUUGGGUUUUUGUCUUUGUUUUGCAUUUUGUCCAUGUCAUGCAUUUCAUAUCAUGUCAUCAUGUGCAUCUCAUUGGCAUACGUGUUCAUCUCAUGCAUCCGAGCAUUUUCCCUGUUGUCCGUUUUGCGAUCCGGCACUCCUAUGUCCUCCGGCGCCCCUUUUGUCUCUUUUCAUGUGCGAGUGUUAAACGUUCUCGGAUUGCACCGAGAUUUGCCAAGCGGCCUUGUUACACCACCGGUAGACCGCCUGUCAAGUUUCAUGCCAUUUGGAAUCCGUUUGAUACUCGAACGGUUAACCGGGGAACCGUAAAGGCCUCGUGUGUGUUGCAGCCCAACACCCCCACAAAGUGGCCCAAAACCCCUCCAUCCUCUCGGCCGUUCGAUCACGAUCGUGUGGCCAAAAACCGCACCUCAUUCGGACUCUCCUAGCUCCCUCUACCUAUAAAUAUGCGCCCCUUCCGAAAUUUUCGGGCGAAACCCUCGCAAACCUCCCUCCUGGCCAUCGGACGCGUCCGGACCGCGCCGGACAUGUUUGCCCGCCACCACCCGGUGAAUCAGAGCGUGCCACGUGGCCCUCUAACGCUGCCCGCCGCCGCCGGCCCACCCGAGCCCGGGUCGGGCCCCCGAGGCCCGCGCACCGCCGUCCGCCUCCUCACGCCUCCACGCUCGCCCGCCACGUAGCUGACCACCGCGCCGCUCCGCCGCCCGCUGCCUGUGACUCUGGCCGCCGCCCGCACCUGCAACUCCGGCCGCCGGAGCAGGCCACCUCGCCGGACGGCGCCUCCCGAGGCCGCCGCCCGUCUUCAACCUCCUCCACCGCUCAGCUCCGCCCGAGCGCCGACGAGCUCGCCACCGCCACCCUCUUCUUCCACUCCGGUGAAGACACCGGCCAUCCUUGGUUCGCGCGCUAGAUCUGGAUCUGGAACCCCAGGGUUGACUUCGAAAUAUCACUAAGUCUUUUUUUACAUUCUGAAGCUCUGUUCAUUGCAUCAUAACUCCUCAUCUAUAGCUCCGUUUUGUGCGUGUCAUAUAUCAAAUUGUUCAUCUGAAUGUCCUCUUCAUUUUGUCCCAUUGCACCUUGCUUGUUUGAGUCCAUCUUGACGCCCUAAUGACUGUUGCAAGAGUGCUAUAAAAUGUUAGUUCAUGUUUCUUAGCAGAUAUUGAGCAUUUGUCAUUUUUGCCAUGAUUAUUGUGUGCUGCAUAUGGGCAUGAGCUCUACAUGUGUUUUGGGAAAUGCCAUGCCAUCGUUACAGGGGUGUAUGACAUGUAUUUUCUUGGUCAAUGUGGUGACUAGCACAUGCAUGCAAUGUAGCUCUCGUGAUAUUGCUGAUUUCAGGGAUUUAGAAUUUCACUAAGUCAUUUCUCUGUUGUUAUUUUAAUGCCAUGUAUUCAUGUUGCUACAGAGAGAUCCAUGCUUCUUUUGAGUAUGUUCAGUAAGGAUGAUUUGGACAUAUGGUUGUGCUCUAUUCAUCCAUGUGCGUGUUUGCAUUUAUGGAGUACCCUAGCAUGAUUCAAUCUUGCUCUACGUUUGCUAUAAAAUGUUCCUGGGAAAUUGUUUACGUGUUAAUCAAUUUUGCCAAGGUUGUUGUAGUUGAUCCAUGCAUGCUAUGAGAUUGUUCUUGCCAUGGUUAGCUUCUUGAUCAUGACUUCUUGCUGGUAGUAUGCUUAGUUUGUCAUGCAAUGCCUUGUGUUGAGUGCAUCGAGCUCGCAAACGUGCCUUCGUAACAUUGUUUUUGCCAUGUCCAGUUUUCUGCUAAGUCUGAAUCUGUUAACGAAACUUGCUAUGUUUACAUGGGUGCCAUCAUAUUGUCUGUGCCCUUUUGACUUAUAGUCAGUAAGGGACUUUUGUUAUAUGCUUUGAGUAGAUUCAUGCAUUGCCUUGUUUUGCUAUGUCCUGUUCCUGUAGCAUGUUGUUAUCUUGCUCUAAACAUUGCUUCCUGAUGUUAAUUCCUGACAUGUUAGUAUUUUCACAAAGUCUGUGAUGCUGUUAUCUUUUGCACUUUUGCCAUGCUUGUUUGAACCUGCUCUUGUGUGAUUUAGCCGUAGCUCAGUGUUCAUCUUUUGUCAAGCAUCUUGAGUAGAUCACUACCAUGUGCUUUGUUGCUAUGUUGGAGUGCAGUAGCUUAUUUUCUUGUUGCAUUCUAGAUGGCAUCGUGUUGUUAAUCGCAGAAUUGUGCCAUUAUUGUUUUGCCUGCCAUUUGCAAACCAUGCAUCCGAUUCCGGUGAACUUCAUAUCAAUUUCGACCGAAAUCAACUCAUCUUUCCAGCGGCACACUUGGUUUGCCAAGUUGAGGCCUGAUUCAAUCUUUCCCUUCCGAAGCACGGAUAUGCAUUGCAUAUCACAUCCCGCAUAUUUUUUGAACUAUAAACAGUAGGGUAAACACCCCACUGCAACUUUUAUUAAAAGAAAAAACAAACAACAAAUGUCUAGUGGGCUUGAGAUAAGCCCAAACAAAAAGAAAAAGAAGAACAGAAAAGAAACUACCCAAAAAAGAAGACUAACCUACAGCUAAGAAGAAGAAAAGACCAAGAAAAACAAAAGAAACAAAGGGAACUAUACAUAAAUACAAAUUACAACCAAGCAUCUAGCCAAGCAGAGAAUUGAACUUCAUAUUUCUUUUUGAUCCUGUAUUUGAGAAGCUUUAACUCCUAAGAUAAUAUGUGCUUCCAGCCAUCAAAUGAAGGAGUUAUAUUUUCAAAAAUCUUGUUGUUUCUUGAUAUCCAGAUUGCCCAUGAUCCCAAUAUGAUAAUUUCCAUAAAGAAAGGGUAACUGAGUUUGUCCUUGAGAUCUUGGUAUGCUUCCAGAACUGACAAGUUAGGUGUUCUUGAAGGGCAGAUGAAGUCCCAACAUCUGACAGCAAAAGGGCAUCCCCAAAAAAGAUGGUGCAAAGUUUCUUCCUGCUGACAAUUUCUCACUGCACAAUUGUAAAACUUCCAAUUCAAAGUUUUUCCUUCUUAAAAGAUUCCUUGUGUUUAUUCUGUCAUGCAACAACAUCCAGAAGAAAACUUUGUGCUUGGGCUGACAGGAACUUUUCCAAAUCCAUGAGAAGUGAGGUGGAGUUUGUUUGUGUCCAAUUAGCACUUUAUAGGCUUUAAUUGAGGAAUAGAAUUCAUUUCCCCAGAUGUAACUCCAAGUAUCCAAUGCAUCUAAGUAUUCAGAGUGUCUUAGAGAAAUGCACAUGUCCUCCAUUUGUGUGAACUCCUCAUAUGCUUGUGUAGUAAGAGGCAGAUGGAAUAAAUCUUGGAGAUAUUCAGUGUUGAUCACUUGUUGAACACUUUUGUGUGGAUCUCUAACAAAGGAAUAUAAGUGAUCAAACCUGUGUUUUAGAACAAAUUGGUGCCACAUAUCAUCCCAGAACAGAGCACUUUUGCCAUCUCCCACAUUGCAUCUAGCUAUAGCUUUGAAUUGAUUGAUGAGAGCUAGGUCGGAUUUCCACCAAAAUGAGCCCACUUUUCAAUCCCCUGGAAGUUGUCCAUUGCUGUAGUAUGAUUCCCAAAUUAAAUUGACCCAAGGAAUAUCAUGUCUGUUGUAAAAUUUAUGAAGAUUUUUCAUGAUCAGGGUUUUAUUUUGUGUGAAGAUAUCUAGGACACCCAAGCCACCCUGAUCUUUUGGUCUGCAAACUGUGUGCCAAGCCACUAAGACUGGCCUCCUAUCCCCCAUAUCAGGACUCCUCCAUAGGCAAUGUCUUAAGUAUUUAAUGAUAUGUUGUUUAAUUGUGAUGGGAACAUCCAGACAACACAUGAAGUAAACUGCUAAAGAAGCAAACACGGAUUUGACCAACAAUACCUUCCCUGCCUGAGUCAUGAAAGUGGAAAUUCCAGUAAUCCUCUUAGCAAUUCUGUUGACUAUAGGCAAACAUUGCUCCACAGUUGGUUUAUAAAUGCCCAAUGGUAGCCCCAGAUAUGUAAAUGGAAAUUGCCCGCUGGCACAUUGUAAAUUGUUUGUGAAAAUGUCCACUCUGUCUUCUGUAAUGUUUAUUGGCACCAUGAUUGAUUUCCCAUAGUUUACUUUGAGGCCAGUGGCAGAUGCAAAUGUGUUUAGUAAGGCUUUGAGGCAUACUAGCUGUCUUGCACUUGCUUGCAUGAUGACAAGAGUAUCAUUAGCAUACUGCACAAUAGGGAUGUCAGGGCAGGAGUUCACUUGCAGUGGAGGUGUGACUAAAUCCCUUCUCAUGGCUUUAUUCAAGAUUGAUUGCAAUAAGUCAGCUGCUAGAAGGAACAGAAGGGGAGAAAGGGGGUCUCCUUGUAUGACUCCUCUUUUACAGUAAAAUUUCUUUCCAGGUACCCCAUUUAACAUCACAGCAGAAGAUGCAGAAUUGAAGAGCAUGUGCAUCCAAGUUAUCCACCUUUCAACAAAUCCCUUAGCUCUAAGUAUGUCAAUUAUAGCCUGAUGUUCAAUAGUGUCAAAGGCCUUUUCAAAAUCUAGUUUGAUUACAAGCAUUUCCUCAUUUGACUUGUGGCACUGAUAUAUGUAUUCAUAGGCCCAUCCCAAACAAUCAUGAAUCACUCUGUUUUUUAAAAUCCAUAUUGAUUGAUGUGUACCAAUUUGAGGAUGACUUUUUGUAAUCUGUUUGCCAGCAAUUUAGUAAUGAUUUUGAGCACCCCAUUAAGUAGUGAAAUUGGCCUGAGGUCAUUAGGGGACAUAGGUACCUCCUUUUUUGGAAUGAGUGUGAUAUAAGAAGUGUUGAUGCUUUCCAAAUUCAUAGUUCCAGCAUGGAAGGCAAUGAUAAGCUCUGUUACAUCCAGUUUUAUAAUUUCCCAACAAGCUUUUAGGAACUCAUUAUUAAAUCCAUCAGGACCUGAGGAUUUGUUUGUUGGCAAACUUUUGACAACCUCAUCAAUUUCUUCCUGAGAGAAAGGUUUCUCAAGGUCUUGAAAAAUUUGUGGAUCCACUCUGUUAUCAUACAUGUCUUGUAAGUUGAAAUGCAUGAUAUGGCCAUUGGAAUGACCCAGUAUUUUCUUAAAAGCUUCCCAUAGUAAUGCAGCCUUCCCCUCAUGAUCAGUAAUUUCCACUUGGUCCUCAUUCAUGAGCAUUGCAAUUUUGUUAUGCCUGUGAUUAAUAGAAGCUUUUGUAUGGAAGAAUUUUGUAUUUUCAUCACCAAAUUUGACCCCUUUGAUUUUUCCUCUCUAUUUCCAAUAAAUCUUCUGAUUACUGAGGGCAGUUAGGAGUGUUUCUUUCAAGAGCUCUUUGCAAUUAUGCUCAAAUAAAGUUAAAUCUCUGAAUUCCUCCAAGAAGUCCCAUAGUAAUAUACAUUCAUUCAACUCAUCAAUCUGUUUUUUGAGAGAGGACAGAUUCUUUGCCCAAAGUUUGAGGGCUCUCCUCAAGUUUUUUGAAUUUAGCAUUAAUUUUCUUUGCAGGAUCAGUAUAACCAACAGGAAUAUUCCAUGCAGUUUGCACAAUAUCUUUGAAAGAGCUGUGCUUCGACCAGUAAUUCUCAAAUUUGAAAACUCUUGACUUGGGUAUUGCUGUACCAAUUUUUAUAACACAAGGCAAAUGAUCUGAAAUUGGCUUUGCAAGGGGCAGAGCAGUGGUGUCGGGGUAACUAGUCAUCCAUGCAGCAGAAGUGAAGAACCAGUCUAAUUUUUCAAGCAAAGGACUGUCUUGCAUGUUGCUCCAACUGAACUGCCUCCCUUUGAGAGGUAAUUCAUGUUGCUUGCGCAUUGCACCGUGGUUGAUUGUUGUUUCCAUUGCUUGUGUUCUUGCUUUGGGUAGAGCCAGGAGACGAGUGUAUGAUCGAGGAACCCGUUGAGUACGCUUACGAGGAUCAAGCUUACGUCAACUCGGAGAACUUUGUAGGCAAGAUGACCAUACCCUCGAAAUCACUACUAUCUUUGCUUUCUAGUUGCUCGCUCUAUUGCUAUGCCGUGAUACCUACCACAUGCUUUAUCAUGCCUCCCAUAUUGACAUGUCAAGCCUCUAACCCACCUUUCCUAGCAAAAUGUUGUUUGGCUAUGUUACCGCUUUGCUCAGCCCCUCUUAUAGCGUUGCUAGUUGCAGGUGGAGAUGAAGUUUGUUCCUUGUUGGAACAUGUUUAUUAUUGGGAUAUCAUUAUUAUAUCUUGUUUACUUUAAUGCAUCUAUAUACUUGGUAAAGGGUGGAAGGCUCGGCCUUAUGCCUGGUGUUUUGUUCCACACUUGUCGCCCUAGUUUCCGUCAUACCGGUGUUAUGUCCCUUGAUUUUGCAUUCCUUACGCGGUUGGGUUAUAAUGGGAACCCCUUGACAGUUCGCCUUGAAUAAAAAUCCUCCAGCAAGGCCCAACCUUGGUUUUACCAUUUGCCACCUAAGCCUUUUUCCCAUGGGUUCCGCGGACUCAAGGGUCAUCUUUAUUUUAAACCCCCGGGCCAGUGCUCCUCUAAGUGUUGGUCCAAAACAGAGCCACUUGCAGUGCCACCUCAGGGAAACUUGAGGGUUGGUUUCGGUUGUAUGUAGUAUUCAUCCGGUGUGCCCUGAGAACGAGAUAUGUGCAUCUCCUAUCAGGAUUUGUCGGCACAUCGGGCGGCUUUGCUGGUCUUGUUUUACCAUUGUCGAGAUGUCUUGUAACCAGAUCCUGAGUCUGAUCGUGUCUUCCUGGGAGAAGGAAUAUCCUUCAUUGACCGUGAGAGCUUGUGAUGGGAUAAAUUGGGACACCCCUGCAGGGUUUUGAACUUUCGAAAGCCGUGCCCGCGGUUAUGGGCAGAUGGGAAUUUGUUAAUAUCCGGUUGUAGAAAACCUGAAACUUAACUUAAUUAAAAUGAAUCAACCGCGUGUGUAGCCGUGAUGGUCUCUUUUCGGCGGAGUCUGGGAAGAGAACACGGUCUCGUGGUAUGCUUGAACGUAAGUAGUUUCAGGAUCACUUCUUGAUCUUUAUAGCUUCUUGACCGUGCUUUGCUUUUGUUCUCGCUCUCAUUUGCGUAAGUUAGCCACCAUAUAUGCUAGUGCUUGCUGCAGCUCCACCUCACUACCUUUUCCUACCCAUAAGCUUAAAUAGUCUUGAUCGUGAGGGUGUGAGAUUGCUGAGUCCCCGUGACUCACAGGUUACUUCCAAAACCAGAUGCAGGUGCCGAUGAUGCCAGUGCAGGGGCGACCGAACUCAAGUGGGAGUUCGACGAGGACUCAGGAUGUUACUAUGUUUCCUUUCUAGACGAUCAGUAGUGGAGCCCAGUUGGGGCGAUCGGGGAUCUAUGCAUUUGGGGUUGUCUUUAUUUUGGUUCUAUAGUCGGACCUUGAUUGUAUUCUGGAUGAUAUAAUGCUAUAUUUAUGUAUUGUGUGAAGUGGCGGUUGUAAGCCAACUCUCUAUCCCUUUCUUAUUCAGUACAUGGGAUGUGUAAAGAUUACCCCUCUUGUGACAUGCCUACUAUGCGGCUAUGCCUCUAAGUCAUGCUCCGACACGUGGGAGCUAUAGCCGCAUCGUGGGUGUUACAAGUUGGUAAUCAGAGCCUUCCCCGACUUAGGAGCCCCCUGCUUGAUUGAAUCGCUGGCGUUGUUGAGUCUAGAAAAAUGUUUUGAGUCUUAUAGGAUUAUAUAUAUCGGAGAGUAGGAUGCUUUUACUCCUCAGUCCCUUCGCCGCUCUGGUGAGGCUUCCCGACGUAGAGUUUUGACUCUUCUGUCACAUCCUAGUUAGCCAUGCAUUAGAGUGUUGCAUCAUGUUUACCUUUUCAUCAGAAACCUGAAAUGGGGAUGACAGAACCCCCAGUCCCCUCUGAAACCAAUUAGGGUUUACUAAAAACAUUUUCAAUGAACCUGAAAUGCCCUUCUAAAAUGCCCAUCAUUUUUGUCUUGGUUCAGAACCUCUGCCAAAAGUGGUGCACAUUUUCCUAGGCCAUCCUAGGGUUUCUGAAUUAAAUCAUAAAUAUUUGAAUUUGGGCAUUUAAAAUUAUAUAAAAUAUUUAAAUGCUCAAAUAUCUCCAAACUAAAAUGUUUCAUGUUGGAAAUAAACCAACUAUGGACCAGGAGUAGUUUGGUGAUUUUUGAAGUUGCCUAGGUAUUUUAUUUAAUUCAACUAAGUUGCAGAAGUAUUAAAAAUUAGAAAAGAAAAAUAAAUAAAAGGGAGAAGCUUACCUGGGCUCCUCCCUGUGCAGCCCAGCCAGCUGGCCGGCCCAGCCAGCAGGCGGCCCAGCCCACCACUGCAGCCCUCCGUCGUCUUCCUCCCCUCGCCCCGAAGCUGCUGCGUGCUCGCACGCGCACGGCCGCGCGGCCACCUCCUGCUUGCCGACGAGCUCCUGGCCGCGUGGACGACUUCCGCAGGCCGUCCCGAUCCCCCCUGCUCUCUCUCACUCUCCCGCGGUUCUUCCCUCCUCUCCCUCGCUCUCUCUCUCACACGGCCGAACACCACCGUCGCCGCCGUUCACCAUAGCAGGCGACACCGGCCACCCCUCGCUCCCCCGACUAGCCCAGAGGCUCCGCCUCGACCCCCUCUUCCUCCCCACCGCUCCACGGGCCUCCGGAAGCCCUGCAUCGCCGCCCACGUCGCCGUUCCCCUCCUCGGCCACCGGAGACCGUCGCCGUCGAAUCGGGAGCUACCGGUCGUCCCCGAGCCCGCUAACCAUCCCUGCAGCUCCGCGGUGAGCCACUGACUCGAUUCCCCCUUGCCCCGUCGUCCCUAGCCUCUUGUAGCUGCCGCCCCCUUGAGCUCCGAAGCUCGCCGCCGCCGUGCCUCGUCGCCGCCGUGGCUGGAGCCGUUGUAGCUCGAAGCCGAGCCCACCAUCGUGCUCCACACCUCACCAGGAGCACGUAGCACGCACCAACGCUUCCCCUAACGCCCUGCAACGCCGAUUCCGACCGCACCCGAACUCCGGCCGCCGCUCACGAGCUCGCCGUCGACGGUACCGGCCACCCCAGGCUCGGCCACCACCACCGUUCGACGCGCAGGAGCAAGGGCUCUCCAACGAGCCCAAGCACGGCCUCGCCCGUGCCCUGUAGCGCGUUUCCGCACCGCGCCGCCGUCUCGGGCCUCGCCGGCGUCAUGUCGCCGGUGGGUUUGACCCACCUUGACCACGGCAGGACCCCCCCUGAGUCCCUGACAGGUGGGCCCAUCCCUGUAGCUAAUUAGGAUUAGCGCUAACCACUGUUAGUUAACCCCCUGACACUGACCAGUGGGCCCCAGCGCCAGUAAUCCCUAAUUAGGAUUAAUUUAACCCUGUUAAACCCCCCUGUCACUGACGUGUGGCCCCCACGCGUCAGGUUUGACCCCAGCCAGCCGCAGUUGACCACUGAUGUCAUGCUGACGUCAUGCUGGCGCAAUAUUUAUAUUUCUGGAUUUAAUUUAAAUCAGGAAAUUCCAGAAUAUUAUUUAAACUUCAAAAAUUCAUAACUUUUAUUCUGUAACUCCAAAUUGGACAAAUUAUAUAUGAAAAAUGAUCAGAAAAAUCCAAUCUAUCCAUCUGUACUAUUUUAAUGCAUGAUCAAACAAGUUAAAUUGAUGUUUUAAGCAGAACAAGGAAAAGCACUUUAAAAGGCCAUGUUUGAGUUUGAAAUUUGAAUCUUUGAUUCAAAUUUGUUCAAACCCUUCUGGUUUUAGUUGCAUUAGCCCAACACACUCAUUUUGCCAUGUUUCAUGCAUGCAUCAUAUUGUUGCACAUUGUUUGGUGAUGGUUGUGUAUCGGUGUCCUUUACGACAGGUUCUGCCUCCGAGGAGUACCGUGAUUACCCUAACGAAGAACCGUAUCAGUGCAUCGAACCAUCAGGCAAGCAAUCAACCAUUUGAUCAUAUCGAUACAAUCCCAUGUUCUCGCUCCUGCUCUCUUUUACUGCAUUAAGACAACGCGUUUCAAACUGCUGCGUGCUACGGUAGUUGAACCCAUUUCCUCUGCAUGACCUGUCAUUGCCACAGUAACUAGAUGAAACCCACUAGCAUGUGUAGGAGUUGAUUGAGCCAUAUGUAUGUGUUGUUCCUACCUUGCUAUGCCUGCUAUGCUUAGAGUCGUGUCAGGUCUGGUUCAUCUGGGUGAUGGGCUAGAGUGAAAUGUUUAUGUCAGUAAUGAGAGUGGUGUGGUGAACACGAUUUGGUAAAGGUAUCGAUGAGAGGCCAUGUAGGAGUACAUGGUGGGUUGUUUCAUUGAAGCCGACCUUAAGCCCUGAGAUCUAUAUGUGUGAUUUAAGAAUUAGCUACUACCAUGCAUUGGGCCCGAAACCAAUGGACCCUCUCGACUUCUUAUCCACCCUAGUUCUCUGUCCAAGAGUUGCAAGUAGUUUCUGGUGUUUGUAGCCUACUGGAGGCCGUGGACAGCGCUGACCGUAGGGGUGGGCUGUGAUGCGGUAGGUACGUGGCACGGUGUACCGAAUACCCGUUAGGUAUCUCGGGAACCCUGUUCACAUCGUUCGGGGCCGUAUGGGAAACCUCGGCCGGACUCCCUGCGGAUGGAACCUGGAUAGGCGAUAAACCUGGACUGGAGGCUUAGGUGAUUAGGUAGGUCGUGGCCGACACCCACGUUGGGCUUCCGCUUGAAGGUUGCCGAGUACAUGUCGUGUAAACGACGGUAAGUGGUGAGAGCGUGUAUGAAGAAGUACACCCCUGCAGGGUUAUCAUGAUCUAUUCGAAUAGCCACGUCCGCGGUAAAGGACUACUUGGUUGCCUAUACAGUUCAUAGACAAGUAAAUGGAAACUACUAAAAGCCUCAAGAUAAGUGUGAGUGCCGAGGAUGGCUCUUCCGUAGGAAGACGGAGGCGGAUCCUCGGUAGUGUAUUGAAGUGGUGAGUAGUGGACUCGUGUGCGCAAAACCAUUUCAAGUUGGAGUAUCGUAGGAUAGUCUAGCCAAGAGUCAAAGCUGGCUUGCUGCAAUAACUCCACCAACCCUUCUUGAUAAUAUGCAUGUAUGUAGGAUCUGAUGUAAGUCUUGCUCAGUACCUUUGUACUCAUGUUGCUAUAAUUUACAUUUUACAGAGGACGCUGCAACCCCUUCUGAUGGGUCUAUGUAGACGUUGACAUCAACGAGUAGGCUAAAGACCCAGGUGGUGACCCUGAGCUUGUGAAGGACCACGUAGUAUAGCUAGGCUUUCCAUGCCUCUUUUAUUUUACUAGUUGUCUGUACUCAGACAAGUUACUUCCGCUGCUGGUUUGUAUGAUUGUAUGACUGUAUGACUUGAAUGUUGGGUCGUGGGACCCGUACCUUUGUGUAUGUUAUGUAUGGCUCUCUGAGCCUUAAAUAAAGUACUUGUGUCGUAGAGUCAUGUUGUGAUGCUUCGUUGUAUUUGCACAUAUCGAGCAUAUUGUGUGUAUGAUUGAAAUGCUUGGUAUGUGUGGGAUCUGACUAUCUAGUUGUUUAUCUUUAGUAGCCUCUCUUACCGGGAAAUGUCUCCUAGUGUUACCGCUGAGCCAUGGUAGCUUGCUACUGCUCUGGAACACUUAGGCUGGCCGGCAUGUGUCCUUCGUUCCUGUGUCUGUCCCUUCGGGGAAAUGUCACGCAUUGAGUACCGGAGUCCUGUUAGCCCUCUACAGCCCGGUUUACCGGAGUCCUGCUAGCCCAGUGCUACAGCCCGGACCCACUUGCUGAUGACCGACACGUUCGAAGCUGGGUCAUGGAUGCCUGUCCCUGUAAGUCUGUGCCACUUUGGGUUUACGACUAGUCAUGUCAGCCCGGGCUCCUUAUCAUAUGGAUGCUAGCGACACUAUCAUAUACGUGAGCCAAAAGGCGCAAACGGUCCCGGGCAAAGGUAAGGCGACACCCGUGGGGAUACCGUGCGUGAGGCCGCAAAGUGAUAUGAGGUGUUACCGGCUAGAUCGAUGUGACAUCGAGUCGGGGUCCUGACAGCGUUGGCAUCAGAGCCGGACUGCCUGUAGGUUCUCCAAGCCAAACUGGUCGAUGUUGAGUCUAGAAAUUCUUUAGUUAUAUGUAGGGGAAUUGUUUGUGGGAUGGAACGUAAGGCUCUUUUUACUCCUUUAUCUUAUGACAUUCUGAUCUGAGUCAGUCCAUUCUUCCACCGGGGGUUAUGGAAUUAGGAUCUAUACUCUCUAUCAGGAUCACGUGUUACUAAUCAGUAGUACCUUAUAGGUAUGAUGGAUACAAGCCUAGUUCAGUUCUGCUACCACAUUAUGUUGUUAGAAUGGAUUCAGAACUUUGAUAUGAUGAUGUUGAGUGUGUAUGAAAUCCUUUGUCAAAUGUCUCAAAAUCCUUCUUGAGCAUUUACAGCUGUUAUGCUGCCGAAAUUUUGCUAGAAAUUCUAAUGCCUUUGCAUUAUGAUUGUGCUUUCAGAUGGCCACUCGCGACCUCAAUCAAGUGGUUCGCCUCACUCGAUGCCUAGAUGUACCCGGCCAUACUGCCAAGUUGGUCAGGGUAAUGACUGAGGCUGGAUACCGCUGGUAUCCUGAGUACACGGUCGAAGAGCAAUUCCGAGACUUUAAUCAAAGCCAGUAUCUCUGCACUGUCAGGAUAUUUCCAUCUUAUCCUGGAUCCACCGAGCCUCUUCACUGCUCCUAUGGACUCGGGGUUACUAUUGAGAUGGCUGUGCAGGACGCCGCCUACUCUAUGAUGACCAUUAUGCGAGUCAGAUCUGGUCUAUUUCGGGACUCUGAUUUCCGGUAUAUGCCAGGAUCACUUCCGGGAGCACAAGGGUAUCUCCAGGCUAUCUAUGCUGACCCCACCCAGGAGGAUUCACGGACUCGCACCACUGCUGAGAUGCUCGAGGAUAAGGACCGUGAAAAUCGGGCCUUAAGGUUAGAGCUCUUCAAUACCCGUGCUGACCACUGGGCUACUUUGACUCGGUUCACACCGGCGGUGCAAGCUGGAUAUUCGGAUAUGCGCGAUCUCUAUCCUAUGAGAUCUGCUCUGCCAGACGUGAUGGGUUGGCGUGAUGUAGGAGGCAUCACCCCACCUCGCGGUCCCCGCAGGCCACCGUCUGUUGGUCCAAGGCCUCAUCCUAGCCCCUAUGGUCCACAAGCUCCGCGAGAUCGUCUGUUUCCGGAUGAUCAUGUUGAGCUUCCAGGCUAUGGAGGUGACUUCUACGAGGACUACUACGGGUCGGUCUGAGUUAGCGGUAGUAUCACUAGUUCGCACUAGCUGUAUCGUCUAUCGUCCUGCGUGACUCGUGGGAUAUGACCUAGUUUGUACUCUUUCCGGAGGUGUAGAAAAAUAAUGUAUAGGAGCUUGGAAUGCCUCCGAUGAGAUGUAAUCCUCCUUUCACCGUAAUAGUACUUUGUUUGGUCUUGUACUAAACCCUGUAUGGUGUGUAUGACGAUGGAAUAAAGAAGCAGUUUCUGUAUCUACCAUGUCAUACGGAUGAUCAUCUUGCAUUUCGAGUUAUUCCUUACAUUUUAUAUCCUUUGUCGGAAUUUUAUCAUCCUGACUAAAUCAUUGUCUUGUUUACCUAGGAUGGUCAACACGCGCACUAACCCUGCUCCUCAAGAGCAGGCCGAAGGCAGUGAAGUCAGGGAUGCAAAUCUGCCUCAUCCUCCUUCCCUAGCCGAGGUUAUGAUGGAAGCUGAGAGAAACAAGCGGGAGACCAACCGUUUGUUGGAGCGUAUUGAACAGAACACGGCACACCAUCAGAGGACUAACGUGGUGUCACUCAGUGAUUUUAUCAAAUUACAUCCACCCACGUUCCACCACUCCGUCGAGCCUCUCGACGCUGAUGACUGGCUUCGCAGUAUCGCUCACAAGCUACGUUCCGCGCUGGUAGCGGAGGCUGACAAGGUCACCUUUGCUGCAUAUCAUCUUGAAGGCCCCGCCAGUCUAUGGUGGGAGAAUUAUGGAGCUAUGCGCCCAGCGGGCCAUGUCACUACUUGGGCUGAAUUCAGCGAGGCUUUCCGUGAACAUCACAUUCUGGAGGGUCUCAUGGACCGUAAACGUGAGGAAUUCUGCAAUUUCACCCAAGUCCGACUUUCUGUGGAUGUUUACAACAGGGAGUUUGGUAACCUCGCACGAUAUGCAACUGAGGAAGUGUCUACUGAUGCUAAGAAGCAAGCAAGGUUCCGUAAGGGACUUAGUCCUGAGCUUCGCCGCGACCUCCGUCUGCAUGAGUGCACAUCUUUUCAGAAACUUGUCAACAAAGCCAUCAGUGCUGAAACUGGUCAGACUGACUAUGACGCAACACGCAAGCAUGGCCGUGACAUGGGUUCCUCAUCCGGUGCUGGUCCUCAGAAGCGCCGCGUGUGGGUGCCCAACACCGCCCUGCCACCCAGGUUCACACCGAGGCCAUCUUUCCAGGCGCCUCGCCCUGUUCAACAGUCUGCACCGGCCAAGCCCUAUGGGGGUCCAACCAAUAAUGCUCCUCCACGUACCAGUUCCGUGACUUGUUUCAAGUGUGGGGAAUCUGGUCACUAUAUGCGUGAGUGUCCCCAGACCAACCCCAACCAGUCUGCUAAAGCUGUUGGCCGUGGCAAGCCGACAGGAAAAAUAUUCCACGCCAAGCCGGUCACCGCUUCACGUGGCCAUGUCAACUGUAUCUCCGCCGAAGAAGCUCAAGAGGAUCCCAACGUCGUUCUCGGUACGCUUCUUGUUAAUUGCCACCCGGCAUCUGUUCUUUUCGAUACAGGAGCCUCUCAUUCUUUUAUAUCUGAAAAUUAUGCUCGUUUGCAUAACAUCGCAUUCGGUGAUAUGCCAACCUCUAUGGUAAUUCAAACUCCGGGAUCCAAAUGGCAAACUUCUAGAGUAAGCCAUGGAAAUGAAAUCCAAGUCGACAGACUUGUUUUCCUCGCGUCUUUGAUAGCCCUUAAAUCUUCAGAUAUUAAUAUCAUUUUGGGUAUGGACUGGAUGUCAGCUCAUCAUGCCCAAAUUGAUUGCUUCUCUAGGACUGUUCAACUCACCCAUCCUUCGGGGAAGAUAGUCAAUGUCUUAACCCGAAUAGCCAAGCGACAAUUAUAUUCUCUUAACGCCAGCCCUUUGCCAGACCUUGAGGAAAUUCCGGUAGUCCGUGAUUUCCCGGAUGUCUUUCCAGAGGAAUUGCCAGGUGUACCACCUGACAGGGAUGUUGAGUUCGUAAUAGACCUCAUUCCAGGAACCGUUCCGAUUGCUAGAAGACCUUAUAAGAUGGCACCCCUAGAACUAGCCGAGCUUAAGAAACAACUCGAUGAGUCCUUGAAAAAGGGUUUCAUCCGACCUAGCUCAUCUCCGUGGGCUUGCCCCGUCCUAUUCGUCAAGAAGAAGGAUGGUACGGACCGGAUGGUUGUAGAUUACCGACCUGUCAAUUUGGUCACAAUCAAGAACAAAUAUCCACUUCCCAGGAUCAACGACCUGUAUGAUCAGCUCGCUGGAUCCUCAGUCUUCUCCAAGAUGGAUUUGAGGUUGGGCUACCAUCAAAUCAAAAUCAGAAACGGGGACAUUCCUAAAACGGCCUUUGUUACUCGUUAUGGCCAAUACGAGUACACCGUCAUGUCCUUCGGUUUAACCAACGCUCCAGCCACCUUUUCUCGGUUAAUGAACUCAAUCUUCAUGGAGUAUCUGGAUAAAUUCGUCGUAGUUUAUCUCGAUGAUAUACACAUCUACUCCAAGAACGAGGAAGAACAUGCCGAACAUCUAAGGCUAGUGUUGAAGAAACUUCGAGAGCAUCGCCUUUAUGCCAAAUUUUCUAAAUGUGAAUUCUGGUUGUCAGAAGUGACCUAUCUGGGUCAUGUAAUAUCUGGUAAAGGUAUUGCUGUUAAUCCUGAGCGAGUUCAAGCCGUCCUUAAUUGGACUCCACCUGAAUUGGUCAAGCAAGUUCGGAGUUUUCUAGGCUUAGCGAGCUAUUGUCGUCGCUUUGUCGAGAACUUCUCCAAGGUUGCUAAACCUCUAACCGAACUCCUCAAGAAAGAUAAGAAGUUCGAAUGGACUCCACAGUGUGAGCACAGCUUUCAGGAACUGAAAAGACGCCUGACCUCUGCCCCCGUACUGGUACCACCAGACUUCUCCAGGGACUUCGUUAUCUACUACGACGCCUCGCGACAAGGACUAGGUUGCAUUCUCAUGCAAGAUCGACACGUAAUUGCCUACGCUUCACGGCAAUUGCACCCACAUGAGGAGAAUUAUCCUACUCAUGAUCUAGAGCUUGCAGCCGUAGUCUAUGCACUUAAGACCUGGCGGCAUUACCUCCUCGGUAAUCGUUGCGAAAUAUUCACUGAUCACCAAAGUCUGAAGUACAUUUUUACCCAACCGGAUCUGAAUCUCAGGCAAAGACGUUGGGUUGAAUUGAUCACAGACUUCGACUUAGGAAUAACCUACACCCCAGGGAAAGCCAACGUCAUGGCUGAUGCGCUAAGUCGUAAAUCUUAUUGUAACAACCUGAUGUUACAACAAAGUCAACCGCUUCUCCAUGAGGAAUUUCGGAAGCUUAAUCUUCACAUUGUACCUCAAGGUUUUCUUUCCACCUUGGUGGCAAAACCUACCCUUACGGAUCAGAUUAUCAAAGCACAGAAGGUAGAUCCGGGAAUCUCCCGCAUCAAGAGAAACAUUCAGAAAGGAAUUGCGAAUUGCUUCUCCAUUAAUGAUCAAGGGGUCGUAUACUUCGGGGAUCGACUAGUGGUUCCCAAAGUGCGAAACCUGAGGCGAUUAAUCCUUAAGGAAGCUCAUGAAUCUCCUCUCACCAUUCAUCCCGGUAGUACUAAGAUGUAUCAGGACCUACGCCAGAGGUUCUGGUGGACUAGGAUGAAGAGAGAAAUUGCCCAGUAUAUUGCUAAUUGCGACGUCUGUCGUCGUGUAAAAGCAGAGCACCAACGGCCUGCUGGCACCCUUCAACCCUUAGCUAUUCCUGAAUGGAAAUGGGAUAAAAUUGGUAUGGAUUUCAUUACCGGUUUUCCCAGGACCAAGAGAGGGAAUAAUGCUAUUGUCGUCGUGGUCGAUCGUCUUUCCAAAGUAGCCCAUUUCUUACCUGUUCGUGAGAGUAUAACCGCUAGCCAGCUGGCAGACUUAUACAUCUCCCGAAUAGUGUCCCUCCAUGGUGUUCCUUUGGAAAUUAACUCGGAUCGAGGAAGUCUUUUCACCUCCCGAUUUUGGGAAAGUUUCCAAAAUGCUAUGGGAACCCGUCUCUCCUUUAGCACCGCCUUCCACCCUCAGUCGAGUGGUCAAGUGGAACGCGUCAACCAGAUUCUAGAAGACAUGCUUCGAGCCUCUGUUAUCUCAUUCGGAAUGGACUGGGAGAAGUGCCUUCCAUUUGCCGAAUUCGCUUACAACAACAGCUAUCAAUCUAGCUUGGGUAAAGCCCCUUUUGAAGUUCUCUAUGGACGACGAUGUCGAACACCCCUUAACUGGUCAGAGACCGGGGAAAGACAAUUCUUUGGCCCAGAUAUGAUUCAGGAAGCAGAAGAACAAGUUCGCAUCGUUCGUGAAAAGUUGAAAACAGCCCAAUCCCGUCAAAAGAGUCAAUAUGACCGAAAACAUAAGGCUAUGACUUUCGAGGUUGACGAGAAGGCUUAUCUUCGGGUCACCCCUCUGAAGGGAACCCAUCGUUUCGGUAUCAAAGGCAAAUUGGCUCCUCGAUACAUUGGACCUUUUCGCAUUCUCGCCAAACGAGGAGAAGUUGCCUACCAGUUGGAACUACCUCCGCACCUCUCCAGAGUCCACGAUGUCUUCCACGUUUCUCAACUCAGGCGUUGCUUCUCGGAUCCUAUCCGUGGAGUGGACCACGAAACGCUUGAUCUCCAAGAUAAUCUUACAUAUCGAGAGUACCCCAUUCGCAUCCUCGAUCAGGCCGAACGUACCACCCGACGUCAUAAUAUCAAGUUUCUCAAAGUUCAAUGGUCGCACCAUUCUGAAGAUGAAGCAACUUGGGAAAGGGAGGAUCGUCUUCGACUCGAGUAUCCCGCCUUCUUCCCGGAGGAACCCAAAUCUCGGGACGAGAUUCUUUUGAGUGGGGGUGAGUUGUCACAUCCUAGUUAGCCAUGCAUUAGAGUGUUGCAUCAUGUUUACCUUUUCAUCAGAAACCUGAAAUGGGGAUGACAGAACCCCCAGUCCCCUCUGAAACCAAUUAGGGUUUACUAAAAACAUUUUCAAUGAACCUGAAAUGCCCUUCUAAAAUGCCCAUCAUUUUUGUCUUGGUUCAGAACCUCUGCCAAAAGUGGUGCACAUUUUCCUAGGCCAUCCUAGGGUUUCUGAAUUAAAUCAUAAAUAUUUGAAUUUCGGCAUUUAAAAUUAUAUAAAAUAUUUAAAUGCUCAAAUAUCUCCAAACUAAAAUGUUUCAUGUUGGAAAUAAUCCAACUAUGGACCAGGAGUAGUUUGGUGAUUUUUGAAGUUGCCUAGGUAUUUUAUUUAAUUCAACUAAGUUGCAGAAGUAUUAAAAAUUAGAAAAGAAAAAUAAAUAAAAGGGAGAAGCUUACCUGGGCUCCUCCCUGUGCAGCCCAGCCAGCAGGCGGCCCAGCCCACCACUGCAGCCCUCCGUCGUCUUCCUCCCCUCACCCCGAAGCUGCCGCGUGCUCGCACGCGCACGGCCGCGCGGCCACCUCCUGCUUGCCGACGAGCUCCUGGCCGCGUGGACGACUUCCGCAGGCUGUCCCGAUCCCCCUGCUCUCUCUCACUCUCCCGCGGUUCUUCCCUCCUCUCCCUCGCUCUCUCUCUCACACGGCCGAACACCACCGUCGCCGCCGUUCAUCAUAGCAGCCGACACCGGCCACCCCUCGCUCCCCCGACUAGCCCAGAGGCUCCGCCUCGACCCCCUCUUCCUCCCCACAGCUCCACGGGCCUCCGGAAGCCCUGCAUCGCCGCCCACAUCGCCGUUCCCCUCCUCGGCCACCGGAGACCGUCACCGUCGAAUCGGGAGCUACCGGUCGUCCCCGAGCCCGCUAACCAUCCCUGCAGCUCCGCUGUGAGCCACUGACUCGAUUCCCCCUUGCCCCGUCGUCCCUAGCCUCUUGUAGCUGCCGCCCCCUUGAGCUCCGUAGCUCGCCACCGCCGUGCCUCGUCGCCGCCGUGGCUGGAGCCGUUGUAGCUCGAAGCCGAGCCCACCAUCGUGCUCCACACCUCACCAGGAGCACGUAGCACGCACCAACGCUUCCCCUAACGCCCUGCAACACCGAUUCCGACCGCACCCGAACUCCGGUCGCCGCUCACGAGCUCGCCGUCGACGGUACCGGCCACCCCAUGCUCGGCCACCACCACCGUUCGACGCGCGGGAGCAAGGGCUCUCCAACGAGCCCAAGCACGGCCUCGCCCGUGCCCUGUAGCGCGUUUCCGCACCGCGCCGCCNNNNNNNNNNNNNNNNNNNNNNNNNNNNNNNNNNNNNNNNNNNNNNNNNNNNNNNNNNNNNNNNNNNNNNNNNNNNNNNNNNNNNNNNNNNNNNNNNNNNNNNNNNNNNNNNNNNNNNNNNNNNNNNNNNNNNNNNNNNNNNNNNNNNNNNNNNNNNNNNNNGGAUUAGCGCUAACCACUGUUAGUUAACCCCCUGACAUUGACCAGUGGGCCCCAGCGCCACUAAUCCCUAAUUAGGAUUAAUUUAACCCUGUUAAACCCCCCUGUCACUGACGUGUGGCCCCCACAUGUCAGGUUUGACCCCAGCCAGCCGCAGUUGACCACUGACGUCAUGCUAACGUCAUGCUGGCGCAAUAUUUAUAUUUCUGGAUUUAAUUUAAAUCAGGAAAUUCCAGAAUAUUAUUUAAACUUCAAAAAUUCAUAACUUUUAUUCUGUAACUCCAAAUUGGACAAAUUAUAUAUGAAAAAUGAUCAGAAAAAUCAAAUCUAUCCAUCUGUACUAUUUUCAUGCAUGAUCAAACAAGUUAAAUUGAUGUUUUAAGCAGAACAAGGAAAAGCACUUUAAAAGGCCAUGUUUGAGUUUGAAAUUUGAAUCUUUGAUUCAAAUUUGUUCAAACCCUUCUGGUUUUAGUUGCAUUAGCCCAACACACUCAUUUUGCCAUGUUUCAUGCAUGCAUCAUAUUGUUGCACAUUGUUUGGUGAUGGUUGUGUAUCGGUGUCCUUUACGACAGGUUCUGCCUCCGAGGAGUACCGUGAUUACCCUAACGAAGAACCGUAUCAGUGCAUCGAACCAUCAGGCAAGCAAUCAACCAUUUGAUCAUAUCGAUACAAUCCCAUGUUCUCGCUCCUGCUCUCUUUUACUGCAUUAAGACAACGCGUUUCAAACUGCUGCGUGCUACGGUAGUUGAACCCAUUUCCUCUGCAUGACCUGUCAUUGCCACAGUAACUAGAUGAAUCCCACUAGCAUGUGUAGGAGUUGAUUGGGCCAUAUGUAUGUGUUGUUCCUACCUUGCUAUGCCUGCAAUGCUUAGAGUCGUGUCAGGUCUGGUUCAUCUGGGUGAUGGGCUAGAGUGAAAUGUUUAUGUCGGUAAUGAGAGUGGUGUGGUGAACACGAUUUGGUAAAGGUAUCGAUGAGAGGCCAUGUAGGAGUACAUGGUGGGUUGUUUCAUUGAAGCCGACCUUAAGCCCUGAGAUCUGUAUGUGUGAUUUAAGAAUCAGCUACUACCAUGCAUUGGGCCCGAAACCAAUGGACCCUCUCGACUUCUUAUCCACCCUAGUUCUCUGUCUAGGAGUUGCAAGUAGUUUCUGGUGUUUGUAGCCUACUGGAGGCCGUGGACAGUGCUGACCGUAGGGGUGGGCUGUGAUGCGGUAGGUACGUGGCACGGUGUACCGAAUACCCGUUAGGUAUCUCGGGAACCCUGUUCACAUCGUCCGGGGCCGUAUGGGAAACCUCGGCCGGACUCCCUGCGGAUGGAACCUGGACAGGCGAUAAACCUGGACUGGAGGCUUAGGUGAUUAGGUAGGUCGUGGCCGACACCCACGUUGGGCUUCCGCUUGAAGGUUGCCGAGUACAUGUCGUGUAAACGACGGUAAGUGGUGAGAGCGUGUAUGAAGAAGUACACCCCUGCAGGGUUAUCAUGAUCUAUUCGAAUAGCCGCGUCCGCGGUAAAGGACUACUUGGUUGCCUAUACAGUUCAUAGACAAGUAAAUGGAAACUACUAAAAGCCUCAAGAUAAGUGUGAGUGCCGAGGAUGGCUCUUCCGUAGGAAGACGGAGGCGGAUCCUCGGUAGUGUAUUGAAGUGGUGAGUAGUGGACUCGUGUGCGCAAAACCAUUUCAAGUUGGAGUAUCGUAGGAUAGUCUAGCCAAGAGUCAAAGCUGGCUUGCUGCAAUAACUCCACCAACCCUUCUUGAUAAUAUGCAUGUAUGUAGGAUCUGAUGUAAGUCUUGNNNNNNNNNNNNNNNNNNNNNNNNNNNNNNNNNNNNNNNNNNNNNNNNNNNNNNNNNNNNNNNNNNNNNNNNNNNNNNNNNNNNNNNNNNNNNNNNNNNNNNNNNNNNNNNNNNNNNNNNNNNNNNNNNNNNNNNNNNNNNNNNNNNNNNNNNNNNNNNNNNNNNNNNNNNNNNNNNNNNNNNNNNNNNNNNNNNNNNNNNNNNNNNNNNNNNNNNNNNNNNNNNNNNNNNNNNNNNNNNNNNNNNNNNNNNNNNNNNNNNNNNNNNNNNNNNNNNNNNUCUAUGUAGACGUUGACAUCAACGAGUAGGCUAAAGACCCAGGUGGUGACCCUGAGCUUGUGAAGGACCACGUAGUAUAGCUAGGCUUUCCAUGCCUCUUUUAUUUUACUAGUUGUCUGUACUCAGACAAGUUACUUCCGCUGCUGGUUUGUAUGAUUGUAUGACUGUAUGACUUGAAUGUUGGGUCGUGGGACCCGUACCUUUGUGUAUGUUAUGUAUGGCUCUCUGAGCCUUAAAUAAAGUACUUGUGUCGUAGAGUCAUGUUGUGAUGCUUCGUUGUAUUUGCACAUAUCGAGCAUAUUGUGUGUAUGAUUGAAAUGCUUGGUAUGUGUGGGAUCUGACUAUCUAGUUGUUUAUCUUUAGUAGCCUCUCUUACCGGGAAAUGUCUCCUAGUGUUACCGCUGAGCCAUGGUAGCUUGCUACUGCUCUGGAACACUUAGGCUGGCCGGCAUGUGUCCUUCUUCGUUCCUGUGUCUGUCCCUUCAGGGAAAUGUCACGCAUUGAGUACCGGAGUCCUGUUAGCCCGCUACAGCCCGGUUUACCGGAGUCCUGCUAGCCCAGUGCUACAGCCCGGACCCACUUGCUGAUGACCGACACGUUCGAAGCUGGGUCAUGGAUGCCUGUCCCUGUAAGUCUGUGCCACUUUGGGUUUACGACUAGUCAUGUCAGCCCGGGCUCCUUAUCAUAUGGAUGCUAGCGACACUAUCAUAUACGUGAGCCAAAAGGCGCAAACGGUCCCGGGCAAAGGUAAGGCGACACCCGUGGGGAUACCGUGCGUGAGGCCGCAAAGUGAUAUGAGGUGUUACCGGCUAGAUCGAUGUGACAUCGAGUCGGGGUCCUGACAUCUUCUCUUCUCAAAUUUCAUGAAAUUAUUUUUAGGAUCACGUGGGUAUCUUGGAAUCGUUCCGAUGGUUAUGUGACGAGAACAUUGUUCUUGGUGCCUCUUGACAUUUAGGGGUUGUGGCAGUGUCCCGGGGAGUUGAGCUCCGAGGUGUUGUCGUCACAAUUUUAUCGUUGCAGUUCUGGAAUACCUGAGUUUCACCGACAUAAAAAAUCUCCUUUAUGCAGUUGUUGGUGAGAUAACCUCGACGCCACCCAGUACUGGGGCGGGAGUUCGGGAGUAUUGCCAUAACUCGUAUAACAGAUGCUUUUCAAAGGUUGAGGUAAAUGAUUUCCUAAGGUUUCUUGGUUAUGUGUUGAAGGAUGGAUACUGCUGGAUGUAGGAUUUGCUAGUUUUGGGUGAGAUAUUAUGCUUCCCCUAUAUCCCCAACACCUGAUUGCAUAACCAGAAAGUUUCGGGAGUUUCAUAGGUGGGAAUUCUUGUAUCUCUAGUAUUUCUUCCCGCAGAUAUUUGGUUUGUAAUUGGGCAAUCCUUACCAAUUCUUUGUACAUGUAUGUACCUCGUUGCAUUAUUCAUCUAUCUUUAUCUAAGUGGCUUCUCAACUUUAUGGAAGUGUGAUCAUUUACUUUGGAAUUCAUUCGUUCAUUCUUGUUAGAAUGUUAAGGCUAUAUGUUUCAAUUUCGAUCCAUUGAUUCAUCUUGAAUAUAUGUCUUUCAAGAUGCUAACGGAUGUCACCCUCUUCAGGAUGGCUCCUCCAAUGCGUCAGAAUCCGGAACCUCCGCCACCACCUCCACCUCGGAGGUAUGGCAAGCUGUCAUGGCCGCUACCAACGCCAACACGCAGAUGCUUUUGCAACUCUUUCAAGAGCGCAACCAAGGAAAUCAAGGCCAUGGAAACAAUCAAGCUCAGUUUGCUACCCUCAACCAGUUCCUCGCAAACCAGCCGAAGUCUUUCAGUAACUGUGUCGAGGCCACAGAAGCUGACGAUUGGCUCGUGGAUAUUUGCAAACAUUUUGAGUGUAGCAAUGUCAGGCCUGAGGACUUUGUCAUGUUUGCUUCGUUCCAACUCAAAGACCAAGCUGCUAAGUGGUAUCAACAAUACAAAGAUUCCAGAGGAGGUCGUGUGAUUACUUGGGAUGAUUUCUGCCGAGACUUCAAAGCUCACCACAUUCCUCAAAGUGUUGCUGAGAGUAAGCGCGAGGAGUUCCGCAAUCUGAAGCAAGGCAACUUGUCUGUUUACCAAUACACCAUCCUGUUUCAGAGGCUCGCUCACUUUGCUAAACAAGACGUCCCUGAUGAGAAGAGCAUGAUUUAUCAAUUCCGAGGUGGCCUUAGAGAAGAUCUGCAACUAGCGCUCGUGCUUUUUGAGCCGACCAAGUAUGAUGAGUUCUACAAAAUGGCACUAAAGCAAGAGGCUGCUCAGCUCAAGUGCGAUGCAUCUAAGAAGAGAGUCAGGGAUGCAACUCCUUCUUCAACUCAAGUGGCAGCUAAGCAAAAAAAGUUCUGGUUGCCUCCUCCUCCUCCGUUCCGUCAGCCUCAUCAGCAGAAGAGCAAAGGUGGCAAUGGAUCUUCCCACCCACCCAACCCAGGUUAUUAGAACAAAGCUUCGUAUCAUGCUCCAAGGUCAAGUGCUCCGUAUCACCGUCCGCUCUCAGAUGUUACGUGCAACAAGUGUCAGCAGAAAGGGCACUAUGCGAACAAAUGCUUCAAGCAAAGGUGCCUUCCGCCUCCUCUUCCUGUGAGAUCUGCCAGCAAUUCAGUGGUCAAGCAUAAUCCCAAGCAUGCUAAGGUCAACAUGAUGAAUGCAACUCAGGAAGAGGACUCUUCAGAAGUGAUCAUGGGUAACCUUCCAGUUAACUCGAUUCCUGCCAAAGUAUCUAUGAUACUGGUGCAUCGCAUUGUUUCAUUUCAAAACCUUUUGCAUCAAAGUAUGAGUAUCAUUAUCAACAACUACCUGGAACUUUAUCAAUUGUGUCCCCGGGCAAGCAAAUGUCAGCUAAUAUCUGCAUCCCGGAUGUUUCUAUCGAGAUGGGCAACUACAAAUUUCUGGCUUCUCCAAUUAUUCUUGGUGACUCAGAUAUUGAUCUAAUUCUCGGCAUGGAUUGGCUUUCUAAGCACAAGGCUCAGCUUAAUUGUGCUGCCAGGCAGAUUCAAUUGACACACUCGUCUGAGGAUGUGAUCAUCUUUGCCGCUCAUGAUGAUAUCAUUCGACUAUUUUCUCUCAAUGAGAAGUGCGAGUUGAAUGCCAUCUCUCAGAUUCCAGUCGUUUGUGAAUAUCAAGAUGUCUUUCUAGAAUAGCUUCCAGGAAUGCCUCCUCACCGGCCAGUUGAAUUCGUCAUCGAUCUUGAGGCUGGCACGGAACCUGUUUGCAAACGUCCUUACAAGCUUGGACCAGAAGAGUUGAAGGAGCUGAAGAAACAACUCGAUGUACAAGAGCGUAUGGGUCUGAUCCGACCGAGUUCUUCUCCAUGGGGUUGUGGUGUUCUUUUUGUCAAGAAGAAGGAUGGCACAGACCGACUUUGUGUCGACUACCUCCCAUUGAACAAGAAGACCAUUAAGAACAAGUACCCACUUCCCAACAUCAAUGAGCUAUUCGAACAACUCAAAGGUGCUCAAGUAUUCUCCAAGCUUGACCUCCGUAUGGGCUAUCAUCAGAUUCGCAUUCGUGAACAAGAUAUCCCCAAGACAUCAUUCAGAACAAGCUAUGGUUCCUAUGAAUACACUGUCAUGUCUUUCGGCCUUGUCAACGCUCCUCCAACAUUCUCUCGCAUGAUGAACUUCAUCUUCAACCCUUACACAAAUGAUUUCAUCUUGGUGUACCUCGAUGAUAUUUUGGUCUUUUCCAGGAACAAGGAGGAUCAUGCAAGCAUUUCAGAUUGGUGCUGGGCAAACUCAGAGAACAUCAAUUCUAUGCGAAGUUUUCAAAGUGCAAGUUUUGGCUCGAUGAGGUUCUCUACCUUAGGCAUAUCAUCUCCACCAAGGGUAUAGCUGUUAAUCCUGAGAAGGUGUCUGCAAUUGUGAAUUUGGGAACCGCCUCAAAAUGUGAAGCACCUCCGCAGUUUCCUUGGGCUUGCAAGCUAUUGUCGAAGAUUCGUUGAGAAUUUCUCUAAGAUCGCGAAGCCCCUUUCCAACCUCCUCCAGAAGCAUGUGCGGUAUGUCUAGACGCCUGAAUGUGACAUCGCUUUCAACACCCUCAAAGAGAAGUUAGUCACAACUCCAGUUCUGACUCCUCCUGAUGAAUCCAAACCAUUCGAGGUUUUCUGUGAUGCUUCCCUUCAAGGUCUCGGUGCUGUGUUAAUGCAAGAGAAGAAAGUUGUGGCCUAUACCUCUUGCCAGUUGAAACCCAACGAAAAGAACUACCGCACUCAUGACCUUGAGUUGGCGGCAGUUGUCCAUGCUCUUUUAACAUGGAGACAUCUCUUGUUGGGAAGGAAAGUGGACAUCUUCACUGAUCAUAAGAGCCUCAAGUACAUCUUCACUCAACCCAACCUCAUCCUUCGAAAGACUCGUUGGGUCGAAAUGAUUCAAGAGUAUAAUCCAAGUAUUGACUAUACUCCAGGCAAGGCCAAUGUCAUUGCAGACGCUUUGAGCAGGAAGGCUUACUGCAAUAGUUUGAUUCUCAAGCCCUUCCAACCGGAUCUUUGUGAAGCUUUCCGCAAACUUAAUCUCCAAGUUGUUCCUCAAGGAUUUCUUGCCAACCUCCAAGUCUCUCCUACUUUGGAAGAUCAAAUUCGUGAGGCACAAUUUCUUGAUGCAAUGGUGAAGAAGGUGAAGAUUGGUAUUGCCAAGAGCCAACCCAAGUACAAGUGCUAUCGCCUUGAUGACAAAGAUACUCUAUUCUUCGAGGAUCGCAUUGUUGUUCCUAAGGGUGAUCUCCGUAAAGUCAUUAUGGACGAGGCUCACAAUUCACUCCUAUCUAUUCAUCCUGGAAGUACAAAGAUGUACCAUGACCUCAAGUAGUCGUAUUGGUGGACUCGAAUGAAGCACGAGAUUGCUUAGUUCGUGAAUGAAUGUGAUGUCUUCAUAAGAGUGAAAGAAGAACACAAACGACCAGCUGGUCUCCUCCAACCUCUUGCUAUUCCAGAAUGGAAGUUUGACCAUAUUGAGAUGGACUUCGUGACUGGAUUUCCCUAGUGUUGACACCUGAUUUUGGCACAAUGCAGAAUGCAAUGGAGAUGGCCUCAAAUGACAAAAUAUUCUAAAUGAGAAAUUUCACAUUGCCGAGUGGAACAACUUUGAUGUUUGGACCAUAAUCAUUCGGCAUCAUAUCAAAUACCAAAACUACACUCAGAUUGUCAUGUAGGUGUUCUGAGUGCCUUUUGGUCAAGUACGCCUCCAGGACAAUCUCAGAUGAAGGAAUGCUCUACAUGAAUUGUCUUCGUCUCAUCGAAUCGGUCGAUUUUGAUAUAAAAAUCAUCUCAAUCCGAGUUCGUAUGCAAAAGUUAGGGCUAUCUGGAUGCAGCCUUGUCAAGAGGCGAAAUAUGACGCGGAAGACCAGACAUGUCUUGGCAUGUGUCUGAUGUAAUGCGUGAGUGUUUUGGCCCAGAAGAUGGCCUCGAAUCGGAAAACGUUCAACACAAAAAAAUUUCGUCUCAUCAAAACGGUCAACUUUGCUUUUGGACACAUUUUCAUCCGAGGUCGUUUACUGCCUCAAAAACCUUGCCGGGGAAAGCUUGCCGCCGUGAACAGUAACCUUGCCGGGGAAAGCUUGCCGCCGUGAACAGUAACCUUGCGGGGGAAAGCUUGCCGCCGUGAACAGUAACCUUGCCGGGGAAAGCUUGCUGUCGUGAACAGUAACCUUGCCGGGGAGAGCUUGCCACCGUGAACAGUAACCUGCCGUGGAAAGCUUGCCGCCGUGAACAGUAACCUUGCCGGGAAAGCUUGCUGCCGUGAACAGUAGAAACUGUUGAGGCCAAUCCGACCAGAUGCUGAAUAUGGGCUCAAAUACUUAUCUAGAUGGCUUCGGAUGAAGAAGUGUUCAACACAGGAGUUGUUCGUAACGUCGAAACGGUCAACUUUGCUUUUGGAGUCAUCAUCAUCCGACAUAGUAUACGACCUGCAAAGACGCUGCAAGAGUCGGACGGUCCAGUCAGCUACAUGAACGAGUCCGACUCGAAAUUAGAGAUGACCCCGUCGAGUAUUCAAGAUGGCCUUAUUUGGAAAAGUGAUCAACAUACGGAUUGUUGGCCUCGUCGAAGCACACAUAAUUGAUAUUUGAACCGUCUCCAUCGGAAGUCAUAUGCAGAUUCUACAGCCCACGCAAGGAGCAAGACAAAAGAUUGGACCAGAUUCGGGCUGAAUCCGAGUGGGACCAGAACUAGGAUUCUAGGACGUGAAUUGAUGUAAUUUUCUUGUAAGGAAAGCCUAGAUAAAUCCUUUGCUUGUACGAGAAGUCUAGCCGCCUCUUAUAUAUGUUGGGGGUGACGGCCGAUUGAAACAACACACAAUCGAAAAAAUCAAUAUACUACUUUUUCAUCUACGUUUUAUCUCUCCACCGUUUUUCUAUCUCGUUCUUCGCUGUUCUUCGUGUUUGAGAGCUGCGAAUCCCGAGGCUCUAGGGGCGAGCGAAUCGACAUAGGGCAGCCCAUAGCCGCCGCACUCCCUGACGGGGUCCCUCCCGGGGGUGUGGGGUUUUCGGGUUUGCAAAAGUGCCCGUCGACUGUCUUGCAUAUCGCGUUGUCGGUCGGGUCUCCUUCGACGUGAGCUGCGGUGCAUCACCCCCGGCGUCGAGGGUACACGUGGCGUGUUCGUGUGUCAACACACUUUUUGGCGACUCCGCUAGGGAACGAAGAUCAAUCAUCAUCAUCCACCAUGUCUGAUCUUCCCAAGCCAUCUGAGGUAGACGCUGAUAACAUCAUUAAGCCCAGUCUUGAUGAGAUAUCAGCCGAUCAUCGCCAAGUCUAUGAGGAGUACAAGAAGGAGCGCGAGGAGAAGGACUUGCAAGAGUUCCUUGCAAAGUUCAAGAAGGAUCGCCAAGGCAACAUCACUCCGAUUGGAGAAAUCAAGUUUCCUCUUCUUCAAGCCGAGCAGGUUAAACCCGCUGUGAGUACUACCUUUUCUCCUGAGCAGUGGGCUGAGAUUGAGAGUCGUAUUGCUGAUGGUAACAAUCUGGUCUAUCAAACUUUCAUAGAAAAUACCAAUGCUCAGAAAAAUAUAUCUCAAUCAUCUAGUGGUAAUGAUGGUGUAGCUGCUAGUGUGCAAAACCCUAAUCUGGCUUUACCUAUCUCAUCGGCGCCUCCCAUGCCGAUGACUUAUUAUCCUACUCAAACAAAUCAGAUUGUGACUACACCUAUUAAUCCUAUUAUGAGCAUGCCAGGUUCGGUGGCAGCGCUGAACCAAACCCUACCUACACCUACAACCACUCGACCACUACCAAAUUUUGGGUCGACAUACAUGCCACAAUUCUUACCUACAGCUAAUAACCCUACUCCUCCUAUGCCACUGCCACAAGCGUCAUCGUCCACUAUGGAUGAUGGUCUAGCUAAUCUUAGAGAGGAGAUGGCUAGGAUGCUUCGAGAGAAUUUUGGAGUUGAGUUACCUCGGAAUCGGAUUUACCAAAAGUCGUACCCCGAGUACUUUGAUGCCAUCCAGUGCCCUCCAGGAUAUAAAAUUCCAGAUUUUGUUAAAUUUAGUGGAGAAGGCACAAAAACCACAUGGGAGCAUGUUAGUCAAUAUUUAGCACAAUUGGGUGAGGCAGGCUCAUUGAACGAAUUGAAAGUGCGUUUAUUUCCUUUAUCAUUAACUGGUACCGCAUUUUCAUGGUUUUCUUCUUUACCCCAUGGCUCCAUUCGGGUUUGGUCGCAGCUAGAGCAGAAGUUUCAUGAUCACUUUUAUAGUGGCGACAAUGAACUCAAGUUGUCACAUCUAACAUCGGUUAAGCAGAAGCAUGAUGAAUCGGUCUCCGAUUACGUCAAGAGAUUUAGAGAAACAAAAAACCGGUGUUUUAGUUUGGUGAUAACCGAGAGAGACUUGGCAGACAUAGUGCUGAGUGGUUUGAAAACUCCCAUCAGAGAAAAGCUAGAAGGCUAUGAGUUCUUAAAUAUCAACCAAGUCUUACAAAGGGCUUUGGCUCAGGAAAGCCGAAGCAAAGACCUCAAAGAAGUGCAUAGAUACAAAGCCGAUCGUCCAAAGAUGAAUAUGAUCGAAUAUGAUAGUGAUCACUCGGACGAUGAGGGUGAUGUUUUUUCUACUGAAUUUGUUUGGCCAUCUAAGGCCAAACCAUUUACUUGCAAUGAUCUGAAACCGAUUCAUAAGAAUCGUGAUGAAGAGAUGAAGUUUACUUUUAACAUUGCCAAGUGUGAUAAAAUAUUUGAUGCUUUGCUGCAAGCUAAAAUUAUUAGAAUAACUCAUACUUUGCCGCUGUUUGAAGAGCUGAAACGGCGCGCUUAUUGCAAAUAUGAUAAUUCUUUUUCUCAUGCUACUAACGAUUGCAAUGUUUUUCGACAACAGAUACAAUCGGCCAUUAAUGACGGACGAUUGAACUUUUCUGAAAUGCAAGUUGAUAAACAGCCUUUUCCAAUGAAUACCAUGGAUUUGGAGGGGAAGAAGCUACUCAUUCGGCCGGAGGUAGCCGAAUUUGCUAAUAAAGCUAAUGUCAUUGUCGGUGAGCCCAGGAAAGACAAGGAGGACAACAAGGUCUUGGGGAGACAGGUUGUGCUUGAUAAGCAACCCGAUGGCAAGGAAGUGAUCAAAAUUACCAUCAAGAAUCCUGCACUCGGGGGGCAACCGCAAGUGCAAGAAAAUACUCGUGUUAAAUUUGUCAAGCCCAAGAGUCCAAAAGUUGGCAAGUGGAAGAAGAAUGAAGCUAAAGUGCAGCGCAAGCGGAUCAAGCCAACUUUUGAUAUGUUGCUGUCCAAGUAUGCUAACCAGUCGGCCGGUUCUAGUUUCAAUCGACCGACUCAUCUGAAACGACCAAGGUCACCAUCAGCUGAUAUGUUCAGUCGGUAUACAAAACCGAGUGGACCAAAGGCACAGUUUUCAGAAGAGUAGAGGCAAUCUGUGUGGGAUCGACUUGAUUACUCAUAUAAUGGCCGACUCAACAUCGGUGGCUAUUAGUCGGCUGGUCAAAAUAUGCGACCGAGUGGAAAUUAUCCGAAUGUAAGGAUGCACCCAGGUGGAAGCUAUCCGAGUGAAAAAAUGUGGCCAAGUAGAUUCCAUCCGACUGGAUUCCAUCCGAGUGAAUUCCAUCCGAGUGACAUCCAUCCGAGUGGAUUCCAUCAGAGUAAAAAGCUGCGCCCGAGUGGAAAUUUCAUGCAUCUGGAAAGUUGAAAAGAAUGGCGUGUUAAGUCACCAAGUGUUGCAGCAGUUGAGUCGGGAAAAAGCAAGGAGAAAACGGAUGCCGACUCACUUAUCUUGGGCACCAAAACAUUUGCCAUACAGCAGCCAAUUGUGCAUAGCAAACCGGCUGAGCCGAUACUUUCUAUUGCGCCAAAGCACUCGGCUAAUGACCAUGAAGCAAGCGCCAGCCGAGUAAAAACGAGAGAUCCUAAAUACACUCAGCCAAAGUGGUGUCCUCCAGGGCUAACAAAGACACAGAAGAGGAAACUACAAAGGUUAAGGAGCCAAGAGAUGGCAGAACAAGAGGCGGAGAAGCAAAGGGAUAAGUUGUUCAAUGACACUCGGCCUAUGGUACCUACAAAACUAGUGUGGAGGCCCAAACAAAUACGAUAUACAGUGGCCUCUACGCCUAUCACAGCAGCACCUACACUACCAAAAAAGGACGACGCAAUCAUUGCAUCCUCUACGUUACCUAUUGCUUCUUCUUCACUCGGACAAAUUUCUGAAUCGGUGGAUGCAGUUGAGGAGGAGGCUGAUAUGUUGGACUAUGAGUCUACACCGGUUCAUGAAGGUAUGGAUAUCAAUAUGGUGUAUUUUCGUGCUGUAGAUGAGGAAGGGGAGGUGGCUCAGCUGGAUUUUGGCCCUAAAAACGCGAUAUUCGAGAGGCCAAAAGAACUAGUAACGCUUCUGAAACCAUUAUAUCUCAGAGGUCAUAUCAAUGGGCCGCCGCUCACUCGCAUGCUUGUUGAUGGUGGUGCUGUGGUAAAUCUUAUGCCCUAUUCGGUCUUCAAGAAAUUGGGUUUGCCUGAUGAAGAAUUGAUCAAGACCAAUAUGGUGCUUAACGGGUUUGAAGGCAAAGAGAAAACUGAAGCCAAAGGUGUGAUGUGUGUGGAGCUUACAGUCGGAAGCAAAACUUUGGCUACUGCAUUCUUUGUCUCCGAGGUGCAAGGUAACUACAACGUCAUACUAGGCCGUGAUUGGGUUCAUGCAAACCAGUGCGUGCCAUCCACUAUGCACCAGUUUUUGAUUCAGUGGGUUGAUGAUGAAGUGGAAGUCAUUCAUGCGGAUAACUCGGCCUGUGUUGCUUUGGCCGAUGCGUCGGUGGAUUGGCAACAUCCCAAUGCUACUUGCUUGACGGGACGUGACUUAUCAAAGUUUGAUUUUCUCAGCGCAACCAAGAAUGGUUUUGUGCCCGUCUCUUUAAAGCCGACUGAAUGCAAUCGGCUCCAAGGUAUGAUAUGUUUAAAUGGAUUCUAGCUCUGAGUGGUUACCAAAACGUCUUGUGAAAUAUCGGUCCAACGAGAACGAUAUGUAUGAGUCUAUAGAGGAGUUGGAUGAAAUGGAUAAACUUGGACAAGGUUUUACGUCGGCCGAUCCAUUAGAAGAGGUAGAUAUUGGAGAUGGUUCAGUCACUCGACCGACAUUUAUAAACAAAAAUUUGAAAGCCGAUUGUAAAGCUAAGUUAAUCGAGCUAUUGAAAGAGUAUGUUUGUUGCUUUGCAUGGGAAUAUCAUGAGAUGCCAGGGUUAAGCAGAGAGCUAGUGGAACAUCGGUUGCCUAUAAAGGCCGGUUUUAGACCUUAUAAAUAGUCGGCUAGAAAAUUUAAUCCAAAAACAUAUGACCGGAUCAAGGAAGAGAUCGGUCGACUGCUUGAAGCUAAUUUCAUUCGACCUGGCAGGUACGCCGAGUGGAUUUCUAACAUUGUCCCAGUGGAGAAGAAAGGAUCCGGCAAAUUGAGGGUGUGCAUUGAUUUCAGAGAUUUGAAUAGGGCUACACCCAAAGAUGAGUAUCCUAUGCCAAUAGCCGAUAUGCUUAUUAAUGAUGCUUCUGGGCAUAAGGUUAUUAGCUUUCUAGAUGGUAAUGCCGGAUACAAUCAAAUUUUUAUGGCCGAAGAGGACAUGUACAAGACUUCUUUUCGAUGCCCUGGUUUCGUUGGUUUAUUCGAGUGGACAGUGAUGACAUUCGGAUUAAAAAAAUGCUGGAUCCACAUAUCAAAGGGCUAUGAAUUUGAUUUUCCAUGAUUUACUCGGUAUCAUACUUGAAGUUUAUAUUGAUGAUAUUGUUGUAAAAUCGGAUGCUUUUGAAUCUCACUUGGCCGAUUUGCGUUUAGCUUUUGAAAGAAUGAAAAAGUAUGGACUGAAGAUGAAUCCUUUGAAGUGUGCUUUUGGCGUGUCAGCUGGCAAGUUUUUGGGUUUCAUUAUUCAUGAAGAUGGCAUAGAGAUUGAUCCCAAAAAGAUAGAGGCUAUACAGAAAGUGGAGGCUCCAACAUGCAAGAGAGAUAUGCAAAAGUUCCUUGGCAAGGUCAACUAUUUGAGAAGGUUCAUAGCUAAUCUGUCAGGGAAAGUUGAUGCAUUUACUCCUAUCCUUCGGUUAAAGGAUGAUGCUGAUUUCACUUGGGGGGGCAAAACAGCAAGAAGCAUUUGAUAUGAUCAAGAAUUAUUUGUGCACUCCUCCGGUGAUGAGAGCACCCAAGCAUAGGGAACCCUUCAGAGUUUACAUUGCAGCAGACGAAGAAGUUAUUGGUGCUGUUCUAACUCAAGAGACCGAAGGAAAAGAGCAUGCCAUCACUUAUUUGAGCCGCCGCUUAUUGGACGCAGAGAUAAGGUAUACAUUUAUUGAGAAAUUAUGUCUAUGAUUAUAUUAUGCUUGCACAAAACUGAGACAUUAUUUAGUGCUGAGUGCUUGUGUAGUAGCUUGUCAAACCGAUGUCAUUAAAUACAUGUUGCAUAGGCCAAUUCUUAGUGGUAGAAUUGGCAAGUGGGCUUAUGCUUUGAUUGAAUAUGAUUUGGCUUAUGAAUCUCUAAAGUCCAUGAAAGGCCAAAUUGUUGCUAAUUUCAUUGUUGAACAUCGGAUUAAUGACAAGCAUGGUGUUGAUAUGAACCUUAUUUCAUUAGUACCAUGGAUAUUAUACUUUGAUGGGUCAGUUUGUUGCAAUGGCCAAGGUGUUGGUAUUGUUUAUAUAUCUCCUCAUGGUGCUGUUUUUGAAGCCUCAUGCCACUUAGAAUAUUUUUGCACAAACAAUCAAGCCGAAUAUGAAGCAUUGUUAUUCGGCCUAGAGAUGUUACUUGCUAUAGGUGUUACACAUAUUGAGGCUUAUGGUGAUUCGUUACUAGUGGUACAGCAAAUAUCCAAAGUCUUUCAGUGUUUGGAUGAAUCACUUAAUGUUUAUCUUGAUAAAUGUCUAGAUAUAAUCUCUACUUUGGAUUGUUUUAGCAUUGCACAUAUAUCUAGACAUGACAACUGGAAAGCAAAUGAGUUGGCACAACAAGCAUCUGGAUACCAUGUUGAUCAUGGCAUGUUUCAUAUUUCUCAAAAUCCGAUGUCUUGGCUUACCAGUAUAGAAGAGGCCGAACCGGAACCCACUGAUUCGGUCAUUAACAAAAAAUCUAGUGCAGGUGACAAUUCCGACUGGAGGAAGCCCAUUGUUGCUUACUUGCGUAAUCCGAGUGAAAGGGUGGACAGGGCUGUUCGGCAUAUGGCUUUUAAAUAUACUAUGAGGGAUGAUGAUCUUUAUCGCCGAAUAGUUGAUGAUGUUCUUUUAAAGUACUUGGAUGAGGACCAAGCAAGAGUUGCUAUGGGAGAGGUACAUGAAGGCAUUUGUGGUACUCACCAGUCGGCUCCCAAGAUGAAAUGGUUAUUACGACGUGCUGGGUUUUAUUGGCCGACCAUGAUUAAUGAUUGCUUCAGAUAUUAUAAAGGGUGCGAAGCUUGUCAAAAAUUUGGUGAUAUUCAAUUGGCUCCCGCUGCUAUGUUGCAUCCUAUUAUCAAGCCAUGGCCUUUCAGAGGAUGGGGUUUAGACUUUAUUGGGCAAAUCCAUCCGUCUUCUUCAAAGGGGCAUCGGUUCGUAUUGGUGGCAACUGAUUAUUUCACUAAGUGGUCUGAAGCAGUACCUCUCAAGAACAUGACGCAUAUGGAGGUAAUUAAAUUCAUAACCGAGCACAUUAUUCAUAGAUUCGGUAUUCCUCAAACGUUAAUUACAUAUCAAGGUUCAUCUUUUAUGUCACACCAAGUCAGAGAGUUUGCGGAAACUUAUAACAUAAAGUUGCUCAAUUCCUCCCCAUAUUAUGCCCAAGCUAAUGGGCAAGCUGAGUCUAGCAAUAAAAUUUUAAUCAAGCUCAUCAAGAAGAAGAUUGAGGAUAAUCCAAGGAGAUGGCAUAACUUGUUGUCUGAGGCAUUAUGGGCACAUAGAAUCUCAAGGCAUGGUGCUACGAAAGUGACUCCAUAUGAGCUAGUAUAUGGUCAGGAGGUUGUUUUACCAGUGGAAGUAAAUUUGAAUGCUUUGAGAAUAGCCAAACAAAAUGAUUUAUCGGCAAUAGACUUCUAUAACCUGAUGAUGGACAACAUUGAUGAGGUUGCUGAUAAACGUUUGGCUGCUUUGAAUGCCAUAGAGAGAGAUAAGUUAAGGGUGGCAAGGGCUUACAAUAAGAAAGUCAAGUUGAAGAAUUUUCAAGUUGGUGACCUCGUCUGGAAAGUGAUUCUACCGAUUGGUUCAAGAGAUAGAAAAUUCGGGAAGUGGUCUCCAAGUUGGGAAGGUCCUUUUAGGAUUACAAGAGUUGUUCCCGGAAAUUCAUAUUUGGUGGAAUCAAUACAAGGGGCGUUUUUACCUCGAGCUCUCAAUGGCAAAUAUUUGAAGAAGUACCACCCGAGUGUGUGGCAGGAAGCCUAAGUAGGCAAUGGCCGAUAUAUGACUAUCGCCCUUAGCACAGACAUGGCCGAUACAUAAUUAUCGCCCUGAGAAGAAUAGAUGGCCGAUGGAGUGUUGACAUCGUCCUUAGAACAAACAUGGUGCAAAUUAUUUUUCGGCAUGCAAGCUUUGCCGAAAAACAGGGGGGCCUGUGUUGACACCUGAUUUUGGCACAAUGCAGAAUGCAAUGGAGAUGGCCUCAAAUGACAAAAUAUUCUAAAUGAGAAAUUUCACAUUGCCGAGUGGAACAACUUUGAUGUUUGGACCAUAAUCAUUCGGCAUCAUAUCAAAGACCAAAACUACACUCAGAUUGUCAUGUAGGUGUUCUGAGUGCCUUUUGGUCAAGUACGCCUCCAGGAUAAUCUCGGAUGAAGGAAUGCUCUACAUGAGUUGUCUUCGUCUCGUCGAAUCGGUCGAUUUUGAUAUAAAAAUCAUCUCAAUCCGAGUUCAUAUGCAAAAGUUAGGGCUAUCUGGAUGCAGCCCUGUCAAGAGGCGAAAUAUGACGCGGAAGACCAGACAUGUCUUGGCAAGUGUCUGAUGUAAUGCGUGAGUGUUUUGGCCCAGAAGAUGGCCUCGAAUCGGAAAACGUUCAACAUGAAAGUUUUUCGUCUCGUCAAAACGGUCAACUUUGCUUUUGGACACAUUUUCAUCCGAGGUCGUUUACUGCCUCAAAAACCUUGCCGGGGAAAGCUUGCCGCCGUGAACAGUAACCUUGCCGGGGAAAGCUUGCCGCCAUGAACAGUAACCUUGCCGGGGAAAGCUUCCCGCCGUGAACAGUAACCUUGCCGGGGAAAGCUUGCCGCCGUGAACAGUAACCUUGCCGGGGGAGAGCUUUCCGCCGUGAACAGUAACCUGCCGGGGAAAGCUUGCCGCCGUGAACAGUAACCUUGCGGGGAAAGCUUGCUGCCGUGAACAGUAGAAACUGUCGAGGCAAAUCCGACCAGAUGCUGAAGAUGGGCUCAAAUAUUUAUCUGGAUGGCUUCGAAUGAAGAAGUGUUCAACACAGGAGUUGUUCGUAACAUCGAAACGGUCAACUUUGCUUUUGGAGUCAUCAUCAUCCGACGUAGUAUACGACCUGCAGAGACGCUGCAAGAGUCGGACGGUCCAGUCAGCUACAUGAACGAGUCCGACUCGAAAUUAGAGAUGACCCCGUGGAGUAUUCAAGAUGGCCUUAUUUGGAAAAGUGAUCAACAUACGGAUUGUUGGCCUCGUCGAAGCACACAUAAUUGAUAUUUGAACCGUCUCCAUCGGAAGUCAUAUGCAGAUUCCACAGCCCACACAAGGAGCAAGACAGAAGAUUGGACCAGAUUCGGGCUGAAUCCGAGUGGGACCAGAACUAGGAUUCUAGGACGUGAAUUGAUGUAAUUUUCUUGUAAGGAAAGCCUAGAUAAAUCCUUUGCUUGUACGGGAAGUCUAGCCGCCUCUUAUAUAUGUUGGGGGUGACGGCCGAUUGAAACAACACACAAUCGAAAAAAAUCAAUAUAUUACUUUUUCAUCUACGUUUUAUCUCUCCACCGUUUCUCUAUCUCGUUCUUCGCUGUUCUUCGUGUUUGAGAGCUGCGAAUCCCGAGGCUCUAGGGGCGAGCAAAUCGACCUAGGGCAGCCCAUAGCCGUCGCACUCCCUGACGGGGUCCCUCCCGGGGGUGUGGGGUUUUCGGGUUUGCAAAAGUGCCCGUCGACUAUCUUGCGUAUCGCGCUGUCGGUCGGGUCUCCUUCGACGUGAGCUGCGGUGCAUCACCCCCGGCGUCGAGGGUACACGUGACGUGUUCGUGUGUCAACACCUAGUCCAAGCGUGGCAAUGAUGCUAUCUUUGUUGUCAUCGACAAGCUUACAAAAGUGACUCAUUUUCUUCCUAUCAAAGAAUCUAUCACAGCAGCUCAGUUGGCAGAGCUAUAUACCUCCAGGAUUGUAUCCUUGCACGGCAUUCCGCAGUUGAUAUCUUCAGAUCGUGGAAGCAUCUUUACUUCUAAGUUUUGGGAUUCCUUCCAGAAGGCCAUGGGCACCAGCAUUCGCUUAAGCACAACUUUUCAUCCUCAAACUAGUGGACAAGUCGAGCGAGUAAAUCAAAUUCUUGAAGAUACGCUCAGGGCUUGUGUCAUUUAUUUCGGUAUGAAGUGGGAAGAUUGUCUUCCAUAUGCCGAGUUCUCCUACAACAACAGCUUCCAAGUGAGUUCGGGCAAGGCCCCAUUCGAGAUUCUCUAUGGCAGAAAGUGUCAUACUCCUCUUAAUUGGUCUGAGACCGGUGAACGCCAACUUCUUGGCAAUGACUUAAUCACAGAAGCUGAAGAAAUGUGCAAAGUCAUCCGUGAAAAUCUCAAAGAUGCGCAAUCGCGCCAGAAGAGUUACUAUGAUAGCAAGCAUCGUGACUUGGCUUUCGAUAUAGGAGACCAUGUCUACCUCCGCGUCUCUCCAAUGAAAGGUACUCGUCGCUUCGGUAUCAAAGGGAAUCUUGGCCCUAGAUACGUGGGUCCUUUCAAGAUCAUUGGCAAAAGAGGCGACCUCGCCUGAGCUUCCGUCCAACUUUGCAAAUGUGCACGAUGUGUUUCACGUGUCACAGCUUCGCAAGAGUUUCAAGACUCCUGACCGCACCAUCAACUUCGAAGAGAUUGAUCUCCAAGAAGACAUGUCUUAUCAUGAGCAUCCCGUUGCUAUUCUUGGAGAAACUGAGCGUAAGACUCGCAACAAGUCUAUCAAAUUCCUGAAAGUGAAGUGGUCACACCAUUCUGACUGAGAAGCCACUUGGGAAUGCGAGGAACACCUCCGUUCCGAAUAUCCGGAGUUCUUUCAGUCCUAGAUCUUGGGACGAGAUCCUUUCGUAGUGGUGGAGUGUUAUAACGCCCCGGAUGUAGCUUACCGUAUUUGUACUCCGACUCUUGCCAUUUUCGGCUCUAAGUUAUGAUAUUCGUGGUUGGGUUUUUGUCUUUGUUUUUCAUUUUGUCCAUGUCAUGCAUUUCAUAUCAUGUCAUCAUGUGCAUCUCAUUUGCAUACGUGUUCAUCUCAUGCAUCCGAGCAUUUUCCCCGUUGUCCGUUUUGCGAUCCGGCACUCCUAUGUCCUCCGGCGCCCCCUUUUGUCUCUUUUCGUGUGCGGGUGUUAAACGUUCUCGGAUUGGACCGAGAUUUGCCAAGCGGCCUUGUUACACCACCAGUAGACCGCCUGUCAAGUUUCAUGCCAUUUGGAGUCCAUUUGAUACUCCAAUGGUUAACCCGGGAACCGUAACGGCCUCGUGUGUGGUGCAGCCCAACACCCCUUCAAAGUGGCCCAACACCCAUCCAAAGCCCCUCCAUCCUCUUGGCCGUUCGAUUAUGAUCGCGUGGCCGAAAACCGCACCUCAUUUGGACUCUCCUAACUCCCUCUACCAAUAAAUAUGUGCCUCUUCCGAAAUUUUCGGGCGAAACCCUAGCAAACCUCCCUCCUCGUCGUCGGACGCGUCCAGACCGCGCUGGACACGUCCGCUCGCCGCCGCCCGGCGAAUCAAGGCACACCACGUGGCCCUCCGCCGCUUCCGUCCCGCCCGAGCCCGGGUCGGGCCCCCAAGGCCCGCGCGCCGCCGUUCGCCUCCACGCUCGCCCGCGCCUCCACGCCCGCCGCACCACCGACNNNNNNNNNNNNNNNNNNNNNNNNNNNNNNNNNNNNNNNNNNNNNNNNNNNNNNNNNNNNNNNNNNNNNNNNNNNNNNNNNNNNNNNNNNNNNNNNNNNNNNNNNNNNNNNNNNNNNNNNNNNNNNNNNNNNNNNNNNNNNNNNNNNNNNNNNNNNNNNNNNNNNNNNNNNNNNNNNNNNNNNNNNNNNNNNNNNNNNNNNNNNNNNNNNNNNNNNNNNNNNNNNNNNNNNNNNNNNNNNNNNNNNNNNNNNNNNNNNNNNNNNNNNNNNNNNNNNNNNNNNNNNNNNNNNNNNNNNNNNNNNNNNNNNNNNNNNNNNNNNNNNNNNNNNNNNNNNNNNNNNNNNNNNNNNNNNNNNNNNNNNNNNNNNNNNNNNNNNNNNNNNNNNNNNNNNNNNNNNNNNNNNNNNNNNNNNNNNNNNNNNNNNNNNNNNNNNNNNNNNNNNNNNNNNNNNNNNNNNNNNNNNNNNNNNNNNNNNNNNNNNNNNNNNNNNNNNNNNNNNNNNNNNNNNNNNNNNNNNNNNNNNNNNNNNNNNNNNNNNNNNNNNNNNNNNCCCGCCGCCCGCCGCCCGCCACUCCGGCCGCUGGAGCGCGCCACCUCGCCGGACUGCGCCUCCAGUCCCGCGCCCGAGGCCGCCGCCCGUCUUCCACCUCCUCCACCGCCGCCCUCUUCUUCCACUCCGGCGAAGACACCAGCCAUCCUCGGUUCACGCGCCAGAUCUGGAUCUGGAACCCUAGGGUUGACUUAGAAAUAUCACUAAGUCUUUUUUUACAUUCUAAAGCUCUGUUCAUUGCAUCAUAACUCCUCAUCCAUAGCUCCGUUUUGUGCGUGCCAUAUAUCAAAUUGUUCAACUGGAUGUCCUCUUCAUUUUGUUCCAUUGCACCAUGCUUGUUUGAGUCCAUCUUGAUGCCCUAAUGACUGUUGCAAGAGUGCUAUAAAAUGUUAGUUCAUGUUUCUUAGAAGAUAUUGAGCAUUUGUCAUUUUUGCCAUGAUUAUUGUGUGCUGCAUAUGGGCAUGAGCUCUACAUGUGUUUUGGGCUAUGUCAUUACAUCUUUACAGGGAUGUAUGCCAUGUAUUUUUGCGAUCAAUGUGGUGACUAGCACAUGCAUGCAAAGUAGCUCUCGUGAUAUUGCUGAUUUCAGGGACUUAGAAUUUCACUAGGUCAUUUCCCUGCUGUUAUUUUAAUGCCAUGUAUUCAUGUUGCUACAGAGAGAUCCAUGCUUCUUUUGAGUAUGUUCAGUAAGGAUGAUUUGGACAUAUGGUUGUGCUCUAUCCGUCCAUGUCCCUGUUUGCAUUUAUGGAGUACCCUAGCAUGACUCAAUCUUGCUAUACUUUUGCUAUAGAAUGUUCCUGGCAAAUUGUUUAUGUGUUAAUCAAUUUUGACAAUGUUGUUGUAGUUGAUCGAUGCAUGCUAUGAGCUUGUUCUUGCCAUGGUUAGCUUCUUGAUCAUUCCUUCUUGCUGGUAGUAUGAUUAGUUUGUCAUGCAGUGCCUUGUGUUGAGUGCAUCGAGCUUGCAAACGUGCCUUCGUAACUCUGUUUUUGCCAUGUCCAGUUUUCUGCUAAGUCUGAAUCUGUUAACGAAACUUGCUAUGUUUACAUGGGUGCCAUCGUAUUGUCUGUGCCGUUUUGACUUAUAGUCAGUAAUGGACUUUUGUUAUAUGCUUUGAGUAGAUUCAUGCAUUGCCCUGUUUUGCUGUGUCCUGUUCCUGUAGCAUGUUGUUAUCUUGCUCUAAACAUUGCUUCCUGAUGUUAAUUCCUGACAUGUUAGUAUUUUCACUAAGUCUGAUGCUGUUAUAUUUUGCACUUUUGCCAUGCUUGUUUGAACCUGCUCUUGUGUGAUUUAGCCGUAGCUCAGUGUUCAUCUUUUGUCAAGCAUCUUGAGUACAUCACUACCAUGUGCUUUGUUGCUAUGUUGGAGUGCAGUAGCUUAGUUUCUUGUUGCAUUCUAGAUGGCGUCGUGCUGUUAAUUGCAGAAUUGUGCCAUUAUUGUUUUGCUUGCCAUUUGCAAACCGUGCAUCCGAUUCCGGUGAUCUUCAUAUCGGUUUCGACAGAAAUCAACUUAUCUUUCCAGCAGCACACUUGGUUUGCCAAGUUGAGGUCUGAUUCAAUCUUUCCCUUCCGAAGCCCGCAUAUGCAUUGCAUAUCACAUCCCGCAUAUCAUGCCAUGUUUUGCAUCAUGUUGCUUGCGCAUUGCACCGUGGUUGAUUGUUGUUUCCUUUGCUUGUGUUCUUUCUUUGGCUAGAGCCAGGAGAUGAGUUCGUGAUCGUGGAACCCAUUGAGUACGUUUACGAGGAUCAAGCUUACGUCAACUCGGAGAACUUUGCAGGGAAGAUGACCAUACCCUCGAAAUCACUUCUAUCUUUGCUUGCUAGUUGCUCGCUCUAUUGCUAUGUCGUGAUACCUACCACAUGCUUUAUCAUGCCUCCAAUAUUGCCAUGUCAAGCCUCUAACCCACCUUUCCUAGCAAACCGUUGUUUGGCUAUGUUACUGCUUUGCUCAGCCCCUCUUAUAGCGUUGGUAGUUGCAGGUGGAGACGAAGUUUGUUCCUUGUUGGAACAUGUUUAUUAUUGGGAUAUCAUUAUUAUAUCUUGUUUACUUUAAUGCAUCUAUAUACUUGGUAAAGGGUGGAAGGCUCGGCCUUAUGCCUGAUGUUUUGUUCCACUCUUGACGCCCUAGUUUCCGUCAUACCGGUGUUAUGUUCCUUGAUUUUGCGUUCCUUACGCGGUUGAGUUAUAAUGGGAACCCCUUGACAGUUCGCCUGGAAUAAAACCCCUCCAACAAGGCCCAACCUUGGUUUUAGCAUUUGCCACCUAAGCCUUUUUCCCUUGGGUUCCGCGGACUCAAGAGUCAUCUUUAUUUUAAACCCCCGGGCCAGUGCUCCUCUGAUCGUUGGUCCAAAACAGAGCCACUUGCCACGACACCUCAGGGAAUCUUGAUGGUUGGUUUUAGUUGUAUGUAGUGUUCAUCUAGUGUGCCCUUAGAACGAGAUAUGUGCAGCUCCUAUCGGGAUUUAUCGGCACAUUGGGCGGCUUUGCUGGUCUUGUUUUACCAAUGUGGAGAUGUCUUGUAACCAGGAUCCCGAGUCUGAUCGGGUCUUCCUGGGAGAAGGAAUAUCCUUCGUUGACCGUGAGAGCUUCUGAUGGGCUAAAUUGGGACAUCCCUGCAGGGUUUUGAACUUUCGAAAGCCAUGCCCGCAGUUAUGGGCAGAUGGGAAUUUGUUAAUAUCCGAUUGUAGAAAACCUGAAACUUAACUUAAUUAAAAUGAAUCAACCGCGUGUGUAGCCAUGAUGGUCUCUUUUCGACAGAGUCCAGGAAGAGAACACAGUCUCGUGUUAUGCUUGAACGUAAGUAGUUUCAGGAUCACUUCUUGAUCUUUAUAGCUUCUUGACCGUGCUUUGCUUCUCUUCUCGCUCUCAUUUGCGUAAGUUAGCCACCAUAUAUGCUAGUGCUUGUUGUAGCUCCACCUCACUACCUUUUCCUACCCAUAAGCUUAAAUAGUCUUGAUCGCGAGGGUAUGAGAUUGCUGAGUCCCCGUGAUUCACAGAUUACUUCCAAAAACCAGAUGCAGGUGCCGAUGAUGUCAGUGCAAGGGACGCGACCGAACUCAAGUGGGAGUUCGACGAGGACUCAGGACGUUGCUAUGUUUCCUUUCCAGGCGAUCAAUAGUGGAGCCCAGUUGGGGCGAUCGGGGAUCUAUGCAUUUGGGGUUGUCUUUUUUUUGGUUCCGUAGUCGGACCUUGACAGUAUUGUUAUAUUGUGCAAUGUGGUGCUCAGUUAAUGUUUGGUUCAUUUGUUGGUGUUUAGUUAACUUCUUGGUUCAAUUCUGCAAUGCGAUGUUCAAUUGUUGUGGCUGCAUUCUGUUAUUGUAUACCAUGUGAGGAAUAAAUUGAAUUUGGUUGUACUAAAUACAUGAGAAACAAAUACAAUUGCUAUAUUUCCAAGUUGUUAAGCAUGCUUGGUUUGGUUAAGUAUUUGAUCUUCUAUUACGAGUAUGUUAUAUUGUGCAAUGUGGUGCUCAGUUAACGUUUGGUUCAUUUGUUGUGGUGUUUAGUUAACUGCUUGGUUCAAUUCUGCAAUGCGAUGUUCAAUUGCUGUGGCUGCAUUCUGUUAUUGUAUACCAUGUGAGGAAUAAAUUGAAUUUGAGUGCACUUAAUACAUGAGAAACAUAUACAAGUGCUAUAUUUCCUAGUUCAAAAUUAUGCUUGGUUUGGAUAAAUGGGUUUUCCAUGUGACCUGAAUUAUUCUAAUGAAUCUACAAUGUGCUUAUUUUUCAUCAACAUAUUUCACUGAUAGCAUGUGAACCCUUACUUAACCUGAUGACAAACUACCUUUUAUGUGUUGGAGGGAAACAAUGGGAAGCACUGAGGUUUACAAGAUGGUACUAACUAUUAUACCUCGCCUUUUUUAUUCCUUUGCCCCGUUUCCAAUAUAGAGAAGAUAUUUAUGCACAUCCUUGUUUUUAGUGUGCAUUGAUGAUUACCUCUCAAACCACCUCUGUGGUCAAGAGGCGAGGAAUGUUUUCAUACAACAUCCAUGGUUCAAUAUUGAAGUGUUCCUGAAGAGGUCGAAGGAUAGACGGUCAAUCAUCCACAUGCACUGGCCUAAAGUUACAAAGACCUUCAACAUGAAUGAAGGCUCAAUAUUCGCCUUCCGCUUUAGCAGUUUUCCAGAUGAGAUGCAUCUCUCUAUGUCCCGUCUAUGAUGCUAAUUUCAAAAGGUUCUAUAUGUUGCAUGUGAAACUUGCUGCUGGUGUAGUUGUGUAAUGGGGUAGUUGAGUGCUGAAGCUAUAUCAUGUUGUACUCUGAUGUAUUUCAAUUAUGAAAUCAUGCUUCCUUAAUACACUACAAAAAAAGACACAUUCGUGACAUUUUGGGCCAAACGGAUUUUUUUCUAUCAUACUUAUGACACUUCCAUGACGAUAAUUGUGAAAAAACCCGGUAGCAUCAUAGAUGUGGUGGGCUCCUACUUCUAUGAUAAAAAAUCAUGACAGAAAAUGGGCUUUUCGUCCUGGGCGGGCCGGAUACACAGCUGCAUGACAUUCUUUGGGCCGUCCAUGGCGGAAAAAACCAUGGUAGAAGUGAGGGCUAGGAAAAUAUCGGGGUCUUCUCGAUUACGGUGGGUGGUCGGGGCGGAGCGAUGCGCGUUUCUGUCGUACACGCACGCACGUGUGUGCGAGGCGUUGGGCUAUAACUGAACCCGAGCGAGGCGUUCGCCUACUGAACCCGAGCGAUUGCACUCCAGGCUACGCGUUACUGAACCCGAGCAAUCAAUCGAUGGCUGUUAACUGAACUCGAUCGAGCGAUUCCUUCGCUACUGCUACUAACUAAAGCCAAUCAAUGCUGCCUCUGGAUGAAUAGUGAGCGUUGCUGGGGGGGUUUGGAUGAACAGUUCCCGGUAGGGGUGGAUGAACAGGACCUCGUGGUGUUGCCUCUGGAUGAAUAGGACCCCGAUCGAUCGAGCCGGUUGGGGCUGGAUGAACAGGACCCCGUGGAGGGCUGGAUGAACAGGACCACCGCGUGGAGGGCUGGAUGAACAGUAAAUGGUGGAGGGCUGGAUGAACAGUAGCCCAUGGAUGGGUGGCUGAACAGGAGCCCGUGGAGAGGGCUUGUUGAACAGUAGCCGGUGGAGUAGCGCGCGGUGGAGGCUGGAUGAAUAGGAGCCCAUGGAUGAACAGUCGCCGGUGGAGGCUGGAGGAGGUCAACGGUGGAUGAACAGUAGCCCAUGGAGGCUGGAGGGGUCGAUGGUGGAGAUGAACAGUAUCCCGUGGAGUCCCGUUUUGCGGUACGCCACACCCCUCCCGAUGAACAGGACCCCCGUUUCGACCGUAGCACUCCAACACAACUCUGUUUCCUCUGUUCUGCGGUAUGCCACGCCCCUCCCGAUCAACAGGACCACGUUUCGACCGUAGGAGGUCCGUUUCCUCCAUUUUGCGGUACGCCAGACCCCUCCGGAUGAAUAGGAUCCCGUUUCGAACGUGGCUGGUCGAACACAAGGCCGUUUCCUCUGUUCUGCGGUACGCCAGGCCUCGAUUCCAUCUGCUAUUCCGUCCAAGCCCUCCCGAUGAACACGACGACGCAUUCCAUUCUAAACCAGCCGGUUGGCUCCCCAUGAACACGACGAUGACGCAGUUUCUCCAUUCCGACCCAGCCAUGUACACGAGCCCUGGCCGUACGUAUGCGCGAGUAGGCAUUCGAGACCCUGCCUGUAUGUACGUACAUGGCCGUAUUUUCUUUCUUGCAGACUGGCCGUUGUACGUACGUGUACAUGCUACAUGCACGCCUCUACUACGACACGUGCGCACUCUACAUCGACGAGUAUUUAUGUUCAUGUUCGCGACCAGAAUGACAACGCUACGUACGCUUCAACUAGGUGGGUCCUGACUGUCAGGCACUUCAAUGCAUGCGAUGAUAUAGCUGGUGGGUCCCAGUAGUCAGGGGGGCGAAUUGUUUUCUUUUUGCCCGGACACACUUCCUUGUGUGCGGAGAUGUAGCUGGUGGGUCUCAGCAGUCAGGGGGGAAACGUUUUUUUCACGAACUACGGUGGCCCAUCCGGUGGGUCCCUGUUGUCAGGUCGAGAAAUAAUUAUUUUGCGCGUAAUAAGGAGGAACUUCCUUGCUGCGGCCAUGGACCCAGCUGUCAGGCUCUCCAUGUACAGUCCAUGUCCGAUGGAAGCCGUUCCUUGACCAUGUUGACCACGCCACGCCGAGAGCACCAGGGCGGUGGACGACGGCGAGGCCUAGGAAGGGGACGACGCGGAGCCGGGGAAGACGCGGCAGUGGAUUCCCACGCAUAGAGGAGUAUGAGGGUUCACUGGUUCGCUGUGGUGUGAGGCUAUCAUCGCCGCAGAAUAACAAGGUGUGUGGGUGAGUAGAGGGAUGGCCUGGCCAGCAGUGGGAGUAGUAGGGGCCGGUGAGGCCUCCGCGGCAUCGCAGCCGGCCACAGGAGGCAGGAGCACGAGGCACGACCGGCGCUGGUUUGGGCGGCUGGAGCAAGAAGACCAGAGGUUGAAGAAGCACUACGGCCGUUGGAUGGACAUCAUACGGUCACUGGAGCUAGAAUCGUUCAUAUUGACUAAGUUGACAAAGCACUCCAUCCCCGUCAACUUAGUUGGCCCACAAGUCAGCCCCCACUAUUGUGGGUCCCAGCUAGCAGGGGGAGUAUUCAUUUUUUUGUGCGUAAUAAGGAGGCACUUCCUUGCGUGCAAAGAUAUAGCUGGUGGGUCCGAGCUGUCAGCGGCGGUAACGUUGUUUUCGUGAAAUACGGAGGCCCUUUCAGUGGGUCCCAGAUGUCAGGUGGAGGAAUCAUUAUUUUGCGCGUAAUAAGGAGGCAUUUCCUUGCAUGCGACCAUGGACCCAGCUGUUAGCCUCUCCACAUACAGUCCACUUCAGCUGCAUGUCGAUCGUUGACCACGUUGACCAGGCCGUGCCGAGAGCACCAAGGCGGUGGAUGAUGGCGAGGCCUAGGAAGGGAACGACAUGGAGGCAGGGAAGACUCAGCAGUUGCUUCCCACGCGGAGGGGAGUACGAUUGUAUGAGGGUUUACUGGUUCGUCUGUCGUCGCUGUAGAAUAACAGCAGGGGUGGGUGAGUAGAGGGAUGGCUAGGCCAGCGAUGGGAGUACAGUGGGGCGGUGAGGCCUGCGCGACAGCACAGCCGGCUACGGGGAGGAGGGAGCAGGCAGUCCCGCCGGCACUUGUUUGAGCGGCUGGAGCAGGAAGAGCGGAGAUUGAAGAAGCACGACAGCCGUUGGAUGGACAUCCAACAUUCACUACUUGUGCGUCAACCAUUUUUUAGGAAAGCCUCAAAUCUGUGGAAAACAGCAUAUAGCCCAUCUGCCAUUAUUUCUAAUAAUUUACAGCCCAUUUGCUAAUUCUUAAGGUUUUUUUGGAGCCCAUAUUCUUUUUGUUAGCAUUACAGCCCAUAUUGUGGCCACGGUUAAAAAAAUUGUAGGAAAUUUUGCAUAUUUCAGUCCGGUCCGAACUGUUUUUAAUCCUGAAAUUUCGAGUCACAUUCAAACUGAUUUUAAAAAUAAAUGUAUAUCAAUAUAAAAUCCAACAAAUUGUUCACGCUUAAAAAUCAAUGCAAUUUAAAAUCUCAAAAUGGAAAAAAGAAAUUUGAAACUAAUUGCCAGUUUGAUAUGUUUUAAAAAUGUACAACCCAUUUCUCAUUACUGAUAGGCCAUUUUCUCAGCCAGCCGAAUGAAGCUCUCCUCUUCUUGAAAGAUUUGCAGCCUAACAGGCCUGACAAAGCGACUUACUUGGCAAAUCACAAAAAAACUGGGUUGUGGCCAUGGACCCAGCUGCGGCCAUGGACCCAGCUGUCAGCCUCUCCAUGUAUAGUACUCUUUUGAUGUAAGUCGGUCGUUCACCACAUUGACCACGCCGCGCUGAGAGCACCAAGGCGGUGGAUGAUGGCGAGGCCUAGGAAGGGGACGAUGUGGAGCCGGGGAAGACGCAGCAGUGGAUGCCCACACAGAGAGGAGUACGAGGGUUCACUGGUUUGGCUGCGGUGUGAGGUUGUCGUCGCCGCAGAAUAACAAGGGGUGUGGGUGAGUAGAGGGAUGCCCUGGCCAGCAGUGGGAGUAGUAGGGGGCGGUGAGGCCUCCGCGACAUCACAACCGACCACGGGAGGCAGGAGCACGUGGCACGACCGGUGCUAGUUUGGGCGGCUAGAGCAAGAAGACGAGAGGUUGAAGAAGCACUAUGACCGUUGGAUGAACACCGUACGAUAACUGGAGCUAGAAUCAUUCAUAUUGACUAAGUUGACAAAGCCCUUCAUCCCCAUCAACUUGGUAGGCCCAAAAGUCAGCCUCCCACUAUGCUGGGUUCCAGCUGGCAGGGGGAGUAUUCAUAUUUUUUUUGCGUAAUAAGGAGGCACUUCCUUGCGUGCAAAGAUAGCUGGUGGGUCCGACCUGUCAGCGGGGGCACGUUUCUUUCGCGAAAUACAGAGGCCCUUCCGGUGGGUCCCAGAUGUCAGGUGGAGGAAUCAAAGAUUUGAGAAGGCGUACAGAACAAGCUAGUGUACCAGUAAAGAGAUGUUGCUGAGUUUUAGAAAAAAGAGAGGCCUGCUCCUGUAGCUGGUGCGAAUCCAAACCUAGACUAUGACUAUAUAUUGUGCUAUGCUACUCUGCAAGUAAUGAAACUGACAUAUACAAUGUUCGCUUCUCCUCUUCUCUACUUACUCCGCCUAGCAUCAGAAGCUCUGGCCACAGCAACCAUGUCCCAUGGCUACUCGUCCACCUGCUCUUCAGCAGGCAACAAUCAAAUAUGCGCCAAGUCGACACCCAUACCAUCACUUGUGGGUCUCAUCACACCCCUGCCGGCACGCGCACCGCAGCCCGUUGCUCAUCGCAACCCGCUGUCGUUGGUGUGGUGCCACUGCUGCUAAUCACGCAUAGUCAUCCUUCGCAUCACAACCACAAUCCUCAACCCUAGCCGAGUCUUCUACAAAUGCCUGAAUCUUGGGGUAAUAAUAUGUUUAAGUGUUGUUCUGCUGCUUUCAUUUGCUGAUUUUUUUAAUAGUUUGGUUGAUGAUCUUCCAAUUUGAUUCGUGCAGAAAAGGGAAGAUUCGUGUGAUUUGUAUUUCUGGGAAUUUGCUAAUGUGGGGGAGUGCAACUACGUUGAUUAUUUGGUUAGCCGAGGAAUACCAAUACCAGCAGGUUGGGGUGUUGGACAAGUAACUGAAGGAACGGCAGAAGAGGAAGAUGUAGAGCAGAAGGUUAAAGAUGCAGUUCCUCUGAUCAUGGCCAAGCAACAACUGCUGAAUGGCCUUGACAGCAAUGAGGAGAUGAAAGAGCUUGUGAAGAUAAUGGGCAAAAUCGAUGUGCUCUGUAGGAUGAUUGUGUCUUUAUUUGCAGUGUAUGUAGCACUCAUGAUGUAUUCAGUGGCUAUGACAUGAGCACUUUGCUGAAACUAGUAAUGAAUGAAACCUAUGUAGCAGGCUGGGCGUAGUUUUGUGAACAUCUAAUGAUUUCUAUUAACGGAAAUCAGAUGGUAUCCCCUUUUGCUCAUAAAUAAAUAAAUAGCAGAGGCCCUUUUGGUAAUAAAUAAAUAAAUUAGCAAAGGCCCUAUCGGGUCAGCUUUGUUCUUAUUCGAAGAUGUCAAGCAAAUUACAGUCCAACAACAAACUAUGUCAUCAAAUUCAAGUUUCAUAGCCAAAUACGAGUACAACUAAACAACAAUGUCAUCAUGUUUUAGUCGUCAUACAAUCACCAAACACAAAUCAGCAUACAUAACAAGUAAUGUUCUCAUAGGAAAAUACUAAACAACAUGUUCAUUAGGUUUUAGUUGUCAUAGCAAACACAAUUUCACAUAGUAGAUAAAAAACGUCUUCUGACAGGCAAAUACGACAAAAGCAAUGUAAUCAUCAUCCGCAGCAGCAGCGUCAACAUCUUCUCCAUGUGUAUUAGUCUGAAUCAUAAUUCCCCACGGUGUCAUCUUCUUCUUCGUCCUCAAUGUCCUCGAACGUUGGCUUCUUCUUGAUCAACUCUUGUAUGUCCACAGCACGACAGGCAAUCUUUUCGCCGGCGUCAUUGACGUGAUGGUUUUCAAAGAUAUUAGGAACAUAUGUGUUAUCUUGUACAUCAGGAGCAGUGUAAGCAUCAUCUUGUUGUGCAACUUCAUUAAAUGAAUUCCUCUGCUCAAACCUUUGCAAUACUCUCGAGUCAUUGCUACGUGCAAAUGUGUCUUCCAAGAAAAAUAUCUGUGUUGCUUGAUUUGCCAAAAUAAAAGGCUCAUUGGUUUGGUACGCUGCCUUGACAUUGAUGGAUUUGAAAUAAUCAUCAGCUCUGGGUUUUGCGAUCCUGGAAAACUGGUUAUACCAACGACAACAUAACAAAACCACACACCGAUGAUCCUCGAAACUGGAGAUAUACUGCAACUGGAUAACGUCUGUUAUGUUAGCAUACAUUUUAGUUGUCUCUUUGUCAUAUGUAUCCAUGCUCAUGAUGGCACUGUUUUGUGUCUUCCUACCUUCGUCUUGUGCAAGGGUGUUGUACCGCACAUCUCCAACAAUGCAAGAUUCAUAAUGUCUUACCCGAGUAUUAGGACCCAUUGCUAGUGAGUAAAGGGCAUCAUCAACUGCCUGCCCAUGCUCCUGCAUAUUCUUAACCUAUGGUUAGAAAAUAGACAAGCCGAUCAUCUUAUGUACUCAAUAUAUUAAAAAAACUGACAGUGCAAUUCAAAAGCUUACAUGGCUCAUGAACCAUUUCGCAAAUCCUGCCAAAACCAGUUUGUCAAUGUUUCUUGGAUUUUGCGGCAGUAACUCCUUUUUGUAGAUGCUGCACAGUGAGUGCGUCAAACAUCUAAAUAUAUAAGAAUGUGCUGCAAGUUUAGUAGAUUACGAUGUAUAAGCUGCAGUACUUAACACUUACUUGAUAUAAGGUAGUAUCUCAGGAUAGUUAUUCAACACAUACCAAACAUUUUGUCUAAAUCUUUAGGUUUGUCCUCUUAUCGACUCUUCCCUGUAACUCGAACAGAAUAAUCGAAAACAUUAAGCUCGGGAUUGUCUUCAUCCACCUCUUUGCUAAGUUGAUCAGCUGUUUAAAUGUAUUUUGAGCAGAAUGUCAAUGCUUCUGUAGCAAUGUAGGCCUCUGCAAUGGAACCCUCGGGUCUAGCUCUGUUCCUAACAUAGCCCUUGAAAGUGCCUAGCCGCCUUUCAAUAGGGUACAUCCAGCCAUAAUGUACUGGACCUCUAAGUAGUGCCUCAUCAGGUAGAUGAACAGCCAAAUGCACCAUCACAUCAAAGAAGGCUGGAGGAUAUAUCUUCUCAAGGUCGCAUAGGAUAGUUGGUAUCUUGUAUCUAAGACGCUCCAAAGCAUCUAUCCUGAUAUUUCUACUGCAGAGUUCCCUGAAGAAUUGUCCCAACUCUGCAACUUCUCUGUAUAAGUCAGGGCGGCCCAAUCCUCUAAGGAUAACAUGUAAAAACCUUUGAAGUAGGACGUGGCAGUCAUAAGUUUUCAACCCUUGUACCUUGUUUCCAUCUGCACUAAUCUCCUUUUAGGGUUGGAAGAAAAUCCAUGUGGGAAUCUCACACGUGAUAGGACCUCGCAGAAUUAUUGUCUUUUUUACCUUGUCCAAGACGUACACAGCUGGUGCCAUAACCCGUGGUUUACCUUCAUCUUGCACCUGCAAAUCAUGUCUGAUACCUAGGUGUGUCAAAUCAAUCCUAGAUUUUAAGGUAUCUUUCAUCUUGCCUUCAAUAUUAAGAAGUGUGUCGAUAAUGCUGUCACAUAUAUUUUUCUCGAUGUGCAUCACAUGAAGAUUAUGCCGUAGAUCCAAAUCUUUACAAUACUCCAAGUCCCACAAAGUGGACCUGCGGGUAAACAAUAAUCUCUCUCUGCCCUGCCACGCUUCCUUUUCUCGCUACCAUUAGCAGGAUGGUUUCCUGGUGUAAUAUGCCUGACCUUCUCUAAUUCCACCUGCAACUCAUCGGCGGUGAGCCUCUUUGGGGCAUCACGGUUUUCAUGCUUUGCAUUGCACACAUGUCUUCGGUAUUUUCUAGGAUGCGGCUUGUCCUUGGCAAGGAAACGGCGGUGUCCAAUGUAAUAGAUCUUGCUAAGUAUUGCAUAUGACAGCAGAUUCCUGUCACAGCGAACACAUGCAUUGUAACCAUGUGUCGUUCGCCCUGACAUAGUGCCCAAAGCCGGAUAAUCAUGGAUACACGAAAUUAUAACAGCACGCAGAAAGAAACCAGUUGGUGGGCUGGUAUAUAGGUCUCAAGUGAGAACACCCCUCCAUAGCUAUUGAAGUUCCUCCACAAGAGGCUCCAUGAACAAAUCAAAAUCCUUUCCAGGACUUUUUGGACCUGGGAUGAGUAAGGCCAUCAUGUAGUUUGAUUCUUUCGUGCAGACAUUUGGAGGCAUGUUGUAAGGGAUAACAAGCACUGGCCACAUGCUAUAUGUGGUGCUCUGGUGGCCAAAUGGGUUAAAUCCAUCUGAAGCUAAGCCAAGUCUAAUGUUUCUCGGGUCAGCAGCAAACUUUUCGUGUUUCUAAUUGAAGCUUUUCCACUCACUACCAUGUGAUGAAUGGCUCAUUACAUUCUGAUCUCUGUACUCCUGGUUCCUAGAAUGCCAUAGUACAUCCUCUCUUGUUUCAGCAUCAUGAAACAACCUCUGCAAUCUUGGUGUAAUUGGAAAAUGUCUCAGAACAUUAUGAGGAAUCCUCUUCAUAGCAUCGCCAUCUUUCCAUCUUGAUGAUUUUCAUUUUGGGCAUUCACUUAAGUUGGCAUAAUCCUUUUGAAACGUAACACAAUUAUUCUUACAAACAUGGAUCAUAUCAUAUCCAAUUCCAACUGCAUGAAGGAAAUUCUUCAUUUACAGUAGGUGUGUGGCAGCUCAGACGCAUCUGGGAAUGCUUUGCGGAAAGCAACCAACAUCACAUCGAAUGAUUUGUUGGUCAUCCACUUAGAUGUCUUCACCUGAAGAAAGGUGACCAUAGCUGAGAAUACUGACAACUUAUUUCUAGGGGUGACAUCCACGUUGCAUUGUUCCAACAUGCGGUCCCACCGUUUUUCUUCUGUGGGUGAAAGUUCACGGAAUGCACGAGCAUUUCGUAGCAUUGUUUCAAUGUUGGUCAAACUCACUGGCUCCGCCACCACCACCUCCUCCUCCUCUUCCACCUGAGCAUCAGGCAGAUCAAGAUGGUGAUAUGCUGCUUCCACGUAGUCAAUAACAUUGACGUUCACAGCUUCACCAUGAUGAAACCACCUAGUACAUGGGUCCAACAUCCCAUACAAGUGUAGAUGAUUUUGCACAGUUGACUGGGGUCUUGUAUCUAAAUUCAUACAACUGCUACAUGGGCAAAGCACAUCUGAUUUCGGACCACCGUACUCAGCUCUGAUAAAGUUCGUGAAGUUUUCAAUCCCCUCGACAUAUGCAGCGGAGAACUUUGAGCAGAAGUUAUCCAAGUCCUGUCCAUCUGUUAGACAUACAAAUUAGUUCUUCUACUAGAUAUUACAGGAAAAACAUAUAUGCUUUUUUAUGAAGUCCAAAAAAAUACCUAGGUCGAUGUCUAAAGCUAUGGCAAGAUAUUUGGACGAGCAGAUCUAACUAACAAAAUAUAUGUAAAACUAAUUCAGCAAACAUAUUUGAGUGCUAAAUUAUGGCAGGCUGUUUUAGCAGUCAAUGAGGUCGAGCACACAACCAUCGAACUAUCGAAGGCCAUCGCAGCAACAAAGAUCGAGUAUAAAACGGUGUAGAGCUAUUUCAACUAACAGAUUGGCUACUAGACCAUGGCAAUCUAUGUCACAAUAAAUAUAUGGCAGGAUAUUUUAGAAACUAAUCGGCCUUGGCAUGCCCUAAGCAGAUUGAGUGCAGAACAGGGCAAGGAAGCUUCUUAAGAAGAGCAUAUUAACUGUAAACUACUUCGGCAAACAGUGAGAUUAACAGCAUCUAUCAGCUAACAUUCAGCGCUACAUCGACAUGCAUGGGGCCUCAGUCUAGAAUGCGCGUACCGUGGGAGAAGCUGACCGCCGUGCGUCUCCACAUGAACAUCGCCAGUGGUGGCGGCGCUGCCCGCCGUGCGCCUCCACAAGAACGUCGCCAGCCGUGGCGGCGCGGCUAGAGGACGACAGUCUACGAGAGCGUACUGUGGGAGCGAGAGGAUCACCGUGCGUCCCCCUCGACGAACCGUGGUGCCGAAGUAUCGGUGUGGCGGGGAGGGCCGCUUUGGCUGAGCGAAUGGAGUGGAGGGGGACUGGGGGAGGGGGUUUGGGGAAUAUUAUUGGCUAGUUGUCCNNNNNNNNNNNNNNNNNNNNNNNNNNNNNNNNNNNNNNNNNNNNNNNNNNNNNNNNNNNNNNNNNNNNNNNNNNNNNNNNNNNNNNNNNNNNNNNNNNNNNNNNNNNNNNNNNNNNNNNNNNNNNNNNNNNNNNNNNNNNNNNNNNNNNNNNNNNNNNNNNNNNNNNNNNNNNNNNNNNNNNNNNNNNNNNNNNNNNNNNNNNNNNNNNNNNNNNNNNNNNNNNNNNNNNNNNNNNNNNNNNNNNNNNNNNNNNNNNNNNNNNNNNNNNNNNNNNNNNNNNNNNNNNNNNNNNNNNNNNNNNNNNNNNNNNNNNNNNNNNNNNNNNNNNNNNNNNNNNNNNNNNNNNNNNNNNNNNNNNNNNNNNNNNNNNNNNNNNNNNNNNNNNNNNNNNNNNNNNNNNNNNNNNNNNNNNNNNNNNNNNNNNNNNGAAGAGGCAAGCCGAAGCGCGUCCUGUUUGCAUGAGCCGUGUGCAGAAUCGAACAUGUGUGGGGUGCAAUGCGACCACAACAGGGGUGCUGUGAGUGUACCGCCUUUUCCUUUUAAACUAGGUGCUUCGCCCCUCAAAAAAAACUUGUUGCUUCGCGCGAUCCAGCGAUACUACUACUAGUAAUCCGGUAAUCCUAACUAAAAUGGCGCGGCCGGGUCUUUUCCCGCGCAAUAUGCUGGGAGGUUGGCUUAGUUGGGUUUUUAGGACGAGUAAUGCGACACCUACGUAAUCCCAGUUACGUAAUUAACGUAAUGUGAAACGUGUGAGGUAUUGAUUGUAGAUUGGGGGGAGGGAGGGGCCCACCACCAUGAAAAUCAGGGGAGAAGAGAGAGAGGCAAUUUACGUUAAUCCUUCCGUAGGUUCUCGUAGAUGUAGAAAGAUGUGAAAUGCGUGAAUGUGUAGUGGACGUACUAUUGGAGUGCCUAAGAUAAAUUGUGUAUGUAUAGACCCUAUGUGUUUAUUUCACUUGGCAUGUUAGCUUUGUGUCGGUUCAAUAAAAAGCAGAGUUGGUGAUGAUGGUGUGCCUGUCAUCCUGCAAUAUAGGUCGUCCGAUCUAUAUCUAACGGAUAAGAAGGAAACUAUGACAAUUUACCUGCACUCCUCUCCACAUUUGGAGAUAAGGCCUUCCCUCGUUCAUCCUUUUCCCCCACAAGAUCUUGAUCUUCCGUGCAACACACGGGCAUCUUGCUAGUACUCCUACAAUAUACUAUAUUAUUGUGAAAGAUCAUAUACACCGGCCGAGAUUAAUGCAAACACGAUAGAUUUUCAUUACAUUUCAAACUUUUAUAGGACAGAAAAAUAAAAUAAACCUGACCCUAAACCUAUUCUACGGCGGCGACCGACGUCCUCCAUCUGCGAUCUCUAUGUACGGGGGCGGGGUUAAAGUCCCGUGAAGUGAAGGUGCGGUCUCCGGCGAGGAAGAGUAGAACAUGGGAUACGGACCGGCCAGUUGGCACACCAUGCCCUGCGGCCUCCCAUGCCCUACUCAUCCUUGGAGGAGUCCCUGACCUCUGCGGUGCCGGACGUUGGAUGGCGGCAAGUAGGACGCAUGGCUGAAGGUGCUCCCGUUGUUGACUGCUUGUGUGGUCACGUCCGCGUCCGGCUAUGCCGCUAUUGCGUCGCAAGAGGCGACUUGAGCGAGGGCGGCGACCUCAAGCUUCAUCCCCGCAGACAAGCUCUCCCACAGAGCAUUUGCGCUUAUGGUCAUGGCGGAUGUGGUGCCAGGUAGGAGGGCGAUGUGCUAUGGUGUGGAGGUUAGCUGGGCGUUGCCGCUUUAAGUAGCGCAUUCCGGUGAGGCCAAGCGUCCUGGUGUGUCAUUAAGUCGCCGGAGUUGGUUCCUCGGGCAUCGAGCCUCUCAACGAUGGCAUACUGCAGAACGACAUGAAUGCAGGCAGUUGGCGCCGACUGGGAAUGCACCGCGCGACGGCGCGAGGGGCAAGGGUUUUUGGUGUGCCAGGGUAGUCAGCUGCGGUCGUGGCAACGUUGGAGAUGCCCUUUGCUCACAUGUGAUCGACGCAUGUCAUUGAAAAAGCAAGACGACCCGGCAUGGUCUCAGGUCUUGAGGAUGCAGUUGGCCGUGCUACACCACUCCGCGAAUGCGUCCCGGCGCCCCGUGCAUCCUCGACGAGCCGGGUGUUGGGGUGUGUUUGGAUUGUGGCCAAACUGCACCUUACCAAAAUUUUGGUCAUGACCCAAAGAUUGGUGUUUGAUUGGUUGGUUGCCAUUUUUUGGCAUGCCAGUGAACUCUAGCCAACUCUAGUUCAUUUUUCUUUCCAAUGUCGGCCAAAUCAUGGGCAACCAAAACCUCAACCAAAAUUUUAGCUACCCAAUGCUUUGAUGGGGCAACCUUGGGCACAAACCAAACAUACUGUUGGUCGUGCCGCAGCACUAACGCCACCCUCGGCACACUGAAACCGACCGUGUCUAGCGACGAUGAGCAUGUCGCUCAUCGUGGUCCCCGUGUCCAAAGACGAUGCUGGAGCUGCGCCAAGUUGUUGGCCCCCAUGACCCAUAUGAAGGGUUUCCGGUGGCGAGGAGGUCAUGGGCCAGCUCCUCCAUUGGACUAGUCUGCGCUACGUCGUCCCGACAGGUGUGCCCCACAUGUCGAUUUCCCUGUUUUCCCGACCAUAUUCGAGCGCCAGUGCUCCACGUUGCGCAUUAGGCCUUUCACUAUGUAGGCCAAGCGAGGCAACUUAUUGUUUAUUUGAUCCGUUCAAGUAUAAUCAUGUCGUGUUUGCUUAUUUAUCAUUCCUCUCCAACCCUCUUCUCCAUUGAUCAUGUCGCCCUCCGGUCGAGUCCAUCCUCCCGCAUGCCUCAUUUGAAAAUUCCGCCGAGUAUCAUUCGCAUGUGGGCCUAGACCAUGCUUGUAUUUCCAAUGUUUUUUAAUUUGUCUGACAUGCAUACAAACAAAUGGUUUGUUUAAAGUUUCACUUUGCCUCCACUACGUGUCGCUUCGCGUCUUAGUUUUGACAUCCCAUUCGGUUCAUGCCCCAACACAUGUUGACGAGAUCGAUUGAUGUUCAGAGAUCAAUUGCGUGUCGUGCAAGGAGAUAAAGGUUUGGUAUGUUUCUAUGAUAAAAAUGACCCACGGGGGGGGGCGUCUGUGGGGAUCAGAGGGAGUAUAUUGUACGUUCAUAAGCGAAACGAAUGUAUUGUACCCACCAUAGUCCUCUUUCAAUCGAUCUCUGGACCCCGAGAUGAAAUCAAGAGAGAACGAGUGGGGGCAUGUGCGAUACCUAAGGCGGAUUCAAAAUUUUGAACCAGUGAUCAUAGCAUCCGCAAAUCAUUUAUAAAGGGUAUUCAAUGUUCAUUUCAUUUUUGAACGUACAAUAUACUCCCUCUUAUACUUUGUAGUUUACAAAUAAGUUUUAUGUGUAGUCAAAGUAUCUCUAUUUUGAUCAAAAAAGUAUCAACAUUCAACAACGCCCAUUCAAUAUUGUUAAAUUCGUACGUACUCCUAGAUUUGUACUCGAGAUGGUUUCCAAUUUGUUUUCAACCACGUGAAUGUGCUUGUUCUCACGCAUGCUCUUCCUACUAGGAUUUUGCCACGUAUAGGCAGUCCAAUAGUAACUUUUUUAAGCUCCCUGUCCAAUAGUACUAGUGGAGUACUGACAACAUCUGUACUAGAGUAUGCAGUGCUCAUACUAGUUGUCGGUGUCAAAACCGGCAGAUCUCGGGUAGGGGGUCCCGAACUGUGCGUCUAGGCCGGAUGGUAACAGGAGGCAAGGGACAUGAAGUUUUACCCAGGUUCAGGCCCUCUUGAUGGAGGUAAAACCCUACGUCCUGCUUGAUUAAUAUUGAAGAUAUGGGUGUUACAAGAGUAGAUCUACCACGAGAUCAGAGAGGCUAAAGCCUAGAAGCUAGCCUACGGUAUGAUUGUAUGUUGUGAUCGUUGUACUACGGACUAAAACCCUCCGGUUUAUAUAGACAACGGAGAGGGUUAGGGUUACACAAGGUCAGUUACAAAGGAGGAGAUAUCCAUAUACGUAUUGCCUAGCUUGCCUUCCACGCCAAGUAGAGUCCCAUCCGGACACGAGACGGAGUCUUCAAUCUUGUAUCUUCAUAGUCUAUCAGUCCGGCCAAUGGAGAUAGUCCGGCUGUCCGGAGACCCCCUAAUCCAGGACUCCCUCAGUAGCCCCCGAACCAGGCUUCAAUGACGAUGAGUCCGGCGCGCAGUUGUCUUCGGCAUUGCAAGGCGGGUUCCUUCUCCAAAUUCUGUGUACCUGUCAAAAUAAUGUCCGGUACCUUGUGAUGGUUUGUAUCUCUUGGCUUCCAUGCCCAAUAAUGGCCACUUUCCACAUGUCGAGCGAAUGUGAAGAGCCAGGGUGUUUUCACAUUUACCCCCUAGCUAUGCAAAUGAGCCGCCUAUUUAAAAAGACGAGGAUUCAGAUACAAAUCACAUCAUCCUCCCUUGCCGAGUCUUCAUCAGAGCGUACCCGACAGAGAUGCAUUCCACCAUGGCCGGUCGACAUAGCUCCUCCUCUCGCACCCCUAGCUCCAAGCCUGGAGAUUGGGAGAGAUGUUCCAUCCCGCAUAGCAAAUUGGUGAUGCUUCAGUCCAAGGGAUUUCUUCCCCCAACAUACCUGGUCCCAGUUCGAGCCGGGCUUGCCACCUAUAAUUGCGGAGAGCAAGCGGAGAGUCGUCCCAAUCCCUCCAAGGGAGAGCGGGUGUGCCUUGUCCCUUAUCUGGUAAGAGGGCUCGGAUUCCCAAUCCAUCCAUUUCUCCGAGGGCUUCUGGAGUUCUAUGGCCUCCAGCUGCACAACCUCACGCCUGCUUCUCUGCUGCAUAUCGCGGGGUUCGUAGCCCUUUGCGAGUUAUUUUUGGGCUGUGAGGCUCAUUUCGCUCUGUGGAAGAAGUUCUGUCUGGUGCCCCGUUCUAAGAAGGGAUCAAUAUAUCAAGUGGGCGGAGCCGAAGUGUGGCGUAUCGCCGGGACCGGAUACCUAUCCGGGACCCCAAAGAAGACGUCCAAAGACUGGCCUUCAGAAUGGUUUUAUAUAGAAGAUGUCCCCCCUCCGGACCCUAUUUGGAUCGGCCUUCCAGAGUUUGACAACGCCCCUUUGAAGAAGCGUCAGAGCUGGCGUCCACGGAGCCCCCUAGAGGAAGACGACCGGGACAUUCUUUAUCUGAUGAGCUGGAUAAGCUCUUUAGCUCGAUCUAGAUUGACCAUGACCGAGGUCAUGGCUAUAUGCAUUAUGCGAGGGGUGCAGCCGCUCCAAUAUAGAGGCCACCCCAUGUGGGAUUUCAACGAGGAGGAUGACGCCACCCGCCACGGCCACAACGGGCGGGGAUCGGCUGCUGAUCUAAUAAAGAUCUUGUCCACUUUGUACAAGGGAGAAGAGGAGGAAUUCCUCCGUGUCAACCCGUAGGGCGGAUUCUCCAUGUACAAUCCUCUGAACUGGGUAAGCGGAGAUCUUUCUCGCCCAUCCGUUUCGUAUUCCCGUAGUUUAAGUAUUCAUUCUAGCGAUUUUGUCGCAGGAGCUGCGCCAGGCAGUAAAGGAGAUAAACAGCCCUCCCCCACAGCCCGAGGACCCUGGACGAUCCCUUGACCCGAGCUCCCAGGAGGAUCCGGACAUAUCCGUGGAGCUGAUCGACGGGGUAUUUUACCAAGGGAGUAAUGACAAUACCUUGGUGGCCAUUACGGCCGAUUACCCUAGGCUAGUUCCAGCCUCACAGGUGACUGAGGCCAAAAUCCCAGCACGUAGAAAGGGAUCCAUCCUUGUGCUCUUUUUAUUGCCGUAUAACAGCCGUGUUUUGCAGGGGAGGUCCUCGGGGCAGAAGGCCGAGCCCGUGGCAACUAGCCAACAAGGGGCCGCUAAGCUAGGCGGGCUGAAAAGAUCCGCAGUCCGGAUUGAGGCAUCAGCGCAGCGGUAUGGCGCGCCGUCUUUAUUACAAGACAUUUUUACAGAGGCAUACUAACGCCCAUGCCUUCUUUUCAGGAAAAAGAGCGCUCGCCAGACUGUACCCGGAGAGGCUACCAAUCGCGCCUCCACAAGCCAGGCUCCAAGGCCGAACUCAGAGGUGGGAACGAGUACAAGGCGUGCGCCGGGUGCUCCUCCGAUAGAGGAUACGGAUAGACUGUCCGCCACCCAUUCCGAGGUGGAAAGUGCCAUGAACCACAGGCGUCGCCGGACUGUUCUUCGUGACGCUUGUUUCUCCCUAGAGGCAUUGGAUGCCUUCAACUCGGGAGAAGCGCAUCUCUGUGCCGCUCAAGAUGGUCUAGCCAGAGCCACGGAGCAGUAUGUAAAAGACAUACGGGUGAGAAAAUUUGAUGAUUAUAUAUAUCAGUAGCCCCUGAGACUUGAAACAGUUAGAUAACUGAUUUAAGGAUCAUUUGUUAUGUAGGUUCUUACAGAAAAGAAUACUCAACUGUCCCAGGAGCUGGAAGAGUGCAAAGCCCGACUUCGGGCCGCACUGUCCACUGCAGGGGAGCCCAAAGAGACCCCCGCUGGUAACAUAUCCGUUAAAUGAUAAGUAUUAUAUUAGAGUGCGACUUUAUAUGCAAAUCUGACGAAAAAAUUGCAGAUGACGCUGGAGUGAAUCUGGAUAAGCAACAGCUCAAACGCGAGCUGAAGGCUGGUGAGACCGUGCUUACAAGGGUGAGGUAGGAGAAGAAUGAUCUCCAAGAUGCCAACGCCAAGCUGGGCGUGGAACGGAAAGAUGUUCGUGCCCAACUGUCGGACUCUGUUAAGGAGAAUCGACGGCUUCGACGCGGCAUAUUUAGUAAGUGCUUGAACGAACUUAAAAAGAGUUCAGCGGGGAAGCUGACUGACAGAGUUAUGUCUGUAGGUAUCUUAACAGGUCGUCCUGCCAAGGAGAUGCCUAGUUCAACGGGUGAUCUUCUUCUUGAGCUCGCACAGUUGCACGAACGAGUUCGGCAAGUGAUGCGAGGCGUUGUCCAGGCCUUGUGGUCAUCCGUCUCCCUACCCAAAGGCCUUGGAGAGCUUGCAGAAAAGCUGAAGGGAGCACAGCGGCGCUUCUGAUAAUGGAAGAUAUCGGCCUGCCAUCAGGGCGCUAGGGAAGCUUGGGCGAUGGUGAAGACACGGUAGACGAAGGCUGACCCGAACCACAUGGCCGAAGUCAGACCUGUGGGGCGUGAUGGCAAGGAGAUCCCUGUAAAUUUAGUGUACGGCCAAGUAGAAUUGGCCACAAAGUAUUCCCAACAGGACUGUAGACUAGACAGCCUGUUGGAUGGCAUUGAAGAGGAAUUCAAUGAGUCAAAUUGACUGUGUAAUUGUAAAGUGACAUAUAUGAUGCCUUCUAGCCGGAUUGUAGAUCGUUUGUCGUGGCGGACCUUUUCGCUUCAACCUCGGGACCCGAUAGUCUGGAGUGUAUCCGAAUACCCUCUCGGUUAUAUAAGAACCGGGGAAUGCGUGGAGACUAGGCGUAGGAGUCAUUAGUGCUUUAUCAGACAAGUGCCCAACUAGUUAUGUUAUAUUACAUGGGUAGUAAGAAACAUCUUCCAGAGAGAAUAGUUCCGUUAAGGGUUCCUUUCCCUGGGUAGGCAUGCCCUAAGGUGCAUGUCCGGACUGCGACAAGAAGCGCAGUAAAAAAAUUCAUCUUUUGUUCACCGACCGAAUAUUCUCUUAAGAACGCUAGCUUUCGGCUUCACCUAGUCUGAGGUACACGUCCGGCUGACCCGGCGGUAACAAUCGCAGAGGUGCUCCCGUUAUGCCCUAGCCGAAUUAACGGAAACGUAGGGCAUAAAUACAAGAGCCAGGCAACCUAGCUUGGCCAAAACUGAAGUCAUAUCGAUGCAUAUAAUGGUGAAAAAGGUACAUGCAGAAGUAUAACGCAUGCGUUGGGCGUGAUGCCCAGGUAAAUAAUUUAAGCUUCUGUGAAAGAAGCCCCCAGGUGUAGAUCGUGCGGCUAGCACCUCUGUAGUGUACAAGUGAGGCACAAGGUGACCCUUGAAGACCUAGAGGAAUAAAAGAAAGAAAUGGAAACAAGGCAGACAACACAUAUGCAGAAAAUGGACAAAGGGAAGGGACUAACAUAAAGUCCAGCGCUAGGCGUAGAAUCUUCGGAGCCUGGCUGCGUUCCAUGGGUUCGGCUCGAGUCGACUAGUCGAUGCAUACCGCAGUCAGUACGCUCCGUCGGUCAGAACUUGGUCGAUGACGAAGGGACCUUCCCAUUUGGGCUCUAGCUUGUUCUUUUUCUUAUCCGGCAGCCGAAGAACUAGUUUGCCAAUGUUAUAAGUUUUGGCUCGUACUUCUCUGCUUUGGUAUCUGCGGGCCUGUUGCUGUUAAAGUGCGGAAUGGGCUUUGGCUACGUCGCGCUCUUCCUCCAAGGUGUCCAGACUGUCCUGCCGAUCGAGCUCGGGUUCUCUUUCUUCGUACAUGCGCACUCGAGGUGAGUCAUGAAUUAUGUCACAGGGCAGGACUGCCUCUGCACCGUACACCAUAAAAAUGGUGUGUAUCCAGUACUACGAUUCAGCGUGGUCCGUAGCCCCCAUAGUACGCAGUCGAGCUCCUCUACCAAGUGCGUGUCAGACUCUGUUAAGGAGCGCACUAGUCUGGGUUUCAUGCCCCUUAUUAUAAGACCAUUUGCUCGUUCGACUUGACCGUUGGUUUGUGGAUGGUAGACUGAAGCAUAAUCGAGCUUGAUGCCCAUUUUGCUGCACCAGAGUUUUACCUCGUCGGCCGUGAAGUUCGUGUCAUUAUCAGUGAUGAUGCUGUGGGGGAUGCCGUAGCGAUGUACAACCCCGGAUAUGAAAUCUAUCACCGGUCCGGAUUCGGCUGUUUUAACUGGUUUGGCCUCUAUCCAUUUGGUGAAUUUAUCCACCAUGACCAAUAAGUAUUUUUUCUUAUGGGUUCCACAUUUAAGGGGUCCAACCAUGUCAAGCCCCCAGACCGCAAAGGUCCAUGUAAUGGGGAUUGUUUGGAGGGCGGUGGGUGGCAUAUGGCUUUGAUUUCCAAAGAGCUGGCAACCGGCGCAACGCUGGACUAAGUCCUGUGCGUCUGCCCGGGCUGUUGGCCAAUAGAAUCUUGUACGGAAGGCCUUGCUCACAAGAGCCCGGGCUGCGGCAUGAUGACCACCGAGUCCGGCAUGAAUUUCUGCCAAAAGGUUCCGCCCUUCCUCUUCAGAGAUGCACCGUUGAAGGACUCCGGUAGUGCUUUUCUUGUACAAUUCUCCCUCGUGGACCCUGUAGGCCUUUGAUAGCCGCACUAUGCAGCGUGCCUCAUUUUGGUCCUCCGGGAGUUCCUAUCUAGUUAAGUAGGCCAGGAAUGGUUCUGUCCACGGGGCAAUAAUAGCCAUUAUUUCGUGGGUUGAUUGUGUUAUUUUGGUGGCGGAGCCUCCGAUUGUGUCAGAGAGUUCGGUAUCGGGUAUUUUGGCCGGGUCCGGACUGUUGUUACCGGUGUCCCCUUCCCAUGCUACGGAUGGCUUGAAAAGCCUUUCCAGAAAAAUGUUGGGAGGGACCGCGUCGCGUUUUGCGCCAAUGCGGGCGAGGAUAUCUGCCGCCUGAUUGUUUUCUUGAGCCACAUGGUGAAAUUCGAGCCCCUCGAACCGGGCUAACAUUUUUAGGACGGCAUUGCGAUAAGCGGCCAGUUUUGGAUCCUUGGCAUCAAAGUCUCCAUUUAUUUGGGAUAUUGCAAGGUUUGAAUCCCCGCGCACCUCUAGGCGUUGAAUGCCCAUGGAUACUGCCAUCCGGAGACCAUGUAGAAGGGCCUCGUAUUCGGCUACAUUGUUGGAGUCUGUAUACAUUAUCUGCAAUACAUAUUGAACUGUGUCUCCUGUUGGGGACGUCAAAACGACGCCGGCCCCCAGACCAGCCAACAUUUUGGAGUCGUCGAAGUGCAUGAUCCAGUUUGAAUAUGUGUCGUACUCUUUAGGGAGUUCGGCUUCCGUCCAUUCAGCGAUGAAGUCAGCCAAAACUUGCAAUUUAAUAGCUCGCCGUGGCUUGUAAGUUAUGUCGAACGGGAGGAGCUCAAUAGUCCAUUUGGCAAUCCGACCCGUUGCAUCGCGGUUGUUUAUAAUAUCGUUAAGUGGUACUUCCGAGGCUACCGUUAUCGAACACUCUUGAAAGUAGUGUCGCAGCUUCCUGGAUGCCAUAAAUACCGCGUACGCUAUCUUUUGAUAAUGCGGGUACCGCAAUUUGCAUGGAGUAAGGACAGUGGACACGUAGUAAACCGGCUUUUGAAUGGGAAAUUUGUGUCCGUCCACUUCUCGCUUGAUGACAAGCACUGCGUUUACCACUUGAUGAGUUGCCGCAAUGUAUAAUAGCAUUGGUUCGCCAAUGUUUGGCGCGGCCAGGACUGGGUUUGUUGCCAACAUGGCUUUUAUUUCGUUGAGUUCGGCCGUGGCGGCGUCCGUCCACUCAAAGUGUUUGAUACGCCGGAGGAGGCAAUAAAGGGGUAAUGCCUUUUCUCCCAAGCGGGAGAUAAAGCGGCUUAGAGCCGGCACACAUCCAGUUAGUUUUUGUAUUUGUUUGAGGUCUGUUGGGGUAGCCAACUGUGACACGCUCGGAUUUUGGCUGGAUUAGCUUCAAUACCUCUACUGGAGACAAUGAAUCCCAGGAGCUUUCCUGCUGGUACACCGAAGACGCAUUUUUCCGGAUUGAGCUUGAUGUCAUAUGUUCGGAGGUUGUCGAAUGUGAGCCUCAAGUCGUCUACUAAAGUUUCUAUAUGCUUGGUUUUAAUGACCACGUCAUCCACGUAUGCCUCCACUGUUUUGCCGAUCUGGUUUGCCGGGCAUGUCUGAAUCAUGCGCUGAUAUGUUGCACCGGUGUUUUUUAGCCCGAAGGGCAUUGUGUUGAAGCAGAAUGGGCCGUAUGGUGUGAUGAAUGCCGUUGUGACUUGGUCUGGCUCUGCCAUUUUGAUUUGGUGGUAGCCGGAGUAUGCAUCGAGGAAACACAAUGAAUCGUGUCCUGCGGUAGCAUCAAUGAUUUGAUCGAUGCGGGGGAGGGGGAAGGGAUCCUUUGGGCGGGCCUUGUUAAGGUCCUUAAAAUCGACGCACAAGUGACAGGAUUUGUCCUUCUUUGGUACCAUCACCAAGUUUGCUAGCCAGUCCGGAUAUUUUAUGUCUUUGAUGAAUCCGGCCUCCAAUAGCUUGGCUAGUUCCUCUCCCAUGGCUUGUCUUUUAGGCUCGGAGAAACGUCGAAGAGCCUGCUUGACUGGCUUGAACCCUUUUAUGAUAUUUAGGCUGUGUUCAGCCAGCAUGCGUGGGAUUCCUGGCAUGUCUGAAGGGUGCGAGGCAAAAAUAUCCUAGUUCUCGCGUAGGAACUCUCGCAGUGUGGCAUCAACAUCAGGGUUUAAUUGUGCCCCGAUGGAAGCUGUUUUUGUAGGGUCCGUUGAAUGGACUUGGAAUUUGACUAUUUCAUCCGCUGGCUUAAAGGAGGUGGACUUGGAUCUUUUAUCGAGUAUCACGUCGUCCCUUUUUACCGUGGAGCAUAGCGCAGUUAGUUCUUCGACCGCUAGGGCUUCGGAUAGUGCCUCAAGGGCCAGUGCAGCUGUCUUAUUUUCGGCGCGGAGUGCUAUGUCCGGAUCACUAACAAGAGUGAUGAUUCCGUUGGGCCCGGGCAUUUUGAGCUUCAUGUACCCGUAAUGGGGUACGGCUUGGAAGAUUGUGAACGCCUCCCGCCCUCAUAGAGCGUGGUAUCCGCUACUGAACGGGGCCACUUGGAAUGUAAUUUCUUCGGACCUGUAAUUAUCCGGCGUGCCGAAUACCACGUCUAGUGUGAUUUUUCCGGCGCAGCGUGCUUCCCGACUAGGGAUGAUUCCUUUAAAGGUUGUGCUGCUUUGCUUAAUGCGGCUCCAGUCUAUUUCCAUCUUUUGAAGAGUUUCCUCGUAGAUGAGGUUUAAUCCGCUGCCGCCAUCCAUGAGUACCUUGGUGAGUCGAAAGCCGUCCACGAUUGGACUGAGGACCAGUGCGGCUAGUACUCGGGCUGUUCGGAAUUGGUGUUCAUCACUGGCAUUGAAGGUAAUAGCCGUGUCGCUCCAAGGAUUUGUUUCUGCUAUGUGGCAGAUUUCGGACGUGCUGCGGAGUGUUCGCUACCGUCUUUUAUUUAUUGCAAAGGUCUCGAAGACCGUUAAGACCGUACUGUUAUCCUCGGGGUGGUGCUCUUUAGUUUUUGGGAGGAGUAGAUCCUCACCACUUUUGGCCACCUGCCGGAGUAUCCAGCGUGCUCUGAGGCUGUGCGUUGGUAUCGCAUUCGUUGUUUUAUGAAUUUUGCAGGGUCCGUUGAGCCAUCCCUCCAGUACGGUUCCUUGCCCCAUAGAGGGCUUUUGCUUUUUGGUAGUUAACCCAGGUGUAUUGUGAUAAUGCACCCUUUUAUUUUGGACUGGGUUUGUAUUCAGGGCCGGAUUAUCCCAAAAUUUUAUUUCGGUUUUCCAGGCGAGUUCCAUCGCACAGUACUUUCGCACUAUGGACACCAAGUCGGCAAAGCGUGUAAUUUCGCGACGACUUAUGGCGCUGAGGAUUCCCUUGUCCGUGCAAUUAUUGCAGAAGAACGAAAUUGCGUCUUCCUCGCGGCAGUCCUUUAUCCUGUUCUUGAUCAGGAGGAAUCUGGCCCAGUAAUGGUGUACUGUUUCUUUGGGCUCUUGCCUAAUUUGGGAUAGAUCGCGUAUGUUUGGGUGGGUGGGUGGAAUUGAAUCCGAAUCCUCACCCUAUCUGAGGCUCAGUGGCCAAGGAGUUUCCGAACUCGAAAGCUUGGAUUCUUGAACGUUUUCUGGUAAAUCUAGCCCGCUGCCUCAUUCUGGGUUCAGGCUUUGAGUGACUUCCUCCCCUCCACGGGUAUCCGGUUUGGGGGGAUCGGGAAUCCGUACGUAGCUAGUCCUUAAGAUAGAUGGAGUUUUGCCGCAUUGUUCUUCCACCACUGCAACGUGGUGGGUGACCUGGGGAGAGUUAAUUUCUCUUAGAUCGGGUUUCGGCCCAAUCUGAUCGUAGUCUGUAGCGACUCCUAGGGCGGCAAUACGAUCCAAGAGGUCGUUCAGGGAAGAGAGCUCCAUUGGAUCUAACUGCUCGGUGAGUUCCGAGUUGAUGUGAAGAUUACUUUCGAUGACCCGAGAAGUCAUCAUCGGCGCAGCGACCGAAUAGGAGGUCAUAUGGAAACCACCUAGCUGGAGAGUUUGGCUGAUAGCCAGAGCUCCCUCAGUGAUAGUGCCGUCUUUAAAGACGGGACGAGACAUCCUUCCUUGUGGCGACGCCACAGUGGAACUCUCAAUGACACCACCGAUGUCGGUAUCAAAACCGGCGGAUCUCGGGUAGGGGGUCCCGAACUGUGCGUCUAGGCCGGAUGGUAAUAGGAGGCAAGGGACACGAAGUUCUACCCAGGUUCAGGCCCUCUUGAUGGAGGUAAAACCCUACGUUCUGCUUGAUUAAUAUUGAAGAUAUGGGUGUUACAAGAGUAGAUCUACCACGAGAUCAGAGAGGCUAAAGCCUAGAAGCUAGCCUAUAGUAUGAUUGUCUGUUGUGAUCAUUGUACUACGGACUAAAACCCUCCGGUUUAUAUAGACACCAGAGAGGGUUAGGGUUACACAAGGUCGGUUACAAAGGAGGAGAUAUCCAUAUACGUAUUGCCUAGCUUGCCUUCCACGCCAAGUAGAGUCCCAUCCAGACAUGAGACGAAGUCUUCAAUCUUGUAUAUUCAUAGUCUAUCAGUCCGGCCAAUGGAGAUAGUCCGGCUGUCCGGAGACCCCCUAAUCCAGGACUCCCUCGAUAGUACUCCCUCCUUCCCUUUAUAUAGGGCCUAUGUGGAGGUGAGAGAUGUGAAAAAGUAAGGGGAGUGAGCUCUCAUGCAAGAGCCUAUAUAUAUACGCAUUCCUAGUUAAAUACAAUAAAUAUGAGGAAAGCGAUGUAGAGGAGAUGGAAAAAUGUACUAAUACAAUAGCCAACCUUAUAAUUGUUUUUGCGGGAAAUAGCCAACCUUAUAGCCCACACUACUGUAUGAGUGCACAUAAUAGAUGAUGGAUAUAGAUGACAUGUCAGUUCCUUAUAGCCAUCGACUGGCUAUAUUAUUAACCAUGCUCUAAUGCGUUUUUCAAAACCGCAUUUGACUAUUGACAAGAUUAAUAGUACAUGAGAUGUAUAAUGUGAAAAUUAUAUCAUUGGAAGCUCCUUUCACAUACGAAUUUGACUGUAUGCUUUGUGUAAGUUGCAUGUCAUAUAUUACUACUCUAACAUUUGGUCAAAGUUAGCCUCGAAAAACGCAUUAGGCCCUGUACAGUAAAUGGAAGGAGGGAGUAGUAGUGGAAGUGGAUCCUCUGACGUAGGUAUCCCUGCCUUACCCUCCCUUUCGGUCACUUACUGGAGGGCCCCAUGCUUGCUAGGCCCCGCAUGUGAGUUACUCAAUGGGUUCGGCCAUGUCAGGGGAUCCUCAUUCGUAGUAUACUCCCUCUGUUUUUAUUUACUCCGCAUAAAAUGGAGGGAGUGGUAGUAUAAAUGACGCGGGCGGGGAGGGGAGGGAUGUCGGUUUGCUCUCAACCACGGUCCCACAAGCAAGCGAAAAUGCAAGACGAAGCGUGUUCCAUUCGGUCAGUGAUGUGGAGGGUCCAGUGUGCCGAGCUGCAAUGCGAACGCGACAAGAGAGAUGUACAGCCAAAACCAAUUAACAGGUCGUCAUCGGAACCACUAUUCACACCAGAACCUUCGCUGCUCGGCCUACGCCAGCCACUGCCCUAAAACCACACCUAAUCUCCAGCCCAUUCCACCACCUUUCGAACCCCUAGACUGCAUCAAGCGUCCCCUAGUUCGCCAGAAAGCCAUGGUGUGCCGCAAGAUCACGUACUACAAGAUGCUGACGCCGGAGCGCCGCGUAGAAAUCGCGACGGCGGUCGGCGCCACACCUCCGUUCCCAAGCUCGCUUUGCGGUGGGCCAAUCCCCAAGUUCUCUGGAGCCAAGCUACGAGGAGGAGGUAGCCGAUCCAAUGUUCAUGGCGGAGGUCGUGGCGAAGAAAGCCCCAGAUGGGUAUGAGAUGAUGGAUGUUGACUUCGUGCCAGCGUCCGAGUCCCCCAUGGUGCAGGUGGACCAGUGGUUCAACCUGGCGAUACUAAAGGAGGACCGGGAGGUAGAGGCUCAACUCGACGCGGAGCAUGUUCAUGCCGCUGCCAUCGAGGCUCUCCUGCAGGCGGAACCGGAUGUCGUGGAUGUGAACCGGGUGGCAGAGACUCAACUUGAGGCAAAGCGCGUGGAUGCCGCUGCCAUCGAGGCCCUCGUGCACGCGGAACCGGACAUCCUGGACUUGAACCGGGCGGCAGAGGCUCAACUCAAUGGAGAGCGCGCGGAUGCCGCUGUCAUCGAGGCCCUCCUACAGGUGGAACCGGACAUCCUCGACUUGAACUGGGAGGUGCUCUCGUCCGUGCAAAGCGCCCGCACGCUCCGCGUGAACGAGUAGCUGGAGGCUGAGGACAACCACGGUGCGGAGACACACGUCGGCAGCUACGGCUGGUUCGCGCCGGCAGACAAAGACGACGAGGCUGUCUCGUUCCGCGAGCAGUGAUAGUUUUUCUUUAUGUUGUUGUUUUUAUGGAUCUUUUGUUGUGUAAGAACAUAUAUUGUUAUGCAAUUCGCCUGACUUGGGUCAGUUUACCAUUUCAGGCGAUUGGAUGAAUAUCCUACGUCUCCUAACCCUUCUUCCUCACCUCUUCUUCUUCCCCAAUAGACCACCGCACGGGACGUACGGAUACUCCCCAACAUGCGGUUGGAUAAACAUACUCAAUGAACGAAAAUUAUGUGUCAGCGAUAGGAUGGCUGAGUUUGGUUUGUUCACAUGCGACAACACGUGGCAGUGAGGGUGCAUUCCCUUGGUUGGGUUUGCGGCGUGCAGGAGUGACGGUGUGAGGGUGCGGUGCGACCGCGGCGUGCAGGAGCGACCGUGUGAGGGUGCGGUGCGACCGUGAUAGCCAUGCGCAAGUGUACCUCCUUUUCAUUUUGAAAACUUUAGGCAAGCUUGGAAAAAAUGUGUGGCGAAGUAUGGCAAUGCAAGGCCUAGACCCAAAUAGGAUAAGUGUGUACUACGUACUAGGAGUACUAGUGUUAAAAAAGAAAGGCGGGGUUUUUAUUCGCGGGAUUAAUCGAUACAAAUCCUCAUUUCACGUGUCAAUUAAUGCGUAUUUUUUUCACCAAAGCCCAAAGAGCUAACCAUCUCACUCCUCAUCGCUUGAUUAAUGCAGCGCCAUGCAAACCAACCUUCUCACUUCCGCAUGCAUGCAUGGGAUAUUAAUGUCAUUGGUUGCUAGUACGAGGCAAACCCCAUCAAUUUUGCCUCGAUUAGUGUGAGUGGCCUUUUGCAAAUUGUAAUUUUAAUACACUGGCCUUGUGUAUGAAAAAUGGAGGUAGUAACUAUAUUUGACUUCCUUCCCCAUUGCGGUGACGUCGACGAUAUCUCGAACAUUGUGGUUUGGCGAAGUGCGUUUGAUGGAGAACAACAUUGAGGGAGACCACGGUAACUCAUUCGCAAGUGCCGCCUGCAAGCUGAGACAACCGCCUUAUUUGCAUCCAGGAAGUCCGUUGAACCGAAGGAUGCAUAAAUGUACUAGUACUACUCAUACACAAUAACGUCAUCUGUCCAACUUAGUGCGGUGAGAUGGUUUCUCGAAGAAGACGAUGGAGAAGCGGAUUCAUCGAAGAGUGAAAUGAUGGUUGCUUCGUCUGUCCUUUGUGAUUUGACGCCUCACUGCUUUGUGAUUUGUGAUAGAAGGGAUAGGGGAGUAGACUCUGUGCUCUAUACUGUACAUGCGUCCAAGCACGGGAGAAAGAGGAGAGACGUUGCAUUUUUCUAUUCCUUCAAUCAAUCAAUCAGGGAGCUUCGGUUCCAUCCUUUUGGCUUUGGCAACACCAUCCACAAUGGUUCCCACGAUGCCAAAAUCUAUUUCCACAUUUGGCUACACAUUGUGGAUGCCCUUAACCGUACCACUUGGUUUUGCUCCUGUGUGCCAUCUAUACAAAUCUCAAUUAUAUUGAUCUAAAAAAUUGUAGAAUCCAGAUUAGUAAAAAGGAGGUGAUUUUGCCGCACAGAUGGCGGGGGAGGUUUCUUAAUUUUAGAGGAUGUUGUCCUGGCGGUUUGCUAACAUGUGGUCCCACGUGUCAGUGCUUUACCAAGCCGAUCCGCGUCCCACAUGAGGCAGAAUAACGACAGAAGCAACACAUGGUUAACUUGAAGAAGAUGUGGGAGAAGCGGAUUCGGCAACUAGUGAAAUGAUGGUUGCUUCGUCCCUCCAACUUCUUUUUUUAGCAUAAUUACUUCGUCCCUCCAACUUAACUGCGGGAAAGCUACAUCUUUGUGAUUUGACGCCUCAUUGCUCAUUACUACGCCGGCGCCAUGACUGGGUGCUUCACCCCGGCUGCUCUGCACUGUAUUCCGGUAUGGCAUGUGGACCCGGUAGCUUGAUGUCCCACAUGUCGGCGAAAGGGACUAGAAGAUUUAUGAAAGCGAGCGCUCCACUCUUACGACGGAGGAGUACAUGACACGAUGGCCCAGUGAACUGUCACUUGCACUGUAUAGUAUUAUAGUUUUGCUGUUUCGCACGAUCCAUCGAUACAAACCCGAUUAAACAGGAAAGGGCGGGAUUUUCCCGCGCGGUAUAUGAUACUGGCCAUACAUUUCAAAGGCAAUUUUAAGGUAUGCAAACUGAAUAAUUAAGUAGAUAUAUGAUAUCUAGUAAAACUAAAAACACAUAUUUAUUGUGUUAGAGUGUAAUAGUAGUGUUGUAUUGCAUAGUUGUUAGAUGUAACAUGCGAGAACGUGUAGAGAUGUAGUUUUGGAGGGCCUACAGAGAGAAAAGUGUAAUAUGUUCACCGAACUUCAGAAUAAGCUGAUUACGGUCACUAUAUACAUUUUGCAGUGAUUAUACGGUCACUUGCUCACGGUUCAGCAUUGGAUUGCACUCUGUUGACCGGCCAAAUAGUCUGUGUGGCACCAUGUUGACUAGUUAAAUUGCCCACGUUCCUUGUGGGUCCCACCUGUCAGUUCGCAAAGGGAAAAUGUCAGAUAAACAAAAAUUUACGCAGGCGCGACAAGACUCCAACCCGUGCGCGGGAAUCACCUGGUUGUGUAUGUGUCUGUCAGGGCCUCAUGUGUGCGCAUGCACGUGUAGGUUCAGCACUUGAGCGUGAGAGUGUGUGUUGGUCGUGUGGUGUACUGGUGUGUGCAUGCAUGCGUGCGUGUGUGAGUGUUGCGCGUGUGCGUGUGUGGCUGCGUGUAUAUGUGUGAGUGUUGCAUGUGUGCGUGGGUGCAUGUGUUUGUGUGAGUGUUGCGUGCAUGCAGUUCGUGUGCAUGUGUGUGUGUGUGUGUAUAAUCACCACACCAACUCAUGUGUGUUAAAAUAGACGGCUCAGCAUACCAAUACAAGGCCACCUUGUCCGUUGUGCCCGCGGUCAUGACUCCGAACGACCAUCCAAUAUUUUUUUGUCGUUUGUUUUCAUUCUUACUAGCAAGAUUCCCGUGCGUUGCACGUAACAUCAAGAUGCAUUUGUAUGACUAGUUUAUCUUGUGAGAGAAAAGUAUGAACGAGAGAAGGCCUUAUUUGCAAAUGUGGAGAGGUGUGUGGGUACCUUUUUGCAAAAUUGUCAUAGUUUCUUUCCUAUCCAUCAGAUAUAAAUCGUACGACCUAUAUUGCAGGAUGGCUGGCACACCAUCAUCACCAACUCUAUUUUUUAUAAGGGUGUAUUUUAUAUUUUAUAAGACUGUAGAUGUAGAGUAGAUACAAGCCGACAGGUGGGCCCGAUGGUAGUGAGAUAAUGUGAUGCAACACUAGAGGUGCCACGUGGAGCGUUUAACUGAUCAACUACUCGUGUCUUGAGCAAAUACAGAGUUGUACGGUGAGCCCGUGACUGUAUAAUAACCACAAAACGUAAAUGGUGACUGAAGGUGUCCUGGACUAGGGGUACUCACCACGUCAUCUCCCGAUCUAUUAGAUUGGGCCGAGGACCCCCAUGGCCGUAUACUCAUGGGCCGGUUCGGACAGCUGCCGCAUACAUGGAAGAUUCCACAAGACUUGGUGAUCAAGACAAGGACUCCUCCCCACCGGCAUAUUCGGCUAGAACUCUUGUUAUCCUAGGCCUCUGGUGCAUUAUAUAAACCGAGGCCAGGCUAGUCGAUAGAUCAUAUACAACAAUCAUAUCAUAGGCUAGCUUCUAGGGUUUAGCCUCUACGAUCUCGUGGUAGAUCAACUCUUGUAAUAUUCAUAUCAUCAAUAUCAAUCAAGCAGGACGUAGGGUAUUACCUCCAUCAAGAGGGCCCGAACCUGGGUAAACAUCGUGUCCCCCACCUCCUGUUACCAUCGAUCCUAGACGCGCAGUUCGGGACCUCCUACCCAAGAUCCACCAGUUUUGACACCAACAUUGGUGCUUUCAUUGAGAGUCCCGCUGUGUGAUUGGCAAAAGGAUUGAUGGCUCGCCUGUAGAUCAACUGCGACUUCGGCAUCUUCGUCACCAGCUCAGCUGGUCACCUUGGUUCGACCAAGAACUGCGCCCUGUGUUCAGAUCACCAUGUUCGGACGAGGGCCUUCAUCAAACAUCAACUCCGAUCUCUAUCAAGAUCAGGGAGGAAUCAUCCAUGGAGCUCGAGGGCUCAUCGUCAACAUUGCCCUCGGGCGGCCGUGCUGUUUUUAUGGACAACGAACUUGUAUUCACCGUCACCGCUUCCUCGAGCGUCAGUUUGACGAUUGCUUUGGUGGAAUAGUGCGAAAUUACAUCUACAACAUCCAUGCAAAAUUUCAUCGAGUUCCGAUGGAGGAAUUUCCGACAAUCUACGAUAUACCGGAGCCCUGUAAAAUCUAGACGGGAAUCUGGACGAGUAUAGGGCGUGUUCUCCAGAGCCAAUCUCGGAGGUCCUUUGGAAGAUCCAACCGUUCAUCUACUGCAGAAUUCCCAUAUCUACCACCCCUCCAAAUUUCAGCUCGAUCCGACGGUUCAAACUCCAGGAACCUUCCGAUGAGUGGACCAAUUUUUGGAUCCGUUUUCUGCACGAAUACGGAUCCGACCCGAAUUCAUGUUUCUUUAUGAACAUGAUAUUGGACAACCUUUUUAGAGGAAUUCUCUUCUAGGGUAUUGUGCGUUGUUUUUGAACACGUGCCCGUAAAUUUUUAAGCCUCCCCUGAGUUAAUCUUCAUCAUCAUGCUGGUGUCAAACCAGUCUGGCAAUAUUGCUCCAAGGCUGCCGACCUGCUAUAGACACGUCGUCACUUUGUUGAGCCAAGCUCAACUUCUUCGAUCAUCAUCUCAGCAAGCUGAACAAGAGUUCGGCAUCACGAAUGAUAAAUCAUCAUCAAUGUCGCUGCCCCACGGACUACACGGAGCAGGCACACCGGCAUCGCCACGCGGUAGCUGCAUCAAGCAGCAUCAAUCGCGUCACAAGUCUUGACCUGCGUCGGCAUCACCAUGCUGCCUCUUCUUCAAAUCAUCAUCAAACACGCCGACCUGUUUCAACACAUCGGCUGACAGGUAGACUCCGGCAUCUCUUCGGCGAGCCACUCCAACACCUCGGCUAGACCGGGGGCUUCAUCAUCUCUUCAUCAACAUACUCCGAUGACUUCGGCGUCACCAGCCGACCAGCUUCGUCGCGUUAGCUAGACUGAGGGCUUCACCUCGGCAAGCCAACCUUUGCCAGCAUCACCAGGCCAUCACUUUAUCGCCCAUCAGGCAAUGGGUGUGCGGAUCGAUUCCCGAUUUUGGGAGUCGCUUUUCUUCGGAAUGCUACAACAAAUAAACCAGGUGCUAUCAAUCCUAACAAUUUUUGCUUGUUGGGUUUAUUUUUAUUAAAGAAUUAUUACUCUGGUUUGUUCCAUCAUCUGUACACAGGUCUAUCAAAUGGCGGCCACAUUAAAAACGGUCGCGUGGUGGUCCGGUCAGUUUCCGUACAUAGUUCGGCGAAUGCCGCAUCCGGAGCCUUGGACCGCCCUGCAAAUUUAGGCUUUGUCACGCCUUCACCGCGUCACGCUGACGCCCUGCAUCGACAUUGACUUCGGCGCCAGCCCAUAUUCUUUUAUUACUCACUUUACAUAAAUUAUUUAUUAUGCAACGCUUUUUUUAAUUAUUAUUAUUACUAUUAUCUCCGGUUUGCACCAUUUUUGAGCACAGGAAAAUGAUCCGGGUUGGGCAAUAUCGUCAACUCGGCGUACUGACAUACCACGUCACCUCGGCUGGACGGGGGGCUUCAUCAACACUUCAUUACCCCAUGCCAGGGACUUCGGCAUCACUUGCCAGCCCGCAUUGACCGUGCUAUGUCACCACUUCGGAGUGUCGAGCUCUUUGCUCCGCCACCUUGGGACCGGCUUGGGGGAUGGAACCUUGUCCCGCAUCAAGCUCGGGCCGCGUCAUCAAUACCGAACACAUUAACCAGCAAAGUUGCCUUCAUGCUCAACGUCUUAAAUUUUUAACUUGUGUUCGGUUCGACCAAGCAUUAUACCUUUUUGAAAAAAAGUUGCUUGUAGAGAAUCUCCUUGUCAAACUUUGUUUGUGACACACAAAUUCAAAUGUCCCGUUUACUUGGGGGGCUCCCUUGAUGGAGCUUUUCCUCUUGCAUAUGAUUAUACUUGUACGGCUUCGUUCCUUGUUCGUGUAUUACGCCACAAUAUGCACCAUAUUGACCUAAGCGAUUUGCAAGCUGGGUUGCCUGGCUCCCAUGCUUACCCCUACGUUCCCGAUUGUUCGGCUAGGGAGUAAAGGGAGCACCUCUGCGAUUGUCACGACUGGGUCAUCCGAUCUCUGACCUCAGACUGGGUGAAGCUGAAAGCUAGCACUCUUAUUGUUUUCAAUUAUGGUCGGCACACAACGGAACUCAUGAGUACAAAAAAUCUAUUACACAAGUCUCAUAGUAAUAAUGAGCACCGAAGAAAGGUAUCGGUGGGGGUACUAUUUUCUUUGAAGAUGCUUCUUACACUUCGUUAGUAAUAUAGCAUAAGUUCCCUGAGCGCGCUUUGUCUGUUACAGCCCUAUGGCCUGAUUGCCUGGUCAUCGGAAACACCGUCAAUACUCUCGACAGGCGGAGUACAUGACACUUUUCGGCCCUUGGCCGAAGAGGGAGAAGCCGACGGUCGGUUAAGACGCGUUUAAAGUUCGGGUGAACAAAGAUAUGAUAUUAGUACUUCGGUACAUACAAUCAUUAUACAUAAAAUUCUUUUACCCAAGUCACUUGGGGGCUCUUAAAUUUAUAUAAGCUGUUUUAUAAUAAGUGUUCUUCUUCUUAGUCAUUGAAAAGUUUUUAUUACUAUUAUUUUUUAUCACUCCUUUUUUCAACACGAGCAUGUGGUCACUAGCCGGGGAGCCUAAUUUCUCUCUCAAAGCCGCUAGAGUUUAGUUUGCUAAACUGGCCUAAUGACAAGUACUCCGCCUUCGGGAUAGGAGGUUGAAGCCAUAGGCUGACCCACUUGAAGUUUUGAGAUCGGAUGUGUCAUAUUAAUGCACGAAGAAGCACAAUUUUUCCCCAGUUUUCAGAUUGGCACCGAACACUUGAUCUUGUUCGGACGUCAAGUUUUUACUGUCUUUUUUGGUUUUCCAAGCUUAUGGCAGUUUUAAACUAUUUGUGUGUUUUCAGCACAAGUCUCGCAGUGCAACGCUGGACACCUUUAGAGAUUCGGCAAAAACAUUCUCGGAUAUUGCUAUAUAUGCAUCGGUUUUGAAUUGUGUCUCAAUAGUUGGGUUGCUCGGCUCCUGUGCUUGCCUCCUAUGUUCUGCUUUGUUCGGCUAGGUGUGCAAAGGGAGAAUCACUGCGAUUGUGCUUCCAGCUCACAUGGUUAAGCACCUUAGUGGAGAAAUCCGAAAACUGACUGUCACAAUAAGCGUAAACUGGUCAGUGAUCCGAUGACUGUGUUAAAUGAUGGGCCAUUCAAAGCCGAAAACUGACUGUCACAAUAAGCGUAAACUAACUGUCACAAUAAGUGUUUACAGCUUGACCUCGACUGUCGCUGAACACUACCGGGGGCUAGUAACUGGCCUCCCAAACUAAAUCCUCAAUAUUUUGCUCUUACAUUAGGGCUGAGGUUUCAUGAUCAUGCUUAGCAUGACAACCCAAAGAAAGGAAACGAUAGCGGGACUAUUUUGUUUGGAAGACAUUUCUUAUGUUAAACAGUAAUAUAACACAUCUCUCUGCGUACCUUUGUUUGUAAAACCGUAUGGCCAGAUUGCCUUGUUUGUCGUAAAUCUUUACCCUCAUAAAGGCUUUAUAAAGUAGGACAAACACUCCUCGGCUACUAGCUAAGGAGGUGGAAGCCGAUGGUCGGUCAACAAGGUUUUGUACAAUGCGGAUCCGAGCAUUAAUGAUGUAAAGUACUUGGAUACAUAGAGUCAUUACACAUAAAUUGUGAUUUUACUAUGGAUAUCGAUCCUUAAUUCAGCCACCCGUGCCCGCAUUAAGGCUCGGGGCUACUGGGAUUUGGGCUUAUUAUUUAAAAAUAUUAAAGGGGCACAUCGAUCCCUUGAUCUGGUGUUGCCACCCGACCAGUGUCUCGAGGGCUACUGCAUUGCCUGUUCAAUGUAGAAAAUUUUAAGUGCAAUAUAGUUGCCGAGGAGAUUUUGAUCCUCAGGUUGGUCGGCCGCACCCAACCUGAGUCUCGAGGACUGAGCACGCCGCUUUUUGUGUCCCAAAGUAUUCUGGUGAGCUAGGACUUGAUCUCAGGCCGAUUUUGCAAAUCAACCCGAGUCUCAGCGGCUACUGGGAUCAACAGUCCUACGUCAUCCUUCAGGUGCAUCUCGGGUUUUAGACCGAUACACACCUUGAGGGCUACUGGCUAUAUAUCUCGAUAGAGAAUAAAUUGCACCAAUAAAAAAUAUUGACAAAAAAUCGGCCCACAGUCGGGGUGGUGAACCACCUCGGAAGCAGCCCGGCAUAAAGCUCGGGCGCUAGUGGCUGGCUCCAUAGAGGGCAUUUCCGGCAUUAAGCUCGGCUAAAUUCCUUCAACUUUUUUGAACCAAGGUGAUAUGACACCUCGGAUAUAGUCCGGCGUUGGAGCUUGGACACAGUCCGGCGUUGGAGCUCAGAUAUAUUUCGGUGUUGGAGCUCGGAUACAUUUCGGCGUUGGAGCUCGAAAGCAGUCCGGCAUUGGUGCUCGGCUGCAAAAAAUAACUCGAAUGCAGUCCGACGUUAUAACCCGGAUGCAAGAGGACACUGCCUCCCGGGAACAACUUCGUUUCUCUUUAUUAUGACUAACUUUAUUAUGACUAACGAAGAGAAACGAAGACUUUAUUAUGACUAACUUUAUAUAUAGUCCCCCUUUCACGUACCAUAAUAAAGAGGGGGGGGUAUGCGAUGGAGAGAGAGAUGCUCUUCGUUUCUCUUUAUUAUGACUAACUUUAUAUAUUGUCUAAAAAUAUACAAAUUCAUAGUGCGGAAUAAAUAUCAUUGUGGGCACCAUGCAAUGCAAAUUAGCAUUCAUACUCCUCCAUAUAACUUUGUAAUGUUUUAUAUAUGUAGAAAUUCUAAAAUAAUUUUUUGGCCACACUUUAUUCAAAAGGUAUGUUUUAUGCGAAAUAAACGUGAAGAGAGGGCUUUAUAGAUCAAUGGGGUAUGUGAUGUAACAUGUGCGAAUGUGUAGUUGACGCAUUUGGCAGGGCCUAGAGAGGUAUGUGUGUGUAUUACGUAUUCAAGAUAGGCAUGGAUAAAGGCGCCGGCGGGUGCGUGGGAGAGAUAGCACGAGAAAUGAGAGUGUUCUAGAGAGAGAGAGAGACGAAUAUGAUGUCAUGGUGAGAGAUUCCCUUGAGUGUGUAUAUGCAAGGGGUGAGUGGAUAGAGGCACCAGGAGAAUUUUUUUUGUGUGGUGUCGGUGUUGGUAUGUGUGGGUGUGAGAAGAUAACGAGACGUGGGGGUAGAGGGUGUGCCACCGCGUGAGGUCCGGUGGGUUGAGGUGAGGCCCUUCGUUCGGUUCCGUCCUGCGCCACAUUGGUUGGCCCGUGACACAUUUAGGGAGACCCGUGGAUGACUAGUCGUACAAGACAAAGAUAGCAUAAUUGUGAAGGACUCUGUGUCCACUGACAAAGCCAGCUAGGAUUUGUAACCCUAGGUUCUCGGACUAAGGUAACCCCUUUAUCUCUCAUAUUACUAUUCACCCAACCUAACUUUAAGGGGCAUCCUAUAGAAUGCUCUGCUAGAAUCAUACUCGUCGAUUAGGAAGAGAGGUGUGAGACAAUGCGUCAGAGACAGGCCUAAAGAUAGUGUGCGUACAGGAGACACGUAGGUAGGUCUAUGUAUAUAGAAAGGGUCGAUGGGGAUUGUGCGUGUGUAUGCUUGCGAGAGGAAGAGUGCUUGUGAUAAAGGUUAGUGAAAAUAGUCGUAAAUGGUUACGAGAGGGAAGGAGGGUUAUAUCGAGAGCAUGUGUGCAAGAAAGACACCUCGGGAGAGAGUGUGUGAGCAUGUGUGAGAGACCACCGAUGGAGAGUGAAACUACACAUAAAAUACUGUUAUACACAUUGAUUAAAGAUAUAAAUUGUAUCCAAAUAUUAGGAUGGGAUCAUGAUAUUUGCAAUUUGCGGAAGGAACGGUCAUUGAUCCAUCAGACAUCUAGAUUCUAUCGAAUUUGAGCAUGUCUAUGUUAUUGUUCGACACAAUUGAUCCACAUAGUUAGUAUUUUGAACUCCAGACAAUGCAUCACUUUAGCAAUCGAAUAUAAACGUGAGUAUAGUUCAUGUUGUGUGUGUAAAGCACAUUAUAGAUACGAAAGUUACACUAUGAACAUUAUAAAUAGCUACCUAUGAACUAGCAUACAUUUGAAUUCAACUUAAGGUGGUUUAAAAAAUCGCAUUCAACAUGAAGUCCAUUCAAUUAUUUGAAUUUGAUAUCAUGGCAUUUGUAAAUCAUACCUAAAUUAUGGGGGAACCAAUCUUUGCUCUGAUUUUGUACAUAAUAACAUAUGUAGUCGUGUAACAAAUAGAUUCAAAUUUAGCUCCUCCAUUCCAAAAUAAUCGUAGUUAUAGGAUUUUCAAGUGUCAAAAUGUCAAAAAGAAGCGGAUAAUUUAAUGAGGUUUUCAAACAUACAAGGUCAAAUUUAACGUUGUCUAUUUAGGUCAAUCCUGAAAGUUCAAGACUACUCUAAACGUGAAUGCUUGUGUUUCAAAAUUUCAAAUGAAGCGCCAAAAGAGCCUCUACUCGCUCGAAACUGUGUGAGACCAAUGUUUGGUAGUAGAAGGAAAUUACUUUUCUAAUAAAUCCGACUCGUGAAACCUACCGGCCCGACGUCCGAAGGUCUAAACCGGGAUAGGUUUGUAGCUUCAUCUAGACGCCACGCAACCGCCUCUGAAAAACAUUCAUACACAAUGGCUGCCUAAGCACACAUGCGCGCGGCUGAAAUCGCUCCCACCCACUAUUUGGGACACGUGGGAUUACCAUCCUACCCCCGACCCAUAGUAGUUCUGAAAUUUAAGAGGGGGGCAAAGUUUGUACAUUCCCCAAAUUUCAAACAAGCGUGUCCCAUCUUCUUUUCAAAAAAGCCAAAAACAAGNNNNNNNNNNNNNNNNNNNNNNNNNNNNNNNNNNNNNNNNNNNNNNNNNNNNNNNNNNNNNNNNNNNNNNNNNNNNNNNNNNNNNNNNNNNNNNNNNNNNNNNNNNNNNNNNNNNNNNNNNNNNNNNNNNNNNNNNNNNNNNNNNNNNNNNNNNNNNNNNNNNNNNNNNNNNNNNNNNNNNNNNNNNNNNNNNNNNNNNNNNNNNNNNNNNNNNNNNNNNNNNNNNNNNNNNNNNNNNNNNNNNNNNNNNNNNNNCCGCCCACCCGUCUGAUUCCCCAUUCAUACUCCAUGGGCGCGAAAACUACUUCUCCACCAGCCGCGAAACCCUGGCGUCCUCCGUCCGCCACCCCAUCCCACCCAUCAACGCCGCCCUCCUGCAUCACGCCAGAGCCGAUACCCCGACGUCGUCGUCCACCACAACCUCAACCGCAACGCCCUCCAUGGCUAGUAGUUGAAGCCGAGGCCGAGCCGUCUAUACCCGAGCCAGUUCAACCACGCCGUCCUGCGCCUCACCGCUGCCGCUCCAACUUCGCCACCCUCCACCGCACCGGAGCUGUUCCUGCUACGCCGUCUUUCACCGCCUUGGAUCUGCUUCCCCUCCGCCAAUAUACGGCCACGACAACACAGUCAACAAUUUGGCCGUGGGUUUGUCCAAGGAUCCACGGUUCUCCAAAACAUUGGUUCCCCCAGGAGAAAAAAGAAUAUCACCGCGACAUAUGGAGGAGACCACACUGGCAACCAAUAAGGGUACUCAUCUUCACUUCUUCGUGCAAAUCUUACGUGUCUGCUUGCACGGUAUUCAUCCCACAGAAGACACUAGUUGACCGCUUCUUCUUGAUACUAGGUGUUCCUAGUAACUCGCGAUGCACAAGGUUUCUCCUCAUAUACUAUUUCACCUUAGCUAGAGUUCCGUCGCCCCCCUGAAUUUCAAUUCCUGGUUAGUUGAUUCCCAAUUAACGGAACCACUCCCCGGCGUAACAGGCGGUAGUCCGCCUAUUAUGCCGGGGAAGCAAUGCCUCGGUGUUUAUCUUAGGGGCGUGUGGGGCCUAGAGCUACUGGCGCCUGAUCUGGAGGUCGGCAAGGAUUAAAGUGAUGUCCUGGGGGCGCUGCCAAGCACAGCGGUGGUGUGAGGUCGAGUGGAGGGCGGGGCGGCGGAGGCAGGGGUCUGGGCCGGUGGUCGCUGGCGGUUCAAGAAAGAUCGUCAACAGUGACUGGCUGGAGGUAGACGAAGGCCAUCUGCCCGUUCCUUAUAGAUCGGACGGUUCAUUAAAAAAAUCGACUGACCUAUUUAUUUUCAGUCGACUGUGAUCUUGAUAUUACCAUAUGUGGUGGUGUGCUGGAGGAUUACCUGCAUUUCCUAUGCUCAUAUAUUACAAAAUCAUACGGAGUAGAAUCUAAUUUUGUUUGCCAUGCAAUGUUGUAGAGCUAUCAUAUGUCUCAUGUCAUUUAUUUUUCAGCCACCUGCUAUCUGCUACUUUUACAGUGCACUAGUUCUGCAAACACUUCACCCAUACUCUCACUAUUGUGUUUUUAUGCAGGGGUAUUUCAGAGUCUGCCUCGAGAGAAGCAGAAAAGAAAAGAGAGAAGUUGCUCCAGCUUUCUACGUGGGUAAGCAUGGCACGUUAUAGCGCUAUGAAGGGUGCAGUGUCAGCAGAUGGAGACGUUAAACGUAGCUCUGGAGUUGAUGAUCUCGCUCGCAAUGAACCACCAUCCCAGGUACUUGCUUUAACUUCGCGGUGUCAUAUGUGGUUGCAUGUUCCAUAUGGUGUCUAUCUUGUAUUUGAAAGGCCGAAGUCGGUCUUUAUGAAGAUAAGGAAAGAUAUUUUUUACAUGAACCACCACUACAAGAAAUAUGUCAACUAGUGACCUUCUGCCAGUGACCCUGGAAGAAAUGGUCAUAGAUCUAUGACCAUUUCAGACCAAUUGGUCAAAAGCUGUUCGGGGGGCUCCAAACCCUAAACCAUUGCGAUCAUUUUGGUCAGAAAGGUCGUAAUUUCCUUACAUGAAAUGGUCAUAAAGCAAACAGCACUAGUCCGCUGCCUUAUUUCUAGUUGUUAACGACCAAUAUAGAUGGUCAUAACCUUGUAAAUUGUGGUGGGUUGCUAUGACUGGGCGCCACCUCAUCGAUUUUGCCUAUGUGUCAUGUCCAUGUGGCAGUUUUUGCCCUAGGUUGUGAAGCAACCUAUAUUUCUGUCAUUCCCAAAAUUCCCAAAAAAAUCUCAUAAAUUCUUUGGGUCAUAUAUUCGUCAAAUAUGUAAAAACCUUCCUUGCCUAGUUCAAAAAUAAUUCAAAAAUAUUCAUUUUCCUAUUCUGUUUAGAACAACAGUUUGUGAAGGAAGUACCACUUUGGCAUGUCCAAAUAGUAUCCAUUUUCUGCAAUGCUUUCCUAUGCCCAAAUAACCAUCCUCCACCAAAUUCCAGCUCAAUCCAUUCAUUAUUUUGAGCCGAGCUUCAACAUUCGUAUUUAUGUCCAGUGUGGUAGUUUGCAAAGCAAGUACCACCUAGGCUCCUCCUUUUGAGCUAAAAAUUUGUGAAUACGGUCUUCUUAGUAACUGGUCAUCCUCAGCCAAAACACACGCCCAUUAGCCAUGUACAUUUCUUGUACUGCUAAUCAAACACUUGGCUGCUAAUUCAUGUUUGAGCAUCGAUCGGUCUCCUCAUGAGAAUCUUAUGUUGUAAUUUUCUUCCUAGAACCUACCUGGGGAGUGCCCAACCCACCAGACAUGCCUAGGCCGCCCAGAACACAUGGCAACGCCACGGUCACGCGGUGACCACGCGGCGAGCAUGCGAGUUUACGCGCUCUAGAGUUGGGGCCCUUGGCCACAGCCCAAACCUCGAUGUAUCGCCACCAAACCAUGUAUUUAUGAAUAAUUAGGUACUUAUGUAACUAGAAAUGAUUUUUGGGAAAAAUAAAUAGCAAACUAUGAGGCAGCUGCAGUUCAAAUUUGACCCGCUUCUAACUGAAUCGACGGAAAUUUGUCUUUUUCACAAGAGGUGCAUCAAAACUUUUUACACCCAACCAUUUUGUCAAUUGUGCACUAAAUAUGUCCUAGUAUUUUAGAAAAAUGAUUUGGUCCAAUUUUGCAACAAUUAUUUUGGAGGUCCUUCACAAAAAAACCUCCUUUUGGGCACUCAAAAAAUGGAAAAUGGUUUUUUCGUCCAAAGAAAAUGAAAACUUCCUUAGGCAACAUUGUUUUCCAUUCCAAUAUGCACCCUUGUGCAUAAUAUGAGAUCAUUUGAAAAAACUAUGCCUUGAAUGUGGCCAUAAGAUUGAUCAUUUGGCUUGAAAGCCAUUGAUCAACACACGUGAUAGCUCGUUUCUGAGAACACUUUUUUAAAAUAAUUGUCGUAUUACAAGUUUGUUAUUUUUCCUGGGAACUUGUCCACAUAUAAUGACACAAUGCGAAGCUUUCCCAAUUUUUCGAUUUUUUUGAAUUUUUUAUGCCCGUUUCAAAAUGCGGUCAAAACGGUGGGAAUGACCGUUCCUAGCUAGUUGUUGAAUCUUGGAAUUUUUUUGGUGUUUCUCUGAUUAAAUAGAUACUUAUGUACCUAGAAAUGAUUUUUGGAAAAAAUAAAUAGCAAACUAUAAGGCACCUACAGUUCAAAUUUGACCCGCUUCCAGCUGAAUCGGCGGAAAUUUGUCUUCUUCACGAGAGGUGGAUCAAAAUUUUUUACACCCAACCAUUUUGUCAAUUGUGCAUUAAAUAUGUCCUAGUAUUUUAGAAAAAUGAUUUGGUGCAAUUUUGCAACAAUUAUUUUGGAGGUCCUUCACAAAAAAACCUCCUUUUGGGCACUCGAAAAAUGGAAAAUGGUUUUUUCGUCCAAAGAAAAUGAAAACUUCCUUAGGCAACAUUGUUUGCCAUUCCAAUAUGCACCCUUGUGCACAAUAUGAGAUCAUUUGAAAAAACUAUGCCAUGAAUGUGGCCAUAAGAUUGAGCAUUUGGGUUGAAAGUCAUUCAUGUUCACACUUGAUAGCUCGUUUCUGAGAACACUUUUUGAAAAUAAUUACAGUAUUACAAGUUUAUAAUUUUUGCUGGUAACUUGGUCACAUAAUGACACAAUGCGAAGGUUUUCCAUUUUUUUUAUUUUUUUGAAUUUUUUAAGCCCGUUUCAAAAUGCGGUCAAAACGGCGAGAAUGAGCAUUCCUAGCUAGUGGUUGAAUCUUGGAAAUUUUUUGGUGUUUCUCUGAUUAAAUAGAUACUUAUGUACCUAGAAAUGAUUUUUGGAGAAAAUAAAGAGCAAACUAUGAGGUAGCUACAGUUCAAAUUUGACCCGCUUCCAGCUGAAUCGGCGAAAAUUUGUCUUUUUCACGAGAGAUGGAUAAAAGCGUUUAACACCCAACCAUUUUGUCAAAUGUGUAUUAAAUAUGUCCUAUUAUUUUAGAAAAUUGAUUUGGUCCAAUUUUGCAACAAUUAUUUGGUAGGUCCUUCACAAAAAAAACUCAUUUUGGGCACUCGGAAAAUGGAACAUGAUUUUUUCGUCCAAAGAAAAUGAAAACUUUCGUAUGCAACAUUGUUUGCCAUUCCAAUAUGCACCCUUGUGCACAAUAUAAGACAUUUGAACAAACUAUGAGACAAUUGUCGUUCAAAUUUGCCCCGCUUCCUAGUGAAUGGGUGAAAUUUGUUUUUUUAUCAGAGGUGGAUCAAAAGCUUUUGACAUGUAACUACUUGGUCAAUUUUACAUAAAAUGUGGUCUAAUAUUUUUGAAAAAUGGAGUUGUGAUAUUUUGGAACAAAUAUUUGGUAGUUUCUUCACAAAAAAACCCUUUUAUGCACUCGAAAAAUGGAAAAUCAUCUUUUUCUGCAAAGAAAAUGAAAGCCGUCGAACUAUACCAUCGUUUGUCACUCUAUGAUGUGCACUUAUGAAAAAAACGAGAUCAUUUUGACAAACUAUGCCAUUCUUAUGUUUAAAAAAAUCAUAAUUUUGGGUCUAAAAUUUUGAGAUUCAAGUGCGAGACAGCCAACCAAUUAGACGCGAGGAACCGCUUUCACGUGGAUCACCAAGUUGGACGCAAUCUGGGCCAUCCAUCACGCACCCAUCCAACGGUGGAGCUUCUGCCGAGAAUCAAAAAACCCUAACCCACCCACCCACCCUCCCCUCGAUCCCCCAGAUCCCCACCCGCCGCCACCCCCACUCACCCACUUCCCCCUCCCCUCGGUCCCCCAGAUCCAUCCUCGCGCCGCCCUCCUUCUCCCGCAACCCCAAACCCGGNNNNNNNNNNNNNNNNNNNNNNNNNNNNNNNNNNNNNNNNNNNNNNNNNNNNNNNNNNNNNNNNNNNNNNNNNNNNNNNNNNNNNNNNNNNNNNNNNNNNNNNNNNNNNNNNNNNNNNNNNNNNNNNNNNNNNNNNNNNNNNNNNNNNNNNNNNNNNNNNNNNNNNNNNNNNNNNNNNNNNNNNNNNNNNNNNNNNNNNNNNNNNNNNNNNNNNNNNNNNNNNNNNNNNNNNNNNNNNNNNNNNNNNNNNNNNNNNNNNNNNNNNNNNNNNNNNNNNNNNNNNNNNNNNNNNNNNNNNNNNNNNNNNNNNNNNNNNNNNNNNNNNNNNNNNNNNNNNNNNNNNNNNNNNNNNNNNNNNNNNNNNNNNNNNNNNNNNNNNNNNNNNNNNNNNNNNNNNNNNNNNNNCGCCGAUCUCCACCCCCCAACCCCAGCCCCAGCCCCGCCGGCGACCUCCUCCCCCACUCCUCGACUGCCCGGCGACAUCCUCUACUUCAUACCUGCCGGCGACCUCCUCCUUCGACUCCACCAUCUCCUUCUCUCCACGCCAAAACCCUAGAUCGACGCCAUGGCCACCUCGCAGGCGGCGCAUGCAGGCCAUCGAAGACGGCGGGGCCAUGUCCGCCUCGUCUGUGGGGACGGAGGCGGCGGCGGUUGUCAGGAAGAUGGUGAACCUCAGCUCCCCUCCCCGGCGGUGCCACCGCCGCUGCUUGUGCUUCGGUUGCUGGUCUCCGUCUCCUGCUCGCUCGCCCACGGCAGCCCAGGUUCGUCUUGUUCUUGGAUUUUCGCUUGCUUCUUUGUUUCUUCUUUCUGACCGAGCAGGUGAGCUGAUUUUGGAUUUGUCAUCUUGGUUUCUGCAGCUGUUGGAGGAGGACUUGGUGGUGCUAAGGAAUGGAGUACUGCAAGGACGGACGCCGCUUCCGUUGAACUCAGGUGAGCUUGCGAGUCCGCGACGGCCUUGGUGAUUUUACUAUUACUGCUACUCUAUUAGUCAUGGAAUUCGGGAGAGCUUGGGUUCGAAUUUUAUUUUCUGGGAUUUUUAUCGGGGUGUAUGCAACUGUAUAACUGUAAAUUGGCUUGCCCCUGGGUGUUCUUGGUUGGUGAUUCGGCAAUGAUUUGAAGCGGUCUGGCUUAUGAGCCGGUGGUUAGGUGGAGUCUGGUUAUUAUAGUUUCGGUACAGGAGGGGGAAAGGUGGCACAAAUCUGGGGGCAGGGCAUGUUUCUGCCUGAUUGAUCCAAUCAUUUUUUUCUUCUGGUAUCAAUCAAUCAUGCCAGCAUCUGAAACGGACUAUCAAAUCUGAAUUAGCACUGUUUUUUAUAUAUAAUGAUACCAUACAGCUCGAGAUGAACAUAUGCUUGACUGAAUAGCUGUUCAUACAUCUGGAGGUGUUACUAUGAGUACAAUUACCAUUCAGAAAGAAAAGAACUAUGAGUAAAAUGCAGAGAACGCACUUCCAGACUAUCAAUCAUGCAUGCCCAUAUCAUUUGCUUUUCUUAAUGUUUCUCAGUUUAACUUACUAGUCUCUUGUCUAUGUAUUUUUUGCUGCCAGAAGGGACCCAAAUAGGUUGCAACUGGGAGUAAAAUAUGUGUCUAAACUGAUCGUCUGGUGCGAAAAUUGACGACCAAGAUCCAGUUAUGUGUAUUGCAGGACAACACCUUUCAUUAGAUACACUUUGAUGCUAUUUCUAGCAUGAAUUUCUAUUUCAGACUUAAAACUAAAAUUCUGAACAAGUAAAAUCGCUCUUGUUCCUUAUUUUUUUAGGGCGGUUCCUCUCGUUUUACUGGUUCGUCCGCUCCUUCAUGAUUGAUGUACUGGUUCUAGCCCCUCCUUCGUGAUAGACUCGGUUAACUCUUUGUUAGCCUUGUGGGUCAUAAUUCUUUCUCUCCAGACGCAUAUACUGCCUGAUGUAUUGCUCAUGCUCAUUCUGUACCGAGAUAGUCCUAAUAUCCAUAGGGUUGUAGAUUGAUUUCCCCUGAAAAAGCUAUGCUUCUUUCCUUGGAUGAUAAGCAUGUUCGGUAGCUAUGUGGAAUUCUUAAGAUAAACGGUCUUUACUUUCUUUUGGUGCAUCUGCGUGCACAUAAUAGUCUGUUAGUUUCUCUUUAUAUAAUGAAAAAAAUAUGUUGUUGUAGCUUGUUUAUUAUUAUCUAUCAUUUGUAGAUUGAUUUUUAGGCCACCGGUACUUGUAUGUAUAAUUUCUAGUCUCUUGAAUGAAUAAUUUUUCUUUAUGUGUCAUGCGUCUUGUGUUACUACAUACAUCUGUCGUGAAGUACAUGGUUCCGGAACUAUGGUAACCCAUAGUUUGCUCUACUCGUGAUAGUAGGAUGAUGGAAGCAUCACUAUUGAAUGUAGUUCAUGUUUCUUCAUAUAAUCAUCAUUUACUAGAGUUUCUCUUCUUCUUGCUACUGCUUGGUUUUUGACGCCACUAGCUUGUACUAGAACGCAAACACAUCAUAUUGUUUUCAUCAGACUAGUGUACCUUGAGCAUGCAAAGUAAACACAUGCUACUCCACUUGUCUAUUUGUACAUAAACUUUUGUUUAAAUAAACCGAGCUAAUAAACCAAACGGUGCGAACACAUUCAGUUCUGAAAUUUGUCUACUCCACUUGUUUGAUUGUACUGAAACCUUUGUUUGCAUGUUUCUAAAAUACAGAGAAGAACACCCUGUGUUCUGGUAAAAUUUCCUAUGAUAUGAAAUUCCAUGAUGUGUGUGUUGUUUCAGUUUCUGUAGCUACAACAAAGUCCCAGUUUACUCUGUACUUGCUUUUGAUGAUUGCUGGCUAAAUUUACAGUUGAAAUAAUAGUAGCCAAGGAGUAGAUACAAGACGUAUUUACCAUAUUUUGCAUGGAAUGUUAAAAAUCAGUUUUGUUGUGGUUUCUUGUUCUGUGAGUCAAAUUGCAUAAGAUGGGAGUAUCACAACAUGCAUAUACUGAAGAUGGGAGUAUCACAACCUGAAUGUGCAGCUUAUGUAGUUUCUGUAUUUUUGUUAAAGCAUGGAGUAGCUUCUAUAGUUUCUGUAUUUUUGUUAAAGCAUGGAGUAGCUUCUAUAGCUUCCUCACAAGUUAAUGCUUCGCUCGUCCGGGUGUGUGAUAAUGCCAUUUGUCUUGUGCAAUCAGAUUACAUUUCUGUUUGUUAUGGUAAUAUAAAUAUUCAUCCUGUCAAAAUUUUCACAGUGCGUGUCUUUCAUUUCUUUAAUUUGAUUGUUUCCCUUGUAUUCAAUAUGCUUCUAGUGGCUGAUCCUUCCAUUUUUGUUGUGGCAUCUUUAUUUUCACAGGUGUUGUGUGUUCUGGAAGAUGGAAGAGGAAGAAAUUGUUGAACUAAAUUUUCUGUAUUCUGUUUUGUUGUACGUAUCAUUUGAUAGUUUUGUAUAGGAACAAGUGAUACUAUUUUGUAGGGCUUUAUGGCCUGUGAUGUAAACAUAUUUAGUGCUGAAAUAUGAAAUUAUUUGCAAAAUUUGUCAAAAAGGUGGAUCAUAUGUAUGAAUAUGUGAAUGGGCUGAAAAGAGUACUGGACCAACUCCAGGAUUG